UAGUAGCCAGGGAACAUUGGAGGUGGUGGCGAUGCGUAUUGGUGGCCGACGAAGGGUGGUAGGAUGAACUCAUCACUUGGGGCUGGUUCUUGUGCCAGCGGCGCCUCUUUCUUUUCCACCGGUGGUGGUGGCGAGUUAACCGGGGGAGGUGGUGGCGAGUGAACAGGUGGAGGUGGCGAAUGGACUGGUGGCGGCGGGGAAUGUACCGGUGGAGGUGGUGGAGAGUGGAAUGUGCCGGUGGAGGAGGUGGCGGCGGGGAAUGUACCGGUGGAGGUGGUGGAGAGUGGACUGGCGGUGGAGGAGAGUAGACAGGAGGUGGUGGAGAGUGGACUGGCGGUGGAGGAGAGUGGACAGGAGGUGGCGGCGGGGAAUGUACCGGUGGAGGUGGUGGAGAGUGGACUGGCGGUGGAGGAGAGUAGACAGGAGGUGGUGGAGAGUGGACUGGCGGUGGAGGAGAGUGGACAGGAGGUGGCGGAGAGUGAACCGGUGGUGGUGGAGAGUGGACUGGGGGAGGAGGAGGUGGCGGAGAGUGAACCGGUGGAGGAGGUGGUGGUGGAGAGUGAACCGGUGGAGGAGGUGGUGGCGGAGAGUGGACCGGUGGUGGUGGGGAGUGGACCGGUGGUGGUGGAGAGUGGACCGGCGGUGGAGGAGAGUGGACCGGCGGUGGAGGAGAGUGAACCGGCGGUGGAGGAGAGUGGACCGGCGGUGGAGGAGAGUGUACCGGCGGUGGAGGAGAGUGAACCGGUGGUGGUGGAGAGUGGACUGGUGGUGGCGGAGAAUGAACCGGCGGUGGUGGUGAGUUAACCGGUGGUGGCGGAGAGUGAACCUGUGGUGGCGGAGAGUGAACCGGUGGUGGUGGAGAGUAAACUGGUGGAGGAGGUGAAGGAAGAGGAGGAGAAAGAAGUGGUGGAGAGCUUACCGGAGUUGGUGGAGGAGAGAAAACCACCGGAGGUUGGGAUUCAUGAGGUGGAGGAGGACUGCGUCGGUUACCCACUGGAGAUUGAUCGUAAGGAUCAUCCGGUUGGGGUGACUCUUUUGGUGGUUGUGGUUUAUGAACCGGUCGAGUUGGAACUGGAGAUGGUUUGUGAACAGGCGUAGUUGGAACUGGCGAUGGUUUGUGAACAGGCGUAGUUGGAACUGGCGAUGGCUUGUGAACCGGCGAUGGUUUGUGAACAGGCGUAGUUGGAACUGGCGAUGUUUUGUGAACAGGCGUAGUUGGAACUAGCGAUGGUCUCGACGGAGUAGAGGAGCCGCCACCAGCGCAUUUGUCCUUGCUACAGUCAACCGGACGGCUGAUCACUACCGCACAUUCCUGGGCGGACCGUUGGUCUGGUCGAUGAGGUAAGCAAUUACGUACGUCGUCCAAUUCAAUCUCCUUCCGACCACCACCUGGAACACACGAACCACCUUGUCCAUUGAAGUAAUUGUAGGAGUAAGUGAAGUUCACCAAAUUAGGCAACUUGCAAAUGUUAUCCGCUACUAAUCCGGUCAGUUUAUUCUCGGAGAUAUCGAAUUCCUCCACACCCGUUAACCCGACAAAACUUGUCGGGAGACGACCAAUGAACGUGUUCUUGCUUGCAUCGAAAAGCGUCACAUUCGACAGCUUUCCGAUUUCAGACGGGAAACAACCGCCCAACUUGUUGUCCAUAAAGACAACCUCAUUGAGAUUCUUCAUGUUUCCGAUACUUUUAGGAAUACAUCCGGUGAAUUUAUUGUUAGCAAAACUCACAACCGUGGCUGGAGAUUCUCCUAGAGAUUCAGGAAUGGUCGAGGUGAAUCUAUUGUUGUUCAAGAAAAUAGCGUCCAGCUCUUUCUUGAACAGCUCCGAAGGGACUUGACCUUCAAAAUCAUUGAACCUAAGGUCGAUGAAUUUAACAUCAGGCCAUGCGAGGACUACUUCAGGGAAAAGUCCAACAAAACGGUUAUUACUGACAUCAAAUUCAUGCAUCAGCUUCAGCUUCUCAAAGCUCUUAGGGAUGAUACCACAAAACCUGUUAGAAUUCAAAUGGAACAAAGCAACAUCUGUCAUCAAACCAAGCUCAGCAGGCAAAUGCCCUGCGAUAUCCGCGCCAUUAAGGUCAACACCAGCUACGACCGUGACAUCAGGAUCAUCAAGAGCCGGUGCACAAACCACACCGUUGUAGCCACAGACGUGAGGUCCAUGCCAGUUUCCUGUGGUGUUAAACGGAUCCGAAAAAAACGCCUUUUUCCAAGUUUGAAGAGCUAUGUAAGCUCUUUUAAGCCUUGUGUUUGCAAAUGUAGCCUUGAGGUCAACCUCGUAUUCAAUGUCAUCAGGAAGUUCACCGUUUGCUGGUAAUGUCAAGAGCUGUCGCUGCACGAUGAAGGCAGCUUCUGUAUCGGUCAGGGCAAAUGCGACAAAGGAGGAGGACAAGAGGAAGAAGAACAAGAGGAAGAUGCAACAUACAAAGGAAGGAGGUUUAGCCAUGGCUAAAACAGAAACCUUGGAAAAGGCCCAAGGCUGUUUAUAGAUGGGCAUGAGAGGGUUAAAGGAGGAUAGAGAUGUGUGUUAUUAAUAACCCAACGUUGCAAGCACCAACGGUUUUUCUUAACAUUCUUUGUCUAUAUUUAGGGGACACUCGUUUGUUUUUGAGGAUUUUGCUUCAUAUCCGGAGGAUAUCAAUAAUAGAAAUUGUGGUUAAAGAAAGGAAAACAAGUAACCUAAGCAGAAUCUUGUUGUCAACCAAAAAGAAGCUAAGCAGAAUAUCUAAAAUGUCGUUGUAUCAAAACCCGUCAAUGUUAUAGGAGACAGCCUUGAAAACGAGUGGUGGUUGAUCCUUUAGCUAACAUCCCGGAACAACGCAAAUCAUUUUUUCUGUCUCUCACUACUUUACGUGUGACACAAGAAUCAUACGACCCCUAAGGGAUCACAACUAUUAUAUGCUAUAACGCUGUGAAAACUCAGCAGAUUUGGGAAUCAGGAAACCAACAAUGGUGAAUCCAUUGUUUCUCAAGAUCCUCAAAAGAUUUUAUAUCCCUAGAACAAAAUUUUUUUUUUUUUGUUUGAACAACCCCUAAAACAAUAUAUAUAUUUCGCAUUCAAAGAUCAUUUUUGUAAGGUGAAUGCGAAAGAACGUAUCAUAUUUUCUCAUUUUCAUUUGCUUACAUUUAAUCGAUUAAAAAAAACGGAUUUACUAUCGACUAUUGUAUCUCACCGUAAAAAAAUCUUUAGUUUCACACGCUGUUAAAUGUGAACAUGUUUCUUAAGUAAAUUUAUCUUAACCAGUCGAACCAAAAAACAAUCACUAUUCGAAGUAUCUACUAAAUGUCGCAACAAAAAUAUUGUUUUACAAAAUGAAAACAAAAGGAAGGUAGAUAUAUGGAAGAGAAAAAUAAUAAAAGACUAGAUUAAGAUCCGCGCCUUGCGCGGAAUAAACAUUAUAUAUAAAAAUCAUUUUAUGUAUUAUAUGUUCUUACAUAUUAUGAAAUAAUAAAUAUAUAUUGAAUAAUUAAAAGUCAGUAACUAUUACAUAUAUAAUUAAAUUGGUGCGAACGUAUAAAUCAAUUUUAUUAAUCCAAACAUUUUUUAAAAUUUUUUUGAUAGGAUAUGUAAUUAAAUUUAAAUGAUAUUAACAUACAUAGUAUAUUUUUAAUAUUAAUGUCUAUUUUUUUUUUAAAUGAUGCUUUCUACUCAUAUGUUUUUUUAUCAUGUGUAUUUUUAAUACCAAAAAAUUUAAAUUACUGAUAACAAAAUUUUCAUUGUGGGAUUAAUAAUUUUAGUAAUUGAUAAUUUAAAAAAAAUUUAUCAAUGUUAGUUCAAAACUUUUAUCAAAAAAAAAUUAUUCAAAGUAAAUUUUGAAACUUAAAUAUUUAUUUAUUCAAUAUGGUUUAUAGUUUAAUUUAGAAUGAUAUAUAUACAUAUAUAUUUUAAAUCUUAAUGAUUAAUUAAAUUAGACUUUUAUUUAUAUGAUUUUGUAAUCAUUUGUAUUUUGUCAUAACAAAAAAUUUAAACCAUGGAUCGCAAAAUUUGAAUGUGAGACUUUUAACAGUUUUAGUAAUUUAUAGUCAUUUUUUAAAAUUCAAAAUAUAAAAUAUACAAAAAAAUCUAAAUUUUUAUAAUAUGGUUAUUGUGUUUUUUUAAAAAUUAUUUUAAUAGUUUUAAAUUAAACAAAUUUGAUUGAAGAUACAUUUUUUUAUCAGAUCUUUAUUAUUCAAAAUCAUUAAUUGUCAUAUAUACUUUACCCACAUUAGGCAAUUCCGUAAUCUUUAUUUAAGGAAAUAAUAAAUGACAUUAAUAAUGAAUUUAUGGUUAGUUUAAUAAAAAUCUUAUUAUAUAAUUAGAUGGACCAACCUAUUUCUCUAAUAAUUUUAAGAAUCAUCCUAGUGAUGACAUAUGGCUACAAAAAGAAGUUGUAAUGUUUCACAAAUAAUAUAUAAGGGGAUUGAAAAGCUAUGAAAGAAAUGACGAUCAGGCUACAUAGACAAAAAUUAACAAAACAAAAACCAAUCCUAAUUUCAUCCCAUUCAAUGCCUCUGCCUCUAUAAGGCUCUCUUCAGCCUCAUUCUAUAGGACAAGCAAAACUCUCUCACAUUCAUUCUCCACUUCACUUCCUAUUUUGCUUUGAAUCGUUCCACAUUCUGGAGCUUCACCAUCCUUAAGGCACCACCUGAUCAUUCAAUGAAGUCUCAUCGUAGUUAGCUUCUCUUCUGCGUUUCCUGGACACCCCUGAAUUGCAUCCCCUCUCUUCUACUUCUUCUCUGAAAUUCUGCCCUGACACCUCUGCAGUUACAAGAAGAAAAUAUAACGAUAAAGGCGAGAGAGUUCAAUUUUUUAAACAAGGAUAAACAAAAUGUUACCUGCAGUGCAUUGAGCUGGAUACUCAUGCCCCAAAGAAUUUCUCAUAGCUGUUCUAGUAAAAGCCUUAUCACCGGAGUUUUUGAUUUCUUCCUUGCACAAUACGUUUCCUUGAUCAGUAGUCCCAAUGGCAUACUCGGAUGACAUCUCUAAAUAAGCUCGUUUCUUUCCAAAGUUAACCUUCUGCCGGCAACCAUUUUGUAGUACCGUAAACUGCAAAAAAAAAAAAAAAAGAAUGUCGGUAAGUUUCACUAAGAGGAUUACAAAAACAAAUGUUGUCAGAAGAGAAACCGAACCUGAUCAGUGGAAACGUGAGAGUUAGACUGCACAUGACGAGUUCUAGACGUUCUCCGAGUCUCCUCCUCUCUUCCUAGUAAGGAAUACAGCUGCCUCACAAAUGAGUUCUCCAAAGAAUCAAGAUACGAGUUGUGUUUCUCGUUCGUCCAGACACCACCACAUUCAUUCCGCUGAAAUAGUUUCGCAAGAAACGAUACUGAUCAGAAUCAUAACUUGUUAAAUAAAAUUAAGCCAUUACAUAUUCUCAGGUUUACAACCACUAAACACACAAACUCUGAUUAGUUAUACAGAUCACAAAAUCAGCAUCUCAUUGCAUCAUCUGAUAAUAAUGUUUGUUAGCCAUCAGAUUUGAAGAUUCCUCCCAUGUUUAUAAACAAAGGCUAAUAAUAAACAAGCGGAAGAUUUGUUUUUACCGUAAGAACGGACUCGAGCGAGUUUGAUAGAGUCGACGACUCGCUAUGAGAUUCAGCCGACGCCUCCGCAUCGCGAUCCAUCUCCAGAUAAACAAUAUUAACCUCUGAACCAUUCUCCAUCGUUCUUCUCCUCCAAUGCUCUCCACACAACAAUAACAACAACCCAAAAAUAUCUACGUCCAGGGCCGGCUCAAGAUAAUAGUGGGCCCUUGGGCAAAAUUUUUUUUUUACAUGUAUAUAUGAAUAAUUUAAAAAUUUUGGGCCCCUGUCCCUAGUUAUUUUUUAAAAAAUUGGACCCCUCUUUCAUACUAUUUUUGUUAAAAACUGUUUGGGCCCUGGGGCCCACGCCCCCUUGCCCCAUGCCCUAAGCCGGCCCUGUCUACGUCUCUUAAGGAAGAAAAUGUGUUCAUAAGAGAGAGGAACGAAGAGAUGAAAAGAGAAGAGUAUAAAGAAUAAAGAUCCACGUGGCGUCGCUUUUUACAUGUGUUUGACUAUUGCCAUGUCACUGCCGACGAUAAAUAUCUCGGACAAAUAUCACUAGGAUAUUUAUUUGGGAGAUCAAGUAGAGGAGGUUGUCUCUGUUUUUGAUAUUUUGUUCACAUCUCUAAUGAAUUAUUCUAGAGACGGUUAAGUUUAUUUGUAACAACUAUCAUUAAAAUUAGGUGUGUAAAAAAAAUUUAAAAUAUUUUUUAACAGCUAAAUAUAAAUUAUAUUUUAAAAUAAAUUUUUAUUAAUAUAGUAUAUUUUUUUUUUCGUAUCAAUAUUUUAAUAUAAAUUUGAUUUAAUUAAACAUAAAAAUUAUAUUUAAGAAUAUGCAUGUAUAUAUUUGAAAUUAUAAUCUUAAAUAUAUUUUUCUAUCUAUUUAUUUUAAUUAAAUAUUAAAUAUAUUAAAUAAAUUUGUAAAAGUUGCAUAAUUACCAAAAAAAUUAAAAUUAAACAAUAUUUAUAAAAUUUAUAGAUAUAUAAGAAAAUAAUGAUUUUACUAUUAAAUUUUUAUAAUCUUCUAAAAAAAUUGUAUACAUUUUUGAAAAUUUUAGUAAUAAAAUUGUAUAAUUUAAAAAUAUAUAAUUAAAUUAUAUUUCAAAAUUUAUAGUGCCAUAUUUGAAUAUAUUUAUUUUAAUAAUGAUUUAUGAGUUAUUCUCAUAUUCUAAAAAAAUUUCCAAAAAUAUAAAUUGACAUUAAAUGUAAUAUAUGAGUUAUUAUUUUAAAAAGUUUACCAAAAAUAUAAAUUAACAUUAAAUGCAAUUGUCCAUGUCAUAUUAAGGUAUAAGACAUGUCAUCAAUUUCAGUAGCAUGUCAUAUUUGUUUUGUGAAAUUGAUUGUAUAAAUGACAUAUGGCAAAAUCACUUCGCAGAUAUAGUCCAGGGAAUAUACGGUUUAAAUUUCGGAUUAUGAGAUAAAUCUGGGGAUAUUAAUUAAAAAUUAGCCACUGGUUUGGCGAAUGGAUAUUUUUAGAUCCUUGCUGACGUGGGUAGUAGCUGCGUCCAAAAAUAUCUGCUCAUUACCAAGCCAAAAAAUAUCUGUCCUUUUGUUUGACAAACCAAACUAAAUAUCUCGCGAGUCAACCAAACUAUCCGGUAAGAAAUAUCUGUCCUUUCGUUUAAGGUCUACCAAAUGCAGAGUCACCUCUCCUUUUUAUUACAACGGUUGUUGUACAAGUACAACAUUGUUAUGCCUUUUUUUUGUCAACCAUACAACAUUGUUAUGGCUAAAUAUCUAAAUCUGUUCAUGAAUAUACUUGGGCCUAAACGGGUUACAUAUUAACGGGCCAGAUCAAUCUGUUUUUAACAUCUUUCUUUGUGAUUAUUGGGGUUUCUUUGUGAUUAUUGGGGUUUUUCUUAUCUCAGACUCUUAACUAUGUAUAAAUCUCUCCAAGAAUAUUUCAAAAUUUUCAUCAAGUCUACAUUGUAUCAAAGCCUACACUAAAAUGUGGACCUAUAACCCCUAAGUUUGUUAAAUACACAGCCGUAUUUAACAGCAAAGAUAUCAAUGACAUCAAAAUUCACUACCAAAAAUAAAAUUCUGAUGGUUAGCCAAUUACAUGUCUCUAAGGAUUUGGUUCAUAUAAUCGAGAGUUGAGAGAGACGAAUAGAAGAAGAUGCAAAACAAUUUCUUUCAACCAACUAAUUCCCCAAAUACAAAGAAAACCAAAGAAUGAUUUACUAAAAAAUAAAAAAAAAAGAUAGAACUGAAGAACAUUUGAAAUAAUAGUUUUGGUUAAACGAUAAUAUUAGAGUCUAAAAUCAAAUUUCUUAAAAAAAAGUCACAGCUAUUUUUAUCAAAACUGUCAUUCCUUUGUACAAUCACAUCAGAACAAACAAACAAUAAUUCCUCAAAAAUAUUAAUCAUUAUUAUUAUUAUUCAACAUCGAAUUUGGUUCGCCGGAGAAUUGUCGCACCGAACAAGCAACCACCUGAGCCCAUUGCUUCAACCUCAGCUUCAUCGUCUCCGGAUCAUCACCUUCUCCAAAAUCCCCCACCGUCAGAUCAAAAAACACACAUAAAUUUACGAAACAAUUAAAAAAAAGUGUUUAAGACAUACCUUGGUCAACGAUCGUCGUGCUCGAAUUACUCACUUCACCUUCCGACGCAACCGACGAAAGAGACGAAGUCCUUGACAACCCACUCCUAUACUGUUUAUUAACAGCGCAGUACAGCCCCAGAGCUGGCAGAGUUUCAGACAGCCUCGGAUCCAGCUCCGGCGAAUCAGGCUCGAAUCCGAACCCGAGCUCGAUGCAUCCCUUUAGCUCUUCCAGAUCUUCGUCCGUCACGCUCUUGCUACGACCGAGACGACCCGAUGGCCGUUUGCCUUUCUUCCUGAGCCAAGCCUCUUCCCGAUCGGCGUCCGGGGACCACGAGUGCUGCUUUAUCAGCGGUCUAGGCGGCGGUUGCGACAGCGAUGCGUUGCGUUUCGACAUUUUGGAAGCGGCUAGGUUUUUUGUUUGUGUUUUUGGGGCGCUAUUCCCUCCUCUCUGUGUUUUUAUUACAUACGCAAAACCGCGUGCGGAGCACUUCUUUCUAUAUAUACUAACUUUUAGUAUACUUCCAUAUUUAACUAUGUGUAUAAACGGAAAGUUACUUUAUUAUGAAAUUGUAAAUCUACCCCCCUAACUUUAUAGUUUAUACUAUAUACUUCCAUAUAUCUCUGAAAACUUUUUCUUUCUUAAACUCCAAUUAUUUGUUAAAAAUAAUCAUAUACUAUGGAUCUUAACCUCCAAAAUAUGAGGUGAAAACAUUAUUGUUUUGGCCAACCACCGAAGAUAUAUAUUUUUCAAAAUAAAGUGUUUAUUCAUUUGUAAUUCUACUUUUAAUAAGUCACCAUGUCAUUGUAAAGUUGCAUGGAAAUAAAAUAGUCAAGGGACUAUUCGGAAACUUCAGACAUAGUAUAUUCCAAUAAUAGAAUGAGAAUCGUUGACGGUAGCAGAAGCAGGAAUUACAAAAGGUGGCCAGUUGGGUCACUGGAUCCGGUCCACUGCUGGUAAAUUUUAAUUCUGACAAACAGAAUAAUAUGGUUAUGGGGAUUUGCUGUUGUCAUAUUCAUUUUGUACUCUAAAUAAGUUGUUUUUAAAAAAGUUAUUUUAUUUUAAUAAGAAAUUCGAUUAGAACUUAGAUAAAACCAUUUAAUUAUGAGGUCUGUGACGUGUGUUAAUGGUAAUAAUUACCUCGGACAAAUGAAUUAAACGUAAUAAAUUAUCUUAACAAAAGUUGUUAACAAAAGAGGGGGAAAAGCCUUCUUUUCUGUUGAAAAUUAAUAAUAUAAACCAAAAAUUGAGGAUUCAAGGAUUGAAACUGUUCAUACAUAUCGCAUUGUCAUCUCCUGUCCUUUGCGACUGACUUUCUGCUAAAGUAAUCUUAAGCUGUCCACAUGACUAAGACAGGCUGUGUCAUGGCCGAACUAAAGAAGCUUUCUUUGUUGAGACUUUAAACUUCGUAAGCAAACUUGGAAUCUUUUUCCCACCCAAUGUCCCUAAACCAUAUAAACCGGUUCAAAUUCGGAGUUCAAAAUUCCGGUUUGAUUGAAUAUUGUCUCAUCGGUUUUGAGAUGUCAUACAUGUUUGGCAGUAAAAUGUAAUACAUUUGACAACCUUUAAGAGCAUCUUUAUCUCUAAAACCCCAUUUUAAAUUUUUUUUUUCUUGUUUUAAAAAAAAAGUUUAAAAUCGAAUCAAUCGUGGGCCGCCACGUGUCAGUGGGGUCUGCGAACAGUGCAAGAGUCGUUCCUUAUUUCGUGAUUUUUGGCAACGUUUUUUGUUGUUUUGUGAGGUCCACACCGACUUUUUUUUGUUAAAACCUCUCUUAAAGACCAGGGAUAAAGAUGCUAUAAGGUCACCAGAUUAAACAUACAUACCAAUUAGUUUGUUGGAAAUAAAUAGUUCGGAGUCCAGUCCAUGUGUAAUCGUAUAUAAAUGAAUCAUAUCUCCCCUACUAAGUUUUGGAACUUUUAAAGCCUGCGAGUACUACAGCUUAAUUUAGACCCCAUAUAAGGCCCACAACCUAAGACUAUCACCCUCAAUAAUAUAAAGAGGAAACACACAGGUUUAAUUGAAGCUAUUUUUAGCUUAAGUAUCUUUUAUCGAGCUUAUAAUCUGACUUAGGGUUGGGCACAAAUACCCGUUACCCACCUUAAACUCGUUACCCGUCCCGUAUUUACCCCGUAAAUACAAGUACUUGUCAUAAGCAAGGUAAGUAACAAGUUAGGAAAUUUGAUUACUUGCAAGUCCAAACCAAGUAACAAAUCUUAAAUUUAUUUUAGCUACUUGACUCGUUUUGCCCCGUUACUUGACUUUCAAAAUAUUUUAUAACAUUUACAUUGUUAUUUCAGUUAGUUUAAUACUUAUAUAAUAUAUCAAACAUGUGGAAUCAAAUAAUUCUUUAUUUUCUUCAAUCAAAUUUUACGCUAUAUUAUCUCACAUCGGUCGUGACAUAAAAAACAAUUUUUUUUUGUUAUAAAUAAAGAAAAUCACCUAAUUUUAAAAUCAUUGAAAUGGAAUUUAUAUUUUAAAUGUUCAAAUACAAAAAAAAAAUAUUUUAGAUAAACAAGUACCAUACAUCAAGUUACUUGCAAGUAUCUCAUAUAUGAACGAGUACUUGCUUAAUCAAGUGCUUGCUAUUAGCAAGUGCAAGUACAAGGCAAUUUUUUUAAUACUCGAUCGGGGUAAGUCGAGUUACAAGUAUAGGAAAAAUUCUGAGUACUUGUCCUGUGCCCAGUCCUAAUCCUAAUCAAAGAUCUCUGGCCAACAUGAUUGGAUUGCGUGUAAGAGUGCAAAACCUUCGAGCUAUUCACUUCAUAUGCAUUUGCAUUUGCUAAGAAAAUAUACUUUAUUUUGAGGAAUCCGUAAUAGUUUAUAUCUUGCUAUACCUCAAAGCUUUCUCCCAACAAUAAUUUAUUUUUCUAAUGCAGAGAUCUCCAAUGGAUAGACAUCUUUCUAAAGAGUUCAACUACUCUUAUCAACUUUAAGUUUUGGACGCAAAAUAAAACAAUAAGAAAACAUAUAGGCGUCAUGAAAUAGAUUUUUAAAAUUAAUUAAGUCUAAGACAGGAAAGAACAUGUCCCAUGUGAAUUCUAUAAGCUCACGGUUCCAUUUUUUUAUAAGUUAAUGAGAGUAGACUUUCCUAAUCCAGUAGAUUCUUUCAGAAAACCAUUAAAAUAUGAUUGAAAAUAGAAAUAAAAGAUGAGAGUUUUUUUUUUUUUUUUAAACGCUGGAUAAUUAUGCUAUUACAACUAUGAGAAAUAUUACAGACGAUUUUACAGCCGACAAUUCUAUCUGCCGUAUGAGGAUUCACGCAUGACUGCAUCACCUGAACCGUCCUAUCGGAUCCACGCUUGACGGUAUUCCUUGAGCCAUGUUGUAGAUCUCUUGUAAGUUUUUUCUCCUUUAAUUUGUUUAGUUCUGUUUUCUCCAGAAAUUGAAACUCAGAUCUUCUGGUGUAGAAGCAUUAAUGAAUCAUUGGUCAAACCACUAGACGAAGGGGGCUUCCACAACAUAUGGGAGUCUCUAAGAGGCACUUGAAUUAUACCGAAUCAAAGAUCAGAAUCCAAACAUUACAAUAAAAUAAAUCAAAGUGAAUAUCACAUCACAUGUGAAGAUCAAUACUAAGGAUUAUAAUAUUUGUUGGUUCAAUUUAAUUUUUUAUAAGGGCGCAGAGUGCGCCACGUGUAGAUGUCCACACCACACGCAAUGUUCUAAAAUUCGGUCUAGGCGGCAACUCGGUCCUAUCCCAAAUGAUUUUAUUAAAAUCCGAUUUAUAUGAUUCAAAUUGGUUUAACCAAUCUUAAAUCAAUUAAAAUCGGUUUAAAUCGAUUUAAAUUUGCCUAAAUAUGUGAAAUUAAGCAAUAAUCUUAUUAUAUAAAACUUGGUUCUUCAAAGUUGCUAAUUAACAUGAUCGCGACACAUGACAAUUAUAUAUUUAAGAUUGUGACAUGUAUUAAUCUAUUUCAUAGUUAAAAAUAUAUAUACUAAGAUAUUAACAAAAACGUAUUUUACUAAUUUUUUUAUUAUAUUUAAUAGUAAUUUUAAAAAAAAUCUUAAUCAAAAGAUAAUUGCAAAAUAUUAUUUAAUAAUAAUUUUCCUUCUAAUAUUGUGAUAUAUAAUGAUUAAAAAUAUACAUAAUAUCUUAUUGUAUAAAUUUUGGUUCUUCAAAAUUGCAAAUUAACAUGAUCGCGACACAUAGCAAUUAUAUAUUUAAGAUUGUGACAUGUGUUAAUCUAUCUCAUAAUUAAAAAUAUAUAUACUAAGAUAUUAACAAAAACGAAUUUAAUUAAAUUUUAAUUAUAUAUAUUAUUUAAUAGUAAUUUUACUUCUUUAAAAUUCUAAUCAAAAGAUAAUUGCAAAAGAUUAUUUGAUAAUAAUUUUCCUUCUAAUAUUGUGUCAUGUGUUUAAAUAUAUAAUGAUUAAAAAUAUAUAUAAUAAGAUAAUAAAAACAAAUUUUUUAAAAACUACUUUUAAAAAUUGUUUAAUAGUAAAAAAGAUUUAAAAAAAAAUCUUUAGUAAUAAUUUUUUUUAGAAAUUUUCCUUUUUCAAAAUCCUAAAAAAUAGAUUUCAAAACAAUUUAUUUAAUAUAUUUUUUUUUAUAAAUUUUUAUUACAAAUAUAAUUAUAAAAGAUUAUAUUGAGCUUGGUUCUUCAAAAUUGCUAAUUAACAUGAUUAUGACACAGGGUAGUUAUAUAUUUAAAAAUGUGAUAUGUGUUAAACUAUAUCAUAAUAAAAAUAUAUAUAUACUAAAAUAAUAAAAACGAUUUUUCUUAAAAGUUAAUUAUAUAUAUUAUUUAAUAGUCUUAUUAUUAUUUUACUACUAUUAUUACUAUUAUUACUAUUUUUCAUUAUAAUGUUUGUUUUAAAAGAUAUUAAAGAUAGAGAAUUAUAAAAGAUAAACAUUAACUUUUCAGAAAAAAAUGUUAAACAAAAACAAAUUAUAAAAUCCUACAAGUACAAUAAGUUAUUUAAUAAAAACAUGAAGAAAAACUAACUUUAAAUUAAAUAAUAUUACUUUUUUAAAAGCAUAAUUAAAAGAAAAUUGUAAAAGUAAUCUUAUUAUUUUUUAUAAGUAAAUAAUUUCCUUUUUAAUAGAUAAUUGUAUGUUAAAAAAUUAUGACAAAAAUAGCUACAAAUAUUUUACAUAUAUAUUUAGGUUUAAGCUUCCACAUAUUAUUUUUACAAAACAUGAUAGUAUUUACAUCAAAAAUAUUACAUGAGUAUUUACUUUUAUUUUUUUGAUACGACUCAACUUUUUAUUAUCCACGUAUUAUUUUUAUAAAACACAAUAGUAUUUAUAUCAAAAGUAUUGCCUGAGUAUUUACUUUUAAUUUCUUGAUACAACUCAAUUUUUUAUUAUCCUUAUUACAUCUUAUGAUGCUAGUAUAACUUUUAAUUUUGAUGUUAUUGUCGUACAUGAGUAUGUGUGAAUAUGAUAAAUAUGUGUUUGUACGUAUAAGACAAAAUAUAUAAAUAAUUUAACAGAAUUUUUCUUUUAAAAAUAAAAUAGUUGUAUAAAAAACUAAAAAACUAAAAUAAAUUUUUUUUUUUUAAAAGUCUAAAUAAAAUAAAAAAGUAAAAGUAAUCUUAUUUUUCAUAUAAUUAACUAACUUUACUUUUUAAUAAUUUGUGUUAAACUAUAUGAACCAAAAUUAACUUCAAAUAUUUCACCUGAUAUGAUUGUGAUAGGCGUCAAUUAAAAAAAUAGAUUGUGAAUGUGUCAAUAAAAACUUAUAUUAUGUGAAAAAUAAUUUCUUCUUUUCCAUUAACAAAAUUUCUUUUUUUUUUAAAUAGUGAAUAGAGAGAAUUGUAAAAUUUUAUUUAAUAGUAAUUUUUACUUCAAAAAUUUAUUGAUAAACAUGAUAGUAGCAAUUAUUCAAUUAACAAGAAAAAUUGAAAAAAUGAAUUUUUAAAAUUGCAACGUUUAAAAAUAGUUAAUAUUAACUGGAAAUAGUUAUUUGAUAGAUAUAAAUUUUAUUUUUUAAAAUCUUUGACAAAAUAUAAUUUUAAAAGAUUAUAUAAUAUUAAUUUUCUUUUGUAAAAUCUUACAAAACUGUAAAAGAAUAUUUGAUAGUUGUUUUCUUUUUUUAUAAGAAAAUUCCAAAACAAACAAAAUUUGUAUAAUAUUUUUAAGUCCUAACCAAAAGAGAAUUUUAAAAUUUUAUUUGAUAUUAUUUUUAAGAGAAUGUUUGAUGAUGAAAAUGAUACUAAAAAUUAUUUAAUUAACAAAAGAAGUGCAAAAUUAAUAUUGAUACGAAUUGUAAAAAUAGCAAUUUUAAAAAUAUUUGUUAAUAACUAAAAAUAUUUAUCUGAUAGCAAUAUAUUUUUUUCUGAAAUUCUAACGAUAAGAAAAUUGUAAUAGGUUAUAUGACAGUAAUUUAACUUUUCUAAAAUCUUAAACAAAAAUUGUAAAAGAGUAUCUAAUAUUAUUUUUUAUUUUUUAAUUGUAAAUAAAAAGGAGAUUUAUAAAAUAUAAUCUUUUCCUUUUUAAAAAAUUCCUAGGAAAAUAAAAUUUUUAAGAGUUAUUUAAUAAAAUCUUAAAUUAGUACAUAAGAACAUGUAUAAUGUUGUCAUUGAUUCGUUUGGUGUAUUUAACUUUCAUUUUUUUUUACUUUUCAUUUUCUAUUUUGGAUUGUGUUCAGUUUAAAUGUUUAUAUAUAGUAUUUUCUCUAAUUCUUAGUAUAAAGUUUAUAACAACUCAUCUAUGCACUAUGAUUAUAAACUACAAAUAUUAACUUGAACUUAUGUGUGAAAACAAAUUUUAAUUAUAAAAUAAAUCUCAACAAUAUAUGCAAAAAACAAUCAUAAUACUAUAAUAAAAUGAUUUAUUAUUUUAUGGUUUUUGUUAAAUUAAAACAUUAAACAAAAUCCGUCGCAACGCAACAAAUUCAUAUCUUAUAUUAUUAUAAAUCUACAAAUUUGUCUAAUUUCUUAUGUUUUGUAUGUCUAAUUUUCAUAAUUCUUCAUAAUAAUGUUAUAAUUGAACUUAAAAACUAAAAUAUGUCAUAUAAAUGUAUAAUAUAAAUAAAAUAAAUUAAUAACUUACUAACGUCUAGGCCUUGCUUAGGCCGCGAAUAAUCCGCCUAAUCGCUAGUCCUCAGUAAAGCGCCCCUAAACCGCUUAGCGAAUUUUAGAUCACUAGUAGGUGCAAAUCUAACGGCCAGUAUCUUUACACUUUGCAAACUAUCAUUCGUUGGAAUCGCUAAUUAUUUGAGAAAAGCAGCGUUUCUCAUUGGACAACGUUGCCCAAUAAAUUAGCCCCACGCACGAUCUGACGUCAGAGAGAGGGCAUUAGAUAUUUAAAACCUCAUCGAGAAUAAAAUAACCCGAGAGUCCAAACAAGCAAGACCGCCUUUAUAUAGCGACGAGUGUCACGCCUGGGACACUUGUCCUUCUCUCCCCUCUCUACCAUCUCUCUCUUUGAUCCUUUCAGGUCUUUUCCUUUCUCAAAAAGGAAAUAGUGAAAGUAAGAUAAAAAUUAAAAAUUUCAAGGUAAGCAAAAUAAAUGUUUUGUGAGUUUGUGUGACUGAGCUGCUUCGUUGUUUUUAACCAUUUUAAUUCAUUUUUGGUUUGAUGUAUCGAAUUUGUACUCCCUAUCACUGAUUGGUUUCUUGUUCAGAUUCAUUGAUUGGAUCAGAAUCAUGAAUUUUCCCGCUGAGUAUGAUUGGGUGUUUUGGAUCAUUCUUUUGAGAUUCCCCUGUUUUCACUAUUUGCUCUGCUUCUUCUGUGUGAUGAUGGAAAAUCUAGCGUCGGAUUGAUUAAAGAUCUGAUUUUUUUUUUGUUUGUUUCACUCUUCUGGGUUUGGAUGCAACUGCUGUUUAUUCUAAAGAUUGAUACUUUAUCAGUGAUUUUAGAUUCUUCCUCUGUUUCUAACUGUCUGAAUGUGAUCAACAUUUAUUUGUAUGUAAUGGAUGUAUGAUUAUACCAUAACUUCUAUUUGUUUGUUUGUUUACUUGAAAGGUUCAUAACUUGAUUUGAGAAGGAAAGUAAGAGAUGGGGUCUCGGAUGAACUUUGUUGAUGUUGUGAGAGAUGAGGUUAUCAACGCAAAGCAGCCAGCUUUGGGGAGUGGUCUUCCCUUGACGAGGCAGAACUCGGUGUUCUCGUUAACCUUUGAUGAGUUUCAGAACUCAUGGGGUGGUGGGAUUGGGAAGGAUUUUGGGUCCAUGAACAUGGACGAGCUCUUGAAGAACAUAUGGACUGCUGAGGAAAGCCACUCAAUGAUGGCCAACAACACUGUUAUGAACAGCGGUGGAGGUUUGUCUGUUGGUGUGGGAGGAGAAGUUGGUGGUUGUGGUUUGCAGAGACAAGGUUCAAUUGCCUUGCCUCGUACGAUUAGUCAGAAAAGGGUUGAUGAUGUCUGGAAGGAGCUGAUGAAGGAGGAGGAUGACACUGGAGCAAGUGGAGUUCCUCAGAGGCAGCAAACGUUGGGAGAGAUGACUUUGGAGGAGUUCUUGCUCAAGGCGGGUGUGGUCAGGGAAGAGCCUCAACAACAUGUGGAGAGGCUUGAUAACUUCAAUGGUGGGUUCUAUGGAUUUGGCAGUAAUGCAGGUCUAGGUUCAGCUCCUAAUGAGUUUGGUCCUAACCAGCCUUAUGGAGUCACAGUGAGACCGGAUCUGCUGAAAAUUCAAGCUCAGCCUCUGCAGAUGCAGCAGCGGCAGCAACUGAUACCCAAGCAGGUUGAACCUUUUCCCAAACAGACGACUGUGGCCUUUUCUAACACUGUUGGUUUGGACAACCGUUCUCAACCUCCAACACAGGUGACUAAGAACCUGAAGAUACAUGUUAGAUAGUAGUUCUCAGGAUUAUGCUUUAGUUAAUUGACAAUGAUCUUCUUUUGCUUUUUUUUUUUUGUAGUACCAGGAAGUGAAGCCUUCAAUCCUUGGAGUUCGGCCUAUGAACAACAAUAAUCUUCAAGCUGUUGAUUUUAAAACAGGAGUUACGGUUGAGGCAGUAUCUCCUGGAAGCCAGAUGUCACCUGAUCUGACUCCAAAGAGCAACAUGGAUGCAUCUUUGUCACCACCUGUUCCUUACAUGUUUGGUCGAGCAAGAAAAACAGGCGCAGUCCUGGAGAAAGUGAUUGAGAGGAGGCAAAAAAGGAUGAUUAAGAAUAGGGAGUCAGCUGCAAGAUCCCGCGCUCGCAAGCAAGUGAGUGUCCAUUUACUUUAAAACCACUGUUGGUAUAGUUAUUUACUUUUUUUUCAUUUCAGGCUUAUACGUUGGAGUUGGAGGCAGAAGUUGCACAACUUAAGGAGACGAAUGAAGAGUUGCAUAGGAAACAAGUGCGUCUCCCUUCUUCCUAUCUCGAGAUUAUGUAUUUUUAUAUUUUUCUUGAGGUUUUGACCAAUUGAUCAAAUGUUUCAUGCAGGUUGAAAUCAUUGAAAAGCAGAAAAAACAGGUACUGUCUCUUGUAUUCUUGUGUUGGCAGUAGUCUAAGCUUUUAGUCGAAUACUCUGCAACACAGUGAAGUGGAAUAUAACAUUACAUCGUACCAUUAUGUACAAUGUGCAAGACUAAUAAUCCCACAAGUUUUGAUAAUUAACAAAAAUUGGCCCAUUUGUUUUUGCAGCUUCUGGAGCCAAUGCACCAGCCAUGGGGAUGCAAAAGACAAUGCUUGCGAAGGACAUCGACGGGUCCUUGGUAGAGAGGCUAUGAAGGCGCGCCCAAGGAACUCAACAAAGAGCAUAAGUUAUAGAACAACACAGAACGUAGAAGCUAGCUUUGUAUGUAACUUAGGCCUAUGUGACAGAGACAGAUGAAUAACACUCUUUUGUUCACUUUUCUUGUAGCAUCUUUUUUGUUUGUUUUCCUGAUGUAAUGGAUCUUGAUGUUGCUUUACUGGACGUGUCAAUGUCUUGAACACUUUUGUGGCUUAACUAGAGUGGAUUUAUCUUGUAACAUAUAUAUUACUUGCUUGGACCUCAACGACUAAUAACUAACUUGGGGACCAAAUCAACAAACAGUUGGAAACAUCAAGUUUAGAAUCAAUCUUGUUGUAAUCUCCAACUGGGAAUACAAAAUUUCUUCUAGAUACACGUACACCCUAGAGAGCGUAUUAUCUACUAAACUCUACACUUCUCGAAGAAAGCAAAGACGCCGAGACCAAAACGCGGCCGUAUCGUUGUAUUUGUUGGCUUGUUUGACUGGAUAAAGAUUCAGUUUUUAUUCCUUUCCACUAAGUGAAUCUGUCACGCACGACACUCAGAUCAAAGUGACUUGUGCAAUAAAGUACUCAGACAUCACAGGUCGUUAGCUUUCAGUGCGUCUGAAGUGAGAUCGGUUUUGAGAGGACGAAAAUGUUAAGGCUUUUGGGGAGAAGGGCAGUUUCAGCUUCUGGAGAGCUUACUAGUGUUAAUCAAUGGAGGAUCCGACCCGGAACCGAUUCGAAGCAUGAUCCUUUUCGGAUCUUCCGGGGACUACUACAAAAGGGUUUCUGCGUUGGCGUUCUCCCGGACGGAGUUGACAGAAAGUCUGAGGCUUUUUCUAGCAACUCUAUCGCCAUGGAAGGGAUCUUAUCGGAGCUUCGCUCCCACAUCACAAAGGUUAACAAUGAGCUUAUCUAUCUAUCGAAUGAUGAUAUGUAUAAGUGUUUCUCGGUGGAGUUUUUGUAGGUAUUGGCUGGAGGUGGAGAGGAGGCGGUGAAGAGGAACAGAAGUAGAAACAAGCUUUUGCCUAGAGAAAGGAUUGAUAAGCUUCUUGAUCCUGGUUCUUCUUUCUUGGAGCUCUCUCAGGUUUGCAUCAGAGAAAAACCUUGAGUUGAUUGCUGAUUAAUGCUGAAUGAGACAAGAGUCUAAGAUGAGAGUAUUGUUGAGUCAUGAGUGUUUCUCCUAGAAUAGGGUCUCAUACAUCAUUAGAUGUUUCCCAGACAGCAUUCUUUAUAUAUAAAGUUCAAAAUCUUAUCCCACAGAUUGAAAGUUCACUAUACGGUCCUAGUUUGGGAGGUAUACGAUAGUUAUCGUGGAAAAAUAGCUCGUAGACCCCCUAGAAUAUAGUUGCAGAGCUUUAUUGAUUGCGUCCCACUGGAAACAGAUUUAGCAUUUGUGUGUUUAAACGCUCUAGCUGGUUUAUUCGGUUAGGAAAACAAAAGAAGAUUGGAGAAUUUUUACAAGUAAUAAAAACUUGUUUGAUGUCUUUGCUUACUGGAUAUAUGCUUUGAAGCUUGCAGGACAUGAACUGUACGAGGAACCAUUACCUUCAGGUGGAAUCAUCACAGGGAUAGGACCAAUCCAUGGCCAUCUUUGUAUGUUCAUGGCAAACGAUCCCACAGUAAAAGGAGGGACUUACUAUCCCAUAACUAUCAAGAAACAUCUCAGGGCACAAGAGAUUGCUGCUCGGUGCAGACUCCCUUGCAUAUACCUAGUUGACAGCGGAGGCGCUUACCUUCCGAAACAGGCAGAGGUUUUCCCUGACAAGGAGAAUUUCGGCAGGGUUUUCUACAACGAGUCUGUUAUGUCAUCACAAGGGAUCCCACAGAUCGCCAUUGUCUUAGGCUCGUGCACUGCCGGUGGUGCUUAUAUCCCUGCCAUGGCUGAUGAGAGUGUGAUGGUGAAAGGGAAUGGUACUAUAUUUUUGGCUGGACCUCCUCUUGUGAAGGUUUGUCAGAUCACCAAAACUAAUCUCUUUUCUGUCUUAGUUAGUUCUAGGCAUGCGGAUGUGGUCUGAAACAGCCAAACUGAACCGAAUUUUUCGGUUUACAGUUUGAGUUCGCUUUACUUCAGUGGAAUUUUGAAAGAAAAUCCGUUUUCGGUUUGGUUCGGUUAUCGAUUUUCAAAAAAGGGAAAAAGACCAACGAAACAAGAAUUAACCGAAAAUAACCGAUUAACAAAAAUAUCCAAACCAACCAAUAAUAACCAAAUUUAACCGAGACUGUCCGAGUUUUUUCAAAAAUUUAUACUGAAAUCAAACCGAAAUCCCAAAAAUCGAUUAUUUCGGAAAAAACCAAAAUUAACCGAAAACCAAACCGAACCGAUUUUUCGGUUCAUGUCGGUGGGAUUGUGGCCGAACCGAAAAUACCUGAACCUAAAAAACCGAAAAAAUCGAAUAAACCGACACCGCAGGCCUAGUUAGUUUAAUGAGCAUGUGAAAGCUAAAGUGUAUGAAUAGGCUGCCACAGGAGAGGUAGUCUCAGCUGAAGACUUAGGAGGCGCCACGGUUCAUUGUAAUGUCUCUGGUGUCUCUGAUUAUUUUGCUCAAGGUAUAUAAAUCUCUUUCUAUAGUAUCAUGUUUUAAGAGUUUAGAACUAAAGAAGCUGCUCUAAUCUUGCAGACGAGCUGCAUGGACUCGUUAUUGGAAGAAACAUUGUCAAAAACUUGCACAUGGCGGCGAAACAAGGGAAUGAAGGAAGCAAAAACGUUGAAUACAAAGAACCGCUCUAUGACAUAACCGAGCUUAGGUCCAUUGCUCCUGUAGACCACAAGCAGCAGUUCGAUGUCCGGUCUAUCAUUGCUCGGAUUGUUGAUGGGAGUGAGUUUGAUGAGUUCAAGAAACAAUACGGCACUGUGAGAAAACGCUUUUGAGAGACUUAACCCUUUAUUUCUACUUUAUGUCUUCUCACUGGAACUUUGUAUUUGUGCAGACGCUUGUGACGGGUUUCGCUAGAAUCUAUGGUCGGACGGUGGGGAUCAUCGGGAACAAUGGCAUAUUGUUCAAUGAAUCUGCGUUAAAAGGAGCUCACUUCAUCGAGUUGUGUUCUCAGCGUAAAAUCCCUCUUGUUUUCCUACAGAACAUCACAGGCUUUAUGGUAAUUAAAAGUGUUUCUGUUGUGUUACUAACAUAUGUUAAAGAGUGUCAUGUGUAUCUUACUAGCUCUUGUUUUUACAGGUGGGUUCAAGAGCUGAGGCUAAUGGGAUUGCAAAAUCUGGAGCUAAAAUGGUGAUGGCAGUCUCUUGUGCUAAGGUACCAAAGAUAACGAUUAUAACGGGUGCAAGCUUUGGUGCUGGGAACUAUGCGAUGUGUGGCCGUGCGUUCAGUCCAGACUUCAUGUUCAUGUGGCCAAACGCUAGAAUUGGCAUCAUGGGAGGUCCUCAGGUAAAACCAUUCCUAACCAAAACUAUUUUUAAAGAAUCAAAUAUGUGUUUAUAAUCUGAUCAUUUUGAGGAGGAGAAACUUUGCAGGCGGCUGGUGUUUUAAGUCAGAUCGAAAGGGCUACCAAGAAGAGACAAGGAGUAAAGGUAGAUGAUUCUUGAACUCUUGUUUUUUUUUUCCUUCUCAUCAUCAAUGAGUUGAAUAUGGAGUUUUUGUGGUAUGCAGUGGACAGAGGAAGAGGAAGAAGUGUUCAAGAAGAAAACGGUGGAUACGUAUGAGAGAGAGGCAAGUGCGUACUUCUCAACGGCGAGGCUUUGGGAUGAUGGAGUGAUUGAUCCAUCUGAUACAAGAAAGGUUUUGGGACUUUGUCUCUCUGCUGCUUCGAACCGUCCUCUUGAAGAUACUCGUUUUGGUGUGUUUAGAAUGUAAAACUACUUUGAAACAUUUUACAUGUUCGAAAUAUAAGAUUUAAGUAAAAAAAAAAACAGUUUCAUAUUAGCUUCAGGAACUAGCUGACAUAGGAGAAACAAGUUCAACUAUUGGUUGGCAGAACGUUGACCUUUGUGUUUCAUUAGCAGCUGAGGUUCGAAUCUUCACAUUUAACUAAAGAACGUUUAUUUGGAUUGAAAAUCAGAAGGCACCCGUGGCCCAAUGGAUAAGGCGUCUGACUUCUAAUCAGACGAUUGUGGGUUCGAUCCCCACCGGGUGUGUAUUUUACAUAAUAAUUUUUUUUCCUUUUCUUUUUGUUGACAAAAUUAUCAUAGAGGAAUGUUUGAUAAAGGAGUUAUAUUGACGAAAUAUGUGGAAGGAUUACGGAUCUGAUUUUGAAAUUAUAAACUUUUUUUUAUAAUGUUAAAAGGGUUAAUAUUGAUAGUUUAUUAAACUGUUGUAAUAUUUCAUAAUUAACCAGUUAUGAAUAUUUUGUAAACACAUCGAUUUCUAUCCGUUGUAAUAAUCGUACAAAUCAUUUAACAAAGCUAAAAAUCGUAAUCAACUGCAUUCGUAGACUCUUGCAACUAUUGCGUUUCAACCGAUAAAACCCGGUUGUCAGCGUCAAGGCACAUAUCACGGUGUCUAUCAUGCAACUCGACCAUACCAUUGUAAAUUAUAAAUUAUAAAAUUUAAGCAAACAAAUGGUUGCAAUACCAAAAGUGUCAUUACUUAUAAGUUAUAACCAAUUCCUAGUUAUUGUAAUGUUGAUAAAUAUUUUUAACAAAUAAAAGGAAGGAUGAUUAUAAGGAACUCCACCACCAAAAAUACUCACCUACCACACACACACAGACGAAGAAACAUAGUUGUUGGAUCCACCUUUUUGUUCCCCUCGGGAUUGGUCUUCUUCUCUACUCACCAAGUCUCCACUUUUUCCUUUCUUUAUAAAUUAACUAUACACAGAAAAUAUAGAGAAAAAAACAAAAAUAGCACUAAAUCAAGUUUUUGUUCCCAAACUAGCACUCAAGGUCAAAAGUCACAAAAAUAUCACUUAAUGUUUUAUCAAAAGUCACAAACUUAGGGUUUAGAGUUAAAAGGUGGAGUUUAGGGUUUAGGGUUUAGGGUUUAGAGUUCAAAGUUUAGGGUUUAGAGUUUAGGGUUUAGAGUUUAGGGUUUAGGGUUUAGAGUUUAGGGUUUAGGGUUUACGGUUUAGGGUUUAGAGUUUAAGGUUUAGGGUUUAGAGUUGAGAAAUGAGGUUUUGGGGAUAAGAUUUCAAAUUUUGAAAAAUAAAAAAAAUUAAAAUUUUCAAAGGAUAAACUUAGAAAUAUGCUAUUUUGGUCAUUUUAGUUUUGGAGUGCUAUUUUUGUGAUAUAAACUUAGAAAGAUGUUAUUUUGGAGAUUUGCCCGAAAAUAUACUUCCUUUUAUUUUAAAUUAUUUAAGAUACACAUUAUUAUCUUUUUCCAGUGCAUAUAUUUCUCAUUACGUCACACUUUGGAACAACAUUUUAUAGUCAUAAUAUAACUAUAGAAUGAAAAAAAAAUCCAGAUAUAGUGAAUACAUAAUAAUAGUCAUUAUGCAGCAGACAUCUAACUGACUCGUAAAUGCAAAAUCAUAUUCACUUGUGUCACAAACCACGCCACCCAAUAACGCCACCACACUGAGGCGUUAUCACCCCAAGUGUGUCUGAAGCCACCACAGGGUUGGGACCCAUUUUAAGACAGCGACUGACCAAUCGCGUGUUAGGAGAGUUUCACCAAUCCCGAACCGGGAAUCACAAUACCAGAUUUCAUUGAACCGGUUUCAUUUUCUCUAUUAUAUAUAUCGCUAAUGCCAUCUGUGUGAAUCACCCAAAAACAUAAUCGUCAAUAUCAGCAAAACAAAAUACAGAGAAAUGGCGACGACAACAACAGAAGCAACGAAGACAUCUCCUACCAACGGAGAAGACAAGCAAUCUCAGAAUCUCCGACACCAAGAAGUCGGUCACAAGAGUCUCUUACAGAGCGACGAUCUCUACCAGGUCCGUUUCUUCUCAAAACGCUGCCGUUUCUAAUCCAGUCCAAUAAUAAUAAACUAAACACAAUCUCAAUUAACAACAUGCAGUAUAUUCUGGAGACGAGUGUGUAUCCAAGAGAACCAGAGUCAAUGAAAGAACUCAGGGAAGUGACAGCAAAACACCCUUGGAACAUAAUGACAACAUCGGCAGACGAAGGACAGUUUCUGAACAUGCUCAUCAAGCUCGUUAACGCCAAGAACACGAUGGAGAUUGGUGUUUACACUGGCUACUCUCUCCUAGCCACCGCACUUGCUCUCCCUGAAGACGGCAAAGUAAAACAUUUUCUCCCUCUGUUUUUUUUUUUAUAUUAUAUAGUUUUAUGAUCUGUAAAAGAAGUUAAAAAUUAAUCUUUUUAUCUUCAGAUUCUGGCUAUGGACGUUAACAGAGAGAACUACGAGUUGGGUUUGCCCAUCAUCGAGAAAGCUGGCGUUGCUCACAAGAUCGACUUCAGGGAAGGCCCUGCUCUUCCUGUUCUUGAUGAACUCGUGGCUGACGUAAGCAUAGUAUAACGUAAAAAUAUCAGAUAUAUAACAAAAACAUUAAUGGCCUAAUUAAUUAAUUAAUUAAUUAAUAUUUGGAUGAUAUUUUCUGUAUAAAUAUAUUUGUUUCUUUUUUCGUAUAAGGAAGAAAAUUAUAUUAUUGGUGAUUUUAUUAAGGUGGUAACUUAUCGUGUGUGGUUGGGUGCAGGAGAAGAACCAUGGAACGUAUGACUUUAUAUUCGUUGAUGCUGACAAAGACAACUAUAUCAACUACCAUAAACGUUUGAUCGAUCUUGUGAAAGUUGGAGGAGUGAUCGGCUACGACAACACUCUGUGGAACGGCUCUGUCGUGGCUCCUCCUGAUGCGCCAAUGAGGAAGUACGUUCGUUACUACAGAGACUUUGUUCUUGAGCUUAACAAGGCUCUUGCUGCUGACCCUAGGAUUGAGAUCUGCAUGCUCCCUGUUGGUGAUGGAAUCACUAUCUGCCGUCGGAUCAAUUGAUUGAUACCCCACUUUUGAGUGUGGGUUGAUUAUUUUCAUUUCUCUCUACCUUUCAUUCACCAACCAUCUUUAUGUAUUUUGUUAUGUAAUAUCUCUGUUAUCCUUUUUUUUUACUUGUGAACAAAGCAAUGAUGUAUCCUUCCUUUUGUUUUGUUGUUUUCAUUAUAUAUGAUACAGAACACCAUCUAAAAGAAGAUAUCAGUCAUUAUGUUUUCUAAAGAUAUUUUAAGGAACUCAUACACAAAAUGGUUACUAUGCUAUAAUGUAGCUUAAUAGAAUUAAGUGAUUAAUCAUAUUUGUUUUACAGGAGGAACCUAUAAAGAACAAUCUUGGAGCUCUUUAUUACCUCCUCUAACAAGGUGUAUUAUUGCAUCAACCAAUCAUCAUAAACUUAAUUUGUUGAAAGGUGGCUGUUGGAAUUGUCAAACUAAAACAAGACCCAAAUUAAUAGUUAUAUAUAUUGAGAGAAAGAAAGCAACAAAGUAGGAAGAUUAGGUCAGCAGUCUUUGAAAUUUUAUUAGAAAUACUAAAACACAUGUUAGGUAGUUUCAGCUCAAUUACUCAAACAAAAGAUGAUGUAUUAUACACUUUUCCUUGGAGCUUUUGUCAAAAAGAGAGAAGAAAAUUUAGUUUAAGAACUAUUAAAGACAUUUUCUUUUUAGAAACCAAAAUUUUUGAUGUUAUUACAAUAUGAAAGAAUCUUAUCUCAUAUACAACAUAGAGUUCUUUUUUCAUUUGUCAUCUGUGUACAAAAUGAAGUUAGAUAUGUCCUUUAAUCCAGCCUCUUCAUAACAUUUAGCAAUAUGGUGCAAAGAUUCAGACCAUGUUCCUUCAAUAGAUGCCAAGUCCAAGAGAAAAGCAGCAACAUCCAAAGCAACUUGGAUGGGAUCUUUACCCUUCUUCAAAUCCUCAAAACGACCUUCAUCACUCACUUUCUCUCUUAUGAAUUCGAUUUGCUCAUCUUCCCAUUGUGCAAUACUAGCAACCUCCUGCAUGUUUUCACACAGUUAAAAAUACUAUAUAGCACAGCCACAUUCAACCCUUUAAAAAAUUAUCAUAACUUUGACAUGCCUCAUAAGGACAUCCUAAAGUCCACCAAGGUGACUUCAGUGCUACUCUAGCCGCUUCUUUUGCUUCUGAAUCACGUCCAACCCUGCACAUAAGAAGAGCCUUAGAUAAGUGUUUUAUGUCAUUUUACAAAAUAAUAAAAUUGAGAGUUGAUGAAGUUACAAACUUCUGCAGUAUGUUUGCGUAAUACACAAAAGGCCGUCCAAAUCCGGGAAACAGAUCUUUCCUUGUGUAGAAUUCUCCUGUCACCAUAGCUGAGACCUUCCAGAAAAAAAAGAAGAAGUCUCUUAAAAGUUUCAUAAGUGAGAUUCAGAGACAUAAUAUGCUUUAAAGAUUCUUACAUGAUCUCCUUCAUCGAAAUGCCGUAAUACUUUCUUCUCCAACACAUCAGGAAACAGACCAACCUAUACAACACCACAAUAAUGUUUACUGUGGUGUACAUAAUGUCUUUCAUAGAUAAGCACAGUAAAUGGUUUUUUUUAAACGCUUGCCUUCUUUAAGACAUAAACAUCGAGAUUAUCAAUCUGAGAUUCAGCAAAAGCACCCUUUUUGUAAAGCUUCUCGCCUGCCUCAGCUGAAGCAAUGUAGAGUUCUGACAACUCUUGCGCAUCUUCUUCCACAAGAAUCCGGUGAAUGUACUCAUCUACCUGAAUAUUAAACACUGUAAAUUACUUAUCUUUCUCAUGGAAAUAAAAAAUAAGUCACCAAUCCUUUUUAAGAAGGCAGAGCUAGAAUGAGAUGAAUGAAAUUACAUUUCUAGCUAUAAGCCGGACACCACUCCUCCAAACUUCAACAACAGGCAUAUCCAAUCUGUUCUUGGAUAACAAAAGGUUAAAUUCAAACAACAUGUAAUGAAGAGUUACCAAGAAUGAUCUGACCAAAAUGUCAUACCCUGGUGGAGCAGUAGGCCAUCUCAGAAGCGCAGUAACAGAGCCUACUUAGACAAUAAAACAAAAGUAAACAGAAAGAUUCUAAUAAAAGGGCUUAAUGUUAUCGAUCAAAUGUUUCAUUUUUUACCUGAAGAGUCCUUAGAAAGUGGAAUAGCAAGAGGGAUGAGUCCUUGCUUAGCUCCAGGAGAUAUGAUGGUUUCACCUGCACAUGAAAACAUGAAAAGACCUGAGAUUUCUAACACAUGUAAGUUUCCCUUUUCCAUUACAAUGAAUCAGUAACCAGAGCUUAGCAUAUCUGCUGUAUUAUUAUAUAUAACCUCUUGUUUGAAGAACUUUGAGUAAGUGUUGAAGAUGCUUUGGAGGUUCAGUGACAGCUACUUCUUUGAUAAAUGAUACAUGCCCUGCAACAACAGCAACAACUUCUAGUAAGUCCAUUCUAAUGUGACAUUUGGAGAUAUAUUACAUAUUAAUUCACUAACUGUUGUCUCCCACCAGGAUUAAUUUUAAGACAAAGAGACAAGCUCAAGCACCAACGAUAGACAAUUUCUCUAUACAAUCACAUCAAAUUACAGAGUAAAACGAGAGAUUACCAGAAGAGCAACAGGAGACAGUAGCUCUGGUAUGGCGCAAAGGGAGAGCAGAGAAAGGAGUGAACAGCGAACUCAUGGCUCCUCCUCCUUAUCUCUCUCUCUCUCUCUUCUCUCCUCCAUAUACUCUCAAGCUGAUCUGUUUUGGGCUUUCAUAUGGGGUUUUUUUAUUUCUCUUCAGCCCAAACCCAAAUACUAAUGACGCGUAGUAAAUAAACAAGCGGGAAGGUCAAUUUCGUCAAAUAACCGGUUAACAAACACCGGUUUAGUCUAACCAUAUUAAAUCCAAAGAAUUUUCCCUUGCGUAUCACGGGUCGUAAAGAAUAAACCCUAAACCCCUUUUUCAAUCGCUUACUCAACCAUGGACUACGCAACAGCCACGACGACCAAAGUAUCAAUACACAUUGAUGACUGCUGCUGUCUCGAAUUUGAUUAACAAGGGCGGCCAAGAGAAUGGUCUGCUUGGUCAGCUCACAGAAAUGGUGAAAGUGAAAGUCAAUGGAAGUGAAUUGAGUGGAGCAAUCAAUACACUAUUUGUUGCUGCUGGUCUCUCAUCAACGCUAUAUGAUGUCACAACUUUGACUGUUGGGUACAUGUUCAUUGUCUUUCUGGUGUUAAUUUAGCUUUGAAUCACUGCGCUGAUUCGAUAUUUCAAGGAUGAGCCAUUGACCGUUGGGGGAAUUUGUAGGAUAGUAGAAGCUGUAUCACCUCUCCUUAGGCAGUUCUUGGUAGUAAUGAGACUUGCCUCUUUUGUGGUUGUCAUGUUUGGUGUCUUCCCCCUGAUGUGCGGGUGGUUGCUAGAUGUUUGCACGGUUACAAUGUUUGGUCAAACAAUGUCCUACAGACUACAGUUUUUAUCAGUUUCUCCACUGGCGAGCUCACUUGUUCAUUGGGUUGUUGGAGCCGUGUACGACUGGUAUUCAUUAAUAUUCGAGAACCUUCUUCGAGAGGUACCGUGUUCUCCCCUGCUCAUAAUUUUGUUUUUUUUUCCCUCUGCUACUAUCUAAUCAUUGUUCCCCACUUUUGUGCUAAUUGCAGGUUCUUCGCCCUGAAGUUUUAUAUUUCCUUUAUGGUCCGGAAGAUGAUGAGGAGGAGACAAUCCGUUAUUUGAUUCAUGAUCCAGUACACAAGAUUGCUCGCGAUGGUUUCUUAUCUGGUGCACAGUACGGGAGUUGGAUUGUCUUGUUGGUGUUUUUACCAGUUAAACUUGCGAUAUGGAUGGCUCCUUCAGUCUUCCUCUCGACAUAUCGUCAGAAACAUUGUCUUACAUUUUGUUUUUGGAGAUUCUGUGUUUGAGUAUUAUGUCUUUCCUAACUUGUGCAUCUCUACACAGUGUAUCGGACCCUUUCACUGAGCUUCCUGCUGGCAUUCUCCUGCUUACAAUAUGCACACCAUUUCUCAAUGAGCAUUUUAGUAUCCAGACCACAGUUGUGUCCCUUCUACGGUGCUGGUUCACAUGCGUCGGUUGGGCCCUUGGUUUGACUGACUUUCUCUUGCUAAAACCAGAGGACAACCGAAAUGAUGAACCAGGAAGGCAGAACAUAGAACAAGUGUUGCAUGUCGUUGAGCCUGACAUGGCCAUGGCUGCUCAUCCAGCCCCUGAUGACCCAAAAAGAAGUCUCCUCCAAGAGUAAGUUCUUUAGAAAUAACCUUAUAGCUCGUUCUAAUGCUUGAAGAAUUGUUUGGUGUAUAGAGUUGACUAUUGCAUCAAUAUUUCCAUUAGACCUUACCAUGAAAUGAAGCUAAUUUGUUUUAGCAGGUACAACUUGCAGCUCCGGAUAACCCUUCUUCUACUUGUUGCAUCGGUUACUCUUCUUCUGGUCCAUUCUACAUUGAUAGUUGCACCAGUUUCUCUUGGUCGUACUCUGUUUAACGCCAUCCCAGUUCUCCCAAUAACGCAUGGAAUCAAAUGCAAUGGUAAAUAUGAUCGUCUGCUUCAUUCUUUCAAACAUAUACAAAAUUUUAACAGAAUCUUCUCCUAAAUUUUGUAGAUUUGUAUGCUUUCUUCAUUGGCACGUAUGUCUUUUGGACUACCAUAUCUGGUGCCAUGUAUGCUGUCGAGCACGUCAAGUCAGAGAGGAGUUCAGUCUUGCUUAACCGAAUAUGGAAAUGGUGUGGGAUUGUCAUCAAGAGCUCGGUGCUUUUAGGCAUAUGGGUAAGUGGUUUGUUAUACUGGUUGUUUUCUUAUCAGCUUUUUUGAGACACUCCAAACUCAUUUGACUCUUGAUUCUUACUGAACAGGUUCUUAUCAUUCCGGUACUAAUCGGACUUCUGUUUGAGCUUUUGAUGAUUUUCCCAAUGAGAGUCCCGGUAGAUGAAAGCCCUGUCUUUCUCCUGUAUCAAGACUGGGCUCUUGGCCUCUUCAUUUUGCAGAUCUGGACUAGACUGGUAAGUAAGUUUCCCCUCACGGCCUUAAAAAAUAUAUAUCUUGUCACUGAAAGAUAACAACAAUGGAUAUGUAAUGCUUCAGAUGGUGGAUGAUAGCUGGAGAGCAAAGUUUGAGAGAGUAAAAGAAGACGGCUUCUCAAGGCUUCAAGGGUUAUGGGUACUGAGAGAGAUUGUACUCUCGGUCGUGAUGAAACUGCUAACAGCAUUAUGCGUGCCUCAUGUCCUGGCGAGAGGAGUGUUCCCAAUGCUCGGAUGUCCGCUAGUUGUGAACUCGGCGGUCUACAGAUUCGCUUGGAUAGGUUGUCUCUCGGCGAGCCUCUUGUGCUUCUGUGCAAAAAGAUGCCAAGUCUGGUUUAGAAACCUUCACAACUCGAUCCGUGAUGAUCGUUAUAUCAUUGGUCAGAGACUCCAUAACUCUGGGGAGGAAGCUGCUGCUUUGGCUAUAAAGAAAAAUCAAAGCAGUGAAGUUGCAGGAGAUGGUGGACUUAGACGUUCAAUCUAACAAGAAGAAAGAAGAUUAUGUGAAGGAUAAGCCAAUAUAAAAAUGUGUUAGUGUCCCUAGCAGUUCCAAUAGAACACCGUUGUAUAUAUCUAAUUAAAUAUAGUUUUAACAAGUCAAAUCUUAUUAUAUCGGUAUAUGUUAUAUCACUGAUGACGGGUUACUCAUGUUCACGGAAAGAUGAAACAUAGUAUCAUUAAGUCCCAUGCUGGUACCCUCUUUGCCCCUUUGACUGUCAAUGCUGCUUCUGGUCUUCUUUUUCCUUCUUUCUGAAACCAAUUUUGAAGCUAUAUUGUACAGUGAAAAGUGGAUCAAUUCAGAUGAAUAAUCUUAGUUUAACACAGAUUGAUUGGCUCUAGCCUCCAGUAGACAGGAUCUUUACAGAGGUUGUGAUGAUUGGAUCUCUUGUUUGGUUCAAGUCUUUGUCAUUGCUUUGUGGUGUGUAACAUCAGGAUUCUUGUUUUUCCAGCACAUUACAACGUUUAGUCUAAAUUUUGGUGCGUGAAUGUGACAAGUAGAUGGCAUUCAUGGUUUGAAGUUUAUAUUAAAGUGUGAGAUGGGACUAUUCUCAAGUUCCUCAGUAGAUAUUACAUCUGAUUUCAACGAUCACGACAUAAAAAUCAAACAACAAUUAAAGCCUAAAGAGCGUUCAGAUUUGGGUUUCUUCUUGGACUUUGUUAUUUGAAACUUUGGACAAAAAAAAAAAAAGGUGGGGAAAAAAUCACCCAAACCAAAAGUGAAGAACCAAAACACCGACCAGUCGACCAUGUAUGAAACAUGUGGGAUGUGUCCCCACCAAUCACAAACUUGUCUACUUUUUUUUUUACCACCCAAUCAAAACAACGCUUCUCUUUCUUCUCCCCUUUUCUCAAGUUUCAACCUUUAUUUCUCUCACAACAACAAGUAAAUUGUUUUUAUUUUGCGUUGGGAUUCGUGAGAAAACAGAGGAGGAUAAGCUAAUCAAUGGGUUCGAUCUCUCUGUCAAAUUCUCUGCCCAUACCGCGACUUCCACUACAUACAUCAUCACUCAAUCCAUGCCUUCCUUCCUCCUUCUCUCUUCCUCCUCGUCGCUCCACUUUUUCACCGCGAAUCUCCGCCUCUGCCGUCUUCGCAGCUCCUUCCGGCGUUAAUAACUCUGUCCCGGUGAGUGCUUAUUAUUCACCCUUUUUGUAUUAAAAAUUGAAACUUUGGUUGCUUGGUUGGUUGAUCAUGUGAGAUUUGGUUUCAGGGUAAAAACGGGGGUUACACAGUUGGUGAUUUCAUGACAGGGAAACAGCAUCUUCAUGUUGUUAAGCCCUCUACGUCGGUUGAUGAUGGUAAGUUAUUACGCUAAAGAUGAAAACAAUCCUUCAUUGUAAGUCUCUGUAAUCUGUUUUUUUUUUGUUUUUUUGCAUUUGAACAGCAUUGGAACUUCUGGUUGAGAAGAAGGUCACGGGCUUGCCUGUAAUUGAUGAUGAUUGGAGUCUGGUAUAGCCUUUUCUCUCUUUUCUCGUUGUGUUGUGUAGGAAGCUCGUGAUUAGCCAUAGUCAUUUUACAUAAUCUUUUUAUCUGUAUGAGAUCUUUCUUAUUCCUCUGCUCUAAUCUUCCCCUCUAGGUUGGCGUUGUUUCUGAUUACGACUUACUUGCACUCGACUCUAUUUCUGGUAAGUGGUAUUGUAUAAAUGUGUUUUUGAAUCUUCUGCUGGUUCUCUUUUGUGUGAUGCAUCACCAAAGUUUAUUGUUUUGGUAUCAUUUUAGCAGAUUUUAAUCAGUUAGUUAGUAGAUAUGACUCGUAAUUCAUUUUGUAUGAUCUCAAUUCUAGACUAUAGGUGGAUCUUCUUAGUAUUGUUGGCACAUAGUUUAGUUUUCUUGCUUAGUUCUGUUUAUGGGUUUUGUGUGGUAAAGCAACUUAACCUCUUGUCUUUUCGGAAUAUUAUAGGCCGGAGCAGCCAAAAUGAUACAAACAUGUUCCCUAACGUGGACAGUUCAUGGAAAGUACGUUUUUAUUUAUCCACUUUUUUGCUAUUUAUAUCAGGACAUUUGUUUGUCACCGUUUGAUGAAACUCUCCUGGAACUUAUAUGAUAUUUGGACUUGUGUUUUUGUUACCAGACAUUUAACGAACUUCAGAAGCUGAUAAGCAAGACACAUGGGAAAGUGGUUGGAGAUUUGAUGACGCCUUCUCCUCUGGUUGUCCGUGGCUCUACCAAUUUAGAAGAUGCUGCCAGGUACCAUUCUCCUCCCUGGAGACUAUGAGCUCAGCUUAUUUUUUAAGAAAAUCUCUAACCACUUGUUACCUCCAGGUUGCUACUGGAAACAAAGUUCAGAAGAUUACCAGUCGUGGAUUCAGAUGGAAAACUGGUGAGAGAAUCUCAAACUCACAAUCUCUUCUUCUUCUUCUUUUUGUUCCUUUUAAUUUGAUAUUCAUCUGAUCUGAUCUUGGUCCUUUUUGUUUGUCUCGCAACAAAGAUUGGGAUCCUAACAAGGGGGAACGUUGUAAGGGCUGCACUGCAGAUCAAGCGGGAAACCGAGAACUCAACCUAGCCAAGCAGCUAUGGAGCAGAGCUCUUGAACCUGCCAUAUUAUAGUUAAUAGCAAAUAUGUUGAUUCGAUUGAUUAAGUAUUUAUAUAUAAUAUGUGUAACCAUUCCCUCACCUCCACAAGCAAAUUCUUUAGGAGUAACAUUUCUCAGCCUCAGAAUUUUUAAGACGAUUGGUAUCUCAUACAUAUUUGAUUAUAUUAUUCGUGUCUCUCGAUCGCAAGUCUACUCUUUAAUAAUCUUAUAAUCAACAAAACACAACGACCAAACAUAAGAUUAUGCUCAGGAGAAGUAGCAAUGGUGUUCGUGUGUUUUCGACCUCCUUACCUACCUACGUUAGACGUCUCUACAACAUGCUGCUAAAAAGAAUGUACAAGUCUCCAAGCGACUCGCUCAAACAUGGAUAGUUAGUUCAUGACACCAUGUUACUAAUUCUAUGUUUUGCUACGAACUCGUUACGAUAAGAUACUAAGUCACUGUUCUGUUAUGACCUCUUUAUGAAUAACACUCUCCUCAAAUAUACACACUCUUCAAUAUGUAUGCCGAGUGCUGAAGCUUGGAAGAGGCUCGCAGAAGUUUCCAACCAAAUGCCUCGAACACUCUCCUCAAUAUACACGUCGGUACACACGUUAUGGUCUUAUAUGGGAUGAUGCAGAGUUGGUCUUUGAAGCGCUUGUGGCUUUCGCAAGAAACACAUCGGUAUUUAAUAACGAAAUAAUAUUAUUUUAUUAAACGCGUAAUUAAUACUAUAUUUAUGUAAAGUCAAAGUUACGAUGAUGACCUUACGAAACGCGUGUUUGGCUCUUGAAAGCAACUUCUGGGAAAGUCUGAUUAUUUAAAUUAAUAGAUAUUUAAAUCGUCACGGACCUCCUCUGGAUUCAGCUCGUCCUCAUCAGUCAUUAUUUUCGUAAGCAACCGAAGCUUCUUCAAUCCAAUUCAUGUCGGGAAUUCAAGGCCAGAUCCUCGAGGUCACUGGUUAGUAGUGCCCUUCUCUUCCCCUGAUUCGGUUCUCAGCAAAGUUUAAUUUUGUUUUUUUUUUUUCAGUGGUUGGGUGUCAGAAAUUGAAGGAUACAGAAUGGUUCUCAAGGCAAGAUCCAUACGUUGUCCUCGAGUACAGCGGCACUAGGCAUCGUACCCGAACCUGCACAGGUUCGGAUCCGAACCAAAUUUUAGUAUCUCUCAAAGUUGCGGUUAUUCUGAUUUUUCUUCAGAUCUAUGGACAAAUUUUAGUAUCUUUUCUAUUCUCGAAGUUACUUAAUUUAGUUUUGAUUUGAUUGGUUGUGGGUUUCAGAUGGUGGGAAGAAGGCAGUGUUUCAAGAGAAGUUUAUGUUCACUUUGCUCGAAGGACUUAGGGAUCUUAAAGUUGCUGUCUGGAAUAGUAACACUCUCUCCACUGAUGACUUCAUUGGCAAUGCUACGUAUGUUGAUUUCUCAUGUCGGCUUUCUGUUUGUGAUAGUCGAUUUGGAAUUGAGUCUUUUUGGUCUGUUAUUUUGUUUGUUGUGAUUAGGAUUCAGUUGCAGAAGGUUCUUUCUCAGGGAUACGACGACUGUACCUGGACUCUUCAGACCAAAACUGGCAGGUAACUACAUUGGCUUCACUAGUUUUGGGGACUUUUGCUUUGAGUAUCAUGGUUUGUUCGUUAUCAAAGACACUCUUUUUAUAUAUUUCUGUAGCUGCACAGUGCUUGAAUAUAUAUAGUUUCCUUAGUUGGUUACUGCAGUCGUGUGUCCUGUGCUUUCUACUGAAGUGGAAUGAUUAGUUCAUGCUAUUUAUUUAAAUUCUUGACAUGGAAGCAUGGUUUUGUUCACUGAUAAGACUGUUUUAUGUGGAGUUUCUUGUCAUCUUUGCUUUUAGUAGAAAUGCAAGAUUUAUUUUUAUUUCAGCAAAAUUGCACUUGUUUGUUUUGUUUGUGCGUUUCCUUCCUAGUGUAAUGUGAUGAGAUAUAGAACUGAACCUACUGAGAUAUAUCUCUUGUUAAGUUGCCUAAUAAUUACCAGUGAGGUCUCAUUUAAACGCUGUAAUGUCAAUUAGAAUCAUAGAAUUUUAACCAUGGCGGAUAUGUAUGACUCUGUGAUUGACUGGAACUUUCGUUAUCUUAUAUUCCCUAAAGUCAGUUACAACAAUCUGCAAAGAUUUUGGUUGCUUGUUCUCAGUGUUUUCUCCUUGUAAUUAUUUGAUUAUAAAUUCUUCUAAAAAUGCGUUACCUUUCCGUCUUGCAGAUUUGCGGGAGAAGUAAGACUAAUACUGCAUUAUGCAGGCGCAAAGGUAAAGCCAAGACUUCAUUAGCAACACUGAGUUACUUCUUUCAUUUAUUGACAAAACGGGGCUAUAAAGACAAAAUCUGUUUCUUGUAUGCAGAAACAAAAUUACGGGUCUGCGCCAUCAGCACCACCAUAUGCCCCUCAAGUACCUCAGUACUCAGCACCGCCUGCUCCAUCUCCAUAUUCAUCACCACCCUACUCUGGACCAUCUCCGUACCCACAAGGACAAUACUCUCAGCCGCAAUCGGCAUACCCACCAGCUUCAGCUUAUCCUCCUCCUCCCUCAACUGCUUAUCCUCCAGGUCCUUCAGCUUACCCUCCCGGUCCUUCCGCUUACCCUCCAGGUCCUUCAGCUUACCCUCCUCCUCCGCCAUCCUCAGCUUACCCUCCUCCUCCAUAUCCUCCUCAACCAUCACCGUAUUACCCACAAGGUACGUUAAUACUCUUUUUUUUCUUCUGAUCUAAGGUUUGCUUGUUUGUUCUUGCUCAGUGGUAGUUGAUAUUGUAUUCUUCUUCUUCUUCAGGUCCAUAUCCAGGACAAUACCCUCCGCCUACGUACUAAAGCUGCGGCGUUUAGAAUUGACAGGAAAGUGGUUAUGAUGCAUAGAUCAUAAUACUAGUGAUAUGCUAUUCCUAGAACUUUGUGACGAUUUUUUUGUUCUUUCUUUUAUCUUCCCUGUGCUUUUGUUGGUCUUUGCGAAAUGUAGCUUAAUGGUUAGUUUUUUGCGAUGGUCAGUGAGACUCAUUGGGGAAGUUUGGAUAUGUUCAUAUUAAGCCAGCUUGCAGAUUAUGUUGCAGAAUAAUCGAAUUAUUACCUUUAAAAAAGACCUUAUAUUGUGGUGUGUAUGUGUGGUUCAUCGAUCAUCUUUAGUCACAAUUUCUUAAGAGCUGGUUUCUGUUCUGUCUUUUUUUCUUUUGUUCAACCUGUUCUGUCUUUUAACUCUUAAGAUUUGGAACUAUUCGUGUUCACAGCAGCUAAUCAUCGAAAUGCUCAGUGAUUAGUAGUAUAUAAUAUAUUUUGUCAAUGUCUAUCCAGCUCGAUGUUUUAAAGUCUCUAACAAAACAUUGUUGACAAUCGGCAAUAAAGUUGUAGAAUCUAAGUAUAUUAGCCGACAUAUUCAACUACACUUUGGUUUCUCGAUCUCUACUCCACUGAGCAAAAGUGGGUAAAGACUAAAGAGGGAAACAGACGUAUAAGAAAAUGAAAAAUAGAAAAGAAACUUGCACAUUAUUUUGAAUUUUGAUUAAGAAAAAAAGGUUUAUUGCGAGAGUAAAAGACAAACGUGAAAACCUCAUAAAUAAAUCUUCUUCUACUCGCCCUCCUCUCACUUCCAGCUUUUCUCCUCUCUCUCUCUCUCUCUCUCUCUCUCUCUCUCUAGUAUCUCUUUUGUAGCUGCCCUGCUACAGCUAAUCUCUGCACGUUUCCAUAGACAGGAAGAUGAGUCUCUCUCCGAGAGAUUUUCUCUCUUUCAUCUUAUCUUCUUCUAGGUAAUGCUCCUCUGAGCCUACCUAAUAACCAAAGAGCCUCUAUCUUCUUCUUCUCAUUCUUGAGUUUAUCAACAAUGGCGAUUCGUAAGGAGGACGAAAGUAGAGAAGAACAGAGCAAUUCGUUUCUUCUUGAUGCUCUCUACUGCGAAGAAGAGAAAUGGGAAGACGAAGAGGAAGAAGUUGAAGAGAACUCUUCCUUUUCCUCCUCUUCUCCUACUUCACCAUUGGUUCUUCUGCAGCAAGAUUUGUUCUGGCAAGACCAAGAUCUGGUCACUCUCUUCACAAAAGAAGAGGAGCAAAGACUCACCUGUCUCGAUGAGGUUUAUCUCGCCACGGAUCGUAAAGAAGCCGUGGGUUGGAUUCUGAGAGUCAACGCUCGUUAUGGGUUCUCUACUUUGGCUGCUGUUUUAGCCAUAACGUACCUAGACAAGUUCAUCUGUAGCUACAGCUUACAGAGAGACAAACCAUGGAUGCUUCAGCUCGUUUCUGUUGCGUGUCUCUCUCUAGCUGCUAAAGUCGAAGAAGUCCAUGUCCCUCUUCUUCUAGACUUUCAAGUAAAUGAUCAUUUCCCUUAAAGUCUCGGUUUUUUGUUUGUUCUGUUCCUCAAUCUCUCUGUUUUUGUGGUUUGUAGGUGGAGGAGACUAAGUAUGUGUUCGAAGCCAAAACCAUACAGAGAAUGGAGCUGCUGCUUCUCUCUACUCUCCAGUGGAAGAUGCAUCUCGUUACUCCACUUUCGUUUCUAGACCACAUCAUCAGGAGAUUGGGUCUUAAAAACAACUCUCACUGGGAUUUCCUCAACAGAUGUCACCGUCUCAUCCUCUCUGUAAUCUCCGGUUCGUAAACGACAAAACAAACCCCAUUUCGUUUAUCAUCUACUGACAUUCUUGUGUGGUUUUUUUGUCAGAUUCAAGAUUUGUCGGCUACCUCCCAUCAGUUGUUGCCGCAGCUACCAUGAUGCGAAUUAUAGAGCAAGUUGAGCUCUUUGACCCUCUCUCACACCAAAACAACCUCCUCGGUGUCCUUAACAUAACCAAGGUUCGCUUCUAAUCACUCAAUUAGUUAAAACUCUGUUCUCUCUGGCAUUUUAACGAACAGUUAUCGUGCACUUACAGGAAAAGGUGGAACCUUGCUACAAUCUCAUCCUCCAAUUACCAAUUGAUCACAUGGGUUUACAGAUCGAAACCCAAUCUUGCCGCAAACGCAAGAAUCGCGACUCAUCAUCGUCGUUGAGCAGCCCAAGCUGCGUGAUCGAUUCAAACCCUUUCAAUAGCAACGAAAGCUCAAACGAUUCGUGGUCUGCGAGUUCGUCGCCGCCGCAGCAACAACAAGAACCUCCGUUGAAGAAGACGAAGAUGGAGAAACCGAUUUUGCAUCUGUCGUAGCCACUCCUUAGCUCGCUUUCUACGUUUAAUUUACGUUUUUUUUUAAACUUGAGAACGAUCGUGUAUUAAGCGUCCCCGUUGCAUAUACGAAAUGUCUCGAAUGCCCUUACUUGCUAUGGCUUGAUACCGCGUGUGUCUGAAGGGCAUUCGUGACAUUUGACUGCAUGGGAUGCGAUGAAGAGAUUAGUAAUAAUAGUCUUUGCGUAAACUUUGAGGCUUUUUGCAAUCUUUGGGCCUUAAUCUUCGGUGUUUUAUAUUUAAUGUGUUUAACAAUCUAAAUACGAUUAGGAUAGGGUUGAGAUAUAGUAUACACUUUGAUCAAGAAAACGUUUAUAAAUAGCAGAUUAAGUAGUAUUAACAUGGAGAAUACUGCAUAGGAAGAUGGGUUGGAAGUUUGAAAAUAGCGGUGUUUAAAUAAGAAAUAAACAGAACAAGAUGUUAAGACGAUAUAUAUACAUAUAUAAAUAUAUUGUAUAUUUUAUAUUUCAUCAAAAUGUCAUUUUUCUUUUUAUACUUUUAAUGCAAUUUAUAAAAUACAUUUAUCUUAUUAAUAAUUUUAUUUAUCUCGAAUAUUAUUGAUUAAAUAGAUGCACUUAGUAAACACAUAAAUUUAUUUUUUUUUUAUUUUUAUUUUAAAGACUUUCACAUAAAUUUAUAUUUAAUUAUUUUUAAUUUACGUCUUUUGUUAAAAGGGAGAUAAUUUUUUUUGUCCAGAAUGGUGUGUAUAAUACAAAUUAUACAAAUGAGAUGUCAAAAUGUUUAAUAUGGAAUGAGUCUGUUUCGUUUAUGAUCAAAAAUGAAGGAUUUAGCGUUUUAGGCUUUGACUUGUUGAGAAGGACCAAGUAUUCUUCUUUUCUGUGGUCAGUCUUCCGAUAUAAUUGUUUUCAAAAAUGAGAAGAAAAACAAAAAUUGAAAAUGAAACAGUAUUAUUGAUUUAGAUUUUUUCAAGAAGGCUUUUCAAUUUGAAACCUGCUCUACUUCUGCUAGGCGCACUAGUAUCAACUACUCCAAAACAUAUUAACAUGAUUAUACAAUAAUUAAUAAUCACUAAUCAGCUUCACAUAGUCUUAAAUCAGCUAAAGAGAUAAAUUAGAAGUGAAUAAUAACCCGCAAACAAGUCUCUUUUAUUUGGAGGUCAGUAACUCAGAAAUUAGCAAACAAGUCUUAUUAAAAUCGUUUGAGUGGUGUGGACGACAAAAUCUGGUGCAGCAAUAACACAAGAACCAAAGCAACCUGCUUCCACUCUGAGCACCUGGGAUGAUAAACUUUCAUCAUUCACUAUUUUGCGCAUACCGGAAUGUCGAUAAGCAAAUUAUUUGUAGAAAGUAGAAGCCAAUAGUAUAUGACAAAAUGAAAUGUAGCUUUUGCUUUAUUAAAUACAAAUACUUUUGUUAUAAAAAAGUUGUUGAAUAAACUGUAGUUUUACAUCAGCAACAUUGUCAUACAACUUAGUUUUAGUGACAAAAAUGAAAUAAUCGUCUACCAUAGUUUCCUUUUGUAUCACGAACAAGCUUAUAUAUGGAUAAUACGUUGUUGCCACUCAAAUUAUAUUUUGUUUCGACUGUCGUUAAGCUUUAGGUGGUGAAAUCUUCUCUACUUCUUUUUCACUUUUUCUUUUUCCAAUUUUAUUUCUCUUUGAACUUUUCCAAGAAAAUAAGAUUGUUAAAUCUCUACUUUUUUCACGUGUGACACGAAUUUUCUUUUUUCCUUUCUUCCUUUACUGAUUUAUUUAGUUUUUUCAAUUCAUUUUUUUAUUUAGGGGGGGGGGGGGGGGNNNNNNNNNNNNNNNNNNNNNNNNNNNNNNNNNNNNNNNNNNNGGGGGGGGGGGGGGGUGUUGCAUUUUAGUGUGUCGUUUCUUAACGGUCAGCCACACGUCAUCAGAACUUAUGAACUCAUCUCGUUUAUGCAAUCCUAUGAUACGUAUAUGUUUAACAUUAGCACUGUCUGAAACAAAGAUACGGUCCCUAAUAUUCAACUAUACAUACUUAUGGUUGACAAAAACACAUGCAUGCAUAAGCACAAUAGUAAAAGUUUAAGAUAUACAUUUUGAAUUAUCUGGAGCAGUGCAUGCAGCUACAAAACGAAUGAACAGUGAGAAAGGAUGUAUAUCGCGUAUGUAUGUNNNNNNNNNNNNNNNNNNNNNNNNNNNNNNNNNNNNNNNNNNNNNNNNNNNNNNNNNNNNNNNNNNNNNNNNNNNNNNNNNNNNNNNNNNNNNNNNNNNNNNNNNNNNNNNNNNNNNNNNNNNNNNNNNNNNNNNNNNNNNNNNNNNNNNNNNNNNNNNNNNNNNNNNNNNNNNNNNNNNNNNNNNNNNNNNNNNNNNNNNNNNNNNNNNNNNNNNNNNNNNNNNNNNNNNNNNNNNNNNNNNNNNNNNNNNNNNNNNNNNNNNNNNNNNNNNNNNNNNNNNNNNNNNNNNNNNNNNNNNNNNNNNNNNNNNNNNNNNNNNNNNNNNNNNNNNNNNNNNNNNNNNNNNNNNNNNNNNNNNNNNNNNNNNNNNNNNNNNNNNNNNNNNNNNNNNNNNNNNNNNNNNNNNNNNNNNNNNNNNNNNNNNNNNNNNNNNNNNNNNNNNNNNNNNNNNNNNNNNNNNNNNNNNNNNNNNNNNNNNNNNNNNNNNNNNNNNNAAAUUAAUUUUUAUAUAUAGAUAUUACUAUUUUUGAAAUAGAUAUUUAUAAAACUUACGGAUCCGGAUAUACGGACUAAAAAAAUCAAGAUAUCCGAAUCCGGCUUUGACGGAUUCAACAUUUUACUAUCCGGAUCCGGAUUCGGCCCCUCCGGAUAUCCGGAUUUUCGGAUCGGAUCCGGAUCGAAUCUCGGAUCGAAUCCGGAUCUCGGAUAAAAGUCUCGGGCCUAAUAGUAAGUGGCAAAAUCGAUGGUUUUAUUGAAGAAAAAGGUCUAAUUACUAAAAUAAAAACCAAAAUAUAUUUGUAUUGGUAAAAGCAGAGAAAGGAAAACAGCUUGCACCCAACAUGGAGAAAGGGCAAAGAGGUCAAUGUGUCCCCACAAAACAAUAAUUAUACAAUAAUAUUAUCAUUCUCUAUAGCUUUCUGACCUUUAUAUUUUAAAUAUUUCUUCUUUUGACUUCCAUAUUCUUCUUUUUCUUUCAUUGUAAUUCGAAGGGAAAAGAGAAUGGUCGAAAUGUUUAUGCGGGGAAAAUAAUAAUAACAAGAUCGGUAUAUAUUGCAUAUGAUUAACGAUUUUGUUUCUUUUUUUGUUUUAUAAAACCUUCAGAUUAGUUAAGUAUUUAGGUAAAUCACAAGUGGAGUUUUUCUUUUGUUGGUAAAAUGUUAAAUAUCAUAAGUGGAGUUGAAUUACGGAAAGGCUUUUAAGUCUAAUAGGUUAUUCACUGGUCGUAGGUUCGAUGCACAUAAACAAAACUAAGUUCAUAGCUUUAACAUCCCAUGCUGCACUAUAUAUCGCAAAAUUUUACUCUCUCCAUACCGUUUUUGAUUUUGCACGUACCUUUAAGAGCACAGUUUGGUUAAAUGGUUAAAGGCUGCUGCUCGGCUUGCUCCAUAUUUGGCAAGUAGAUUUUGGAGAUUUUCUCUUCGGGCCAAUCCGAGUGUCGCUCAAAAAAUGACCUAGGUCAUGAUUGUUUGCAGGAGUUUUCAUGUUAUAUUUAAUUAUUAUAAUCUAUUAAUAAAUGUAAAUGUAAAUAAACAAUAAAUAUAACUAUUCACUAAACGAAUGUGUUGUAUUUGGCACAUGUCGUCAUCCUAUUAGUUUCUAAAUGCAAACGUAAAUUUCGUUGUUAUUUUCAAACUGGAAACAAUAUAAAUAGAAUACAUGUACUUUUAUUACUAAUGCCACAUGCAAAUGCAGUCAUCGACUGAUAAAAGUGUAAGCCAUUCAAAUAGUUUCGACGUUUACACAUUUAAAUAACACACGUCGUUUUGAGAUAUGCUAAGAAGUCCUUAAGUCAUUAGGAAUGACUUGAAUUAUUCACUUUUUUGACGAUUUGAUUGAACUAAAUCAAAGUUAGUAUAGACUCUCACACACUAACUUUACUUUUACAAUAAUAUCAGGCCUGAAUAAUAUUAUAAGUGCGUAGACGUUUUUACCAGUCAAGGUUUGUUGGCAAAAAAAUCACAUGCACUGAAAAAUUAGGACAUGAUUAGCUUCGUACAACAAGGAAGUGGGGGAUGAGAAGGAAGUAAACAACAAAAAACAAAAAGUGACCAGGGCGGAUUCUCAAAUUUGUUGUAUAUGAAUCUGUCUCACAGAUGCAAAGUUAAUGAAGGUUAAACAAAUUAAUAAUUCAUACAAUGCCGUGAAGGGAAAAAAACAUUCUAGAUUGAGAAAAUCAUUAAAAUAUAUAUUCUCUCGUAUACGUAUAUACUUUCGAGUGUCACGCAGCUAUGGGAUUAGAAUUGGGGUUUUGAUAUCAUAUGCUUCAAAAUGGUUUAGUAGUUUUCUUUUUGGAAAAUGGAUAUAGACUAAAUUACUAGAUCCAUAGAUAUCAUAUUUCAGUAUCAGGCUGCCUUGAGUUUCAGUUUGCAAUUUAGAAAAUAACUCUCGUGUUUUUGACUUUUAGUUAUUGAUUUUAUCAUUGUUCAAAAAAAAAGUUAUUGAUUUUAUCCAAAUACUUCAACUAUAGUUGAUAAAUUAUUGACCAUAUGGUAACAGUAGCUAUCUUUAUAAGAACAACAACUAUAUUUAUAUAUAUGCUAAAACACUGUAUUGAUCACCUUAUAAAUAAGCCAUCCAAAAACUUAUCAAUCAAUUUCUAGGUAUAACACGUGAAAAUAUACUAAACUUCCAAAGCAUACACGAACUAUAAACUAGAUAAGUUUUACUAUAAGUUCUCAGGUCAGUGUUGAAGUCUAUAUUAGAAAUAGAAAGAUAUAAUAAACCUAACUGCCACUAUUAAAUAAAAACCUAGAAUAAACACAAAUUAAACAUGCAACACAAGACAUUAAUGGGACGCAUAUGAUUAGUAAUUAAUUGAGCAAUUAUAGCAAUAUUGAUGGCAAAAUGAAAAUUGUAAAAUAUAUACAAGGGUAUAAAUCAAUGAAGUAGGACCAAAUGAAUAUAAAAAUUAAAAUGAGGUGUUGUAGUGUGAGCUGCGAUUGCAGAACCUGUCGCUAUGGCCCGUCUCAGAGUGCAGGUCCCAAACCCUUGUUCUAUUUCGUGAUUCACAUUAUUAUAUGCUUUUAUCUCCACGCUUUCUUAUACAUAUAACAUACAUGCAUAAUCAUACGUCUAUUAUAUCAUUAUGACACGGUAUACAAGUUGGCUAACGUUUCGGUAUGUUUACUUUGAACUUUUAACACAAUUUUCAAUAUAUUUACCAUAUCCUUAUGAAUGGUAACACUAAACGAUUCUGUACGUCUUCAAUUUAACUGACAGUAAACAAUCAAUCGCUGACGCAAUAAAUCUUAGUGGAGAUUGAGAGUAUAUUUUAAAUUCGUUUUUAUCAAAAGAGUAAAUGUGCAAUGAAAAAUUCUUGAUAUAAAGAUGCCUAAAACAAUGUUGGAACUGGUAUCCAAUGUGGUACUUGUGUAUCCAUAUAAUUUAAUUUUGAUCACGAUCUCAUAUAUGAAGCCAAAUAUAGUCUCACGUUUUCACAAAGAAACAUCAAGAAACAUACAAAACUUCCCUCCUCCCAGCACUUUCUCAUUUGUCUUGGAUGCUAUUAUCGAUUGGAUCUCCAGAACACUUUCUGUUUGAAAAUAGAACAUUUCGAAUGUAGCUACUCUCGUAGUCACUAUUAUAAAAAAAAUUCACAUUCACGUCCAUGCAUACAGUGUAGUGUACGUAUAUGAAUGUUAAUUUAUCAAUUGGUUUUCAUCUACUGGAUAUCAUUAGUAUAUCAACUGUAUUUUGACAUUUGAUAUCUAUCUUAUAUUGGGCUUUUGAUGUUCGUAUUGUAGCACUCGAGUAAAGGUAAUCAUCAUAUGGUACAAAAAUUUUAGAUGAGAAAUAUGAAAUUCACGAGAUAUGAAAUGUUGUCCAAAUUCGUGGACAAACGAUUCGCUAUGACUCAGAAUCUUGUUUGUUUUCUUGGUUCAUAAAUAAUAAGAAGACAGAGAUGUAGGUAUAAUGCAUAUUAUGGAAUUGGCGGUUGGAGCAUACGUACGAAUUACUUGAACAAGUAAAUGUUCGGAUUUUGACAGAGGAAGCGAAUGAUCAAAACUAUGCCAACAUAUUCAAUAAAGUCAGAUCUUCCUUUCAUUUUUUUCUUCAUGCGUUGUAAGAUUUCAACCUCCUUUUUUACCUAACGUCACUACACUUGUCCUUGAAAUAUUUAUUGAAUCAUUUUUAUUUUUUUUCUGUAUAAACCGAAAGUAAAGCCUAAUGCUUUGUAAAAAUAUGUAUCUUUAUCUCUUUGAUACAUUCAAAAGUAACUAAAGAUAUAAAAUUAAUCAUGCAUGUUAUGGAACCAUAUUCUUCCAGCUAAAUGGUAUCGUUUCAAAUACAGUAAAAUGUUAGAUGGUUAUAUUCAAUCCACCUGGUCCAUCUAGGAUCAAACAUAACAUGUUUGCAGGGUUUAAUCAAAGCCUGUAUCUACAAAAAUAGAAACAAUAGGCAGUACAAAACAUGAAUGUACUUAGACCAACGUUACCAAGUGAUUAAGUCAAUAUAAGUAUUGGGAGGACCAUUAAUUGUUUCUACCAAGGUGUGGGUAAGAGAUGAUAUCAAUUCAAAGACUUGACAAAACAACACAACAAGAAAUAAAAGGUAAGCUAGCAGGGAAUAAAUAUUCAAUAGUAUUCUGUUUUUAGAAUUUGUUACUAUAUAGUAAUUUAAAAUGUAUUGAGUUCUUUGAAUUGAGUAAUGAAGUGGGGUUUGGACGUCUUGUUCUCAGACAAAGAUUUUGGGGGUAUCUUCUCUCUACCGCUCCACUUUUAAGAUUGACCUAUCAUCCCUUAUCUCCUCUCUACUAUAUACUUUACCCUCUUUCCGCAUAGUAGUACAACAAAAGAAGUAAAUAAAUGUUCUUAUUGUGUGGGAAAUAGAGGGCAUUCACUACCCUAUCCUUUGUUAAGCCCCUCAUUUCUUGAGCCCCUCAUUUGCAGGCUUUGAAGCUAAGCCCAUUAAGACAAUGGCUCUAAGUGAGUCAACAGCCGAACUAAUGUCCUAAAUGAAUGGUUUAAAGAAUGGAGACGUACACCUGGACUUAUGAGAAAGCAUGGAGAUGCUUUGAACAAUAAGUUCUACGAAGAGUUCUCUAUGUGCUACUGAGUGCAAAAGAGAACCAGUUAACAUUGUUAUCCUCCACGCAUAAUGAGCACUGAGUUUUCCAAACUGAUAUCAGCCACUACAGUGUUCUCUUAGGUGACAUCCGUAAGCUUUUCUUAUGGAAGUCUUUUGCAUUCAGUACCAGCUGAGAGGCUUGGACUGCACCCGUGGAUUAAACUAUGAAUAUGUGAAUGUCCUCCUUUGGAUGGAUCUCUUUAAGUGUCUCGUUUCUCCCAUGGACUCUGCUUUCUUCAUCACGAUCUUAGUCGUAAGGGCAAGCUUCAGGAUCAACCUACAGGCUACAACUGCUCACUUGUAUUGUAUGACAGUGAGAAAACCAAGCGAGGAAGUGUGUAAAGACAUUUACAACUAUAUGAGACGUAAAUGCACAUAAAUCAUGAAUUGAUUAAUUGCACUGGACGAGAAAAAACAUGUGAUUUGAUAAUCUUGGAAAGGGAUUGACCUGAUAUCAAGAGAAAACAAUUUAAAAUCGUUUAAUUACAACUUAAGUAUAUAUUUAUGGGUAAAUCUCCAAAAAGACGCAAAAGAUAUUUUUUUACCAAAAGAACUUAUUAAAAAAAAUGAUCAAAACAAGUUUGGUAAAUGACAAUUAUACACUUACUCUACAUAAAUAUAUAAAUAUAAAUAGAUAUUUUUUUUUGCAAAAACUUAAUUAAAUAUUCAAAACUUUUUUGAAUUUAUUUCUCACUUAUUUUUUUAUUUAAAAAAAAAAAUUCGAAAUCCACUUUGUUUUUUUUUUUGAGAUUUUCUUAAAAUUUAUUAUUAUAAAUCCUAAACUCAAACUUCACCCUCUCAAUCUAAAUCAUAAGUCUAACCAAGCGAGGACGGUCCAGUGGUCUUGAGGGAGCUUUGGCCCCAAUACGGAUCCGGAUUCGAAUCCCGCUGGCUACCAUCGAUUAAAAUGGGAUGAAAAAGACGCCCUCCAGGAUACCUUCUGCGGAUGUGUACUUAGGCGCUAGUCGGGUUCCUUCCGGAAUCUUCGGAUUACCUGGAUUAUCAAAAAAAAAAAUCAUAAAUCUAAAUUAGUUAAUUUUAAAGAAUAUAAAUGUCUAUUAUCUCUUUAAUAAAAUCUAUCUUGAUUAUUGCAAACUAUUUCUGUGAUAUUAUUUUUUUAGUGCUAUCAUAGGAAAAAAUUAAAUUAAGAAAUUCCUUUUUUUUUGGAUCAACUUUGAGAAAUUCUCUUAAAUAACUUUUUUUAGUUUAUUUUCACAAAAAUAGACUUUCAAGGAAGAAAAUGACCAAAAGAGAUUUUAUUGAAGGGUAAAUAUGCAUUUAUAACCUUAGGGUUAACUAAUCUAAGACUUAGGGUUUAGAGUUAAAGGGUUGAGUUUUUGGGAUGAAUUCAAAUUUUUAGAAAUAAAAAAUAAAUAUUAAUUUUUUUAAAAUAAAAUAGGACUAUUUUGGUCAUUUUAUUUUCUUAGAACUAUUUUUGUAACAAAAAAUUAAAAAUAGCUAUUUGAGAGAAUUGCCCUAAAAAAAUUUUCAAUUUUUUUUUUUCAAAUGACAUAGAAGGAUCUUAGAAAUAUAUGGUAAACUUAGUGAAUUCAAAAUUUUGUUGUGUAUUUGUAUUUAUAUUUUACUAUUUUUUUGCUUAGUUAAAAAUGUGAUAUAAUUUACUUUUACUAUAAAAUCUCAAAUUAAUAUUAUUAAAGAUAAGGUAAUGUUCUGAAAAAAAAAAAAAAAACCUAAAACUACAACAAUUAAAUUUUCUAACCAAACCAAACAACUAAUUUUUCAUAUACAAAUAAAAGUACUAAUAAAAGUGUUGUUAAAAAAAAAAGUAUAAAACAUUGAGAUAUCCAUCCUUAAUAUUAGCUGAUAGGCAUAAUUAGCAAAGAUUAGUUUCCAGUUUUCACUAGAAAAACACUAAAAUGCUUCAAUCAAGCCUUGUGCAAAGUAAUUCUCAAAUGCUUCGAACCUCUCCCGACAUUCUUCUGAACCUCCUCGGCUGCAGUCAGUACCAACCUCCUUUGAUCAUCGUUCAAUCCCUUUGCCUCAUAAAGGUCAAGCUGUUCCAUCACGAGCCCCCUUCUGAUCAGGUACUUCAGAACAUGUAACUCGUUGGAGCCGCCACGAAAGUUUUUUAUUUUCACAAGUUUAAGUGUCCUUUCCAAACAUUCAUACGUGUCGUUGGUCAGCCAAAACACUUUCGGAUCUAAUGGCAUCGAAAUUCUCUGCAAAAUCCAAUUAAAGCGUUUAAACAAAUAGCAUGCAGAUUUACUGACUCGAGGAUUUAGAUAUGUAUACAAGAAAUAAAACUUACCACGAUACGCUCAGUAGUAUCCAUAUGGAACGUGAGAGAUUCCAGUUCUGGACAGCUAUUAAGAAAUAUUGUAAUGCCCACGAACUCAUUUGCAUGCAGAUUAGUCCUCAUCACCAAAUGUCGUGCUUCCAUCGCAUCAUGCAUUUCCAUAGGAUCUUCACACUCUUGGAUCAUCUACUUAGAAAAAAAACAAAUGAUAAGUAACAAAACAAACAAAUGUUGCACAUACACAACGUUUAACGGUAAAGUGACCAAUCUACCUGAAUAAGAAAAGAGCAGAUCGUCAGGUUCCUAACAUGUAUCAGAUUGAAAAAGAUACGAGUAAUAUCGAAUUCAGUAUUUUGAUAAUGCAUCAACGUGACCAAAUGCUCUAUUACAUCAAUUUUUCUUGAGGCAGGGCUUGAGAAAUCAAUAGUUAUACUUUUUAUUUGUUUUGAGGCUGCAAAUUCGGUUAGAGAUACGAUCGCUUUCUCGAAAGACACUGGUUCAGAGAGAGAAAACUCUAAACUUUCAAUGACUUCACCAGUAAAGCUAGAGAUCCAUUGACACAUAGUGCUAACAAACAAACUUCUCUUAGACUUUAUGGUUUCUGUAUCAGUAGAUAGGUUCACAAACUCAGAUUCUUUGAAUACGAGGUUUGUUGUUUCAAGACAAAGAUUCUUCCAUCGUCUGGCGAGAAUACUUGUCUGAACAGAUUGUUUGAAGGGCAAGAGAGAUAUGAUUGUAACAAGAAGGCAAUCAGGUAAAUUUGAAAGUAGAUCAGAUUUUCUUCUUGAAACCAUUGUGAAAAUGUGAUGAUUAGAGGAGAAAACAAGGAGAUACAAGAGAGAAGUGGCUAUGAGUGAACCAAUGAUAUCAACACUUUCGAGAGUUAUGUAUUUAUAUGCUUUUGAAAGCUUUCAAACUUUUGGUUUGGUGAUGAUGAUAGUGCUUCAACUCUUGAAAUAAUUCUUAUCUUUGUUUUGCCCUUUUUCAUUAACUAUUACCUUUUAGUUCUGAAAAAAAACAAAUUUAUAGGUUCAGAAGGUGUUUCAAAAAAAGGUGGUUCAGAAUAGUGGUCUGAAAAUGAUUAUUAUUAACUUUUAUUAGUAAGCAACUUCAAAAUGUUAAUCAAAACUAAACAAUUUUUUUCCCUCUAAUGCACAUAUUUACAAAAGUUCUUUUUAUGUAAUAUACAAAUUUUAAUAUCAAUAAUAAAGAUGAUUUUCAAAUGCUUGUUGUUAUGGUAUCUAGACAAAUACAUUUUGUAAAAAAAUGUUAUCUGAACCAAAAGUGGUUAUUUAUUUUACACUAUUUAUUUCUUAUAUUUUUAUUAUUUUUUCCUUUUAAACUGCUGUAUAUCAAUUUUAACUUUUGAUAUACCAAAACAGUACUCAAAUGCUUUAAUAAUUGAGGAAAUCUUAUUAAGCAUUUAAAAUAAAAUGUUGUAGGAUAUUAAAAUGAUUUGUAAAAUAACUAAAAAUAGUUAAUUCAUCUUUGUUUAAUUUGUCUAAAUUUAGUAUUGAUUUUAAGUUUCCAUCACAUGUGUCAAAGUUGGAGAUAUAUGAUGAGUGUUUUUUUUGUCAGCAUAAGAUGAGUGUAUAAGGAUAUUUAUUGGAUUGAUUUCAGGCCAAAUAAUUAGCAUAUGCUUAAAAUAGACAAGAGUGUAACAUGAAAUAAUAUAUAUCAACACAUAUAGUAAGAAAAUCUACAUUUCUAAUCAUUAUAUGAAAAAAAACCAUUUUUUUCUUUCUGGAAAUUCUUAUUUUAAACCAAAAUGGCUUAACUUAGCAAAAAACAAAGUUGUUUAACUUAUUUUCUUACAUUUGUUUACUUGAAUAAUUGCAAGAACUGAUCUAAAAACAAAUGUACCGUACAUGAAAAAACUUAAGUAAAAAAAUCAAGUAUCUAAUAAAACAAAUAUCCCAUUUUAAGUAUACAGAAAAAAACGAUUUAUUACAUCAUAUAAUUGUUCUAAUUCUAUAAAAAAACAUGGAAAUGUUCCCAUAUCAUAACAGGCCCAAGCCCAAGAAAAAGCAUCAUCAUACAUGUCUACUCAAAACAGCCCAAUCCCGAGGACCGUGAUAAGUGGGUAGGAGUAGGGGUAAUAUUGUAAUUUACAGCAAAUAGUAAAAAAAAAAACUGUCAGCGUCUGACUAUUUUGAUUGUCCUAUUAACUACUUCCACGGUUCAGAUCCGAGCUCUCCUUAUCUUUUCAGAAGAAAGAAGAAGAAGAAGAAGAAGAAGAAGAGAUCUUUCACUGUCUUCUCCCUUCUCGUUUGCUGCCUUCAGGUCAAUGUUGCUCCUCUGAUUGUUGUCUCCUCAAUACUCGAGUGAUCGGAUUGAUUCAAUCGAUUUUGAAAAAAGAGAUUGGAAUUGCGUUUGCUACUUGAUCUGUUUUAGUUCUUCGUCUUGUUAUAUUCUUCACAUUUCGUGUAGAUCGUUAUUGUUAAUUGCAUCAUUCUCGUUGAUUGAAAAGAAAAAAGACAAAGGUCAAUUAUGACAGGAUGAUGACAAAAUUGGGUACAAGAUCCUUUUUGUUUUGUCCUAAUUAUUUUUUUUAUGCAUUCUGUGUAGAGAGAUUCGGAUCAGUUUCAAUCUAAAGAGGUGUUAGUUAAGUUUCUCAACUAACCAUGGAUCAAGCAGAACUGUCUAUGGAGCAGGUUGGUGUUUUUCUAUCAGAUGCUGUCUAUAAGUGUGAUUGAAUUGUUAAAAUGUUGACAAAGAAUUUUAAUAAUCUCUGUUGUUUUUUUUUUUUACCGUGAAGGUGUUGAAAAGGGAUAUUCCAUGGGAGACUUACAUGACGACGAAGCUCAUUUCAGCUACAGGUCUCCAGCUCUUGAGGCGCUUUGAUAAAAAACCUGAAAGUGCGAGGGCACAGUUGCUCGAUGAAGUAACUCUUCUACCACUCUUUUAAAAUAAUUUACAGAAAGUCGAGAUAGUUUCUCUGUAAUAUUAGUGGUUGAAGUUUGUUUAUGUUUGUGUGUGGUUGUUUGCAGGAUGGUCCAGCUUAUGUUCAUCUGUUUGUUACCAUCUUGCGUGAUAUAUUCAAGGAGGAAACUGUGGAAUAUGUUUUGGCUUUGAUUUACGAAAUGCUCUCUGGUAACUAAAUAAUUAAAAAUCUGAAGAUAUUUUUUGCAUUUCAUCAUUUUAGAUACGGACUACAUAUUAAUACAUCAACCUGUUUGCCAGCUAACCCAACACGAGCUCGGUUAUUCCAUGAUGAAACUUUGGAACAUGAGGAUACUUACGAGCCUUUCUUGAGGUGAGUCUCUAUGCAAUACUUUUAUUUUAUGACUGUAAUUUUGUCUAGGAAAGUACUAUUUCCCACGUUUAUUGGAUCGAAUCUGUUGUUAAUAUUUCAACUCGCAAUCUUCCUAAGAAAGUGGAAACACAGUAACACUCUGCUAAGGGAAUCUGUGGUUUUGGCUGUUUGUCUUUGAAAGGAUGCGUGCUAAAAGAUAUGCUCUCUUUCAGGUUGCUGUCGAAGGGAAACUGGUUUAUUCAAGAAAAAAGCUGCAAGAUCCUUGCCUGGAUAAUAAGGUAUUGUAUUGUAAUUCAAUACUCCUUAUCAUACUUUAUCAAACAUGUCUCUCAUACAUUUCAUUUACCUUGCGGCUCUUGCUCUUGUGGACAUAUAGUGCUAGGCCAAAAGCUGGUGUUAUUGCUAAUGGAGAAGCUUCGGGUUCUAAAAAACCUAUUACUACAAUCGAUGAUGUUCUCAACGGGUUGGUGGAGUGGCUUUGUGCUCAGGUACGCCUUCUUUUCUUUUUCCCUUUGUUUUCUUCAGUUACUGUUGGUGUUGCAUUGUUUUUGAAAUGGUAAUGGUUCUUGAAAUGCAGUUGAGGCAACCUUCUCAUCCAACUCGUGGUGCUCCAAUUGCUAUCAGCUGCCUGUCGACACUGCUUAAGGAACCUGUUGUCAGAUCAUCGUUUGUUCAGGCAGAUGGGGUUAAGUUACUUGUCCCUCUUAUCUCACCUGCAUCCACUCAGCAGUCUAUCCAGGUAACUUUUUACUUGGUGGAAGUAGUUUUAAGGUGAAAAGUGUCCACUAAAGCUGUAGAGAAGUGUUGCAGUUUCCAUAUCAUGCAAAGUCUUUGGUGGAAAUUAGUAACCAUUGAUAGUUCUGUUCAGUUUCUCAUUCAAUAUGUCUCAGUGACUAAUUCUUGUGAUUGGUAUGCUCUCGACCAACAGCUUCUCUACGAAACAUGUCUGUGCAUCUGGCUUCUCUCCUACUUUGAACCCGCCAUAGAGUACUUGGCCACAUCUAGGACAAUGCAAAGGCUCACGGAAGUGGUUAAGAGCUCGACCAAGGAAAAGGUGAGCUAUGUUCUCUAGCGUGACUUGGCCAUUAGUGUCCUGCAAUUAAAUUUUAUAUGACAUGGUUUGGUUGAUCAUUCACAAUCUCUGUCUGCAAAUACCAGGAUCUUUUCUAUUUCUUUCAUUAAUUUGCAUAGUCUUUGUGGGAUGCGCUUUUGUUAUGUUUCUCUAACGGUAUUUUGUCUUAUAGGUUGUCAGGGUGGUCAUAUUGACAUUCAGGAACUUGCUUCCAAAAGGUACAUUUGGUGCCCAGAUGGUUGAUCUUGGACUCCCACAUAUCAUCCACAGUCUGAAAACACAAGCAUGGAGUGACGAGGUUAGACAAGUUAAAUACAUAGCUGAGAGUAUCUGGUUAUUUUAGUAUAUGCCUUUGUUGCAAGCAUUGCCAAUGGUUAAACCUGUUUGAACUCUUGAAUUUUUUAAAGGACUUGCUGGAUGCACUGAACCAACUAGAAGAAGGGCUAAAAGACAAGAUCAAGAAGCUGAGCUCCUUCGACAAAUACAAGCAAGAGGUUCUUCUUGGCCAUCUUGACUGGAACCCAAUGCACAAAGAAGCCAACUUCUGGCGUGAGAAUGUCACUUGCUUUGAGGAGAAUGACUUCCAGGUAUUGGCUAGUUCUGUUUAUUCCAUCACACUACAAAACAAUCCUAACCAUUUGUUUAAAAAAAACUUGUUUGUGCAGAUACUCAGGGUUCUCCUCACAAUCCUGGACACGUCAACUGAUCCAAGAUCAUUGGCGGUGGCAUGCUUUGAUAUCUCGCAGUUCAUACAGUACCACCCAGCGGGGAGAGUGAUCGUGACAGACCUCAAGGCGAAAGAGAGAGUGAUGAAACUGAUGAACCAUGAGAAUGCCGNNNNNNNNNNNNNNNNNNAUGAGGAUGCCGAGGUUACCAAGAACGCUCUCUUGUGCAUUCAGAGGCUUCUCCUUGGUGCUAAGUACGCCAGCUUCUUGCAAGCUUGAUGCGACUUGCAUGUUUCUUUCCAUAUAUACGGAAAGCAACCAAAACACAGACACAGUGUUUCCUUUUCUCCCUGUGGAUUUGUUGUUAAAACCUGCCCCAAACCCCUUCUACAUCACAAGACCAUCUCUUUAUUAUUUUGUCCUAAAGAAAGUGCUAUUAUACACUUGAAUAAUAGCUGCGUUGUUUUUUUUUUACCUUUUGUAUUUAUUUAUUCAAUAAAAAGGCCUCGAGGAAUGCUAUUGUUACAGACAGCAAUCUCGGGACUGUUUGUUGUAAGACUGAUGUGAAUGUUCCAGUGUAAUGCGGAUGAUGGUUGCAUUCUCUGCUAAUGUGUUUACAACAUUGUUUCAGUUAUUAUCAAUAUCUUUCAGAAUUACACAUACGAACAUACACAUAAGUCUAUAAAGGUAUUGUUUACUUUUACAACUGGAAUCAUCUCAUCUAUCACAACUGCUUUAUGAUUGUGGCAUCUUGGAAGUAAUAAGCAUAUUAUUUAUGAUCAGUUGGCUGACCAACUUAAAAAGAAGACAGAAGAACUGAAUCACUUGAUGAGAAUGCACCUGGUUGGUGCCCCUUCUGCUCCAACCAAUCUCAGCGGUAAGCAAUGAAGCGAGUACAUUCCUGCCUCAACACCAUCCAGCUUCAGAGCUUCGACAGGGAUUAUAUCCUGAAAAUGAUGCCAAUUUCUCACUUGUUAGCCUAAGCCAACUAUCUCUCUCAGUUUCUUGUCCACAAGAGAAAAAAAAGACACAGGGAAGCCUAAGCAAAGCAGUGGCGGUUUUCAAGAAACAGAAGCAAUGUAUAGGUAUUUGAUACUUUUAAUAGAGAAAGAUAUACUCACCCUUCCUUUAAGUAUAACCUUGUGAGUUGCAGGUGACUCAUCAAAAGCAGCAAAGGAAAGAUAAUCAAGCCCUGGAUUCCACAAUCCAGAAUUAAAACAGGUUUCAGUAAAUGUAAUAAUAAAGCUAAGAAAUUCUCUCAAGACAUGUAUGAUAACCUUAAAAAACAUCUCUUACCAACAAGUUUGAUGUCUGUGUUCUCAACCAACCACUUGGCCCCAUCAGUCAUGAAUCCAGAAAAGCUUGAAUCGAACUCUUUCUUAAACAUAAGCCGCCUGAUCAAAAAUCCACAGGAAUGAGAUUAAACUCAAAAUAGAGGAGAGAGUAAACUUUGACAUAUCUUCACAGUAGUAUUUGAGUAUGGUAGAUUUACUUGUCAGUGUUGGAUGUUCUGAAGAGCACACGACGAACUCCCCUUGGAAUAUGAAGUGAUUCCAUUACCUCAGCUAAUAUAAUUCAAUUAGACCAAAAAAAAAAAUUUAUACAAAAAAAAAAAACAUAACUUCAAAUUAUCUUCAGACAUAAACUCACCAGUUAUGUUCUUGUCUCUCGGAACAUCAACCAACAAAGCAGGACCUAUUAACAGAACUCAAAUUAUUAUUAUUUUUUACUAAAAAACAUCUUUUUAAUAUGAAAAAAGACACGCAAAGACGAUCACCGUUUAGUGUUUGGAGGUCAAGCGAAUCGCAAUCGAAACCAGCGUCGUAAUACUCGUCAAUGAAGUGGCCUGGAGCAUCCACGUGUGUUCCCGAGUGAACAGACAUUUUCAUCUCCGACACGUUAGCGAAUGAUCCGUUCUUCAUGCUCGCGAUCAGUUUCAGGUGGUUCGAGAGUCCCUCCUUAGACUCCCACGCCGGCAUCUCCGGCGUGUAACGGUGGCUGAUGUCGUAUAUCUUCCCUCCGCCGUAAACCUCCUGACGGUUUGGCUUGAGGUCGUCGGGGAGUUUGCCUGAGACGGCGAGGAGGAGAGGUGAGAGGAAGAGUGCGGCGGCGAGGCCGAGGAGAGGGAAGUUCACGGAGCGGGUCAUUUGAUCAGGUCAACGGGUUUAUUGAUGGUAUCGAACUAACUAUUCAACCAGUCUGAUUUUUUUGGUAUCAAGCUAUUUAAUGUAAGACGUGUGACGAUUGGCUAUUGACUUUUGAAUUUUUGAUAAAACCGUCAAUAUUGACUUGUUUUAUUUAUGUAUUUGAGAUAAUUUCGAUUUUUUUUUGUUAUAAAUAAAUUUGAAACGAGAUAAAUUAAUUUUCAUUGUAAUAAAAUUACUACGAAUUUCUAGAUUCAGAAACUAGUUUAAUUUCUAUGUUUAGUUAAAAUAAUUUGUAAAGUUUAAAUAUCUUAAACUAAUAAGCACUUUCAAAUCAUUAAUCUCUUGAUCAUUCAUCACCACGGCGCCAAAUACAACACCUUCAACUACGUUAAAUGAUCUUUCAAAUUGGUCUAAACACGGGUCUGUCUCUUUCGAAAUUAUCGGAUACUUAUUAAUUUUUUUUUAAUUAUUAAUCUGAGGAUAUUUCGGGUUCAUAGAAAGAUCCAGACUAAUAUCCAAAGAGAAGAAGUGCAGCCCACUUCUUGAUCUUAUUCCUCACAUCUUUCCAUGAUGCCAUGUAAGCAUCCAUGUCAUUCUAUAUAUCAGUAAUAAAGUGUGUGAUAUAGCAUUAAUGGCGAUAAUAUUUUGGUGAAAAAGUCUGUUACUCUGAAUUCAGCUCAUAAUUUGCCAGUCAGGUAAAAAUAGAUUUCAUCAUUAUUACGCUAGGUACUGUGUAAACAAAGGUAAAUAUACCACUUGGUUCUCUCAGAGAAAUAACAAUUAAUGCUGACUUUAAUUUUUGUUUUAUUAUUUUUGUUUUCUUUUAGGCAUGUUCAAUAUGGUAAAACCGAACCGUACCGAACCGAACCGAACCGAAAUAGAUAAUAUGGUUUGGUUUUGGUAUAUACCAUAUAAACCGAAUGAAUAUAAUUUUAUAAAAACCGUAGGAUUUGGAUAUGGUUUGGUAUAUAACCGAUUAAACCGAAUAAACCGAACAAAACCGAUUAAAAGUAGAAACAUGUAAAUAUAUAUCUAUUUUAUAACAAUACAUGAAAAUCUAUUUGUUACAUAAGUUAAAUUUGUGUUAAUAACUAUUACCAUAAUUUUAUAGUAAUAAAGAACCUUAAUUUGUAAAACACUUGAACUAUGAUUAAAUAACAAUACAUCGCAAUUCAGACAUCUUAUUUUCUAAGUCUUCUUUUGAUCUUUUUGCUUUAUUUUAGUCUUCACUAAAUUAAUAUGAAGAUUAUAAAUUUGAUGGACAAUAAUUAAUGAAAAAGUUUCACAAUUUUUUUCUUAUCUGUAAACAAACAGAGUUUCGUGUUCGAUUGAAAAAACAUGACUUUAUUGAACACUAAAUAUGGAAGAGUGGAAAAACUUUUCUUUCAUGUUUCUGUUUUGUUUCAUAUUUUUAUUUUCAAAAUUUCAAGCUUUGAUUUUAGUUAUAGAUUUGAUUAUUUUAUUUGAUGGUAGAAGCAUUUUUACUUUUUUGUUCAUUUAUUUGAACAUGUAAUAUAUUUUUAAUUAAUGACUCUGUUGACAAUAUGACUCUAAAAUUCAUAUAAUAUGAUCUCAAACUAAAUAAUUAUGUUUUUUGGUAUAAAACCGAAUAAACCGAAAACCGACGGUAUAUAAACCGAACCGAACCGAAGUAAAUAUGGAUUUAGAAUGGUAGUUAUAUUUUACUAACCGAAAUACCGAAAACCGAAAAAACCGAACCUAAACCGAACCGAUAUCCGGAUUGAACACCCCUAUUUUCUUUAUAUUAUGUUUUUCUCUCAGUUACGUUAAUAAUUUUACUCUCAUUUCCUCCGUUUAAUUUACUCCUAGUUAAUCUAACAUCUAACAAUCAUACUCAAAAUCUUAUACAAUAAAGUAGACUAUGAUCUCUCCUCUUUCCUCCACGUUCUCAAAAAGAGUGGGACUUUUUUCGCCACGUAUCGCCUCGCCAAACCAUCUGCCUUGUCUGAAUUUAUUUUUCUUAUUCCGGUUAUCUCAUCCGCUAUUUGGACUAGGCUAUUUUUACAACUUAUGACUGGGCCUCUUGAAACAUUAUGAUAAGGUCAAUCCUUAGAAAUAUUAUGACAAGCUCACUAAUUUUAGGUUUCUUCUUCUUUGCUAGCGACCUACGUAGACUACCCGAUGAAAACUCCAGAAACUAAAUCGCCGUUCCGAUCUCCUCCGUAGGGUCUCAAACUUCCAUUAAUCCGUGAUUGACUCUGAGUUUUUGCAUGAUUAACCCACCACACCAUUUCCACUGGGAAGCAUUCAUUCAAUCGACCUCUUCGCAUCCCACAGCAACUCAAACCUUUUUUACAGCUUUUUAACCAUCCUGUCCUUUGGUGUGAUUGGUGUUUUCAUCUCUACUACCAUUAUUUCGUUUGGUAAAAAUCCUUUUUACAUUCUUCAAACUUGUAUGCCUUGACUGACGACCAUGAUGAUGCAAACUUUAAAUCAUCAUCUGAACCAGGCACUUGGUGGUUGUUUCCCAAGUUGGGAUUCAAGGGAUUGACUGCUCGAGACUAUCUUGGUGAGACCUUAUAUUGUCUUUUAUCUGCAGCAUUUAUUUAUUUUUUAUCUUAUUGUUUUAGAUGGUUUUGAGAGUGAAUGUUUUCUUUUCUUGAUUCAGCCAUCCGAACCAUAUUCUCAUCAACUGAUACUGUUUGCACUCUACAGGUUCUUGAUUUUUUAAAAGAGUAUCUCUGUCAUGAGAUUUCUUCUUCUCAAGCUUGUAUGUUUACAAGAUUUUACAAUAUCCAUGUUAACAUUACAUAUUCUCCAUCAAGAUGAGACUCCAUUGCUACACAGCUUAGUCCUUGGAGAAGGAGUGGUGAAUGAUGCAACCUCAGUUGUUCACUUCAACGUCGUUCAAAAGAUUCACGUCGAAAGCAUCUACGGUUUGACGGCUCUACGAGUAUUUGAAAACUUUCUGUACCUCUUCUCCACAAGCACAAUCCUCAAAAUCGCUAUUUAAAACCCAGGGUAGAAGACAAAUGUAGCUUUUUAAAUGUUUUAUUAUCACUGCUGAUCCUCAGGUAAAUUCUGUUAUAUUCAAAUUUAGGACUCUUUGAGAAUAUAAUUCAGAAUUGUGUUCUUCUCCUAAACUUGACAGAUCAUUGAGUUUCUCUGUAGUAACCGCGAUUCAGAAAGAUGAGGGUUGGUGUUAUAUUGGCUGCUUCGGGUGGUCAAAGAAACUCGUCCGAGAGGAAUCUUUCUUCACAUGUGUCGCCUGCAAUAAAACUAAUGAUGUGGCUGAACUCAGGUAAGUAAUUUUUAACUUUGAAUUUCUGUGUAUUGGAAGCAAAAACCAAAUAUUAUUUCCCUUACGACAGGUACAUGGCGAUACUUUCUGUGUUAGACGACACUGGCACAUCGGCUUUCCUUGGCUUUGAUAUGAAGGUGACUAAAAUGACUGGCAUUGAAGCUUCUGAGGCUGCACAGAUUGUGGUAUGACCUAUAAUAAACCUCUAAAUAUCAGCGUCUAUUAUUACUUGUGCAAAGUGAUUCAUAUAUAAUGGGUUUGACCGGUUUGCAGGGGAUAUGUUAAUGCUCAGGUUGACACUGACCUGCCUCGAUCACUGGCUGAUAUUGUUGGGAGUACCUAUACCUUCCAGCUCAGAUUAAAAGACUUCAAUUUUACUGCAAACCACCAAACCUUUACCAUUUCCUUCAUAUUUCCUGCACGAGAGCUUGCACCUAUGCCAACCUUUCCUGUGAGUAUUAGUAACUUCUCCUAAUGUGGAUUUACUGGUUAUAAAAAUAAAUGGUGACUGACUUUGUUGUGUUGAUAACAUGAAGGUGUACAAGUCCCUGAAGCUGUGACACCGGGAUCAGAUGCCAGACUUGCUAACACUUGCAAAGUUGAAGAGCAAGCAACUACAUCUGAUGUUUCACUUCCCGGGCGUUUAACAGCAGCGAAAGAACAAGUUGUUCUGGAAAAAAUGCCCCGAAGAAAGCACGUGUAGAAUGAGUCCCCUGUGAGAACCUGACAAUAAGCAUCUAUUUCCCUUUUUUUAAAAAAAUACUCAGUGACGUGGUGGUUGUUAUUUAUUUUAUCAAUGCAAAUCUUUUUAACAAUAAGCAUCCACAUGUCUUGGAUUUAUAAGUUCCGUAGUCAUGUAGCUUUCAUUAGUACGUUCGAACAAGCCAUCACUUGCAAGUCUUAUAAAAUGUAGUAUAAUGCAGAGCUCAUCCGCGUCUUCUUGGGGGAAAUAUGGAGAGCAGAACAGCUCCUACCACACACCAAGUCAUCCAUCUGCAAGUCUUGCACCCUCCUAUAAUCCUCGAUGGCAAACUCAAAAGAAUUUUCAGAGCAAGUAUUCACAGAUUGGUGAUAACUAACGCUCCAUCGAUGAGGUUUGAAUCACACAAACUACUUUUGUCUAAGUGUGUGUGAGUUUAUGUCUAAGUGUCUAUAGUAUUCCUAUGAAUACCUGAUAUCUAACCAACAUGGGAAGGCUCCAACCCCACCAAGUUGUGACAUCCUCAACAUGGACCAUCUAUACAACAAUUGUUACUACUUUACAAGACCGGAACAGUUUGUCCUUUACAUUUCUCAAAGAUAAGCAAACAACAUUUCCGGUCUUUACCUUUUUUAAAAAUGAUUAUUUCUCCCUUUUUUUGGGUCAAAGAUUAUUUCUCCCUUAUGUAUUAGAGUUUCCCUAUAAAGUUUCAGUUUCAGUUUAAGCUUCCACCAUAAUAGACAUUAACUUCUCAGUCAUCCAUACAUACAAACACUAAAACAAUUUACAGAAAGAAAAAAAUAAUUAUUGCAUCGCUUGCAUUAGUAAGAAUCUUUAGAGAUAGGCUCGAGGAGAGUCAGUCGGAAAUGCCUUUACUUGACGUACAAGUGUGGGGUCUCCUAAUCGAAUAGCAUAAACCAGAGGUUUUCCAUCAAACAUGCACUCAUAAAAUUCUUUUAUAUGUUAGGUCUCUAAAUUCUAUAUCAACAAUAUCAAAUGCACCAGAAAUUAAUAUUUUUUUUUAAUUCGUAUAUCUACAAGCAAUGCUCAUGUGUCCCUAAUCCCCAACUAAGGACUAUAUUAUAACUCUCCUACCAUCCCAGUUCAUUACGUAACUAGAUAUAUAAAAAUACAGUCUAUAUAAAUCAUCCAACGUCUACAGAAAAAAAAAUCGAAAUGCUUAAACAAAUAUAAGUUAAAUUAGCAGAAGCUUCAUUAUAUGAUUCAAUUGGUUUAAAAACUAAGCACCCUAAGAAAACUUUGAAAUAAAUAGUACAAAUAUAAAUAAGAAUCCUGAACAAAAUGUAAAUCACAGUUAUAUUAUUAAUAAAAUGUAACGUCAAUUAAAAACAUAUAUAAUGCUCUCUUACAAAUCCACACUAAAUAAAAAUUAUUAGAGAUAAUUCUGAUAAAAAUUAACAAUCUAACGUAAACAAACAUUCAUCAAAACAACAAACCUUCUGAAUAAAUGAUCCUCUAAACAAAAUGUUACAAGAAGUCAAGAAAAUCGAUAACUUAAAUUCACCAUCUAUAAGACAUAGCUAUAACAUCUUAUAUUGAUUUUAAAUUUGAACUCACACAAAUAACCAAAGAAUUAAUAAUGAACCACUUCUUUCUUUUGAGUUCUCACACUAAACAAGACCUUCAGGAGCGAAUCCACGGUGCACACUCCAAGUCUACAUCUAUAGGCUCAAUACACAACAAUCUAUCAUUGAUUUCAACAAUCUAUCAUUGGUACUUAACUGUAUAAGUAUGUUCCCUGAAUAAAACAUCAACUUUACUUCAUGUUAAAUUCCAACUAAAUUAGCUUUGUUACGACUAUCAGCUAUUUAUUCUACUUUUAUUGAAUCGAUUAGUCAAAACCACUUAUGCUAUUCCACUUUGAACUAAACAACUUCAAAACAAAGUAAUGUACUACAUUCGCUAAACACUAUCAAAUGGAUCGAAAAAAUAUCAUUCUCUUCCAAAAUAUUUUCAUUUUCAUAUUUUUGAACAUAUUUUCUUUACUAAUACCACUAGUAUUUUCAUAUUUUUGAACAUAUUUUCUUUACUAAUACCACUAGUACUAGAUUAAGACCCGCGCCUUGCGCGAGAUAAACAUUAUAUAUAAAAAUUAUUUUAUGUAUUAUAUGUUCUUACAUAUUAUGAAAUAAUAAAUAUAUAUUGAAUAAUUAAAACUCAGUAACUAUUACAUAUAUAAUUAAAUUAGUGCGAAUGUAUAAAUCAAAUUUAUUAAUCCAAACAAUUUUUUUAAAAAUUUGAUAGGAUAUGUAAUUAAAUUUAAAUGAUAUUAACAUACAUAUUAUAUUUUUAAUAUUAAUGUCUAUUAAAUGAUGCUUUCUACUCAUAUGUUUUUUUGAUCAUGUGUAUUUUUAAUAGCAAAAACUUUAAAUUACUGAUAACAAAAUUUUCAUUGUGGGAUUAAUAAUUUUAGUAAUUUAUAAUUUAAAAAAAAUUAUCAAUGUUAGUUCAAAACUUUUAUCAAAAAUAAUUAUUCAAAGUAAAUUUUGAAAUUAAAAUAUUUAUUUAUUCAAUAUGGUUUAUAGUUUAAUUUAGAAUGAUAUAUAUACAUUUAUAUUUUAAAUCUUAAUGAUUAAUUAAGUUAGAUUUUUAUUUAUAUGAUUUUGUAAUCAUUUUUAUUUUGUCAUAACAAAAAUUUUAAACCAUGGAUCGCAAAAUUUGAAUGUGAGACUUUUAACAGUUUUAGUAAUUUAUAGUCAUUUUUUGAAAUUCAAAAUAUAACAUAUACAGAAAAAUCUAAAUUUUUUAUAAUAUGGUUAUUGUGAUUUUUUUAAAUUAUUUUAAUAGUUUAAAAUUAAACAAAUUUGAUAGAAGAUACAUUAUUUUUUUAUCAGAUCUUUAUUAUUCAAAAUCAUUAAUUGUCAUAUAUACUUUAGCCACAUUAGGCAAUUCCGUAAUCUUUAUUUAAGGAAAUAAUAAAUGACAUUAAUAAUGAAUUUAUGGUUAGUUUAAUAAAAAACUUAUUAUAUAAUUAGAUGGACCAACAUAUUUUUCUAAUAAUUCUAAGAAUCAUCCUAGUGAUGACACGUGGCUACAAAAAGAAGUUGUAAUGUUUCACAAAAGGGGAUGGUAUAAAUGGUUAACGGAAGAAAAGAAAGGAGACCUUUUUGUUAACUGUUGUAAAAUGGUAUACAAUGGGUAUUGAUGUAGUGCGCUCAACUGAUCUUUUAUGCGCAACGAGUAAACAUAUAUUGGCUGUCAACAUUUGAAGUUCUUCCAUACAGUUCUCUGUAAACCUUAAACACUGUUACACAGAUAGACGGGGAAACGUCAGUUCCGACGUCAACACUAUUUUGCGGUCCCAAUUUACAUUACAUAUACUGAUCAUAUAUGAUAAAACAUACAUUAACUCAAAAAUUAUUUAAAUUUCAUACAUCAACUCAUAAUUUAAACGGAGUAUUGACGUCUCAUAUGAGUCAGUUUAUAAUAUUUUGUAAUACAAAAUGACAUCAAAUUUUUAAAAAGAAGGAAAACUUGCAGUUGACUAGAAUCGAAUAACUGUUUGUUCUUUAUAAACCAGGUGUAAAUAUAUAAUAAAUACAGAUUUGUUUUUAGCCGUUACAAAGCUAUUAUAAACGUUUCUAUAGAAUAUAUAAUAAUUUAGCUUUGUUUUUAAGUUUUAGCAGUUACAAAGCUAAGAAAACCUUGUUUUGCCCUGAACCGUUUCUUAGUUUAUAUUAUUAUAUAUAUAUAGUCAACUAUUCCUUUUAAGAGAUUUGAUCUUUCAGAAUUUUUUUUAUUAUUUUACCAUUCUAUAAAAAUGUUAUACAUUGUCCAUAACAUAUAUCUACUCACCUUGUUGUUGUCUAAAAAAACACACAAUUUUCUGCAGUGAUGGGUUCAUUCAAGUCUGCUUUCAUCGUCCUUUUAGUUCUUACUGGUAAUUUCAAAUUUCUGUAUAAUAUGGGAAACUCAAAAGCUUCACUUCUAAACUAUAGACAGAUUUUAUAUUAUUUAUGAACGUAAACAUUUAGAUUCUAGUACUUAUGUUUAUUACAUCUUGUACUGCAGUGGUGAUAUCCGUAACAGUUCAGAUUGGUGAGGCGAAACGUAUGUUACAAGAAGAAAAGUCUCUGCCGGUAUUGGAUCAUCAAGUUUCCAAGCUGGUGGUUAAAUUUUGUCCGGAUGGUUGCCAUUCCUUAUGUUUUGCUACCACUUGUGGUUGUGUAUGCCAUCGGCCACCAAAACCAUAAACUAUGAUCAACUAAUAUGAAUAAAAAAUUAUGUUUUAACAUUGCUUUUAACACUUUUGAUUAUUUCAAAAGAUUAUGACACUAAUAAAUUGAUUAACUCUCAUUUUAUUGUAGUUACUAGUUUGUUUUUAUACCUAUCUUGCCUUUAUUUUCUUUGUUACAAAAAAUAGUAUUUACGAUUUUUCCAUUAUACAGUUUUUUAAAAAAAAAUAUUUAUGUAGUCACAAGUUUUUUUUGACAUAUUUAUUUCUCUUUAGUCACAGAUUUACUUAAAUUAGAAAGGCUUGCUUAAACAAAUAUGUCAUGUUUUUGUCACAAACUUAUUUCAUUACAACAAAUUUAAUGAUGAUUUGACAGAUUUAAUUUUUUCUGACCACAAACUUAUUAAAUUUUGAUAGAUUUAUACAUUAUCGAUAGAUUAUUUAUCUUUGGUCACAGAUUUACUUCAAUUUGACAGAUUUAGUUAAGAUUGCUAGAUUUAUUUUUCUUUUGACCACAGAUUUAUUUCAUGUAAACAUAUUAAUUAAAAUUUGAUAAAUUUAUUUUUCUUUUGCCAUAAAUUUACUUCAUUCUAGCAGAUUUAAUUACAAUAUGAUAAAUUUUUUUCUUACCAUGUAUAGAAAGUUUGAUCUUAUUACAUUUCUGUUCUAUAAAACUUUAAGGAUUUAAUCUUUAAUAUUUCAGAUUUUUUUUCUUACCAUAUAUUAAAAGUUUGAUCUUAUCACAUUUUCUGUUCUAUAAAAACGUUAUACUACAUUAUUUUUAUUUUCAAAAAAAAAAACACGUUAUACUACAUUGUCGAGAACAUAUAUAUUGCCGUUGUCGAAACGAACACAAUUUCCUGCAGUGAUGGGUUCAUUCAAGUUUGCUUUUGUUGUCCUUUUAGCUUUUACUGGUAAGUACAAAAUUUUAUAUAAUAUGGGAAACUCUAAAGCUUCACCUCUAAACUUUAUACAAUUUUCUUUAUUAUUUAUGAUCGUAAAUAAUUAGAUUGUGUUACUUAUCUUUAUUGUUGCAGUGGUGAUAGCCGUCACUGUUCAGAUUGUUGAGGCGAAACGUACGUUACAAGAAGAAAAGUCUUUGCCGUUAAUGGAUCUUCAAGUUUCCAAGCUGCCCACAAACGGUUGGUUCUUGUAAGAAACCUUGCGGAACCAUAUGUAUUAGAGGCAGUUGUCAUUGUGUAUGUAUUCCGCCACUUCCGCCACCAAAACUAUAAACUAUGAUCAACUAAUUAAUGAAUAAAAAGUAUUUGUUUUAACAUUACUUUUUAACACCUUUGAUUAUUUAAAAAUAUUCUGAGACUCAUAAAUUGAUUUAUAUGCAAAAUAUACUAAUUAUCAUUAUCAUACUCUAGACAUAAAACUAGUGCUUAAUUAUGCGUUCGUCUCUCUCUUUACAUCCCUCUUUUUAGGCUUUAAAAUUAUAGAUAUUACAUAAAACUUUACAAGAUGAGUUUGUUCAAACCUGGACGAGUUUCAAACUUACAACAAACACACAUCAUCUAAUACAUGGAUGCAUGUAUAAAUUCUCUAUCAACAAACAAAUGGAGAAAAAAACAAAGACGAAUCAAGACUUCAAAACCAAACGAUCCAUCUUUAUUCAGAGCAAUAUAAACUCGUAUCUGGUCCCAUAUUGAUUUAAGUGGAUAGGAUGUUUUGAAGAGAGACUCUAGCUUGUAUCAUCACCUUGAACAAUCCUUCAAGUCUCUCUUCAACCUCUUCCAUGGCUGACUCUACUUCUUUGGCUCUAACCAAUGAACAUUGAAUCCAUUCACUUACUUUCUCACUAAUAUCUUUCUCCUCUUCUUUGAUGUUCCCUUGUCGUCGUCACUCGUCACAACGAGCUUCCCUAUUUCAGUUUCCAUAGCUUCAAGCUUGAGACAGGAGAAGCCUUUCUCAUGAUGGUGAUGAUCUAUUUCUUUCUUCACAAGCUUCAUAAAAAUGCCCCAACCUUUGUGUUGAUGAUGACUCGUACUUUGUAACCCUUUCGGCGACGACAAGAACGACAACACCGUGCGCAAGAUAAAACAAGUGAUAACACUUGUUUCUUGCAUCAUUCUAAUCAAAGGGCUAAUCACUUGAUCAUCAUCACCACACCAAACACAACGCUCCAAACACGCGUAUGUCUCUUUCGGCAUUACUAUAUACUUCUUAAUCUUCUUAUUGACAUCUUCCCGUGAAGCCGUGUAAGCAUCCAUGUCAUUCUAUAUAUCAUUAUAUCUAAUUCUAAUUUAUUUAGUUUUUUUUUUUCAUGGAUCUUCUUUUAUCUAGUUAUGUCUCUUUAUACAUAAAACCAAAACGUAAUUAUCAGAUUUCAAGAGUGAUCAUAACUCUUGCUUAUUAUAUUCAUCAUAUGACGUCGGAUAUGAGUUGAGUUUCUGUCUAAGACAUCAAACACAUCUCUGUAAUCUGUAUUAUAUAAAUUCAAUAACUAAUAAGAUUUAUGUUAUGAAAAAAAAAUUAACAAAAAAGGAAAAGAUUUAUGUUAAUAAGAUUUAACCAAUAAUUUUUUUACCAAUAAAUAAUUUUAUGCAUGUAAUCUGUAGUACAUAAAUUCAAUAAUUAAUAAGAUUUAUGUUAACAACAUUUAACCAACAAAGAUUUCUGUCCAUAAAUAGCCCAAAAACAAUGUAUAAAAAAGUAUAUUAAAUCUACAGUUUAGCACAAAACUUUAAUAAAUCACAUAAAUCAAUAAGAAAAUUUGUUAAUGUCGUCUACAACUAUGUCCACCGACCCCAUGAAGGUUGAAGUUCCACCUGUUCUAACGUUGCUGAUGCUUCCUAACGAGUUGAUAUUGAGCUGCUUGGCCCGCGUCCCAAGAUUGUACUAUCCGACUCUCACCCUUGUCUCCAAGAGCUUCCGCUCUCUCAUUAAUUCGCCAGAGCUUUGUAAGACGCGUUCACUUUUAGCUCGCACCGAGAGUUGUCUAUAUGUAUGGUUUCAAUUCCAAAAUGACGAGAACACACAUUGGUUCACUUUAUACCGGAACCCUUAUCAAACCGUCGAUGAUAACUCCCAAACGAAUAAAUUAGGUGGCUAUAAAUUAGUUCCAAUUCCAUCUUUAGAUUCUCCUCCCUCGGCCAUGUCAGUUGUUGCUGCAGUUGGCUCUGAUAUAUAUGCCAUUGGUGGAAGUAUAGAUGGCGUUUCUUCGUCUGGCGUCUUCGUCAUGGACUCUCACUAUCACACAUGGUGUAAGGCUCCAAGCAUGCAUGUGGCUAGGGUGUCUCCUUCUGCUAGCGUUCUUGAUGGAAAAAUUUAUGUGGUAGGAGGAUCCAAAAAUCUUGAUUAUACAAACUGGAUGGAGGUGUACGAUACCAAAACCCAAACUUGGGAGUUUGUACCGAGUCCUGGCGAAGAUAUAGACGGAAGAUUUGGAUACAAAAGCGCAUCAUUGGAAGGAAGUGUCUAUGUGAUGGAUAGGGCAAAAUAUGAGACUUUUAAGCUGAAUAAAGGUAGAUGGAGAGUGGCAGACCAAAAGUUGACUACUGGAUGGAGAUGGGAUUCGGGACAGUUUUAUUAUUGUGUGACAGAGAACGUGUUAUACUAUUAUAGUUCCAUAGAUCUCUGUUGGUAUGACUUUAUUGAUAGACUAUGGAGAGGAGUAAAGGGAUUGGAAGGAAGACUGCCUUGGUAUAGAAGAUUUAGAAAUACUUAUCAUCAUCGAUUGGCAGAUUAUGGUGGAAAGUUGGUGUUUUUGUGGAAAGAGGAUGUGCAUACUGAGAAUGUUCAAAACACAACAUUAGUUUGGUGUGCUGAAAUUUCACUUGAAAGACUACACAGAUCGGAGAUAUACGGAACAGUUGAAUGGUGUGAUGUUGUGUUUACAUAUACGACGCAAGUUGAUCAAGAAAAUACGACGCAAGUUGAGUUAAUGCAUGUUAUUGCUACUACUGCUUGAUGAAUGCUUGAAUCUCCAUUCAACAUCAAAUGAGCUAGUCAUUAAUAUUUAAUGCAAGUAUGUUAUUUUGUUUUGAAUUUGUGUAUUAUAUUAGAGUUUUCUGCAAAAAAGGAAGAAAAAAACUCAUUUUACAAAUUUACAGUUUUUUUGUAACAUUACAAAUUUACAGUUAAUUUACAGAAAGUGUAAACUAAAUUAAGUAUCAAGUCGCAAUUUAAAUAUAACAUUAAUAUGAAAUACUUUUUCGUUUCAGUUUUUUUUUUUGAAACACUACUUAUAUUAAUUCAAACGUUCGAAACAAGGUUUGUUGCCGCCAUAAUGGCCAGCUCCGAAGAUAAAACAUUCUUCGCCAGUUCAUCCGCUACACUGUUUCUCUCACGCGAGAUCCAUGUGAACGAGAUGGAUUCAAAAGAAGAGGCAAUAGAAUAAAUGUCAGCUAAAAUGCCAUACAAACCAACUAGUGGGGAGCGCAAGUUAAUAGCUUUGAUGAGGAUCGCCGAAUCCGACUCACAUCUAAGCUUGGGGAGGCCAAUUUCUCUGCACUUUAGGAGGGCUUCCCUCAUCGCCAGUCCUUCUGCUGCAAGAGGGGACUCAACAUGCUGCGCAGUGGUCGAGGAUUGGAAGACUCUCUCCUCUCGAUUAGUUGUCCAUCCCAGCCCUGCAAUUUUUAAAUUCUCGUUCCAUGCAGCAUCGGUUCUCACCAAAACGCAGUCAUGAAGCGGGGGUCUGGGUGGUAGUGCUUGUUUUGUUACAGACAGCUGAAUUUGGCUAGAUAUCCAUUCUCGGGCGCAAGCGGUUGCUCUGGAUAUUGUUUCCUCCACCGUGAUGAUCUUUCCUUCAAAAACUAACUUGUUACGAGCUAGCCAUAGUUGCCAAAUGAUCCAAAGGGCAAGGGCUCCUGUAGAAAUUCAAGUCGGUGGCAAGUUUUUCCUUGAGCAGAAGCUGCUCCAGUUGCUCCUUAAAUCUAUGGAUCCACUGUAUUCAAUGCUUGGGGAGACAGGGGCUGAUUCCCAAACCUGUCUAGCAAAGUCGCAAUGAAAAAGCAGAUGAUCAAUAGAUUCAGGUAGAUUACAUCGUUUGCACUGUCCAUUGGUGUUGAUUCCCCGGGCUUUGAGAGCUUCGCCCACAGGUAGCGCCCCAUGAAGCGCUUUCCAGAUGAACAGCUUGAUCUUUGGUGCUGUUUGGAUUUUCCAAACAUUCUUCUUCCAGUCGUAGGAUGCAUCCUCCGUGCUUACUGUAUCCUCUGCGGUUCGAGAAGAGAGGACUGCAGCAUAGCCGGUUUUGGUAGAGUAAUCUCCUGUGUCAGUGCUCAGCCAUGAGAGUUUGUCCGGAGCCCCGGUUAAGCUUGGCUUAAUGGCUAAAAUUCUCUGUUCCUCAAAUGGGAGCACACGCUGGAUCAUCCCAAUAUCCCAUUCAUUUCGGUCCGGGAGCAUGAGGUCAGACACUGUGAGAUGUGAGAAUUCUCUCGGUGGUGGUCCCAUGGGUCUCAGCUGUGUGGAGCAACUGAGCCAUGGUUUUUCCCAGAUGUUGAUGCUGGAGCCAUUGCCUACUUCCCAUCCUGCGGAGUUGACAAUGAUAUCGCGUCCAAUCAAAACUCCACGCCAGCCAUGCGAGAUAGCAGUUUUUCCUGAGCAUUCUAAGAAGCUCUCCUCACUGCAAUAUUUUCCAAGUAGAACUCUUCCAAGUAGGCUGUCGGGAUGGUUGAUGAUUCUCCAGCUCAGCUUUGCGAGGAAAGCUUCAUUAAAGCUCUGUAUAUCUCUGAAGUUUAAACCUCCACUAUCUUUCGGUUGCACCAGCUUAGACCAAGCAAUCCAAGCCAUCUUCUUAUCUCCUAUGUUUGUGUCCCACCAGAAUCGAGUCAACGUUGAUUGAAUUCUCUUGCACAGAGAUAUCGGUAACUGGAAACAGGACAUGGCGUGCGAUGGAAUGGGAGAUAAUACACUGGUGAGCAUAGUCAUCUUUCCCGCAGUAGAUAAGAACCUGUUUGACCAGCCACAUGCUUUUUGCUUUAUCCGAUCCACAAUAGAUGAGAAAAGAUCUCGCUUCUUCCUUCCAAAUAGCUCUGGGAGUCCGAGGUAUUUGCCGGUACCUCCCUCUUUCUGGAUAGAAAGAGCAUCCUUGAUAGCUGAUUUGAGAGCUGUCGGUGCGUGCCGAGAGAAGUUAAUCGAAGAUUUUCCUGUGUUGAUUGACUGCCCGGAAGCCUCCUCAUAUCGCUUCAGUAAUCGGCAUAAAGCCUCGCCAUUUUCCUUGCUUGCUCUAAGGAAAAACAUUGUGUCGUCGGCGAAGAGGAGAUGGUUGAGGCGAGGACACCCUCGUGCUACACGGACCCCUUUAAGGGUUCCUUCCUCUUGCGCUUUGUUACAUAGACCCGAGAGGACCUCACUACACAAGAUAAAGAUGUAUGGUGAGAGAGGGUCUCCUUGACGGAUACCUCUACUCGGUGUGACUCUUCCUCUAGGCGAGCCGUUAAUGAGGAAGGAGUAAGUAACAGUAGAGACACACUGCAUAAUCCAUUUGAUCCACUUCGGGUGGAAACCGAGGCGUUGAAAUACCAAUCUGAUGAAGUCCCAUUCGAGCCUAUCGUAGGCUUUGCUCAUGUCGGUUUUAACCGCCAUAGAUACUCUCUUCUCAGCCUUGGACGUCUUGAGAUAGUGAAGGACGUCAUGAGUGAUGAGGACAUUGUCCGAUAUUGCCCGGCCCGGGACAAAGGCGGACUGGUUCUCCGAGAUGAUGUUCGAUAACAGUGGCUGCAGUCUCUUGGUCAAGAUCUUGGAGAUGAUCUUGUAGUAGACAUUGCAGAGAGCGAUGAGCCUGUAUUCCGCAACUGUCUUCGGGCUUUGAAUCUUCGGGAUGAGCCGGAUAUGGGUUUCGUUGAUCUUGUCAGGCAGCUUAUCCGACACAAAGAACUCCUGGAUUUCCUUGACUAUAUCUGCUCCUAUAUUUUCCCAGUUUGUGUGGAAGAAGCUGGCCGAGAAACCGUCAGGCCCCGGCGCUUUGUCUGCGUGAACAGAGAAUGCUGCCUCUUUAAUCUCCAAUGCAGAUGGUAUGCGGAUUAGCUCUUCAUUUGUCUCUGCCGAGAUCAUUGGGGAGAGGGCGUAGUGCACUGUAUCUUCUCUGUCUCCACCCAUAGAGGUAAAUAGUCGCUGGAAGUACUCGACAAUAACCCUCCCAAUUUGGUCCUCCUGGUAGACUGCUUCCCCUUCUGCGUUCUCAAUGACCGAGAGGGCAUUAACUCAUUUCCGGUUCUUUGACACAGCGUGAAAGUAUCCGGUGUUUCUGUCUCCUAGGCUGAGCCACAGCUGCCUACUCCUUUGUUGCCAGUAACUCUCCUCUGCUGCAUAGGCUUCGUCAAGUUCCUUCGAUACUUUCGCUAUCAGCUCUGUGUCGUUUACAGGGUCCGUUAGAGCUUGUUCCAGCUGGUGCUUCUUUUCCUCUAUACGGGCUCUACUGUUUAGAGCUUGCUGUCUGCUCCAUUCGAUUAGGACUGAUCGUAUAGCAGAGAUCCUGUCAUUGACAGUUCUAAAUGAUCCAUUCUUCCAUGUCUUGGCCACUAGUUCUUUAACUUCUGGAUUGUUCUUAAGCCGUCGAUCAUAGCGGAACAUUCCACGUUUCUUCUUCUUUUCUGGCUCAAAAAAGGAUAAUAAGGGUUUGUGGUCAGAUCCUUCAAAGGAAAGGUAUUGGGAACUUGCAGUCGGAAACAACUCAGCCCAGUCACUAUUCGCAACUGCACGAUCUAGCCUACAGCGAACCAGAUCAUCACCACGCUUCCCUCUCCAUGACAAGAAAUCUCCCGAGUAUUGGAGGUCAAAUAAAUCACCUUCGGAAAAGAAGGUUCUCAAAUCUGUGAAGGAUCCUUCAGGGCGAAUUGCCCCACCAUCUUUCUCUGCGUUGCUAAGUAGGUCGUUGAAAUCGCCGGUUAAAAACCAGGGAGCUUCUCGGGCCGUGUUCAGAUCAAUCAACUGAUCCCAUAGUUCUUUUUGUUGAGGUCUGUUAGUGUCGCCGUAGACAAAGGAAGCGAAAAAUUUUUUCCCUUCAAAGAUAAUACAAGUAUCAAUACAGUUUGUAGAAGUAGAGAGAACUUGAAGGUUAAUUUCUUGCUUCCACAAUAGCGCCAAUCCUCCAGCUCCGUGUCCCACAGGUGAAACUAGAACUCUGUUUUCAUAUUGCAGCUUGUCCGUCUUCUUUGCAACAAAGCUGUCGGGGUUUUUAGUUUCCAUAAGGAAUAGAAUGUCAGGAGAAAUGUUUCUCUUCAUCUCCUUUAGGCGUCGAACUGUCCGGGGAUUCCCCAAACCCUGACAGUUCCAACUCGCAACUUUUAAGGAACGAGAGAAGAUGGAUUUUGAAAAUCCAUCUUUCUUCUUCUUGAUGACGCCGGAAUCAAAUUGCGGAUGGGCUGAUCCUCCGAGUUUGUUUGCACCUCUGCUCUUCCGUUUGCUCCUCGGGCUCCUCGGGAGCCUCGUGAUGAGGAGGGUUUUGACUUCGCCUUCUGCGGGUUUCUUUGAUCCGUUUCCGGAAUAAGUUUUCUUCUGGUGAGAGGUGGUUUAUCUUGUGGGAGUUUUCUCUUUUUGGAAGUCGAUCCUCUGAUUAACUUUGGGCUUCCUUGCACCGUACGUCUUCCUGGUGGUCUUCCAGGCUUUCUCUUGCCUGUUUCCUUGGAUGCAUCUUGGCCUGAUCCUUGUAAAGGUUGGACAGUAGGCCCUAGCCAGAGAGCAGCUGGUAUUCUUUCUGCUGUGGGUUGCUGUUCCGGGCUUUGCAAGGUAUCUGUAGGUGCUAUCAAAGUUGCCUGAAACAUAAGUGCUGCUGUUUCCUCCAUUUCACCUUCUUCCUCUGCUCUUCUCAUACGUUCCUUGCGAGCCGCGCUCUCAGUUGGAUCGUUGCAUUGGGUGUAUUGUAUCAUGGCCUCCCUGACUUCUCCCACUGCUGCAUUAAAGACUUCCAUUGGUACAGAGGCUUGAACUUCUUCCAGGGGAAUCCCCCUAGUUGGAUUGAUUCUUGACUGCCGUAGAGGAGAUUCCUCUCUUCCUGGUAUUGAUCUAUCUCUGGAUCUUGUUGGUUGCAGGCUGCGGUCCCUGGAUAAGUAUUUAUCCGAAAUGUCCCUUCUCAGGUCCCGUGGCCUAGAAGAAACCUCACGCAGGUGCAGGUUUGUGUCACGGUGAUAGGAGGACCGACUAUCUUGGCUACGAUAGUCCUCUCUUCCCCGCUUGGGGUCCUCACUAAAGUAUCUUCGAGGGACUGUAUCUUGGCUGGAGCGAGACCUGCGUCGGGCCUCUAGUUCAUCUCGCGCAUCAACUUGGCGAUCUCGCCGGUUAUAGUCUUGUCUUCCUCUGUGCUCUGACCCUUGAGCUGUGAAAUGGAAAAUAUUAGAACCUGAGUCGUGUUGCUUGUAGUGCGUUCCCCUUCUCUCAGGCUCCUCAUUCCCCACGCUAGCUUCCUGAGCUUUAAGAGCUCUUGCUUCAUGCUUGGCCUCCAAGCAAUCUUUUAAGUCAUGAUCCAAGCGGAAACAUUUAGGACAAUGCCUAUCGAGCUUUUCAUAUACGAAGCUCGCUGUAACUUCAUCUCCAUUCGCAUACUCAAUCACCGAUGAUUUGAUUAGCGGGAGCAGUCCAUUAACCUGCACCCUCAUUCUCACCGUUGAUGAAGUGAUCUCCAUCUUUUCAAAAACACCCAGAUCUUCGCCAAGUUUCUGGAUUGUCUCCUCUGUCCAUAGAUGUACAGGAAUUCCUUGAACUUUAAUCCAAAAAGGCAAGAGGGAUGGGAAAUUUUUGGAGACCGUGGGUUCCCAUCUCUGAACAAUAACCAUCCAUCUUCCAUAAUAGUAGGGUCUUUUUUCCAAGACCGUUAGUAGAUCCUCCUCACUGUUAAAUUGAAACUGGAACAUUCCGUUUCCUAGGUCAGAGCCGACCGGUUUGGAUUUUGCCUUCCAGAGAUCGGUGAAAAAGGGGAUGAGAGACCAGACUCGCUGCGCCGUUUUGUUGGUAACACGGCCUAUGAGUGUUAGAGAGUGGCGUUGCAUGAGCUCAGCAUUAUCCGGGUCUUGGAUUCUGAUGCGAGCAGUUCUUGGGGCUUGAGAGGGGUCAGUAGCUAUUUCUUUACCUUUAUCCGCUCUCCUAAGUCUUCCAGACAUCUUUUGUUGUGAGGUGUAAAGCACGAAGAAACUAUUGUAGUAACAGGAACCCCUGUGUCAGUUAGUUCCUUAGAGAAGCCGCUUUGAAGGCUUUAAGUAGUUGCUGGUGGAGUCAAUUUGUGAGCAAUAACUUCUUGGUGGUUGAGAUUUAAGUGACAGAUCUUCUUCUAGUUUGUGAUAGAAAAAUAUAUAAGGAAACCCUUAAGCAUAUUUGUGAGCUCCUUGAAAGGCUUCUGUGUUCACGUCUCUGUUCUGAGGAAACCCUCGGUGUAGUGGAGAUCUUCAGCGAAGUUGGGCCCUGAAGAGGAAACAGGUUCCGCUGCGGGGAAAGGCGUGGCUUUGGGUUGAAACGACCGGUUGGGAAACUCCAGCAGGCAAGUUAAGCGGCGUGAAGGCGGCUCCGGCGGUCCCUCCGACCAUGGUCGGGGGAAGAACCCGAUGUGUAAUAGACCAGAGCGUGGAGAUAUCCAAUGGUUUUUUCCAAAAGAAGAAAGAAAUUCGAAAAGAAACUCUGUUGACUUUUGGACUAAAGCAGGUUGCUGGACAGGAAUGUGCUUGGGUCUAUUGGAUAAAGACUGCUCUCGAAAAGGUCGUCUGGGAGAGAAGUUGUAUCAUCGUACGCUAUUUUAGUAAAUUUAAUAGUUUUACUUUUUCGUUUCAGUUUAUAUGUUGUUUUAGGUAUUAUAAUUCUUCUGUGAUCGAAUAUAGGCUCAGCACUUAUACAAGUCUUAUGAUUUUUUUUUUACUUUUUAAUAUUUGUAUUUUCCAAAAAAAAUUGCUAAAACUUUUCUUUUAAAAUUUUAGGUGUUAAUUUACAGAAAGUGUAAACUUUUAUGUUUAAAUAUAACAUUAAUAUGAAAUACUUUUAUGUUUCAGUUUAUAUGUUACGCAGUUUAAAUACUUUUAACUUUUAUGUUACGCAAUUUAAAUAUAACAUUAAUAUGAAAUACUUUUAUGUUUCAGUUUAUAUGUUGUUUCAGGUAUUAUAAUUCUUCUGUGAUCGAAGAUGGGCUCGCACUUAUAUAAUCUUAUGAAUUUUUUGACUUUUUAAUAUUUGUAUUUUCCAAAAAAAUUGCUAAAAUUUUUCUUUGAAAAGUUUAUAAAUAAUAUUUUUGUUAUAAAGACAAAAGAUAUAUGCAAGUAUCUUUUAGACAUCUUCAAUCGAACUUAAAAUUUUACUUUUUACAUAUUGGAAGUAUUAACAAUUAAUUAAUACUUAACCCAAUUUUAUAAUCUUAACAAUUAAUACUUCCAGUAUUAACAAUUAAUACCAACACCCAGUACUCAAGUGUCCAAAGAGAUCAACAAAUUUGUGGUCAAAGAGGGAUAUGUCUACGAGGAACGGCUACGCAUUACACGCUCAGAAUAUGUACUUAAUGUCGGCUUGAGAUCUCACUUUAGCAAGCCAAAUGAUUGGUACGUGCUCACCAAGACACCUUGCAUUAAUAAGUUAAUCUUGUUUCCGUUAUUCCCUAGUAUAUCCGGCCAUGGUUACUCUCUUGUCACGGCCGGCUCCACGGUCUAGGCAAUAUGUGGACUUAAAAACAAAGAACGUAUGUCCGAUGUAUUUAGCAUCAAAUGUGCAUCUCUUAUGACACUGCAAUUCUCCCAAAGAUGAAAGAGGCUCGUUUCAGCCCUAAGAAUGGGCUGUGUUUUAGGGUAUCAAAUGUACAAUUAUUCAAAGUAAACUAAACACUUUAGUAUCGUGAUUUUAAUGUUUGUGAUGGAAAUGCUUACAAAAGGCAUCUCUAAUAGUUGAGUUUAUUUCUAUCUUGAAAAUUUUAUUUUCUUCAAAAUAAAACAACAAUUUCUUUGGUUUACUUUAUUUUUUUCUAGUAAAUACUCCAAUUAUAUUCUAUCUCCACUUUAUUAUUAAUUAUUAAUAGCAUCUUUUACUAUUUCAUGUUAAUUAAUAUUAUCCAGUUAUUUUGUUUUAUCAAUAAUCUAGCACAAUUACUAUUUAAUAUAAACUAAAUAUAAUUAUAUUAUAAAACUAUUACAUAACAUAAAUAAGCAAACAAUGAACAUUCUAAUUUAUUAAAAUCAUCAUAAAUAUAUUUUUCUAUAACUGAUUAACAGAAGUAUUUUUAAGCAAAAGGUAAGUUUAUUUAUCUUUUGAUUCUUCUUAUGUGAGAUAAUAUUUAUAAGAAAUGAAUAUUUUUGUGAUUUUGUAUAUAAAAAUCCAAUUAGAUGAAAAUAAUAAUUGAAUAUUUAAAAUUAGUUGGAUAGUAGUAACAUAUGUAAUUUAUUUUGCCAAAGGAUAAAAAUAAAUAAAUUUUAAGGACCAAUCUAAAAUUUUAAAAAUUCAUCUUCGAAUUUGAAGAUAUACCGUUCACAUUUUCAUUUUAAAGUAAGAAAUAAGAAACGUUGGAGUAAAAAUUUAUUCAAAAUGAAUAAAAAAGUAGAAAAUGAAUCAUCGUUGGAGUAGUAUAAGGUUAUCAAAGGCUGUAGACUAGGGUAACAAAACAAACGAAUAGGCAAUGUGCACCCAUAAAAUUUCAAGUUAAAACAAAAAUGUCUGAGAUUUUUUGUCUAAAUUUAUCAGAAAAACUUGUAACCAAUGAACCAUAAAGUUGAAAACAUCAAAGAUACUACUAUUACUCUCAAGUCUCAAACAUUACCAAAACUGUAAGAAAGCCAAGAAUAACAUUAUUGCCUUAAACCCACAUCAAAUCCUCACAUUCAAAUAAUCAAACAACACACCAAACUAGAGCUUGAGGAAAACAAACUCUUCCACCGCUGGAAUCUCCCCAAUCUUCUUAAGAGUCUCCUUGCUCGGCUGAUCAUCUACACCAAUCGCCAUAAUAGCUUGCUUCCUCGGUGCGAUUCUUCCAACGCUCAUGAAGUUAACAUUAACAUUAGACUCUCCAAGAAUGCUCCCCACCGUACCGAUCAUACCUGGUUGAUCCACCUGCCUGCACAGUAUGAUACUACCUUCAAGAGUCACAUCCACCUCAAAUGAUCCAACCUUAGUCAAAUGCGGGACUCCGUCUUUAACCUUUCCCUCUACUUUGACCUCUCCUGAUUCAGACAAGGAGCUCGCGAAUUUCGACUCCACGUUCCCUAGCUUCACAGUUAUCGUCUCCAACGGGUUCUCUGGUGACCCGUCCAAGACCACACGCUCCUCCGAGAGUCUCAGACCUCUCUGCUUAGCUGUGAAAUCAGCGUUGACCAAGUUGACGUAUACGUCAGAGAUCGGCUCGAUGAUUCCCUUUGUGAUCAUGGCCCUUAGAAGCCUCGUGUCUAGAUCAUCAGUGGCUCGUGCUGACGUGUACGACACUUUCACGUUCUUCACGCCGCUUCCUCCGGCCACCAGCUGCACCGCUAGUCUCCCUAGCUUCUCAGCUAGCACCACAUACGGUUUCAGCUCCGUCAGAACCUCAGCAGAGACCAUAGGCGCGUUGACCGCAGUAGCAGCGAGCUCUCCGUUCAAAGCUCCAACAACAGCUUCAGCGAUCUCAAUCGCAACUCCUUCCUGAGCCUCCAUCGUGCUGGCUCCAAGAUGAGGCGUCACCGUGACCCUCUCGUGCUGCACCAGAGGGCUGUCUUUAGCCGGCGGCUCUUUGGUGAAAACAUCAAGCGCGGCCUGAGCAACGAUCCCAGCAUCAAGGGCCCUCACUAACGCGUCUUCGUCUAUCACACCUCCGCGAGCGACGUUCACGAUGCGAACUCCUUUCUUCAUCUUGGCAAAGGUCUCGUCGUUGAGUAUCUUGGAUGUCGCCGGCGUGAGAGGCAUGUGGAGAGAGAUGAAAUCAGCGGUGGCGAGGGCUUCGCCGAAGCCGACUAGCUCAACGCCGAUGGCGUGUGCACGGUCUGCUGGCGCGUAGGGAUCGUGAGCGAUGACACGCAUGCCGAGACCUUUGGCACGACGAGCGACUUCGGUCCCGACUUUCCCGAAUCCCAAUACUGCAAGAGUCUUGCCGACGAGUGAAACGCCAACAUACUUGUUCCUCUUCCAUUCCCCUGUUCAUUCAUUACAGAGAGAUUAAAAAAAACAAGAUCUUUCAGACAAAAACUAUCUACGAGUCAGUAAUAUAAUAUUACAGACACUCCACAGUCCACACACACACAAGAACCAACAAAACAAGAUCCUUCAAACAAAACUCUCAACGACUCAGUAAUAUUAACAAUGUUUAAAAAAUUACUAAGGAGUAAUUAGGCGUUUUAUAGGAGAUUAUUGAUUAUACCAAAUUUUUUAAAGUCUACACCUAUUUUCUAUAAAAUAAUUCAAGAAAAAUAGUUUGUUUAGGUCUAAUUGCUGCAUAUACUGAAUUUUUUUUUUUUUUUUGAAUUUUAAGGAAUUCAGGGUUUCCCCAAAGGCUUUCUAGGCCCAAAGGACUAAUCCCCCUCCUGGCGCUGACGAGCUCCAUGUAAUAAUGCCCCAGUGGCCCGAGAGAAUUGUUUGCAUAUACUGAAUUUUUGAACACUGCAAAACUAUGUUACAGUCACUCCACACACACACACACACAAGAACCAUCAAAACAAGUAUGAAGCUUACCAGCCUUAACAGACGCAUCAGCUUGAGCAACGUUCCUAGCCAUGGCGGCCAAAAGCGCUAUCCCAUGCUCCGCGGCAGCGAUCGUGUUCGCCGUCGGGGCGUUUACGACAAGACAGCCAAACUCCGUCGCCGCUCUCAGAUCCACGUUGUCGAUGCCAACACCAGCGCGUCCAACAACCUUGAGACGUCCACGAGACGACUCGAAAACCUCGCGGCCAACCUUUGUCCCGCUCCUAACGAUCAACGCGUCGCAGAGGGAGAUCUUGGUGUUGAGCUCCUCGGGUGUCAUGUUGUAAGAGCAGUCGACAUUGGCGAAAUCCUCCAAGAGCUUCACUCCGGCGUCGCCGAGCUUCUCCGCGACGAGGAUCGUGGGUUUGGAUCCGUCUCCGGUGGUGCAGGAGACGAGGACGAGUCGGCGGGGGUUGCGGGAAGGGAAGGAGAUGGAAGAGGCGGAGGGGAGAGGCGAUCUGGAAGAGAGGGACAAGCUCUUGAGGGGGUUGGUGGUGGCGACGGAGAUCGUGGAAGACGCGGCGGCUGACAUUGCUAACGUGAAAAUGUUAGUUGGUGGCACGAGUGGGAGAGGGAUGGAGAGAGAGAUCUGAAUGGUUAGAGAGGCGACGUCGGCGUUUUUAUAGGGGUUUGGUGUGAUCUCACGCGCCUUCGCGGAAUAUUAUUAGCGAUUGAGGAGAAAGCUUUUUUCUCGGACCAAAGCCUGAUUAGAGAUCCAACUUUUUAUCUGAAUCUUGUAGUAAUCAUGUGAAAAUCGACUAAUUAUGUGAACUAUCUAUCUCCCGGGAGAAAUAUUUUACAGCUUCCAAGAUUUUUUCCAGAUCUUAAACUUUGCAUAUGAUUUUAGCUUUUAUUCAAUUGAAUUUUAUUUUAACUCAAAUCACUUUUUAAUUAUUUUUAGUAACUUUGAAGCAGCAAUUUAGGUGUACCUAUAAAACAAAUGUUGAAUAUGAGAGAUGCGACAUGCUAAUCACACUACAACUUAACAAUCGAUUAAUGAUUUUUUAAGCGACUGUACUUGUAUGAACCCAAAUAGUAACAAGGGUUUCACUACUAAAACGAGGUAUGUAUGCACUAGAGAGAGAGUUGCAAAGCAAUUGAAAAGUAGCUGAAGACUUCAAAAUGGAAUUGAAUUUGAGUUGUACAGAGUAUAUAAAACUUCCAAAAAGAGUAAUGUACAAUAACUUUAUUUAGUUGGUGGUCAAGUUUUACUGCAGUUUUACUCGUGGGGAAUAUUUCAAAGGAUAUACUGGUGGCUGUGACGUAUGUUUAAUUUAUGGCACGUGAAAGGUUUGCUUUUUGUGUGUUUGCAUCUGCUUUAAGAUGCAUUGUUUUUUUUUUGGUAGGUCAACCUGUCAAAAACCCCUUACUACUAUGCAGCCGCGCAAGCUUUAUAUACUGUUACAUUUGUUAAAACUUAAAAUCAAGAGAGUAUUGGCCCAAUAUACCUUAGUGGACUCGAAAUUGGAAAACUACCCUAAAGCCUGAAAACCCCACAAACAAUGUAUCCCAUUGUGUGUGUCAUGACGGAAAUACCCCUACCGCCAAGGGAAGUACGAUCACAGCGUGGGGAGAGAUAGAUUUGGUAUGAUCUUUCCAGUACAAUCUUAGGGUUGCGGAUAAAUAUAAGGUUUCCAGCUAUUUUCUUUCCCUUCCACUCGUUUUGCUACAGCAAUGUGCAAGGUACACUAUGAAAUUUGCAGGAAAUCUGGAAAAUAUCUAUGUGUAGCAGAGAAUGGCAGGAUUUAGAGGUUAACGAAAACAGUGUAUGGUUUCGGAUUCUCUAUUUAAUGGAGUCCUCCAAAUCGAUAAAUGUCAACUUGUUUUAUAGAAAGAGAACGAAGACUGUUAAAGCGAGAGUGUUGCAUAAAGUAGUCUCCUUUUACAGUAGUCGUUAUCCUUCCAAUUUAGGUAUGUUUUUAUCUUUUGUUUUCUACCAUUAAAGAUGAUUUCAGACUUUUUGAGUAGACGUUAUCUUCCAGAUUUAGGUUUAUUCAUUUUUUUUUUUUUUUACCCAUUAAAGAUGAUUUCAGACAUUGUGAAUAUUCGUUAUCGUUCAGAUAUUGUUUUGUUCUUUUUUUGUCUUCUACCAUUAAAGUGAUUUUUUGUACAGAUGAAACUUGUUGCUUCAAUGUCACCAAUUUGUCAUGUUGUCUUUUUUUUUGAAGAUCAUAGUGUUUACAUCUAACAUAAAAUUGUGCCUGAUAUUAAUUUUGUUGUCUGCAAAAUCCUAGGAAAUUAACAACACAAUGACUUGUUUGUACUCAAAAUUGCAGAUAAGUGGUUCAUAAUGGGCCAGUUAGUAAACUGGUUGUUGGUGUGUGGAAUUGUUGGUGUGUGGAAACAAGUUGGAAUUCGUGGUUGGCUGUUCCUGGAAGAUCCGACGGAGCGAAGAUACGACGUCAUGGUUCACGAGAACCAGACUUACGCAUCUCUGAUGGAUCUUGUGCGAACACGAUACAGUGUAGGAACAGAAACCGCAGUGUGCCUGACUUUUGAGUUUCCGGAGUGGAUGAGGAUCCCCGCAGAUGUGGCAUGGCCACCGGUGGAUGUCAGGGAGGAUGGAGAUGUGGAUCUAUUCAUGUCGGUGAGACUUGAAAUCCAAGAUUUGAAGCUAAUGGUGACUAUAGGCAACAAUGUAGUUGCACGUUAUCUUUUCCAGAGGAGGGAUAACUAUACAAUUAUCGGGAGUUCAAGUGGAAACUUAGAUGUUAAUGUGAACCCUUUAUGUGGUAUCUCUGAUGUUAGUCAUCUACCACUGAGGGGUGUGAAUGAAUAUCGUGGUGGUUUAACGGAUGGUGCUGCGUAUUGGGAAAGUAUUCUUGGCCAGGGGGAAAUGACAACUGGUCAGCAGUCUCUCCUAGGCGUGUGCACGGAUGAUGACAAUACCACACAACUGAGAAGCCCUCGGUUAACCCAAGGGAAGCCUCCAUUUGCUAAUGCUAUGGAGACAGCGAGGGAACAGAAUCAUCAACAGACUCCUCAGCUGCUCCACUGAAUGCAUUCCCCCCGAUCGCUGGUUCUGGAGUGAUAAGAUUGAAGGAGGGCAUUCAUCAGCCUGUUGCCAAUCCGAGUUUGGCCCUGACAAUAGGUAUGCUAUAAGGACUACAAUAGCUACUACGUCUAUAUGUUAGCAGUUGUGUUAUAUAUGUUAACACGUAUGUUAUUAAAAUUUCGGUUACCUUGUCAGUUGGACAGCAAAAAAGGCCUCCGUCUAUACUUGAUUACAUUACCAAGGGUAAAGGAAAAGUGUCGGAGGUGGGUGUUGUUGAUAAGACACAAGUGAGCGCUUCCGGUGGUUCACUCUCUCCUAGUAGGAACCCAAACUUUGCAGAUCCAUUACCCUAUGAUGACUCCGCUGAUGAAGGUGAGUGUACAUACACCAUCUUAUUUGUAUAAUUAUUUGGACCCCAACAACUUGUCAGUAAUCUAUAUUUUAACCUCAUUUGGAACAGAUACCGCUGCUGAAGGAAAUCAACAUUUGUUUGUCAGGCAAGUCUUCAUGGAUCGAACUGCUUUCAAGACACACAUGUCGCUGUAUGCGUUGGCCAAAAAGUUCCCCUUUGUCUGUCGUCGAUCAGAACCUGGAAAAAUGGUGCUAGCGUGUAAGGGCACCAACUGCAAGUGGAGAGUGUACGCAAGUAAGCUGGCCGGGUGUCCAACGUUCCAGAUUAAGCGUGUGGAUGAGGAGCAUAACUGUACUGUAGACGAGCGCGGUGACUUCAAGAGGCAUGCGACAUCUAAUCUGAUAGGUGAGAUGGUCCGGAACAAGUAUGCUGGUGUUGGCGUUGGUCCUAAGCCAUGAACCCUUAGGGAGUUCAUGCGCACUGAUCACCAUGUUCCCAUAACAUACUGGAAGGCUUGGAAAUCUAGGGAAGUUGCAAUUGAGAAAGGCUUUGGUAACACUAAGGACGCCCACAAGAUGCUUCUUUCUUAUCUGGAGCAGUUGGCUCUCGCUAAUCCUGGUUCUGUCGUGGCUAUAGAAACAACACGUGAUGCUGGAGACGUCCAACGUUUCAAAUAUCUCUUCAUCUCACUUGCCGCUUCUGUUAAGGGUUAUAGCUACAUGAGAAAGGUGAUUGUAGUAGACGGCACUCACCUUAAAGGGAAGUAUGUUGGCUGCUUACUCACUGCUAGUGCGCAAGACGGAAAUUACCAAAUUUUCUCUAUUGCCUUUGUUGUGGUUGAUGGAGAAAACGACAGCUCCUGGACUUGGUUCUUCCAAAAGAUUUUGGAGGUCGUGGAGGAUGGGUAUGAUCUGGUCUUUGUCUCCGACAGGCACAAGUCCAUCUACGCUGCUCUUCUGAAGGUACGAUCACGAUCUAUUACUUGGAUUUCAAUGACGUGGUUAUCUGAUAACUAAAAUAUUAGCGCUUAAGUUAUAUGAUUGACUAAACGAAACAGGAUGUAUUGCUAUGUGCAGAUGUACCCCCGAGCCAAGCAUUUUGCUUGUCUUCUCCAUCUGCAGCGGAACAUCGUCACUAUGUUCAAGAAGAAGCACCUAGCUUACUUGGUCUCGAAGGCAGCUAGGGCCUACCGUGUCUCUGAUUUCUACAGGCACUUCAAUGAGAUAAAGAUGAUCGACAUUAACUGUGCUGAUUAUCUAGUCAGGGUUGGUUUCGAACAUUGGACUCGGUCCCACUGUCAUGGCUUGCGUUACAAUAUUAUGACCAGUAACAUAGCCGAGUCACUCAAUGCCGCUUUGGCGGAAGCAAGGGGAUAUCCAAUAGUUGUGCUGCUUGAUUACAUUAGGUCUAUGCUGAUGAGGUGGUUGUCAGGAAGGCGUGAGGCAUCAGCUGGGUGCAGCGGUGUUGUGACGCCAAAGGUAGAAGAGCUGAUGUCCAAGAAUUUCAGUGUUUCAACGGGGUUGCUUGUCCGUCACAUCAAUGGGGGUGAGUUUGAGGUUCGUGGCAUGGAUGGACACCCUUUCAGGGUUGACCUUGAUAAGAAGGUUUGUAGCUGCCUAGAGUUUGAUAUACUCUUGAUCCCCUGUGAGCAUGCUGUCGCUGCUGCGAUGCACUCAAAGCGCAGGAUAGAUGCUCUCGUUGGUGAGAAGUUCACGCGCAACACUUGGGCAGCUGCUUACUCCAUGAGCAUCAAUCCCACCAGUGAUUAUAUGACUCCAGCUGCUGAGGCUGACACUCUUGGUGCGCUGAACCUUGCACCGUCAAAUACAAGACGCCCACCAGGGAGGCCUAAGAAGACAAGGAUCUUCUCGCGUGGUGAAUUCAAAGUAAGGGAGUUAACAAUUUUUGGAAAAUUUACAUUCUAGUUUAACAGUUAAUUUGUUUAUCGGUCCUUAUUACUAUAUCUUGACACACUGGUUUGAUUAUGCAGAGUGGUCUCCGUUGGCGUCGCCCAAGUACUUGUAGGAGGUGCGGUGGAGCGGAUCACAACUGUGCCACCUGUAAAAUGCCAAUAUGAGAAGGUGUAAGGUUAUUAGGGGGCCAAUGGAAUGAAGUCUUUUGAUAAAGGUAUGAUGUGGGGCGACCGAUUUUCUUUGUUUAAUAUCAAUGCCUCCGACAUUCUCCUGCGAUAGUCCCAGUGAGAAUGACGGUAAUUCGAUCAGAGAUAAAAUGAAUUCGAUCUGGGAAAAUGGUAACUUUAUGUACUCAGCUUCCAAGCUAAAAUUAAUUAGCAACUACGUGAAUGUUUAUGAUCUAAUUUGGGCGUGAGCAUACCUCGGUGUCGGCUAGUGUCUCUUCUUCAUCGACUGUAGGCAGUUGAGCAAUGCGGGAUGUGUGCUCCUGAGAUACUAUGGGGGUGACGUUAAAUCCUUCCACUUCCGUAACCACAACAUGUUCCACGCUUUCGUGAUCUGUAGCUACGCCCAAAGGGAGGUUGUGACUAUUCUCUGUUGCCGUUAACUGUAAGAGGGUAGGACCUAUUAAUUAUAAUAAUGACUACAUAUAAAGUGUAGCAGUUGUAAUAAACCACCAUAUACUUACAUCAUUUGGGAUUGAGAACUCUUGAACAUCAUUGAUCACCUUGUUUAUUACCUCGUCCGCUCGUAAUUGGCUAUCGUUGUCCUCACCGUGUAGCAAUGGCUCUUUCCUUGUUAGUGGCGACCACGCCCCACCUGAUUGAUUUCCAUGUUCUUUAGGUGAUAGCAACGGUCCCGCAGAAUUGGCAGCGUCAACAUUUUCUCUCCCGCUCUGUCCUCUCCCACUAGUGUCUUCCUCGCGCACUGCGGUAGACAUUUGUUUUCCAAGAAAACCAAUGAUGCUCCGAAUCACUGCACCCUCCAUCUUCUCACGUUGAGCUAUAAUAACUUUGCCAAGAAUCUGCUCGAUUUUUGCAGCUUCCCAUGAUAAAGCAUCCGCGAUUUUCUUGUUAAUUAUGCCUGCAAUAAAGUUUGCAAUACGGCUGGAAGCACCAAUGUCAACUGCAUCCGUAGCGAGAACGUCGGGUAGGCUCUCUGGUUCCUUUUUAUCUUUACCCUCUUUUUCUUUUUGUUUCUUUUCAGCCCUCAUACGAGACAGAUCGAUGCCGGUUAAGCCCCCAACAAACAUUGCCUUGUUGAAAACUUUGCCAUUUUGAAUUAGGCGGACAAGGUUAUCGACAGUCUCAUCGUCGACCUCGUCAUCCCACUCCAACUGAUUACGCGAGUGUGUAGUAUCCUCAAUCAUGGAUAUGACCUCCGUCUGAAAUGCAUAGAAAAUAAAUAAGCAGCUGAUCAUUUUAGUGGUAUGUGUCAAUGGUGACGCUGAUACUACCUACUACUAUAUAUUUAUAAGCUUAGUAGCCACUUAAUAUGUUGACUUAUAAUAAAACAUGUGAUCGUUAAGUGUUAUAGGGUAUGGUUACCCCUAGUAGUGCAGUCACAUAUAGAAUGAUGUAGGGGAUUAGAGCAGGUUAGCAGACAAUAAUAUUAAUACCAAUUACUUGUCGCUAAGUUAUAUUUUUAAACUUAGCAUCUAUCUUUUCUCUUGCCUAGUACUACAGUUAUUUAACACAUAUCAAUCUUAACAACCACCAUGUAUCGACAGAUGGUCUAAGUUUUAAAAAGCAAGCUAACCUUUGCCUCCUCAUCUAGGUCUCUGGCGUGAGUUGGGUUGACAUAGUAUCAGACCGUCUUGGGCUGUGGCGCUGGGGCAUCUGUUUCUUCUUCUACUUCAGCUUCAGUGUCAUUACAUCCCGACUCAGAUUCACUGUCAGACUCAAUCACAACAACAGGUUCUGACUGCGGGACAACCUCUUUAAUCUGAGGAACGGCAGCCAUGAAUACAAGUUGAAUGGCAUCUACGAAUCCAGGCAAUGCAAUGCUGGAUUGGGAGAGUAAGAUUUCGUCUUUCUUCUUGAUUCCAGUUACCAGCAUCUCAAAUGUUACUCUCCCCCAGGGAUAAGCAAGAAACUCACUGAAGUCACGAAUCAAUUCAACGUGCUCUGGGAUAAUACGGGGGAGGUGAGAUGUCGGAAGUAAAAAGCAUGACGUGAAUGCAAGACAUGCAUACUUCAGCCGCAUCUCGCGGUCUUUAACCUUCUUCUUUUUCAGCAUUUCUAUCGCUGCAUCAACUGGACAGAACUUGAGAGACCCAAAGAGUUCACCCCAAUAUAGCUUCUCUGUAAUAGGAUUCUUCUUCCUUUUGAUGUUCUUUUUGAUAAUCUUGUUGCAAUUAAGCCCAGUUACAUGAGCAAACUCUUGAAGAGACAUCCUAAUAGGUUUACCAGCGAACAAGAACCAGAUCUCGUAUUUUUUCUUCACCCAGAGCAUACGCACAAUGACGAACUGACCAAAGGUACCUGAAAACGAAGGGUUUUCUGCUUGCGAAAUGAUCUUCCCAAAGGUUGUAUUCCGCAUAAACUCGACUUCAUCAGGUUCCAAGACUUCAAUUAUGGAAUCAAUUCUCUUGGGUUUGUGGUAGGUGUUCACUCUCUCUCCAGCAGGUUUUUCACCAGCGGCAAACAUGCGUUCUGGAAUCUGUAUCUCUUCCAUUUCGUCUGUUGGGAACUUCUGAGAUUUUUGGAGACUUUUGGAGAGAAAAAUAGUUUUGUAACUACUUCAAGAAUGAGAACUGAUAACGGUGACUAGAAGGUGGAGACUUUACAAUCGUCCUAUUAAACUGACAAAAGAAGUAAUUCAAGGCUCUUCAAUUGCCCCCAGUGUCAUUUGGGAAGAUCUUGGUAGUACAAGUGAUGUCGUGUGAUAGGUCUCGCCCUAUACUAGUGUCUGACAUCAAUUUUGCCAGCUGCGUGUGCUAUGGUAUUAGGCGCUGUAGGGGUCUUUCGGUAUAUAAAAAAAAGGUACAGUAAUGUAAAAGGUGAAAUGGUAGUUCUCUAAUUUCAGCGAUUUCCGUGUGUAUAGCGCCUAAUUUCUCUAAAAUCAAUGCCAAGUUUUAUUUUGUUUUUGUAUAGAACAUUGAUUAUCUAUAUGCAAAAGAAAUAUCUUUGAAAAAAUAAUACAGUAUAAAUAUAGAUAGGCUUCUCCGAACCUGAGGAAAAAAAAAACACUACAUUCUUUGACCAUCAGGUCCAUCACAGUACAUGCAUAAACGCCAAACCAAUGUUCUUCGCAGAGAAACUACAAUAAAAAUACAAAAGCUGGUUUCUGAUCGAGAUGUGAUUACAAUCUCUGAUCAUGUUUGUGUUUGCUUUGUUUAUUCAAUGGCAAGCUGCUAAGGUCAAAUUGAGCUAUGUUACGCAAUGAAAGAAAAAUAGCUUAGUUGGAUAGCUUUGGAACGUGUCUCAUCAUGCUGCUGGGGUUGGCUGAGCUGAAGAUGGACAUGUUCGCUCGAGUUACCUCCCAUGUCUAGACCAUUUGUGAGAAGAGAAGUUUUGUCUGCGCUUUUCACACUCUCAACCUCUGAAACCUGCAAGUAGUAGCCAGUUUACAUAUUAUCCUCAAUUUAGAAGAAAUAAUAAGCAUGUUGCAGCGUUUUCAGAGAUGAUUCCGCCUCCCCAAAUCGAAGAUACCUUCUUAUGUAACUCCAUGUUCUGCUGGUGCAUUACGUUUACUUUCUUGUGGAGCUCUAAAUUCUCUUGGUGCACGAGAUUACCCUGCAAUAAAAAAUAUAAGAAUUAGCAAUUUGUAGGAAUCAAAUAAUGUGGAAAUGCCUAAUCAGAGUCCCACCUCUCGGUUGAGUUCUUUUAUUUCUUCGACUAACAUUUGCUCCUACAAACGUCAAUAAAAGAAAAGAGUAGAUAAAGAGUACAGCCAUUAAGUACAUGAAAAGGUUGACUUAUUUACCACAACAUCAAAUACCUUUUUCAUUCGUACGUCGCCAAGGCUCAUCUCAAGCUGAUUCUCCAGUUUCUGAAGAUCUUCCACACUUAGUCCAGAGAGCUCUUCACCCAUCAUUUGCCUAUCAAUUACAAGCUCUUUCCCAUCACUUUUGAAUAUGCAAACUUUUCUAGAGUAAUUAUAUACCUUUCCUAAUUCAUCCAAACAAAAAGAAAAGAGAUAGGGAAAGUGGAAGUGUUUGGUUAUUCACUUCUUGUCGAUGGUCUACAACUCUAGAUGUGUGGAGAUAUAACUCACGAGUUUGCGGAGAUAACAAUGGUGAUUUUGGAGAAGAUAUCCAGCAUCAUUGUAAAGUCCUUAAGAGGUGGUAAAACAGUUUGCUAUUUUAUUUUUAAUAUCCACAAUUCCUAUUGAAAAAAUGCAAAUGCUAGAAUAGUUUUGAUUUUCCGCAAAAUCUUAUAGCCUUACAUUUUUAGUACAUCAUGUCAUGUAGUAUUUGACGAACUCAGAGGAUGCAAAAACAUACCGGUGGUUUUCUUGCAAGUUAUGUAGCUGUCGCUUCAGAAUCGCAGCCUCAUUUUGCCAAAACUAUAAUAUAGCAGAAUUAUUUUCAGGUGACGGAAACUGAGAAAACAAGUUUUUUACGGAAUUAACACUUAUCAAGUCUAGAAUGGAUUCUUGAAAAAGAUAAUGCAAUAUAAUGUAUGUAAUCUUAUGUUCAGGUGCAUCUUGAGAGGAGUCAAAAGUUGAAAUAGGCUAACGAAGCUGUAGCAAACUAACAUUAUAAAAAGCACCAAGUAAGUAACUAUCUCUUUGUUUUACUAUGUUACUUGUUUGGUCUAUUCGUAAUUCAUUUAGAGUAUUAACUGCAUCAAGUAUUCGUUGAAAUUCAUAGAGAGGACUAAUAAACAUUGAACCAAAAGAGGAAUACCUUGAUUUCUGAAGCUGGGUUCAUUUCCGAAUUGGUGUCACAUUUGGCAUCUCUGUAUCUCUCUAUUACCGACUUCAUGCUGCCAAAAAAAGAAGAAGGUUAAGUUGUAUAUCUGCAGGAGUGAGUUUGGCAGGUAAGGUAACUCGAGCAACAUCAACUGCAUCAUUUCUCCUUACAUAUCUUCGGUGACAAAACUUUUACUUAAACUACCCUAAGCCAAUUUUACCAACGUGGAAAUUAAUUCUCUGUACCAAAAAUACAGAUUCUCCAUACUCUAAACAUAACAUGAUGUUGCAUGAAGCUUAAGUAGAGAAUGAAAGAAACAAGACCAAACUUAUGUACAAGUGGCCAACUCAAAUCACCAAACCAGAGUUCAGUUAUUAUUGUUGUCAGCUGGCAAGUAUGAACUAGUGAAACAUAAAUGUGUAGGACCCUUUAGAACCAUUGCCUCUUCUAUUUAAAUCUCAUGGAACCAUCAACUCUUCUGGAUCUACAUUUAUUUCUGACAAUCUUUUUAGUUUUUACUCUAUACUCUAUAGUUUAUUUUCUUUUUACUUCAGUGAACUCCUUCUAAAGUAGAAAAUCAGAAGGGAUUUGAUGAUUGAUAUGUAUAAUGUCUUUUUCCAAAAAGAAAGAAUAUACUUUUAUAUAUAACUAAACAAUGACCAAGUUGAGCAUUUAAAUGGAAUGGUUUCUUUCCAAUAUUGGAUAAAUUAUAUAGGAAAAAGAUAGAUUAUGGAUGACCACGAAAGCAAAAAUGAUUCCCCCACUAGUGUAUUAAUAUAUUAACCAUAAAAAUAAUGCAGCUCAUUUUAGGUACAUCAAACCCACCAACUAGUUGCCAAUAAAGAAAAAAAGUAAAUAGUGAAAGAGAGACUACUCUUUUUCUAAGAACCAAACCAAAGAAGAGUUUAGAGUUUCUUCUGCCCUUCUAACCACUUUCUACCCCUUUUUCCAUGCGAAUAUAGUUUAUACUAAAUUUAGUAAGGUUUUGAGAGAACACUACAAGUCCACCUUAUGAUCUAUACACUCCACACAAAUCUCUAUCAUUCUAGUCCUAUCCAAUUUACUUUUGUCCUGUCCUGCAUCGAAACAUACAUAAUAUACAAACCAUAAAUCAAAAUCUCAUAUUACGUUACAGAACUCAUAUAUUCUAUGACUCUUAAACACAACCGUACUGGCCUUGUUUUCUUUUUCAACUCUCAUAUAUGUAGAUAGUCAACCAAUCAAGUGAUGUAAGAAUUUCAGCCAUUGCCAUAAGACUAAGAUGGUGUUUAUGUCAAUCUUCAGUGAAUUGAAUUUGCAGAAAACAAAAAUCGAAUUAAAAAACUGGAGAUUUAGGAUUGGUUUGUGGUCAACAAAACCGUCGGUGGAUCAUGGAUGGAGUAAUCAAUAACAUCAAAAAGUCAACCAAAGAGAUAACAAGUGAUACCUGGAGCUGGAGAAAUCGUAGAGCCUGCCAGUGCUGGAGAAGAUGAUAACACCAACCUCAGCAUCGCAGAGAAUCGCAAGCUCCUUGGCUUUCUUCAACAAGCCGUUCCUUCUCUUGGAGAAAGUCACCUGACGACUCGUCGAGUUAUCGAUCCUCUUAAUCGCGAUCUUUCCCCUUCCCAUUUUCUCACCGCUUUUUAAAUCCAAUCCAUCACAUCAUUCACACAAAACAUCGUCAACUCCGCGCAAACCCAGGCUGAGAUAAAUUCAAAAUCGAAAAUAUAUAAUCAUUACCUUCUUCAAAGAAUCUAACUGGAGAAAAACAGAUCGCGCUAGAUCUGCUCGAGAAGAAAAUCAAUGUGGGUUUUGUGAUCGAAAUUCGAAAUAGAAAGAAAGAGACAGAGCAGAGAGCUGAGAAGAGCCCACAAAAGGAAAGAACAUAUGGCUAGUUUGGGAAUUUAGGGCAAAAGGCUUCUUACUAUUUUAAACAUAGAUCGCUUGUCGUAUCUUGACACUUGCCAUCUUUUGAGUGGCUUCUUUUGACCUGUUUCCUUUUUUUUAUUACCAUAAAAAUUCAUACUCCCUUGUUCUUUAAUGAUAGACUUUUUUUUUUUUUUUUUUCAGAAAGAUGUAUUUUUGUGUUUUCUAUAAAAAAUUAUAAAUUUCAAAAAAAUUAAUUGAGUUUAUUGAAUUAUUAUUGGUUAAAAAUUACUGAAAACUGAAAAUUAUAGAAAACAUACAUUUAUUAUAGCAAUUCAACGUGUUUAAUUAAUAUGCGUGAAAAUGCUAAAAAAAUCCACGCUUAACUGAGGGAAUAUUAUACAUUGUCUUAUCGUACGGCAUUGCCGCAUUAUUAAAGUACACUUCUUGUUUGUUUUAUUAAAGAAGAAAAUAAAAUACUUGAAUCAGUGUAUACGCUACGAACAAAUAAAAAAGAGAACCCCCAAUAAUUUUGUGAAACCCAAAGUGGAAUUAUUUUUUUCAAAAUAAUUAUAAUUUCUGAAACCUAGAAUCCCGACAGAGAAGAAAAGCACCCAAAUUCAGACAGAGAAUACGGAAGGAGCGGACUCAUACGCAUCUUAAAGAGUAUAUACCCUUUCAUGUGUAUAUAUAAUUUACUAGAUGUUUUCCUGCACCAUGUGAAGUAAAAAUUUUUUUAAAUCUAACUUAUAUUUAAAAAUUAAAAAUAAAAUUUAUUAAAUGUUAUAGAUUUUACUAUUUUCUUACUAAUAUUUAAUAUAGAUUUGAUAUAUAUUAAAUCAAUUUGUAUAAAACUAACAAAAAUAAUAUAAAAUUGUACAAUUAUCAAAAAUUUAGCCUAAACAAUAUUUAUAAAAUUUGUAGAUAUAUAAGAUACUAAUGAUCUUACGAUUAGAUUUUUUUUUUUAAUUGUAGAAAUUUUUGAAAACUUCGGUAAUACAAAUUGUAUAAUUAUACAAAAGUAAUAAUAUUUCAAAAUUUGAAAUGUUAUAUAUGAAUAUAUUUAUUUUAUAAAUGAUGUAUGAGCUAUUACCAUAUUUAAAAAAAAGUUUACCAAAAAAAAAUAUCAAUAUUAAAUGUAAUAUAUGAAUUAUUAUCAUAUUCUAAUAAGUUUGUCAAAAAUAUAAAUCAAUAUUAAAUAAAAUUAUCCAUGUCAUAUUUUUCGGAAAUCAUGUCAUCAAUUUCAGUAACUAUGUCAUAUUUGUUUUGUGAAAUUGAUUGUAAAAAUGAUAUGUGGUAAAAUCACUUUACAAAUAUAGUAUAUGGGAUAGAGAAGGGACGAGAGAGGACGAGGGUUAAAAUCUAAAUCAAAAAUUAAAAAUGGUUAAAGGCCUGUGAAGUAGAGCAAUAAUGCCUUAGUUUCGGGCCCGUUCUCCUUUUUUCUUUAAAGACCUGUGGCCCAUUUCGUCCCCCAUAAAUUGGAUCACAUGCGUUUUAGAGUAAAAGAUCGAUGUCACCUCCUCUUUUAUAAUAGUACUUUUUUGGGACUGAUCCACCAUAUUACCUUGUAUAUAUGUUAGCUAUAAUGAUUCUAAUCAAUGUUCUAAAGCUUAAAUGGAGUAUAAGUAAAUUAGACCUUUUAAAUUACAUUUUCUUUUAAAUUAGAAUUAUGUAUCAGAAACAUGGGCGGCAAAGGAUUAUUUGUCGUACAUGGUUUUAACAAUUUGCGUCAAUCUUGUAUAAAUUUGCCAUUUUAAAAAAAAAAUUGUGACAUUUGAAGGAAAAGAAUUGCAACUUUAUAUACAAUCAGUAAAUAUCUUACAAAUGAAUAUCGUAUUAAAAUCAUUUUGCAAAUUGUGGUAGGUAGUAAAGUUAUUUAGUAUGUAGUUCUUUUAAAAUAUCUAAUUUGCAUCUGAAUAUUUAGAAAUAUCAAGAUAUUCGCCCAGCCACUUGUCGUAAAAAUAUAUAAAAGAGGAUGAGGAAGAGGAAUCAUAGAAACAAGCUAAAAGUGUAAUGAAUUAUCUCUAACUUUAAACCUAAAUAUUCUUGCCAUACUCGCUGGUCUGGUCCAAAAGUUGUCACAUAGCACUGCGUGUCUUUAUUUACCAACUACGCAUUAUUGACCUAUCUGCACCACCCAUUGUGUAUUAAAAUUUACAAUCAACAGCAACGUUCUUGUGGGUGUAUUAUAUAAUACAUAGAAAUUCAACAACGUUGCUGCAAUUAGUCCCCACUAACCUAACCACCACUUACUUUGAUAAACAUGACAUCACCAAAGGUCCAUAUUGUAAAUCAAGCAACAAAGAAUCACCUUUAUGUUCCUCAACAACCGCAUGAUCAACGGCUUCAAUUUUUUUUGUCGUCUAAGUCGUAUGUUUAGUUCGCUUUUGCUUUUAGUCACUUUUGAAUCGAAUAAUAUUAUCAUAUAGUACUGGCUCCAACCCGAAUUAAGUGCUCGAGGCCAGUAACUUAACCCAUCAAAGAAGUAGCAUAUGAUUAAAAAUGCUCAAACAAAGACGUUUUAAAUCCAAUAUAAGUAUAUGCUUUCACAUGAAAAGCAGCGCCAAAUCAUUUUUAUGCUCACAAACAAACAUAAAAUGUUAUCAUCGGUUUGUAAAGAAGGACAAAAGAUGUUAUAAUUUCAAGUAACUCAAGCCUCAAGUUUGCUUCCUUCGACAUCAACCACGAACCUAUAACGCACAUCGUUCUUCUCGAGUCUCUCAAACGCAGUGUUCACAUAAUCCAUCUUCACAACUUCGAUGAUCGAACUCAAACCCUUCUCCUUACAGAACUCAAGCAUCUCCUCUGUUUCCUUCAUGCUCCCAAUGAAGCUCCCCGUUAUCACUUUCCUCCCUAGUUAAAAUAAUCAUCAUAACCCAAAUUAAUAAACCUCAAAACUUAUAACCGUUUAUUAUAUAUUAUUCAAUUCUUGUUUUUAUAAUUGACUCACCAAGCAUAACCAUAGGAGUGAGAAACUGUAAUGGAUUGCUUAUGACUCCCAUGAGUAUGAGUUUCCCAUCAAGCCUAAGCAGAGACAAGUACGGCUCAAGUGCAUGAUGAACAGGGACCGUGUCGAUUAUGUAAUCCAUUGAAUCCGCCAAUUCGUUCAUCUUCGAUUGGUCGGAUCCGAUCACGUAAUCAUCUGCUCCAAGAUCUUUCAAAGCUUCUUCUUUCUUCUUGUUUGAUGAGCUUAUGACAGUCACGUGGUGACCCAUUGCUUUGGCUAUUUUCACACCCAUGUGACCAACUCCACCUAGCCCUAGUAUGCCUCCUCUUAGGCCUGGUCGCUUCAGACCGAAGUGAGCCAGUGGACUGUACACUGUCACACCGGCGCACAGUAGUGGUGCCGCCUGCUCAACAGCCAUUCCUUCUGGAAUCUUCACCACAAACCUGACCACAAAAUUGACCCUUUAGCGAUACAUACCCUAACGUGUUCCACAAGAACCUAAAGAUCCGGUUUGAAAGGUCGAUUGUUAUUUUAAAAUAUUCAAAUUCAUAUGCACAUAGCAUUUCGAUUAUAUAUAAUAAUUUAAUAUUGAUUUCAAUCCUAUUUUGUAUUUUUAACGAAAAUUUUCUUAAUGAUCUUUAAUAUCUAUAUUAAUCGUUAGUAGGUUGCAUAUUAAAAUCAGUAGUUGAACAAAACCAAGAUCGUUAGUUGAACAAUACCAAGAUUAUCACAGAGUUUAAAACACAUGACAUUUUCAGCUAAACAUUUUGUAACUGGUCAAAUUACUAUGAUCUUUCCAAUAAAACCUAGACUAAAUAAAGAUCAUUAGUUAUAUAGUAUAGAAAAUUAUAACGUUAGGGNNNNNNNNNNNNNNNNNNNNNNNNNNNNNNNNNNNGGGAAAGAAAAUAAUAAGUUUACUUUUGGUGAACGACGGUGGCUCUAGCGAAACCGCCUUGUGUAGGUUGACCAUCGAUGUAAACAUCGUUGUAGCUCCAUAUCUUCUUGGGACAAUACUGUUCCAGAUCUCUCUCGCAGGGGCUACAACCUCCACAGCAUCCAACGAGACAACCAACUCCAACUAUAUCACCUGCGGUGAACUUGCUCACAUCUGAUCCCACCUCCACCACUUCCCCUACAACCUCGUGCCUAAAGAACAUGAUCAACUCAAUUUUCAGAUUCAUUCUAUGUUUUCUUGGCUAUAAGGAGAUCAAGAAAGAAGAGUUACCCAGGAACCAUGGGGUAGUUUGACAUGCCAAGAUCGUUUUUGGUUUGAUGAAGAUCUGUGUGGCAGAUUCCACAGCAUAUGAUUCUUAUGUGAACAUCCUCUGGUCCUGUCUCUCUGUAAGCAUAUACGAUCAGAUUCAAACCAAGAAAGAUUCAUAUCAUAGAUCGAAAGGAGAGAAAAAUGAACCUGAGAGUGUAAGUGUAAGGAGAGAGUAACCCAGAUGGGUCUCUCGCAGCCCAGCCUGUUGUUUUCCUCUCUACCUCCAUUUUCCCCAUUCUUGAUUUCUUUCUCUGUUUGUAAUGCUUUCUUGCUUUUCUUUGCACCCUGUUGCCGAUUAUGCGUGUGUGUUACUAUUAUAUAUAGAGAAAGUUGGAAACCAAAAGCGUGCGUAUGUAUGUAUGUGUGGUAAAAUAAUUGGUUCUUGUACAUAACGUGCGGGGGCAGUUUUAGUGUGAAUUUGUGUAUUUUUAACAAAAUUAGUCAAAGCUUUUAAUUCUUUGGUCGUUGAAAUAAGGUAACUUCUAGAAAAUAUUUUUUUUCUUCUUAUAUAUGCGGCUCUCAUUUAUUAUAAAUUAUGUGAAAUUAUGUGAAUUUGUUCGACGUUCUUAAUUUGAUCUUUCAGUUUAUGAUAAUCAUUUUCAAAUAUAAAAUUAAAUGAGAAAGAAAGAAUGAAUAUUUAGCAAAAAAAAAGAAGAAGAAUGAAUAUCACUUUUAAACCAAUGACAAAUAAAAAAGAAUUUUGUAAGCUUUAAAAGGAAGAAAUUUAUGAUGUGGACUCGUCAGCUAUAGGGUCCAUGGGGGUUGGUGAACCAACAUAUGUGGGGUCUAGUCUUUGUGUUGUCCGGCCACGUGUUGAUUCUUAGCCUAUGAUAUGCAACUAUAGUUUCGCCGGCUGGUGUUCAAAAAAAAAAAAAAAAAAGUUUCGCCGGCUCAGAUCAACUGUAAAUACUUUCUAGUUGUCAUUCUCAUGCAAGUUUCUUAAUUUUGACGGCCUGAUCAACUAUAUGUUUUAUGAACAUAUUAUACCAACCGGAUUAGAAAACACCAUCUAGAUGUAGUUAAUAAUUAGGUACAUGUGACACCAUAAUUAACCAAUAAAGGGCAAACAACACAUUAAUUCUCAAAUUGAGUGGAAAUACGCCUAGACGAAAACUGGAUUAUUUGUUGGGACAUAAUUAUUUAACAAUGGUCGAUCGCUUAUUAUAAGUAGGGCAAUAAAGUAUGCAAGAAAAAAAAUAUAAAAAAGGUGAACAAAAUAGAAUCUCAAAGUUAUUGGAAACGGUCACAAUAAAUAUUAUGUUUAUGUAUUAAGGUCAACAAUUACAGUUAAAAAUUGAUAGAUCGUUUUAGACCAUAGAAUUCAUCAUUCUUUUUUGAUCAGAGGUUCUUGAAUACCACAAUUUCGGAAUGGGUUGGCACUUGUGGAGACCACUGGCCACACCAACAAAGAAAAAAAAUGUCAGAUAUACCAGAAGAUAUAUAGCAACCCAUUAUAUCCUAAAACGAAUUUUCAGCAUAAAUAUUACGUCAUUGCCUACGUUAUUUUCAUCCUUUUAUUGAUGUACUAUAUGACCCUGACUGCUCAUUAUAUCAUUCUGAAGCAAAUUUUGAACUCUGAAACAAGAAACAUCCAUGUGCCAAUGGUUCCGUUUCCUGCACAAUAAGACAUCAGUCCUUAUAUAUAAAGACCAAUAUUUGAUCAUUUAAAUAACUGCAAUAAGCUUUUGUUGCGUCACAAGUAACCAACCCCUCCCUUGGGUUCUAGAGUGCUAAUCUGACUCAAUGUAGAUGUAACUGCAUCUAUUAUUAGCUACAUCUAUUUCCAUAUUCCCGGCAUGUUCUUUAGCUAGUGGUCAACUACAGGUUUAACCGACAUGAACAGAGGGUUCCUCUUAAUAGUUUGGCAUCAUCUCUUGUUCUCCCAAAUGAUGACGUUACAUUAUGACAUCACUCGAUCUCUAUCCAGCUAUUUCAAUAUGUCGCGAAGCUCUUCACUAGGAAGGCAAGCUAAAACGUAACAAGUGGAUAGAGAUAAGGGUAAAACUGGAAUUUUGCUUCUCCGAUCGCUCUCGCCUCACUAAAUGGCCAACUACUUCCACUACCCUUGAUUAAUUAUUCGUUACUUCUUGUAACAAAACUGUUAUGGAUUGUGCCAUUGUGGAUAGCCUCUUCUCAUUUUAAUUUUACUUAAUUAAAAAUCUCAGAGAAAACAGACGAGGAGAACCAUUCUUUCUUUUUUUCCCCUUUCCGAUUUUUGCUAUUGAAAUAGGAGAACCAUUCUCGUCUGAAUUUUAUCUGUUUUCUUUCUUUUGUUGCAGCAGGUUAGUGUUGUCCCUUGUUUAUUUUGACUAAGAACUCAAAUAUUUCAACUUACUGUUUUUCUUUAUAUGUGACUGACCUACUCAACACAUUUCUUGACUAUUUUUCUUUACAUGUGAACCGGAUCUUAAUUUACUUUUUUUCUUCUGAUUUGAUCUCACUCAACUUCUUUUGUUUUUUUGUUCUUUAUCUGUUGAAUUUGAAGGAUAUUGAAAUUGGACAUACUGAACCACAUCUUCCAUGGAUCAGGUGGGUCAUACCUUUGACUUUGCUUAUACUUAUUUCCAAUAUAUCUUGUGAUAAAAUAAAAAUCAACCCAAGUAAAAUUCCGUUUGUAGCAGAUUAUAAGUUACGGUCCCUUAUAUAAUGCGCGUCUCUGAUGUAAUUUUGACCUUGCAGGUCAAGACAAGGGGUUCUCCACUGGAGGCGUACAUGACAAGUAAACUCUUAGGCAAUGUAAGAGCAUAGCAGUGGGAGUCUGUAUAAGAGUCACUUACUAAUUAAAAAAUUAAAAAUAAAGAAAAAUGAAGAAAGAGAAGAAAUGAAUGGAAGAAAGAAGGCAGAAGCGUCCCUGCGCAGAGAGACUUUUGUUUUGUGUUGAAGUACCAAUCGCCAAGUGUCAUAUUUCUAUUGAUUGAAUUAACUAAAAAAUAAAAGAAAUAAUUAUAUAAGAUAAAUAAUGAUAAUUAUUAUACUUAUUUUUUGAGAGAUCCAUGUUGAUUCUUUCCACUAAUGAUGCUCUAAUACAUGUACCUCACGCCUAAGAGAACCGUUGCUGGAUAGAGUAAGAGUUCUAUUUAUUUUUCUUCCCUUCUCUUAUGAUCGAUCUCUCCACCUCAAAUCAAAUAGUGUUUGUCAAAGUUGUGUUGAUUGACUCAGAUGAUAAAUUAAGGUUAUGUCUACGUGAAAAAGACUUAUCUCGCCUGUUUUGUUAUCGUUUACGUUAGUUUACAAACAAUUACGACGAUCGAUGAGACAUGCAACAUAUUAUAAUACUAUUCCUUUACUUGUCAGUUGUCACAAAUGACGAAAAACAUUAAAAAUAUAGUCAAUGGAAAAAUUUGAUUCGUAUAGUGAUUAAUAGCUACUGAUAAUCAAGUUAUAACAAACAAACUUCAACAUUAACCAAAAAAAAACAAGGGUGAAAUAUAUUAAUAGGAUUUUUAAUCCUAAGUUUGGUGUGUUGAAGGAAAACUCAAAAGCAAUGGAACAAGAAACUGAAAAAGCGGACAAGGAGAUUACAACAGUUUUGCCGACGGCUCAAGAUGUGGUCGGAGACAACAGUGAUACUGGUCAGAGAGUAAAGGAAGAGGUGAAGAAGCAGUUUUGGCUCUCUGCUCCACUCAUCGGCGUGAGCCUCCUCCAAUACUCUCUCCAAGUCAUCUCCGUCAUAUGACCAUCUCGGCUUACUUCCUGUUGGAAUUCAUAGCGGUUUAUAACAAUUUAUAAAGCUAGUUAUGAAUUCAUAUGCCUAGAAUUUCAUGUCAAUAUCGAAAUAAACUUAGAUCUUAGUGUUUCAAAUAAGUUUAAUUUAUUUUAAUAUCUAAUCAUAUUAGAAAUUUAAACAAAUAAAUUGAAAUGAUCAAAUCAAAUCAAUCACACUAACCAAAUAAACCAGAGAAUUGGUUUAACCGGUUUAAAGGGUUACAUAGAAUCAUACUCCUUCCGUAUCUGAAUAAAUGUCGUUGUAGAGAAUUUUUUUCAUUACAAAAUAAAUGUCGUUUUCGAUUUUCAAUGCAAAAUUUAUUAGUGUUAUUCAGUAAUUUAUUUUUCUACUGGUUGAAAUAUGGUUCGGUGUAUUGGUAAUUGUGUUUUUAUAUAGGAAAUGUACAAAAUUAAUUGUUUCCUUAAUCCGUGCACAGACCCAAAACGACACUUAAUAUGAAGCAGAGAAAAUACAAUUUUGUUACAAUAACACACAUCGUCUAACAAACGGUUUAACCGCUUUAGGUGACGAUCAUACAAUCACAUGAUUCCAUGAUACAUAUAAUUUUAUUUAAAAAAUCAGGUCACCAAGAGUUACGAUAACAUUACUGAUGACUUUUAAAUUAUAUGUAUGCGUAAACAACUUAUAUAUUUACUUUUUGUAUAUAGCACACGAUCACCUCAUUAAUUAAAUAUGCAUGAACUUGGCAGUUUUACAUGAGCGUGAGACAAAAACGCAUAUUACACAAAGUACAUAUUAUUUGUGCUAUCAUGAUCAGUCAUAGUUCUCUUCUAUUCUUUACUUAUAUGUGAUAUUGAUCUUUCCUAAACAAUCAAUAUUUAUUAACAUAUAAAAUAGCACACAUCUUUAUCCAAUAAAGACAAAUAUAUGGUUUAGAAAUCGAUCGAUGAUACCGUAAUCAAAUUAGGGUUCUUCUUAACGUGUCAAACACAUCGAUUUCAAACCAUCAAAUUUCUCUAGUUGUUAAUCUAUACCAAAUUAUAAAUUAAACAAGAUCUGAUUUUAAUAUUAAACAUAUAGGCUCUGAUACCAAUGUUGGAAAUCAAAGCGGUUUAUAACAAUUUGUAAAUCUAGUUAUGAAUUCAUAUGCCUAGAAUCUCAUGUCAACAUUAAAAUAAACUUAGAUCUUAGUGUUUCAAAUAUACCUGGAAGUUUUGCAGCGGAAAGACAAACAAACCAAAUCGAGAUUUAAAGCACUCCAAACGUUAUGCCUCUACCGGUAUCCACACGCACACAAACUGGAUUGAUUCGGGAUGCUAGUGCCGUCGAGAUCAAAUCUCGAAACCUUGAUGAACUCAUUGUUGCUUGCGUAAGAAGAAAACAAUUUUUUUCUUCACACCUUUACGUCUCGGUUGUAAAGUGCGGCCAGCCAUCUUCAUUAGGUUAAUCUUCAAUAAGCAAGACUUCAUAUAUAUAUAUACUAAUGGACGUGACCUAAUGUCGUUUGACAUUAUAAUUAUAAUGGGCUAAGCCCAACUUGUUUAUUUUCUUAAUCACAUUAAGAAACUCACGUCCAAGUAUAUAAUAUGUAUUACAUAUAUCACAUAUAUAUAAUAUUUUAUAUAAAACUUCAACUUAUUAUUUUCCAGUUUGCUUAGGUGUGUGACCCUGUAGGAUCAUAUAAUAUUAGUAUUGAAUUCUCAAUUCAUAGAUUAUAAGCGUUUCUAGCAAAACAUUAUAACCACCUAAUAUUAUACGACUAUCAAACCUCGACACUAUACGACUCUAUCUAGAGUAAGUACAAAUGAUUUUAGGACAUUUUCAACACUUCCUCUCUCUGCUGCCUCCAUCGCCACCUCCUUCGCCUCCGUCACCGGCUUCACUUUCCUGGUUCUUCUCUCUCAGUCCAAGAGUUUGAUUUGAUCUUUACACUUGUUUCUGACUCGAUUUUUUCCAAACAGAUGGGCACAGCGAGUGCGUUGGAAACACUUUGUGGCCAAUCUUACGGAGCAAAGAUGUAUGGGAAGCUAGGCAUCUACAUGCAAAGAGCCGUGUUUGUUCUCCUCAUACUCUCUAUCCCUCUCUCAAUCAUUUGGACUUAAGAACAUCCUUGUCUUCGUCCACCAAGACAAAUCCAUCGCCAAGCUUGCAGGCUCAUACGCUCAAUACAUGAUCCCAAGCAUCUUGCAAACGCAAAACAAUGUGUUCCCUGUUUUCGUCUGCUCUGGAAUCACUACUUGUCUUCACGUACUUUUCUGUUGGGUCUUUGUGUUGAAAUCUGGUCUAGGACACAAGGGAGAAGCACUUAGAUCAUCUCCAAAGCAUUUAGAGCAUCUCCAAUGGUGUUACCACUAUUGGAGUCCUUAGCAUUAUUAAAUUAUUAUUAUUUAUUUUUUUUGUUUGAAUAGUUAAGGACUGUAAUCAAAAUUGUAUGUCCAGUGGUGUUCUCCAAUUUGGAAUUCUUAGGAAUAAAAAAAUAUUAAAUUUUAAAACAUGUGAAAUUAAAAUUUUUAUUUAUUGCAUGAUUAAAUAUAAAGAUACAAUAAUUAUUAAUCUUCAUCACCAAAUUUGUUUCAAAUAUUUUCUAUUAAAUCAUUUUUCAAUUGUUCAUGUAUACGCCUAUCGCGAACAUGAUUCCGAAUGCCAAGCAUAUUACCGAGAUUUGUAGGCAUGUCGGUACUAUAGGACAUAUCCACCCGUGAACUUCUGGUUACGUCUCGUUCUUCAAAUUCAGAUGUAUCAUACUGUGUGUAUCCAUCUCGUUCAUUUUCGACUAUCAUAUUGUGUAGUAUGAUACAUUCUCUCAUAAACUUCCCUAUCUUUUCCUUGUCCAAUGAAAGAGCCGGGUUUUUCACAAUCGCAAAUCGAGCUUGCAAUACUCCAAAAGCCCGCUCCACAUCUUUUCGGGUUGCUUCUUGAACUUUAGCAAAUAACUCUGCUUUAGGACCUUGAGGGAGUGAGAUAGAUUGGAUAAAUGUUGAUCAUUUUGGAUAUAUACCGUCUAUGAGGUAGUACGCCAAAUUAUACAUGUGUCCGUUGACCACGUACUCUACCCUGGGAGCUCGACCUUGUAAAAUGUCAUCAAAAACAUGAGACCGAUCGAGGACAUUAAUAUCGUUUAAGGUACCUGGAGGACCAAAAAAGCGUGUCAUAUCCAAAGAUCGUGUGAAGCUACAGCCUCUAAGACAAUUGUCGAUUUUCCCGAUCCACGUGUGUACUGUCCUUUCCAAGCGGUUGGGCAAUUUUUCCACUCCCAAUGCAUACAGUCAAUGCUUCCUACCAUCCCAGGAAACCCGCGUUUCUCUCCAAUAUUGAGUAGUCGUUGAAGAUCCUCCGGUGUGGGUCUUCGAAGAUACUCAUCUCCAAAUAACUGUAUUAUUACUUCAGUGAAAUUUUGUAAACACGAAAUUGCUGUGCUUUCACCAAAUUGGAGAUAUUCGUCAACCGUGUCUGCUGGAGAACCAUAAGCAAGCAGACGAAUUGCUGUCGUACAUUUUUAUAGUGGAGAAAGACCAACCUCCCGGUUGCAUCUCUUCUUUGUCGAAAGAAAGGAACGUCCUCUGAGAGGCGAUGGACAAUACGCAAGAAUAAUUCCUUGUUCAUGUGAUAACGGCGUCUGAAUAAAUGUGUCAGAAAUGUCGGAUCUUCGCUGAAGUAGUCAUUCCAUAAACGGUUGUGUCCUGCUUCGCGGUUUCGUUCUAUAUAAGCAUAUUUCCUUUGCUUAUUGGGUUGGGCCUCCACUAUGUUGUUGUAUGUAUCUUCGAAGAUAUCGUCGAAAGCUUCGUUCAAUCUUUGUUCGAGUUCAUCGGAUGAAGAUGAUGACAUUUUGUAGGUAUUAUUGGACUUGCUAUCUUGCUAAUCCCUCCUUGAAACAAAAAAUAUCAAGCCAAACGAUUUAGACUCGUUUUAAAAUAUCAUAUAAUUGAUUCUACAUGUAAUUGAUUCUAACAUUUAAUUGAUUAUACUCUAACAUGAUAUAACAUUUGAUUGAUUCUACUCUAACAUGAUAUAACAUGUAACAUUAUCUUUGGAGUGAUCUAUGAAAUACAAAAAUCAAUACAAGAAGUUGAGAUAUCGUCGAGUGAUCUAUGAAGUACACUUCUCUUACCUUCUCCUUGUACUUGUGAUCUUUGGAGUUAAAAACAAGCAACUUGUUUUGUGAGAGAGUGAAAUUGUGAAGAUCGAUUUUAAUAGAAGCAAAGACAAAUAUCAAUACAAGUCAAGAAACACAAGAAAUAGUAGCAAAAGAUUACAAGUUUUGAUGAAGAGGAAAUAAAGCAAAGGAGAUAGCUAGCUAAACAGAGGCUUCACAGAAGCUUAUAGAAGUCAAGUGAAACAGAAGAACCCGUGACUUGGUUCACAUGUCCUACACAGCAAAACACUUUCACUUCUCCAAAUACACCCGCGAGUGAAAAGACGUUGUCCUUGUACUGAACCUGCAACAACAAAUAAGACAAGAGUUAGCAAAUUAUAAUAGUAAUAACUUCUCAAAACAACAUUAAUACCUUAAACUGAACAUAUAACAUCAUAACAUCUCAGACAUAAGUUUGAGUUUAAGAGAUGUUUCCAUCUCAGAGAGUGGCUCAUUUUUGGCAAGUAAACGAUCAAACAGUUUCUGUUUAGAGAUUUUCUCUUUGAUUUCCAACAUGGCAUGUAACUUUGACAACUCCUCUUCUUUACCACUCUUCUUCCUCUUACUAGCAGCUUUAGCAGCCUUGACCCCAAUAGGUCUACCCUCUCGUUAUCUCACUUCCUCUUCUCCAUCAACCUCCAACACUUGUUUGCGCUUUUCCUUCACACUGUCCUUAGCGAGAAAGGUGGAGCACCAUUUAUUGUCAUGCCUCAGCUCCCUCCAGGCAUGUUCCAGGUUGAACUUGAUGGAGUAGUCAUUGUAGAAGAUAUCUAGGGCAGCUUUCAUCACAUCAUCAUCAUUUUGACCACUUCUCUGCUCCCUCAGAGCCGCUUCAAAGCAUCCAACAAACUUGCAGACUUGAUCGUUAAUCCUAGUCCACCUUUGCUUGCACUGACAAAGCUCUCUAGGUGUUGUCCCAACCAGGUGAGGGCUUGAAUUGUAGUAGUCUUGAAUCCUCUUCCAGAAAGCACUAGCUUUCUGCUCAUUGCUGACCACCGGGUCUUUACUGGUGUUAAGCCAAGCACCAAUGAGGAUUUUAUCCUCUUUGGGAGACCAUUUCCUCCUCUCCUUGACACCAGACUCAUCAGAACAUUGGCUACUCAACCAAGCAGGUUCCGGUGAAUCAAGGUCAAAUGAAGAUUGACUAUUCAGAAGGCUAACAAAACCAUGGGUGCUAUCCAUGGUUACAGAAUGCUCUGUCUCACUCUACUAGCAACACCGAGCCUUAAGUUAGUGAAUUAAAACUAAGUAGCAUUUAAAACCAAUCCAAUCUGAACAGUUAGAAAGUUUGAAAGCAAUUCACUAGUCAGUAGCAUUUAAAACCAAUCAAAUCUGAGCGGUUGGAAAGUUUUACAUUAAAUGAGUUUUAGAAUUUAUAACAUAUAUAAGCCUAUCAAGUCAUUGAGUUGUAGUUAAUCCUGAGGUUAAAACAAUUUGAGUUUCCCUUUGAUUUUUAGUUAGUCCGGAGUUUAAACAUUUUGAAGUGCAGAUUGAACUUCUGUUUUUUUUAAUAUUAGAAGUAUUACAUACAACUACUAUAUAGUUAUUCACUUUGAAAUUAUAAAUCUGUAUAAGUUAUGCUUUUAAAACUUUGUAGCUUAGUUUGGAAUAAUAGCUUAUAACAGUUACUAUGUUUUAAUUAUUCAAAGAAAAGAGACUAGGAAGUUGUUUGUACACUACCUUUUAAACGUCUGAUACUCGCAUUUUAAGCCUCUGAAGCUCUUCCUGAACACACAUGAGAUAAAACAGUCAAAAGUUUUUAAAAAAUGCAGAAACAACUAUCAAAAGCAGAAGGAAAGAAACUAACUAGGCACUCUGUUAUGACGUUGUCCUUUCCUUGAACCCACUUAAACAUGACCACCAUACAUAUUAAAACUAAUACACUAACCAUCACACAAACAACCAAUUCAAAGCCAUUUGUAACCCCUGAUUUCUUCUUAGCUAACUCCCACACUAUCUUCUCUAGCUUAACCAGCUUCUGCGCACUCUCAUUACCUUGAUCCUUAACCAGCUUCAGCGCACUCUCAUUACCUUGAUCCUUAACCUGCCUAAGUUGUGUCUGAAAGUCACUCAUCUCCUCCAUAACCGCCACAUCCCACCAUUUCCAAACAUGGCAGUCUCCAUCAUCAACAUUCUCACACGUGAAGUACCUUCUGCCUGGAUCUUUUCUUGUGUAAGAUGUUGCAACAACAGGCUCACCACCACAGUAGCAUGUCUUCGGGAUUCUAUCAUCAGCCUCAGGUUGAGGAGGGUACUGAACCGGCUCUGCAAUAUUUUAGCUACUCUCAGCUUCAUCCGCGUACAUAUCAGCUUCUGCUUGAAGAAGAGAGGUUAAAUCUAUAUCAUACUCCUCUGAUGAAGAAGGAUGGCUGUAACUAUAAUCUUGUCCCAUGUUUCCUUAACCUGAAAGAAAUUUACAAGGUAAAUAUUAGAAACUUACCCCAAUUGAUUUGAAAACAAAAAUCCAAAUCCAAAUCAUUUUGAAACCUUAACUACAACAAGAGUCGGAAACCCUAACUACCAACGAAAUCAAGAAUCGGAAACCCUAACUACAAACGAGAAGGCUUAAGUUUUGAACCCUGACUACAACAAGAAUCGGAAACCUUAUAUUAGAAGACAAAAUUCGAAACCCAAAUCGGAAACAAAAUUCGAAACCCAAAUCGGAAACAAAAACCUUAAGUUUUGAGCCAUACGAUUCGAAAUCGGAAACAAAAAUCGAAACCCAAAUCGUUUUGAAACCCUAACUACAAACGAAAAGAUCCCCAAAUCGAUUGAAAACCCAAAACCAAACCCUAAAUUGCGAGGAAAAUAACAUGCAAGCUAAUCUAAAUCCAUAAAUCAACAAGAGAAGUUUUCGAUUUACCUUGAUUAUCCGAGAAGAUCAAAAUCGCCUCUAUGUUCACCGAGAACAGUUUUUUUUCGUGUUGUCUCGUGAAUGAGCUUUUUUUUUCCUAAACGAAAUACAUAUCUGCACCGAACCAAUCAAACACUGCCCUGUCACUAAGGACUCAGUCCUUAAACUCCUUAAUUACGAACCGAUUCUUAGCAAACUUAGCUUUGUUAAUAGUAUUUUAUUCAGAUUAACCUAGGAACUAGUGCUAAGAACUGGUGAAAAACCACUGUUACAGAUGCUCUAUGCCUAAGAAUCAACACGUAGGCUCUGGAUACAGUUUCUAUCUGCCACGUGUUGAAUCUUAGCCUAUGAUAUGCAACUAUAGUUUUGACGGGUCAAAUAUCAACUGUACAUACCUCAGGCUCUCAUUUCAUGCAAAUUUCUUAGUUUUUUAUUGUCAACCAUAUAUCACUAUUUCUUAGUAUAAUAUGAUAUGCAACUAUAGUUUUGACGGUCCAUAUCAACUAUGCAUGUUUUUUUGCUAACUAACUAUACAUGUUUUAUGAACAUAAUAUACCAACCGGAUUACAAAACACCAUCUAGAUGAAGUUAAUUAACCAUAUCAUCCCACAUGUGACACCAUAAUUAACCCAACAAAGGGUAAAUAACACAUUUUCAAAUUGAAUGAAAAAUACAUGGAAUUAGACGAAAACUGGAUAAUAUUUGUUAGGACAUAAGGAUUUAACAAUGAUUGAUCGUUUAUUAUAAGUAGGACAGUAAAGUAUUCUAGAAAAAGGAUAAAAAGUUGAUCAAAAAUAGAAUCUAAAAACUAAACUGUGACAAGAAAGAUUAUGUUUAUAGUCAACAAUUACAGUUAAAAGUUGAUAAACUGUGUUAGACCAUUGAAUUCACCUGGUGUAAAUAAAACGUUCUUGAAUUGAGUGAAAAAUACACGGAACUAGACAAAAACUGGAUAAUAUUUGUUAGGACACUGAUUUAACAAUGAUUGAUCGCUUAUUAUAAGUAGGGCAAUAAAGUAUACUAGAAAAAAGAUAAAAAGUUGAUUAAAAAUAGAAUCUAAAAACUAAACUGCCACAAGAAAGAUUAUGUUUAUAGUCAACAAUUACAGUUAAAAGUUGAUAAACCGUGUUAGACCAUUGAAUUCACCUGGUGUAAAUAAAACGUUCUUAAAUUGAGUGAAAAAUACGCGAGACUAGACGAAAACUGGAUAAUAUUUGUUAGGACAUAGUGAUUUAACAAUGAUUGAUCGCUUAUUAUAAGUAGGGUAAUAAAGUAUGCUAGAAAAAAAAAGAUAAAAGUUGAUCAAAAAUAGAAUCUAAAAACUAAACCGCCACAAGAAAGAUUAUGUUUAUAGUCAACAAUUACAGUUAAAAGUUGAUAAACCAUGUUAGACCAUUGAAUUCACCUGGUGUAAAUAAAAUGUUCUUAAAUUGAGUGAAAAUACGCGGGACUAGAUGAAAACUGGAUAAUAUUUGUUAGGACAUAAUGAUUUAACAAUGAUUGAUCGCUUAUUAUAAGUAAGGCAAUAAAGUAUGCUAGAAAAAAGAUAAAAAAUUAAUCAAAAAUAGAAUCUAAAAACUAAAUUGCCACAAGAAAAAUUAUGUUUAUAGUCAACAAUUACAGUUAAAAGAUGAUAAAUUGUGUUAGACCAUUGAAUUCACCUGGUGUAAAUAAAAUGUUCUUAGAUUGAGUGAAAAAAAAGUGGGACUAGACGAAAUUGGAUAAUAUUUGUUAGGACAUAAUUAAUUAACAAUGAUCGAUCACUUAUUAUAAUAAGUAAGGCAAUAAAGUAUGCUAGAAAAAAAGAUAAAAUGUUAAUCAAAAAUAGAAUCUAAAAACUAAAUUGCCACAAAAAAAAUUAUGUUUAUAGUUAACAAUUACAGUUAAAAGAUGAUAAAUUGUGUUAGAAUUGAAUUCACCUGGUGUAAAUAAAAUGUUCCUAAAUUGAGUGAAAAAUACGCGGGACUAGACGAAACUGGAUAAUAUUUGUUAGGACAUAAUUAAUUAACACAGAUCGAUCACUUAUUAUAAUAAGUAAGGCAAUAAAGUAUGCUAGAAAAAUAAAUUAAAAGUUGAUGAAAAUAGAAUCUAAAAACUAAACGGUCACAAGAAAGAUUAUGUUUAUAGUCGAUCGUUUUAGACCAUAUAAUUUUAUCUGGCACAACAUAAUCAAUCAUUCAUCAACCCUUUUUUAAUCAGAGGUUUUUGAAUACCACAAAGGUGGAGGCCACACCGACAAAGAAAAAAAUGGCAGAUAUACAGAAGAUCAAUAGUAAAGAGCAACAGUAACUGUUACAAACCUCAAGCCAGUCCACUUUCCAGGCCGCAUGCAAUACAAGAGAUUCUCCCAGAAGAAUCAGAAUUCUUUUGUAUGGUAGAUGCUUCUUGGACAUCGCCAUCUGAAAGGAAAGGAAUAGGAUGGUCUUUAUCAGUAAAGAAGGCGCUCCUAGACUUCAAAGAAUCUCUGCAUUAGAACCUACCAACUUAUGUAUCCUAGAAUUUAAAGAACAACAUUGAUCAUGUAUUGCAGAACACUGAAAUCCAGGACAACCGUAUUAACACUAUUAACAACAAUAUUUUUUGCAUCACAAGUAACGCUUUCCUUCUUUGGAUUAUAAAGGUUGUUCCGUGAUUUCAAAACACAGCAUUAAUUCUGUUUACAAAUUUGUUUUUGUGUCAGCAACUUAACAGUUUGCAAAAUUUAAUAAAAGUUAUAACUUAUCAAUAAUUUAUGUAUUUUGAGUUUUAUAUAAUUUUUCUAAAAUGUGUGUACAUUACUUUUAAUUAAUUUUAAAAAUUAAGGUUUUGAAUUUUAAGAAAAUUACAAUAACUAUUCUAUAUAGAUUUUUAAUUUAAAUAUUUUAAAAUUAGUUAAAAUAAUUUAUAAGAAAUACAAUUUUAGUUUUGUUACAUAUAUAUAAGUUUCAAUUUUAGUCUCAAAUUUAUGAAAUUAAGCGUAAAUUUAAUAUAAAUUUCAAAAAAAAAUAUUUAUAGUUAUGCUAUUAACCAAUCCGUACUAUAACGCAAUAUCAUAAUUUAGUUUGUUUUACUUUUUAUAAAGUACUCAUUGUAAUUUUGAUAUGUAUUUCUUUUAUUUAUAAUAUUUUGUUUUACAUAUUAAUGUAUGUUUAUCUAAAAUUUUAUCUGUGUAUUUUUAUAUUAAAUUUUCCAAUUACAUUUUAUAUAAUAAUAAAAAUAGAAUAAUUUGUAUAUUUGGUAUGUCUUACUUUAUUUUAGUAAUGUUUCACAAACUAGAAUUGAAACAGAGUAACAAAUCUUUUAACAUGUAUCACAUGAGUCAAAUUUUGAUUGCAUAAUUUUUUUAAAUAUAAAUAAGUUAAUGUGUUUGUUAAAAUCGUCAUGUAUUUGAUUAAUAAAUUACAUGAUUGAUGAAAUAACCCGUAAAAUUUUAUAAUCAUAAAAAUAUGAACCGUAACCCAUUCCAAUAUAUUAUAAAUUAUAUAAAUAGUAGUUAAUUUUUAAUUUUAUUCUAUCAAGUAAAUAUACAUUUAUCUAAUUUUUAUAUUAAGUUUCAAAAAUUUAAAUUCAUCAAUUAUAAUUAAUAAUUAUUAAUUUAAUACUUACCNNNNNNNNNNNNNNNNNNNNNNNNNNNNNNNNNNNNNNNNNNNNNNNNNNNNNNNNNNNNNNNNNNNNNNNNNNNNUAUAACAUAAAAUUUAGGAAUUUAUGUUACUUUUUGUUUAUAUAUACUUUAAUCUUUUUUUAAUUGAUAAUUAAUGAAUAUAUUAAGUUAUUUAACUAUGUUUAUUAUUUCAUAUAAUAUUUAAUAAUGCGAUAAAUUUAUUAGAAAAUAUUAUAAAAUUUAUAUUGUGUAUAUUAGUCUAAAUUAAUUAAUCAUAAUUUAAAAUAAUUAUUACGAAGUUAGUCAGUUAUUUAGGUACCAGAUUUAUAAAGUUAUAAUAUUUUUAAAGAACUAUAUAUUUAUAUUUUAAAAUUUUAGUAAAAUUUUAUUAGAUUGUAAUCUUAUAAAGAUUGUAAUCUUAUAAAAAUAUGUAUUGGUACUUUUAAUUAAUAUAUUUAAGAUUAUUUUAAUAUUUGUUUGAAUGAAUUUAAUAAUUAAAUUGUUAAAUGAUAUAUUAGACUGCAUAGUUAAUAUAAAAAUCUAAAUAUUAUAGUAACAUACGGUAAACGAAAGCUAUGUCCAAUUGUGUUUUAUUUAGUAGUAUUGAUAUGUCCUGAUGUAGAUGUCUAUCAAUGGCAACAGAAAUGCAUCUAUUAGACACAUAUUCAUAUUCCCUGCAUCUUCUCUAGCUAGUGGUCGCUUACUAAUUUGGCAUCCUCUCAUCUUCUUAGAAUGGGUCUUGACAUUUCGGGGAUCUCAUGCAAGAAUAAAAAAAAUAAUUUCAUUACUAUAAAAUUGUACUAAAUAGUACUACAAAUUUUUAUUUUUCUAUAAAAUUUCUUUCCUACGAUAAUCAACUAACCAUAUUUUUUUUAUUUAUUAACAUUAUAUUAGCUUAAUUAACUAGUUCCUAUAAAAAUAUAUUAGUUUGAUAUGUUUUAUUAUUAUAUUUUUGGUUAACUGGAUAAAAAUCUAUUUGUUUUAUUUUUAAAAAUUCGAUGUUGUGAACCACACAGUAUUGGGCCCCAAUCAAUUGUUUCUUGGAGCGGCACUGCAUCCUCCCGAACGAUGGAGUGACAAUUUGACAUCUCAAUCUCUGGGGACUUUGUCCAACUCCAACUAAUUAUAAUAAGGUGGGAAGCUAUUCACUUGGAAGCAGCAGCGGAUCCAAAACCAUUUUUCGUAGGUGGCACCAGUACUGAAAUAAGAAAAAAAAUUCAGACAGAGUAGUUGUCGCAUCUGUAUGUGUCUUAGAUAUCUGUGCACUAGUAAAAGCCUACAAUUCGUUAGAUUGGACGUUAUUUUUUCUGUUUAGAAAAUUUACUUUUUUUAGAUAAGUAUGUAUUUCUAUAAAAAAAAAUUAGGUUUUGAUGCUGCUAUAAAUAUGGGUAUAAGAGUUUGUAAGAUUAUUCAUUCAUAUAAUAAUAAAAAACUUUAAACAAGUAUUUGCUUCAAUUUGUUUUGAUUUUUUUUUUCGCUUUCUUCAAAGUUGAUUUGCUUUUAUUCACAAUAGUACUUUUUAUAUUUUAUAUCUGCCCCUGCUUGGAAGGCAAUCUAGAGAUGUAAUAAGUCGAUGGAGGCAAGGGCAUAAAAGUUCUGCUUACUUCUCGACAGCUUCCGCCUCACUAAAUUGUCAACGACUUCCAUCGCCUUUAUUUAAUUGUGGGCUCCUUCUUGUAAUAAAAACUGUUAUGAAAAUGUGGAUAGCCACUUCUCUUCUUUUUUCCGGCCAAGUUUUGUUUUUAUUAAUCAAACGGGCCAACUCCAAUCGGCCGAAGCCCAAGUACACCAUGUACCAAACAAAAAGCCCACAGACACAACGGGCUACAACAUUAACGGUCGAAGCCCAAAGUAAACUAAAAGGCCCAAAGGCCCAAACAUUGAAACCGGACAGCUUGACCUAGGCGCGCGACAAGGAGGCUGGGAUUUGAACACGUGUAAGAAUCUGGGCCAUCAGUAUGACACGCGUCGCCCGCCUCGACUUGACCGAAACCUCUUCGCACAGCCGCUGGAACUUGCCACCGACAACCUCGUUUCGCCGGAGCUCAGAGACUGAAGAGCCUCCAACGAAACCAUAUCCAUUCUACGCCGCUAUGUCUUCACGCCAGAGAGUUCCAUCGAUCUACCGAGAUCUCCUCCGACUAUGUAUCACCACAAACCCUAGACAAGCGAGCCGAGAACCACUGCUAUCCUCCUUUUGUACGUCCUCGCCGUUGCCGGAGAACUUCAUCAUCAACCGAGAUCUCAUCCGCGGCGGCCCACGAACCCAUACCUAACUACAAGAACCACACCGCACUUAUCACACCUCGAUCUAAUCACCACGAACCAAAGGACAUCGGGUUCCAAAACGGCAGCGUGGAGCUUUGCAAGCCUCCACUCUCCAUGACCAGAAGCCGGCGAAAACGGAGCUGAAUGAGCCUCCCCUUCCCGGAAGCUAAAGCGGCGACAGUGGAUCUGAGAAAACCUCCACCUCCCGCAUAAAGACCGGCGACGAUGGAUCUAGGGUAGCCUCCAUCUCCCAUAAAACACCACCUGAACAUGCAAGCCGCUCCAUCUCCACCGGGAACCUCCAAUCGAUCGCGUCGUUACUCCAAAAAGCCGAGCCACCGUUGAUGGAUGGUUGCAGUACCAGAGCUCCGACAAGGCGGUCGAUGAUGGGACUGCGAAGAAAGAGCGGAGAUGGACAACUACAAAGGACGGGAAAAGGGUCCGACGACGGCACGGACGCUCACGCGCCGGCCGUACGCCGGAUCCAAAAGUAGAUCUGGUUUCUCGCUUCCUAUAUCACUUGACGUUAUCUCUUUGACAAUGUGGAUAGCCACUUCUCAUAUCAACUUUUAAUUUAUUAAAUUAAAAACCCUUGAGGAAACAAACGAGAGAACCAUUCUUUCUUUCUUUUUCUAUGUUAUUGUUGAAAGAGGAGAAUUAUUCUCGUCUGUUCUUUUGUCUCUUCGUAUUUCCCUUCACGUUGCAGAAUCCGAGUUUGGAAGACUCAAAACUCUCGCAUUUUAUCUUUCUUUCUUUUGUUGCAGCAGGUUAUGUUGUUCUUUUGUUUGUUUUGACUGAUAAUUCUAAAUAUUUCAAUUUACUGUAUGUGAUUGUCUCAACACAUUUCUUGACUGUUUUUCUCCACAUGCGAAUCGGAUCUUUAGCUUCUUUCUUCUGAUUUGAUCUCAUUCUGUUCUUGGUUCUCUAUCAGUUGAAUUUGAGAGUACUGAAAUUGGAUAUCGUGAACCACAUCUUCCAUGGCUAAGGUGGGUCAUACCCAUGACUUUAGUUUUACUUAUUUCCAAUCUAUCUUGUGCAUGAUAAAAAAAAAAUUAACCCAAUUAUAAUUCAGAUUAUAUGUUUCCCGUCUCUGAUGUAAUUUUGACCUUGCAGGUCAUGAAAAGGGUUUCUCAAUUGUGGGCGUACUUAGCAAGUAAACUAAGGCAAUGUAAUACAAGUUCUGAAAGCCUAAGAGCACAGUUGCUGCUGGAUCAAGUAAGAGUUCUUUUUCUAAUUUCCAUUCAUGCAUUUUGCAGAAACAAUUAAUAUUGCGAUAGAAAUUAGUCAACUGAUCGGAGAUUAAGCAACGAGUUGCAUCUCAGGAGAAUUCUGCAAUAAACAUAAUUUGAUUUUAGUCGAAGGAAUAAAGUUUGCGGUAGAAUUUAAGUGGAUCUAAGACUACUGGUAACAGUAAGAUAUGUAACAGUUACCAAAACAAUUUUUUGUCACAAACCACAAACCAAUAACAAUUUAGCUAAUAUGCGAUAUGAUUUCAAAAACUGUUUAGGCUUCCAAAAAAAAACUGUUUAGGCUUCUUUUAUCUAUUUGUAAGACAAACAAUACAAAAAGAAAAACGUUAUACGUUGAUAUGCGCCAAUUUCUAUUGAAAAUUUAAAAAUUAAUUUCAUAAAAUUUAUAAAUUAAUUUCAUAAAAUUUAAAAAUUAAUUAUCUUAAGAUUUAUCUUAAUUUUGUUACUAUUAUUAAUUAUCAAAAUAAAUAGAAUUCACUUUUUAUACAUUCCAGGUCUUUAAAAAAAUAACUUUAAAAUAUUAAAAGUUUUUAUAAAUAGUUGAAAUAUUUAAAUAAUCAAAUUUUAACACCAGAAAUAUUUUAUAAUUUCAGAUGAGAUGUAGAUAAUUUUAUGUUGUCUAUGUUUUUUGAUGAAUAUUAAUAAAAUUUAAUGUCAUAUGUUAUGAAAAGUUGGAUUGUUUUUCCAAGAAAGAGGAAAUUCAAGAUUUUGAUAACUAAUGAAUAAAAAAAUAAUGUAUAUAGUGGGUGUAUAAAGAGAUUUUCCACACAAAAUAAUAUUACGUUUGUGUUUUUAUUUCUUCUAAAUUCAAUAAUAUAAUAUAUAUAUUGAUAAAAAACUUUUUCAUGUAUAAAAAAAGUUGAUGUUCAAUGAACAUAAAUAAAAUUUAUUAUAACAAUCAUCCAAUUAAUAUUUAUGUGUUAUUAAAUAUCUGUAAAAUGGUUGUACCUGCAUGUGCAGGCAAAAUACCUAGUAUAUUUAAAUCUUUAUCUAUUUUUGAAAAUAUUGCAUCAUUGAAUAUUUAGAAAAUUAUUUUCAUUAUUUAUUUAUCUAAAACUAUCUACUUUAAAAUACAGUUUAUAUUGUACUAGGUAUGGACCCGUGCGUUGCACGGAUUUUAUAGAUGUUUUAAUUUCACGAACAAUUAAAAAGAAUGAGAAUCAUUUCACAUUAAUUUUUGGAUUUUUCAGUAUAUAUUGGUGAUUUAUUUUAGUAAUAAUAAUCUGUUUUCUUACAUAAAUUUUGAUUAGUAUUUCUAUUUCAUUAAUCAUGGUGUUUUAAAUAGUAUAUUUGUUUUUGUUCUUUUUUAAAAUAAAUGCUUCUCUUUUAAUUAUUUUUAAAAUAAUAUUAGUUGUAGUUAAUCGAAACAUAUAGAAAUGUGAACUGUUUAUAUUGUUUAAGACAAAUUAAAAAUAACACAAUUCAAAAUAUUAAUGUUACACAACAACAAUCAAUAUGUAUUAUUGAUAGUGAGCUAAAUAUCAAAUAUAUUUCUAGAUAAAACAUCAAAUUUGUUUACUUUAGCAUUCAUGGUGUGACUUUAACCCUUUUCUUAUAUAUCCUAUAUUAUUAAAACCUUAUUGAUAUAUAAUAUUUUGUAGAAUAUUAUUGUCGUUAUGUUUUAAAAAUCUAAAGCUCUGCAGUUGUAGUGACUCUUGAUUGUGCAGUGUAUCAUUAUAAGACUGGACUUAACAAAUAUAGAACAAUGUUUUUGAGCUUAAAUUUAAUUCUUGUUGGUACUCAUUGCAUAGCAAAGUCCUAUAGAGGUCUUUUCAGUUUGAAAGGUCAUCUUGCAUUUGUUGGUAUGAGAUUUAUUCUAAGAAUAAAAAUUCAUUUUCCCCCACAACUUUCGAUUAGAAUUUCUGCUUCAAUAAUCAUGUUGCCUAGGCGAGUUAUUAGUAAUCUUGUUCCAUUGCUUUAAAUUUUUUUGUCAUGUUAUUAUAUAUUUUAUUAAUUAUGAAAUAUUUUAAAACAUGUCAAAAUUUUUAAAUAAAGAUUACUAUCAAAUAAUCUUUUACAAUUAUUUUUUUCUUUAGGAUUUUAUAAAAGGAAAACUAUUAUUUAAUAAUAUUUUUACAAAUAUUUUUUAAGGAUUUUUAAAAAGUAAUUUUCUAAACAAAUUAAUAUUAAACAAUUUUGAANNNNNNNNNNNNNNNNNNNNNNNNNNNNNNNNNNNNNNNNNNNNNNNNNNNNNNNNNNNNNNNNNNNNNNNNNNNNNNNNNNNNNNNNNNNNNNNNNNNNNNNNNNNNNNNNNNNNNNNNNNNNNNNNNNNNNNNNNNNNNNNNNNNNNNNNNNNNNNNNNNNNNNNNNNNNNNNNNNNNNNNNNNNNNNNNNNNNNNNNNNNNNNNNNNNNNNNNNNNNNNNNNNNNNNNNNNNNNNNNNNNNNNNNNNNNNNNNNNNNNNNNNNNNNNNNNNNNNNNNNNNNNNNNNNNNNNNNNNNNNNNNNNNNNNNNNNNNNNNNNNNNNNNNNNNNNNNNNNNNNNNNNNNNNNNNNNNNNNNNNNNNNNNNNNNNNNNNNNNNNNNNNNNNNNNNNNNNNNNNNNNNNNNNNNNNNNNNNNNNNNNNNNNNNNNNNNNNNNNNNNNNNNNNNNNNNNNNNNNNNNNNNNNNNNNNNNNNNNNNNNNNNNNNNNNNNNNNNNNNNNNNNNNNNNNNNNNNNNNNNNNNNNNNNNNNNNNNNNNNNNNNNNNNNNNNNNNNNNNNNUUUACAAUUUUUUUAUUAUUAUCUUAGUAUAUAUAUUUUUAAUUAUGAUAUAAAUUAAUAAAUAUUACAAUCUUAAAUAUAAUUUAUGUGUGUUGCGAUUAUAUUAUUUAGCAAUUUUGAAGAAUCAAAAUUAUAAGAAAGUUUAACACAUAUCACAAUUUGUCACAAUAAAGUUAAUUAGCAACUUUGAAAAACAAAGCUCAAAUUAAUAUUUAACAAAUAUAUUAUCAAUUAAUUAAGAUUUUAGAAAAGAAAAAUUAGUAUUAAAUAAAUUAGUUUUGAAUCUCUUUUUUUUGGAUUUUGAAAAAGGAAAAUUUCAAAAAUUAUUACUAUUAAAUAAUCUUUAAAAUUAAUUUUUUUUUUUUCAAAUUCAUUUUGAUUAUCAUAGUAUGUAUAUUUUUAAUCAUUAUAUAUUCAAACACAUGUCACAAUAUUAGAAGGAAAAAAAUUAUCAAAUAAUCUUUUGCAAUUAUCUUUUGUUUAGGAUUUUAAAAAUGUAAAAUUACUAUUCAAUAAAAUUUAUAAUUAGUUUUUAACAAAAUUCGUUUUUUGUUAUGAGAAAUUUUAUGUUUACCACUUUCAUGGUAUCAUUUUUCAUCUUUACCACCACUAAAGAGACAUUUUCAAAAAUACAUUCUUCAUUAAGUGAUAAAAGACUAUUAUACCCUUGUUCUCUCUAUAUAUAAUAAAUUAUUAUUUUAAUAAAUAAAAAAUUAUGUUUUUAUGUUUUCGAAUUAUACUUUUUCAAAUUCAAACUUUUUUAUAAUUUUUUUCUGAAUCCUUUUUUUUUCAAAACAAAUUUCAAUUUUUUUUGUUUGAAAAUCGAAAAUUAUGUUUGAAACUAUUUUUUGAAAAUUUUUAAGUAUUUAUUUAUAUAUUUAUUAAAAUCCUAAAUUUCACAUUCCAAAAACCCUACCCCAUCCCUCAACACUAAACCUUAAGUCUAAAUUAGUUAACCCUAGAGGUAUAAGUGUAUUUACCCUUAAUUUAAAAUAAGGGUAAAAGUGGUACUAUGAAUGUGAUAUUUGUAGUAAUUUCCUUUCUGUUAUUAUCUUAAUAUAUAUAUAUUUUUAAUUAUGAGAUAAAUUAAUACAUAUCACAAUCUUAAAUAUAUAAUUUUCAUGUGUCACGAUCAUGUUAUUUAGUAACUUUGAAGAACCAAAGUUAAUAGAUAGUUUAACACAUAUCACAAUUUUAAAUAUAUAACUGCCAAGUGUCACAAUCAUGUUAAUUAACAACUUUGAAAAACCAACCUGGAUAUAAUCUUUUAUAAUUAUAUUUCCAAUUAACAUUUUAGGAAAGGAAAUUAUUAUUAAAUAAAUUAGUUUUGAAUCUUUUUUUGUCUAGGAUUUUGAAAAGGAAAUUUUCUAAGNNNNNNNNNNNNNNNNNNNNNNNNNNNNNNNNNNNNNNNNNNNNNNNNNNNNNNNNNNNNNNNNNNNNNNUCUACUAUUAAAUAUUUUUUUAAUUUUUUUUUUCUAAAUUCAUUUUUAUUAUCUUAGUAUUUUUAAUCAUUAUAUGUUUAAACACAUGUCAAAAUAUGAGAAGGAAAAUUACUAUGCAAUAAUAUUUUGCAAUUAUCUUUUGUUUAGGAUUUUUAAAAUGAAAAAUUACUAUUAAAUAAUAUUUAUAAUUACUUUUUAAUAAAAUUUGUUUUUGCUAUUAUCUUAUUAUAUUUAUAUUUUUAGUUACGAGAUAAAUUAACACAUGUCACAAUCUUAAAUAAAUAACUGUCAUGUGUCGCAAUUAUGUUAAUUAAUAACUUUGAAGAACCAAACUUUAUAUAACAAGACUGAGGUAAUUUAUAUUAUAAAUUGAUUUUGUUUUACAAUCUCGAGUCUAUAUUGUCGUACAUAUUUAUUUACACAGUAAAGCUUGAUUCAUAUUUUUAUUCACUAUCUAUUUCAUACAAAAGUAAAAGUUAGCAGACACAUGUCCAUCUACUAUAUCAGAGAGAAUGUAACACCCGACUGCCUAUGGUUAUUGGGCCACCCACGUCCGCUUCUCUCGGUCCGUGGGCUUUAUCAUGUUCCAACGGUUGGUGCGUUAAUUUUUCGAAGGCCUGAAAGUUUUGUUUACUGACCCUACAAUCACCACAUGACCUUUCUCCGUGUUUUAGCCACACUCGCACGGUAUCGCGAAUCACUUUCCGAUAGGUUAUCCAUUCUUUAACUACUCCAGCCUAAGCACGCUUAACCCUGGAGUUCUAAACGAAUGUGUGAUGGAAAAGAUAAGUCAACUUUGGUGAUAUAGAUAGCUAAAUCAAUUUUCUUAAGUCGUUCUACAUGUCAUAACCCGGGAUGUUACAGAGAAAUUCAUCACUUUUUAUGGCAAAAUAUCACACUAUUACAUGGUUAUUCAUUGAGUUUCUUAUACAUCCGACAACUUCACCAUUUGCUCUAAUACAAAAAAUGAAAAAGAAAUAAGCAAGUAAAUGCAUUUAUGGAUUGAACUCCCAAAACAUGGGUAAUUGGAUUGACAAAAUAAUACAAUUGAGCAACAAAAGUGUUAGUUACACAACAAAAACACUAGCAGACAAAUAUAACCAGGGCCAUGAGCAUGAUUAAUCUACAAACCCAUUAGAGUCUCUUAAUGAAUAUUUUAGUAAUUAAAUAUAAUUAAGAACUCUAGUUAACAGAUACGUUGAUUUUUCACUCCAAUACUAGUUUCUUAUUUAUAGGUUCUUAAAAAAAAUCAGACAAGAAAGCAAAUUAGAAACAAGGAAGUUGCAUAAACAAAUCCCAAAUGAAGUUACUGCAGCUGAGAAUUGCAGGAAAGAGUAUCCUAACAUUUUACCAUAGGUGAAUGAUUAACCCUCUCUACAUCGUAGCUCGAUAAAACUAAUUGAAUCUACUGGGAUUACUUUUUAUUAUAACUAUGCUACGAUGGAACUACUAAUCUAGAUGAUGAUUCUAAACUCUAAUGAGAAAAACCAGUGCUCUCUGUAAACAAGAUAAGUACGAGAGCAAACAUAAUAACUCAAGAUACCUUUUAUCGAUACAAUCUACACAAAAGAACUCUCUUCUACAACUCAGACAGCUAACCAAAUCCUCAAAUCCUCUGGUUCCACACCAAUGGCACCUCUUCUUGGCCUUAGCCAAUUUUCCAUUGAAAGGAACCACCUUUGCAGAAAAUCACACAAAAGCAAAAUUAAGAAACUAAAUGUGUACACAAAAAAGUGUAAAGCUUUAAGUUUUUUUCUCAAUUACCUUCAUUUUCCCAAAAUGUAUAGGUUCAAAAUUAUUAGACCUGAAUCUUCUCUUAGUCAAAGAAACAGGUUCUUCGCCUACUUUAACAUCACAAGGAGAAGGAGAUGACACAUUGCUUGUAGUCGGAGAAGGUGGAGAAAUAGCCAAAUUAAAUCCCUACCCUUUAAAGCCAUUGGCCAUCCCUGAGCUUGUAUUGGUGUUGGCUCAGUAAAUCCCAGCUUAGCAAUUGCGUUGAGAAUGUUAUCUAUCAAACAGAUAAUCAAAGAGAUAAGUCCACAAAAUUAAACCACGAAACCAAGAACAAAAUAAUCAUAACUAGAGAAUGUUAGGUGAACAAAGCAGCAUACUUGCACUCACUAGAGGGAAAUAGCAUCGAGAAUCUUAUCUAUCAAACAGAUAAUAAAAGAGAUAAGUCUACAAAACACAACCACUAAACCCACAAGACAUGAACUGAGAAAAAGUGUUAAACAAAGAAAUCUAUAUGUAUGAUAAAACAAAGCUACCAGCUCGGAUAAUCCAUGAAAAAAUACAACCUUUACACAGAACCCUAGCUUAAUACUGAUAAAACAUGCAAUCUAUGAAACUAUGAGAUCCGAAACAAGAGAAAAUUUUCCCAGAUUGGUAAAUCAACGAUCCAAUCAAAAUUAUCCAGAAAAGAAAAAAUCAAUUGAAGUCAGGAUUUGAGGAUAUAUAAACAAAAAGAUACAAAAUCAGUACCGACCAGUUUGGCGUUGAUGUUCUUGUUUCCAGCGGUGGCCAUGUUUGUUAAUCUGAAGCUCAGGAAAUCGAAAGAGGGAAGAAGAUAGAGCUCACAAGAGACCUCGCUUAUUAUGUUCCCGAACUAAUUAGACCAUCUCCAAUGGUGAGAAUCCUUAGGAAUAUUAAAGUAUUUUUUAAAAUAACUAAGAAUUCUAAUCAAAUUUGUAUGUCGGUUGUCAAAUUUGGAAUCCUUAAAAAUAAAAAAAUUAAUAAAUUUUAAAACAUGUGAAAUUAAAAUAUAUAUUUUUGCAUGAUUAACUAUCUAAAAAAAAAAAAAAACAUGUCAAAUUUAAAUAUUUAUUUUUGCAUGAUUAACUUUCAUUAAGGAAAAAAAACAUGUAAAAAUAAGAUAUUUAUUUUUGCAUGAGUAACUAUCAUUAAGAAAAAAAAAAUUAAAACAUGUUAAAUUUAAAUAUUUAUUUAUUACAUGAUUAAAUAUAUAAAAAUACAAUAAUUAUUAAUUUAAAUAUAUUUUCAUCACCAAAUACAAUAAUUAUUAAUUUUCUAUAGCAAUUCUAAUAUUUUAAUCAAUUUUAAAAGUGGUUUCUAUAAGUUAUUUAAAAAAAAAAUUCAAGUUUCUAUAGCAAUUCUAAUCUUUUAAUGAGUUUUAAAAGUGGUUUCUAUAAGUGAUCGGAANNNNNNNNNNNNNNNNNNNNNNNNNNNNNNNNNNNNNNNNNNNNNNGGAAGACGUUAGCUCCGAUGAUGAUCGGAAAAGAGCUUGCCACAUCACUAAGGAUUUGCUCCUUAAAACUUCUUAAUUUAGGAUUGCUCCUUACCAAACUGAGCGUUGUUAAUAUUAUUUUAUUCCAAUUAGUCUAGGAUUAUGUGCUAAGGACUUUCAAAAUAUACCAUUGCGGAUGGUCUAAGAGCCGUAGUUUAUGUUUAUUGCUAUUUUUUAUUAUUUUUUAAUUCUAAUUAAACUAAAAAACGCUCGUAAGAGCUCCAUUUCUUAAAUGUGGGGUGCGCUGCUGUGAGCGCAACUAAACAAAUAAACAAUAAGUGGGAAAAGGUGAAAGAAGGAGGAUCUCCGGUGGAAAAAAAAUCUUUAAGCCAACCAAUUAGUUUUUCGUGGACCGAAAAAAAAUCUUUAAGCCAACCAAUUAGUUUUUCGUGGACCACUUAGGCCUUUUACUUUUCCUUAUCUGCCGUCCUUGCUGUUUCCGUAAUCGAUUUCUCCACUUCAACUUGAAUACUAGUUAGUGUUUGACUGUUUCUUGAAGUUGUGUUAAUUGACUCACGUGAUAAAGCGAGGUAGGUUAUCUUUCUUUGAAACAGUGCUCUUGUUUUGUUUAUAAAACAAUUACGACGAUCGAAAAGACAGACAUGCACCAUAAUAUUUUUUUUUCUGCACUUUCAACAUAUUAUUUUAUAUACUAUUCCUUUUAUUGUAACCCAAAAUGAUAAUAACCAAUUUUAAAUCAUUUUUGACGACUUGCGCUUUUUGAAAACUCCUUUUUAGUUUUUAGGUAAGGCAUUAAACUAUUCCAUUAGUAUAUAAUAUUUUAAAACUUCUGCAUACACUAACAUUAAUGAGAUAUAAAAGAUCUGAGCCAAUCUAUUUAUCAGUUUAUUUCAUAAAUAUUAACAUGAUAUAAUCUGGGUUAUUGACCCAACUAAAAAUGACGCAAACAAAUUAAGGAUCUUACACCAUGAUUAUACAUAAGAAAUCCAAUAGGUUUCUUAGUUUUUUUUUUUUUAAAAAAUAAUAAUUAAAAAAUAAAUUAAUCGCGGGCCCCCAUGUGUUAGUGGGGUCACGAACAGUGUAAGAAAUUCACUAAAAUCGGUUCUUAAUUAGUAGUUUUUGUAACCGAUACUUCAUAGAAACCACGCAUAAAAAAACCCAAGACCCAGGAUAAUCAUGUUCCUAGAACUGGGUUUGAGAUUGACAGACGAGAAGAGUCCAUGGUCACGAAUAACUAUUGUAAGCCAUGCAAAUUUAACACAUACCUAGUUAAUGGAAAAAUUGGAUUCGUAGUUUCGUAUAGUGAUUGAUAGCGACAGAGAAUCGAGUGGUUAUAAAUAAACUUCAACAGUAACCUAAAAAAUCAAGUUUCAGAUUCUAAUAUUUAGAUUUUUGUUUUGUUGUUCGCUGAAGAAAAACUCGAAACAAAUGGAGCAGCAAACUGAAAAAGCGGACAGGGACACUGCAACCGUUUCGCCGGCGGCUACAAACGGGAACAAGAGUGACACAGGGAAGGUAAUAAAGGAAGAGGUGAAGAAGCAGUUUUGGCUCUCUGCUCCACUCAUCGGCGUGAGCCUCCUCCAAUACUCUCUCCAAGUCAUCUCGGUCAUGUUCGUUGGCCAUCUCGGCUCACUUCCUCUCUCUGCUGCCUCCAUCGCCACCUCCUUCGCCUCCGUCACCGGCUUCACUUUCCUGGUCCGUUUCUCUCUGAGUCCAAGAGUUUAAUUUAAUCUUUACACUUGUUUCUGACUCGAUUUUUCCAAACAGAUGGGCACAGCUAGUGCGUUGGAAACACUUUGUGGCCAAUCGUACGGAGCAAAGAUGUACGGGAAGCUAGGCAUCUACAUGCAGAGAGCCAUGUUUGUUCUCCUCAUACUCUCCAUUCCUCUCUCCGUCGUUUGGGCUUACACUGAGAACAUCCUUGUCUUCGUCCACCAAGACAAAUCCAUCGCCAGCCUUGCAGGCUCGUACGCUUGGUACAUGAUCCCAAGCAUCUUCGCUUACGCGCUUCUUCAGUGCCUAAACAGGUUCUUGCAAACGCAAAACAAUGUCUUCCCUGUUUUUGUAUCCUCUGGAAUCACUGCCUGUCUUCACGUGCUUCUCUGUUGGGUCUUGGUCUUGAAGUCUGGUCUAGGACACAAGGGAGCUGCUCUUGCUAUCUCUGUCUCUUACUGGUUCAACGUCAUUCUUCUCUCGUGUUACGUCAAGUUCUCAGCUUCUUGCUCUCAAACAUGGACCGGUUUCUCCAAAGAGGCUCUCAGCCAGAUCCCUGCUUUUAUGAGGCUUGGCUUUCCUUCCGCGGUUAUGGUCUGGUACGUUUAACAUCCUCCCUUUCUUUUUUUUUCUUUUUUAUUAUUAUUAUUAUGAUUAUUCCAUGUUGCUUUAGUUUCAUGACUCUGCGGUUGUGAAAUAGCUUAGAGCUAUGGUCGUUCGAGCUUUUGGUUCUCUUAUCUGGCCUCCUUCCUAAUCCUGUUUUAGAAACUUCAACCCUUUCAAUCUGGUAAGACUGAUUUACAUUCUCUCUCUUUUUAUUUAAAAAAAAAAUUAUAUAUCUACCGAUCGAGUUGUUCUUGUUGUUGUUGUUUGUUUGUUUUUACUGAUUUCUACCAAAAUUUACAGCCUUAAUACGUCACUAACACUCUGGAUGGUACCGGUUGGCCUUGGUGGCACUGCAAGGUAUAGAAAUUAGACAAAUAUCCAGAAAACUAAAAAACUAAAAAGAGAGAGCAUAUAAACUCACUAGUAAUCUUGAUUAACACUGUUUUUGCUUGGUCACACAUUAGCACGAGAAUCUCGAAUGAGCUAGGAGCAGGGAAUCCUAAAGGGGCAAAGCUGGCUGUACGUGUUGUUGUAGCUAUAGUAAUCGUUGAGGGUCUUAUGAUGGGAUCAAUUCUGUUAGGUGUGCGUAACAAAUUGGGAUAUGCUUUCAGCAGCGAUCCUAAUGUCAUCAAGUACGUUGCAUCUAUGAUACCUAUUGUCGUCGCUGGCAACUUCCUUGAUGGAUUCCAAUGCGUUCUCUCAGGUUUGUCUUGUGAGAGUAACAGCUAUUUGUUUGUUGAAACCAAACCUGCUUUGUAUAUAUAUAUGUUUUUGAUUGUGCAGGAGUUGCUAGAGGGUGUGGAUGGCAGAAGAUUGGUGCUUGUGUGAAUCUCGGCUCAUAUUAUCUAGUUGGAGUUCCCUUGGGGUUAUUACUAGGUUUCCAUUUACAUCUCGGUGGUCGGGUACAAUUUUUUUUUUAAAAUAAAUUUCUUACAUAGGCCAUGUUUGGUUGACAGUUGAUAGCUGAUAGCAAUCAGCAGCAGCGACAAGCGACUGUCAAACGAAUAAGGCGUAUAAUCAUAGUAGAGCUGCAUAGUUAAAUGUCACUUGUGCAUUUAUUUUACAGGGCCUUUGGCUGGGAAUUGUAAUGGCUUUAGUUGUUCAAGUCCUGUCUCUUUCCAUCAUCACAUUAGUUACAAACUGGGAUAAAGAGGUACUCUGAAACCUACUGCGUUAUCUAGGUUUGGUCCUAAAAUCUCUUUUUAAGUAAUCAUUUCUUUUUUUUUUUAAGGCCAAGAAAGCCAAAGACAGAGUCGGAUCUGAUGAUGAGGUUAAAGAAACUGAAGCAUCAAUCAGAGAGUAAUGGCUCAGAAACUACUUUGAUUUUCCUGCAUCGUUGUGUUUCAAAUUGUAUCUUCUCGGUGAGGUCGAAGCUUUCCCACUGCUAUGUAUCUUUCUUGGUAGAAACUUAUACCGACUAUACAGUGAAUUGUUGGCAAAACUUGGAAACUGCAUUGUGAAUGGCAAAAUUAAUAUGGAGUGUAAUGAUUAUUAAAUAACUGAUUUGAGAUUGAUAUCAUUUAUUCAGAGUGAUUUGGACUUUUUUUUUGUGUGUAAAAUCACUGCGAUCGCAUAAAACAAACAAUUUCAUCCCUAAGGUAAAUGGUUAAAUUCACUCCAGUUCUAAAAAUCAAUCAAACUACCAUGUUAUAUUAGGUAAAAGAAGAAAUAUAUUAAAUUAAAAAAAACAGCUGAAAAAAAUAUCAUCUACAAAACUCUAACCCCUAAAUCAUAAAUUUUAAAUUGUAAAUCUUAAACCCUAAUUUCUAAACCCAAAACUAUAAACAAUAAAUCUUAACCAUAAACUCUAAACGCUAAACCCUUAAUUAUAAACCCUAAACUCAAAACCCUAAAUCUAAAUUUUAAAUUCUAAACCCUAAACCCGAGAUCAUAAACCCUAAACCCUAGAUUCUAAAGCCAAAAUUCUAAACUCUAAAUCCAAAAUUUUAAACCCUAAACCCAAAAUUCUAAACUCUAAACCCUAGAUCCUAAAUCCUAAACCCUAAAUUCUUAUUUUUAAACCCAAAACUCUAAAUCAUAAACCCUAAAAUCUUAGGGUUUAGGAAUUAGGAUUUAGAGUUCGGGAUCUAAGGUUUAUAAUUUAGAGUUUUGGAUUUAGGGUUUAGAAUUUAGAGUUUAGGAUCUCGGGUUUAGGAUUUAGAGUUUAUGAUCUAGGAUUUAGUAUUUAGAAUUCAGGUUUAGGGUUUAGAAUCAAGGGUUUAGCGUUUAGGGUUUAUGGUUAAGAUUUAUGGUUUAGAGUUUAGGUUUAUAUGAUUUAGGGUUUAGAAUUUAAAAUUUAGAAUUUAUAGUUUAUAAUUUAGGGAUUAGAGUUUUGCAUACAGUAUUUUUUCAGCUAUUUUUUAAUUCAAUAUAUUUCUUUUUUACCUAAUGUGAUGUGGCAAUUUGAUUGGUCAUUAGAAGUGAGGUGAAUUAGAACCAUUAGAUUGGUCAUUAAAACCAUUCACCUCAGGGGUGAACAUAAGUAUUAUUCCAAACAAACUAUGAUGUAGCGUAAAUAUAGCUCUUACCCCAGUUACAAAAAAAUAGCUCUUACCUACCAUGUCGUAGUAGUAUGCUUUUGUGCAUGUUUAUAUAACGUUCCCUCUGAUUCAUAAUGUAUAAUCUAAGUAGUUUUAGAACUUUUUUGUUUUUAAAUAUAAAUAGAUUUAAUAUUUCAAUGCAACUUUUAUAUUUAUUAAAUAUUGUGUAACUAAUCAAAUAGUGUUUUUACCUUAAACUACUUACAUUUUGAAAUAGAAGGAGUUGUAAUUUUGAUGAAGUAAUAAAAAUCUAAGAGAGAAUUAUUUUUUGUUUUAGAUAACUCUGUAAAUCAACGAUAUCAGGAGUGUUUCAGUAAUCAUUUUGGACCAAUCUAUAUUAUUACUAUACUAAAAGGAGAAUAAGAUCACCAUUUAGCCUGUCCACGUAGACACGAAAAAUCAGCCAAUAUAAAUACUCAAACAUGCCAUGUCAGCCCAGCUUAAAUCGAAAUUAUAAAUUCUGGGCUAGCUUAAAUCAAGAUUAAUAAAUUAUGGAUUUUUCAUAUGGGCUCAUGAUAUAUUUCGGAAAAGACCCAGUUUUGAACGCCUAAAUAUCUGUUUCUUAUCUACGUUUAAUAUAACAGAGGGGUCGCUCGAUCGAUUUGGUUCACACAGUUCGUCUUCUCCGUUUAUCCCUGCAAAUCUCCAUAACCACAACCCCUCUUGACCAAUCAAUUUAUGUCCUAACCAAUCAAAAUAAGAAAAGCUCCCAUAUUAUUUAGUUUAUAUUUGUCAAAAAACACAAAAUAAGCCAAUAGAAAUACUCAAACAUGCCAUGUCAGCUCAGCUUAAAUCGAAAUUAUAAAUUCUGGGCUAGCUUAAAUCAAGAUUAAUAAAUUCUGGAUUUUUCAUAUGGGCUCAUGAUAUAUUUCGGAAAAGGCCCAGUUUUGAACGCCUAAAUAUCCAUUUCGUACACCUUUCAUAGAACAGAGGGGUCGCUCGAUCGAUUUGGUUCACACAGUUCGUCUUCUCCGUUUAUCCCUGCAAAUCUCCAUAACCACAACCCCUCUUGACCAAUCAAUUUAUGUCCUAACCAAUCAAAAUAAGAAAAGCUCCCAUAUUAUUUAGUUUAUAUUUGUCAAAAAACACAAAAUAAGCCAAUAGAAAUACUCAAACAUGCCAUGUCAGCUCAGCUUAAAUCGAAAUUAUAAAUUCUGGGCUAGCUUAAAUCAAGAUUAAUAAAUUCUGGAUUUUUCAUAUGGGCUCAUGAUAUAUUUCAGAAAAGGCCCAGUUUUGAACGCCUAAAUAUCCGUUUCGUACACCUUUCAUAGAACAGAGGGGUCGCUCGAUCGAUUUGGUUCACACAGUUCGUCUUCUCCGUUUAUCCCUGCAAAUCUCCAUAACCACAACCCCUCUUGACCAAUCAAUUUAUGUCCUAACCAAUCAAAAUAAGAAAAGCUCCCAUAUUAUUUAGUUUAUAUUUGUCAAAAAACACAAAAUAAUUUUAGGUGAGAACACUACUUUAGGACCUUUGACGUUCUCGAUUCUCUUGAUCUCAGUUUCAUUGACUGUUUCGCAAAGUUAUAAAACAUCUUCAAUUAAUCUCUUCAAAUUCUUUCAACCAUUUAUUUGUCCCCUAAUUCAGUUCUUCUGUUCUUUGAGCUCUUUCAAAUUCUUUCAAGAAUUUCCUUUUCCCUCAAAUCAGCUCCUCUAUUCUAUGAACAACUACGUCUCAGAGAUUUUCAAAAAGAAGUUUCAUAUACGACAACAAAGACAAGCGUAUCCAACAUAGGAGAAUUAGAUUGGGAAGGAACACAUAAGCAAAAAGAAUAAGAUACUGGAGAAGAACAUGGUUAUCGUCCUCACAUAUUAUUAAGGUAAAUACCAUAUCAUGAACCAUAUUAGUAAAUAAAUCACAUGGCAGUGGCGAAGGAUCUCAGACGGAACGGUUUUGUCUGCAGCAGAUGAGAUCUGAUGGAAGAGUGAGAUGGUCGGAGGUGGUGAUGAUGGCAGCUUUCGUUUAUCAAUUGAAGAAGAAGGUAUAUAUGCACACACACAAUACUUUCAAGAGCCGAGAUUUAGAGGAUAAUCAUGACGUGACUGAAGCAGCUUAUGAACUUACUUGAUUUAUAUGUGAUGUGCUCAUGUGAUACUUGGCGAGGAAGUUGCAGCGUUUAAACUCACAAUUUUUGGACAUUUUUAAACAUGUCUAUCAGGCAGUACAAGCAGCAGCAGAACAAAGUCUAAUUAACGAAACUAUUAUAUGAAAUAUUUUGCAGUCAUAUACCUUUUAUAGGCACCAACAAGAUUCAUGGAGUCAUUUUCAUUCUCAAAAGGAUUAUAGAAAGUGUUCCUGAAGUCUACUCACUGUCAAAGGUGAUGAUUUGAUAUUGUAAACGUACAUAUUUAUUGUGUUAAGAAAAACAUAUGUAUUUAUCAUUUUGUAGCUCUUUUCUUCUUUCUCAAUACUGGAUGUUGUUUUAAGUAUUAUAUCUCAUGUCUACUCUGAAUUUUGUGAUGCAGGAAAUUUACGUACUCCUUAUGCAGGAUGUAACUGCUUAUAAGAUUUCUACAGGCUCUCAACUCGGCAUCUACUAUAUUUGGAUUUCUUCCUUUAUUCACUAAGAAACAGGUUUGAAUUCUUGGUCAGUAGAUUUUUUUUUUGUUUUACCAAAGAAGCAAACAAGUAUGGAUGCUUACAAGAUGCUCAUUUGUGUUGUUGCAGUUACUUCUCCAUCUUGAGUCUGAUGAUUCUGCUCAGGUAGCCCAUGUAAGAAGAAGAAGAAACAAACAUAUAUGCGAUAAUAAGUUGUUAAGGAAAAUUUGAAAUAGAUAAUGCUAUUCAGAAUUUAGCCAAUAGAUUUGGUUAGUAGACCUCUUUAAAAUUUGUUGACCGGUCUUCGUUUUGCAGGCAAUUAUUGGGAUUGAUUUUUAGUCCAAGACAAUGUACCUUAAGGAUAUGACUCUUUGUCUCCAACUAUGGUAUAUCAUCCCUUUUUGGUACCUUGCACAAGUAUUUUAGAGUAGUGAACUCAUAGAUGAGGGUCCUCCAAUGUUUCUUUGAUUCCAAAUUGUUUGUAUGUUCCAGAAUUGAAUCUUAGUUUCUGAUUUCAUUUCUCUCUUAUGGAAUCCCAGUCAAUCUGUUACCAUUUCAGAACGUUUUGGGCAGCUUCAGGAUCACUGCUGAUUCUCCACAUGUAGGUGUUAUCUUCUCUUCCCCUUGCUAAAGUUUUGAGAUUCCAGUUGUUCACUCAUGUCUAGCUGCUACCUAAUAUUUACUUUCUGUUUCAAACCUAAUUGCCGUUGUUGUUCUUUUUAUCAAGAGCUGAAGAAACUCUCCACUCAAGCAAGUGAUAUGUGCGUAUAGCAGCUGCUGCAAAUGAAGCUCUUAAAAGAUUCAGAGACAUCUACUCCAAUAAUCAUUUCAGGAAGAUUGGUAAUUGUCUCUGUCUUCUCUUAUUACGAAUGAUACAUAUCAAAUGUGAUCUGCCUAUAAAUUAAUUAUCUUAGGAUGAUAGCAAAAAACUUAUACGAAUACCCGGGCGUAGCCCGGGAAAAGUCCCUAGUGAGUAUAAAAGAUGAUUGGUAAAUGAUAUGAAUGCUUUCCAUAAUUUUUAUUCUUCACAAACGAUCAUGUUUUACUAAAAUAAAAAAAAUAGACCUGCAGCUCAAAAGUUUAAAAGAAACUAGUAUAGCUUUCAGCAUCAAAUUUUACUCUCUUUUUUUCUUAACGCUGAUUUAUUAUAAUAUUAAAAUUAUGAAAAAUAUUAUAUAGACGAUCCGACAAUAAAUAAUACUACCUGCUUUACAAAGAUUUAUGUUUAACUGCAUCACCGAAACCGUUUUACGAAGAUUAUGCCUGAUCGAAUUUACUUGCACCAUGUUGAAGAUCCUUUAUAAGUAUUUUCUCCAUAGUCUGCAUAAAUAUUUUAAUAAAUUGUGUUUUGGAAAUUGAAGUCUAGACAUACCGGUGUAAAAACAUUAAUUAAUUCUUAGUUAAACCAUUGGAUUAAAAGAGCUUCCACAAAAUUUUACUGUUCUGUUUUUAGAAUUGUUUAAUUUCUUGUAAAUAAUCAUGUGACAAUAAAAUUUACCGUUACAAAAAAGAAACAGCAACUUAAAUUCUAAAAAAGAAAAAAGAAAUCUACCCUUUAUCAGUCAAGGUCAUAGCUUGGGCUACAUUAGUUGACCUAAAGCUGAAAUGGCUCUUUUGUCAUGCGACCAAUAAGGAAUCUUCAACAAUGAAGAAUCGAGCAAGAAAUGAGCACGUUGACGCUUUGCGAGAAGUACUACUGGAGUUUUACAAAAAUCUGUGUCACGUGCUGCAAAAAUCAGUGGAAGCUGCCCUACCUAUCUUAUUUUUUUUUUGUUGAAAUGUAUAUCCUAUCUUUGAUGAUGAUGUGGAUCCAAUCUUGGAUAUUCAUGCUGAGGCAGGUCAGCUUAGAGUUGUGUAUGGUGAAGUAGAUGUUAUAACCCAUAGAUUUAUGUUUGGUGGCAGAGCUUUUAAAACUUGCAUAAGAUCAACAGUGUUUCUGAACAUCACAUAUUCACAUGUUCUAAUUUGUUGACGAAAACAUUAUAUGGAGUGUGGGUGAAUCUCAUAUCCUUCAAGAAGUCAAACGUUUAUCUUUCAAAUGUGAUAAUACAUGAAAAGCUUUAAGUUUUUUUUUUCUAACAAUUGAAAGUAUUUUUGUUUGCAACGAAGUUUGACUAUCAGUGGGCGGUUUUUCUUCUUUAAGUUUGUGGAUCCAUCCAAGGUUAAGGUUCGUGUGACAACCCGUCCCGUAGACCCCGCGAUCCCGUGAAUCUCAGGUUCACAGUUACGUAGGGCACUGACCCUAAUCUUUUGCAUGUGAGUCUUCGUUGACUCUUCCAUAUAGGUUAUUGAUGUGCUUGGCGUUUAUCGAACCCAAUACUUCACCCUUUAACAACACUCUAACAUGACGAGUUGUCUGAAAAAACAAUUUUUUUUGUGACAACCCGUCCCGUGGACCUCACCGAUCCCGUGGACUUCAGGUUCACAGCCCUGCAGGGCACCGACCUUAACCCCUCACAUGUGAGUCCUCACUGACUUCCCUAACCUAAGACCUCACCCUUCAACAACACUUCCAAAUAACUCUACCUAACCGAAAACAAUUUAACUUGACCCAAACUUUAACCAAAAUAAAUUAGCCUAACCAAAAUUAAAUCAAAAAGGUUUUAACCUAACCAGAAAAGUUAUACGACAUAUAACUUGUGAACAUUGGUAAAAAGAAAAAAGAAACCCUAAGCGCUGUUGUCUCUCUUUCUCUCUCGCAGGUGGGCGAUUUCUUCACGCCGUUUCUGCUGCUUUUGGUGAUUUCUUCAAGCCCGGUGGUUUCUACACUGGUCUUCGUGGUUGUUUGUUUAGUCAUUUGUUCUUUUUUUUUUUGUUAACUAAACUUUUAAUUUUUCUUUCGUUCAGAUCUGACCGCACCAUUGCAUCUGUUCUCGUCCAUCUCUCUGCUUCCGCUCGGCCUCACGGCGAAGGUAAAGUAGUCCUUGACUUAUUUCGUUUUGACAACCUAACUGGUAGACUUAUCUCUAUCUUGUUUUUGUCCUCCCCCAUUCAAUCUUUUCCUCGAGGCAGUUACUAAUAUGAAAUUUGACGAGGAGCCCAAGCUCAUCUCGAUUUCUGAAGGUGGGUUGUCUCUUUGUUUCUAUGCUUAUUUUCACUAUUUUAAAUAUUUUAUCAAGUGCUGAAAUUUUUCUGGUUUUGUAGCAGAUGAGACAAAUCAUAGCUGAAAUUGGAGUGGUUUCCAAGGCUGACAGGUAUACACAGAUCUGAGCCAGGCCAGGGAACAGUGUAUCUUCUCGUCCAUCUUUCUGCUUCCGGUGACUCUCACGGCGAAGGUGAAGUAGUGCUUGACUUCUGUUUUAAUAACCUAACUAGUAGAGUACUUCUAAGUUUAUCUGUAGACUUUUUUUUUGAAUUGUAGACUUCUCUCUCGGUUGUAGACUUUUCCCUGAAUUGUGGAAUUCUUAUGAUGCUUAUGGCAUAUCUUUCAUACAUGUUUGCUGAGCUUAGAUUCUGUGAAACUUUUGUAGAGAAGAAUGCAAGUCUCAUUGGCUUCCUUAUUCCUUAAUUUUUAUUUUUAUUUUACUGCAGAGCAUGACAGUGAGUUUGUUGAACUACCUCCUGAACUAUGUCAUGUCAUAUUGUCUCCAAUAUCAGUGGAUAUGAUUUAUUCAUAUAAAUGCAUGGCAUAUGUUAUGCAACGGAUUGAAUCUUUGCUUAUUAUGCCCAGUCUCUAACAUGUUUACACUUCUUUGUUCAGGAAAAAACACUUGGUGGAGACCCUUAACUUAUGUGUAGGAUGUAGAAUUAUAUCAGCUGUUGUUAAAGGAGUUCUAUGAGACCAUCCAUCCAUCUUCUUCAGGUAUAGUUGCCUUGUUUUAAGAGACCUUAAGUCUAAUUUUGGUUUUUUAAAAGAGCACAUCUGUUUACUGAAUAUUAAUCUUGACAUUGGCAGAUGCGGCAAAAACAUCAUCCAGUAGUAGCUUCUUUUGAAUUUCUCAGCUGUGCUAACUCUGUUAAACAUGUUUCUCGCUCUCUCUCUCAAUUCUUCAAACUGAUUUAAAGAACUCCUUGACUGAUCCACUUUAUUUGUUUUUAUUUGAGACUAUAGUGUAGGUUCUAUUGUCUUGUUGUGUUGAUGGUUAGAGCUUUUGCGAAAAACUUGUAUGUUUAUGCCUGAUGUUAUGUUCCAACAUUGUUGUUUAUAUUGACGGUAGAAGUACUCCUGACAUGUGUUGGCUUUGAAUGUAUAUUAAGUUUAGUAGAAACAAACGAAUGAUGUUAUGUGAUUUUGUUGAAUGUUUAUGUUUACCUUCAGUGUGACUUUAUGAUCUACGUUGGUUGGCUUAAUGAGCAGCAGAGAUGAGGAAGAGACGGCUGGGGCACAAGAUUCCACAUGCAACCUAGAAAGGCCCAUCACUGGAACGAGCAUAGGAAGACGAAGACAUUUUAUUGAGAAAGACGAGAGUAGUGUUGUUGCAUAGUUGUAGUAGUAGCAGCAGUAGUAGUAGUAGUAAUUUGUUUGCAUCUAACGUCAGUAUUUGUCUUGUGUAAUUUGUUUGCUUCAGUAUUUGUCUUAUUUUUACAUAAGAUUUUUGCACGACUGUCAAGACAUCAUGUAUUGUAAAGAUCUUAGAGAUUCUUAACACAUAUUAACAAAUAAUAUAACUUAGUAUAACUCCAAAGCAAUAUAAACAAGUUAAAGAACUACAAAUUAAGAAGGAACAUUCUCCUUUGAUAGUUCCUUAACUAUAACCUAUUAACUUUUAAAAUUCAAGACCAUUAGAAUUCAUUAAUAAUAGACUUCAACUAUAUUUUAACGAAAAUUUACAAAAACGUCUACAAUUAUUAGCUAACUACAAAGCUAAAUAAAAAAUAUUAUACUUUCAUAAUUAUAACAAAUUUUCUUUUCAAAAUCACUCAAACCCAUUAAGAUUAACUAACACACACUGUCAAACAAAAAAAUCUUGAAAAAAAAUUAAUGAGUAAUACACAAAUUCAAUUUUAAUAUAUUUGUCAACGUAGACUCCAUAUUCUGUCUACGAAGUUGUAGACGUUUUUUUUCAGUUUACAGAUGUAGACCCUCAAAUAGAUAUAUUCUUUGAGUUAGUUUUUGCAAUUGUAAAUUUUACGGGUUACUUUCUAUAUUUGAAAAUUUUUUGUGAUUUUAAUAUAAGUAGACUUCCAUUUCAGUUUAUACUUUAAAAAUGUUAGUUUUUGCAAUUGAACAGAAUUAACACAUGAUUUGAUUUUCAAAAGUAGACUUCAUAUGCAGUCUACAUGUUUGAAUUUUUUUGAAAGAGAUUAGUUUUGCAAUUGAUCAAAUUUGACUUUCUACGAGUAGAUUAAAAUGAACGUCUACGGUUGUGUAGACUUUGCAUGAAGUCUACUCUCAAAUCCGAUGGAUUAGUUUUGCAUUUGACAAAAAUAAAAAAGUAGAUUUCAGGUAGUCUACGUUUUUUUUUCUAAGAUUAGAAGAUUGCAUAUGAAGUCUACAAUUUAAUAAAUUUUUGAUUGAUUUUUAAACUUUUUAGUCAAACACAAAACUAAUCUAUUAAACGAAGUCAAAGUUUUGGUCAAAUGCAAAACUGACUUUUUGUAGGCUUCUCUGGCAGUCUAUAUUGUGUAGACUUCCGAUGAAGUCUACUAUGAAGUCUACUAUGAAAAGUCAAAAGUUUGGUCAAAUGCAAAACUAACCCCUUUUACGUACACGUCUUGGUAAAUCUACCUAAAUUUUUGUUUUUUGCUGUCAAAAGUAAAGACGUAGACUGUUGGGAAAGUCUGCGUUACAAAAAAAAAUCAUUUGGUCAAUUGUAAAACUUACGUGUGCGUUGAUAAAUAGACUGCAUCGUAAGUCUGCAUAUAGGCGUAGACAUACAAAACAGUUUACUAUCGCGACACAAAUCUGAAAAAGACGAAAAUCAUGUAAAUAAUUACUUUUUUUCCGCUGUAAUUAAAGCUCGUUUCCAAUCUUUUCAACCAUCCAAACUCCAAAUAUGAGCAAAAAGAAACACCUUUCACGAUUCAUUAAUGAAGAAACUUGAAAAUACGAAGUUUGUGCUUAUGAAAAUGAAAGUUAUGAGAGUUUUUUAGAUGGAAAUGUAGAGGAAAUGAGAGGAAAUGAAAAUUUAUUGGUUUAGAAUGAGAAAAAAGUGGUUGAAAAUUAAAUUUUAAAGCUUUAUGAGCUCAAAAAUGAUGGUUCAUGGUGGUUGGAUAAAUUAAUGACGAUGAUAUUAUUGUAAAUAAGAAGAAAUGAUUAUGGUGUAUUUGAUUUUGUUAAUUUUGAAAUUAAUAAAAAUUAAAUAAUAUUAGUAAUUUUGUAAAUAAUUCAAAAAUAUAAAGAUAGUAAAGAAAAUUUAUUAAUAAAUAGUAAUGACAAAAAAAAAUUGAUUUUAGGUUUGACUUGAAAAAAGGGUUUAGUUUUGAAAAACUCCCAUAAAUCAAAGAUGACCCGGGCUAACAUAUUUAACAAAAAUGAUUGGUAUCCUGUCAAAAGGAGCAAGUCAUCUUCAGAUAAACUGUCUGUUAUAUGUAAAUAUCUAAAUCACACGAAUAAAUCAAAGAUGACCCAACCUAGCAUAUUUAACAAAUCUUUAAAAGUCAUCUUGAGACGGAUUAAAACAAGUGUAUUAUACAUGUAAAUAUCUAAACCAAACGAAUAAAUCAAAGAUGACUCCACCUAGCAUAUUUAACAAAAAUGAUAUCGGAUAAGUCAAAAGGAGCACGACGAAUUAAAACAAGAGAUAAUACAAGUAGUACGUUUAUAUAUAAUAUCUAAAUGAAACGAACAAAUCAAAGAUGACCCAACCUGACAUAUUUGAUAAGUAAUGUAGCUAAAGACUUUUUAUGCCAAGUUUAAAGACAUGUCUUGAUCAUUCAUAUUAUUUUAUUCCAUUUUUUUGGUGGGAGGUGAGCAUAACACGAUAACUCCCCCUAAACCAAAAGAUUAACACAACUUGUAAUUUUAUACACAAAUGACGUUUUUUUUUACAUUUUCCGGACUCGUUAUCCUUUUUACUGUGAUUCAUAUCUUUGCUAAACUUUUUCUUUACUCCACAAUUGACAAGAACAAAACAACAACUCCAUAUAACAAAAGAAAAUGAAAGAUGAAAGGAAAUGGGGGUUUAUUGAUUUGAUGGGAUCAAGUAGAAAUAAACGCACGUAUUACUGCACAUACUCAACGCUCAGUCUCAGCUUCUUGGUUCCAUGGUUUGACCCAGUCUGCAUCCUCUACAUGCGCCCCAUAUGCAAACCCACCGUGACGUGUCAUGUCAAUUCCACAUUUUUCUUCUUUCACAGAUACUCUAAGAAGAUUCAUCUUAUGUAACCCAUAAAACAAAAAUCCCAUUGUCAACGUCACCCACCCGAAAAUUGCAAUUAUCUGAACCAUCUGUGCUCCAAGUAGCUUCAGUCCUCCACCCAUGAACAAACCGUGCGGCCUUCCGCUUUCGCCGCCAUAAACUUCACUCAUGUAAUUUUUAGUAGCGAAAAGUCCCGUAAAUAAUAACCCCCACGCACCACAACCACCGUGCACUUGAGCGGCUUGAAGCGGAUCGUCGUAUUUACAUAUUUUGGCUAGCCAGUUAAGACCGAUCGUAACCCACGAGGCCACAAAGCCACACACAAUCGCGGCCCAAGGCUCCACAACCGCGCAACCCGAUGAUAUAGCUACAAGGCCGCUUAGCAAACCGGUGCAGACGUGCGUCACACUCCAGUGGCCGACCAGAAAUCGACUAGUGAACAUGCUGGUUAGUGCCGCGGUGCAUCCAGACAGAGUAGUUGUGACGGUGGUCCGUCCUAUAGCACUCCACUGACCAUAGUAUUGAGGAGAUCGGUUGUAAGCUUUUAGAAUGGUUAAGAAAUAACCGGCAGUGAACCCGUACCAUCCCAACCACAACAUGAGUGUACCGAGGACAACAAGCGGUACGCUGUGCCCACGAAUUUCUGAAGAAGUGUUUUCUUUGUGGUUGAACCGGCCGAUUCUUGGUCCUAAUAUCAAAGAUCCCCAGAGACCGGUUAUACCGCCGACCAUGUGAACCACACCCGAACCGGCAAAAUCAAUCGCACCAGAGCCAAUAAAAAGAAUAUCGUUGGGGCGUGUUGGGCUGGCCCAUCCAUCGUUCGACCAAAACCAAUGCGAGACUAUCGGAUAGACGAAACCGGUCAAAAAAAAAGAAGAUAUAAGAUAAGCAGUGAACUGAGUGCGUUCAGCCAUCGAGCCACUUGUGAUUCCUGAGGCAGUGAUGGCGUAAGUCCAUUGAAAGAGAAAGAAACUAAAGUCGUAGCCAGAGCCUUCAGGGAACGAGUUUAAGGCAAAGAAAUUGCGGGGACCACCAAUGAAUCCGUUGGAAGGUGUACCGAAGGCGAAGGCAAAACCAAAGAGAUAGUAAGUGACAGAUCCUGAGGCAGCAUCAAGGAUACUACAUAACAUGAUGUUUUUUGUGUUUUUGGCGCGUAUUGAACCAGCGCUUAGCAUGGCAAAGCCUAUUUGCAUGGUGAAAACAAUGUAGGUAGAAAAAAGGAGAUAUGUAGUAUCAACGGCGAAAUUUGUGUCUGAAAAUUUAUGGGAAAUGGCUGAGAGGUGAGAGCAAAGGAAAUUUGCUGCGGCUGCAGAUGAGUUGAAGUUAGAGGAAGUGGUGAGGAGGACGGCGAGGUCAGAGGCAGAGCAAAUACUGGAGGGUGUAGUCAUUAUAGCAUAUAGAGAAUAUGCAAACUGGUUAGAAUGUUUUGUCCUUUGGUGGAAGAGUACAUAUAAGCAUUCUAUGUGGGAGAAGAACUGGCAAAUUAUUAGAAAAGAAGUAAAACAUAUGCAGGCCUGAAGUGUUGGAAGGAAGUCAACGAGGGUGCUCUUUAUUUUAUUUUGUUUAUUUCCAUCUUCCGUUUUUAUAUAUACAUCUUUUGGGCAAUUCUCAGUAGACGAUUUUCAAGUUUUUAUCACAAAAAUGUAUUCUAAGAAAAAAAUUGAUCAAAAUAUUUCAUUUAAUAGGUAAAAGACCUUAAUACCCUAGAUAUAUAAAUAAAUAAAUAAAUAAAUGAAAAGAAAAAAAAUAUAGUUCCAGAUUAUAUGUUUUCAAAUUCGAAUUUUUUUCGAAUUUUUUUUUUUUUAAUUUUAUUUUUGUAAUUCGAAAUACUUUUUGAAACUAUUUUUCAAAUUUUUAUUUUCAAAUUUUUAAUAUUUAUUUUUUAUUUUAUAAAAUUUUAAAACUUAAUCUCAAAUCUCCGCCCCUUAACUCUAAACCCAAAGAUUUAGAUUAGUUAACUCUAUAGGUAUAAUUGUAUACACAUUUUGGUCAUUUAGAUAUUUAGAUUAUAUAUUUGUGAUAAAAACUUUUUUACUACUCCCUAUGUAUCAUUUUAAUAGGUAUUUAAGGUUUUUGCACAAAUAUUAAGAAAAUACAAACUUUUAUGUAGUUGUCUUUGGUAACAUAAAAUAACAUUAUAUAAAAGUAAUUCAACCAAUAAAAAAUGCAGUAUUUUAUAAUUGGUCAAAAUUUUCAAAUGACAUUAAAUUUCACCUAGAAUUGUGAGAACAUCACAUAUUUUGAAACAAAAUCAAAAUCUUUAAACACCAGUUAAACUGAUACGAAGGGAGUAAUAUCCUAAGAUAUUUCUUUUUUUUUUUUAAAUGAAUCUACAAUCUUAAGCAUUGUAAACAAAAUUUUCUAUUUAUUUUUUCCCUUAAUUUGGUUUAAUGGUCUAUCGUCUUAUGUCAUCUCACCUAGCGUGUCCAGGUUCGAACUCUCAAUUUCUGUAAUAAUUAACUAAUCUUCUUUCUUAGCUGAAAUCUCUUGUUGUCUCCUUGGCAACUUCACCCUUUCUGUUUCUUGGUGGGUAUUACAGCAAAACCUGUACCACCUUCGAUUAUGCAACUACAUCUUCUAUAUUGCAUGAUCUUUUUCUAAACAUAACUUUCGUUAAUACUUAAAGAUUACACUUUGAAGAAUAGACAAUCCUAGCACUAGAAGCAAAACAGCAAUACAACAUAACUGAUAGACGUAGAGAAACCCUCUAGGAUAAAUCGACAGCGAAUUCAGAGAACAACUCGAAUACGUCAAGGUAAAUUUUACGGCGCCGCUGGAAAGUUGAAACAUAGUCACAUUAAAUCGUGACUUUUGAUAGCCAAUGAUAUUUAUAAAUAAGAAAAAAAAAUAAACUGUAGUAUUUCUACCCUCUAUGUAUGGUUGGUAAUAAAAAUAAACUUAUUUGUAGAAAAGUACACGAAAUAUUUAUACUUAUUCGUUCACGAGAGCAAACAUCACUACAUUAAAAAGAAGAAGAUAAAAACUUCUAAAAGACGGCAUUUGAAGUACGCAAUAUAUAACCAGCCUAUACGUCUCUAUAUUCGUAACUUCAAAUGAUAACGAUGAUCAGUAGAAUCGGCCACACUCUUGAAUCAUAUAUCGAUCUCAACUGGAUAUUUGUUUAGACAUUCUUCCCAAGGAUUAUUAGCAGAAGCCUUAACGUUACGAAGAGCCACCCAAACACAACCAUUGCAUUUAAACCCUGACCCCAACGCUAUCUGCGAAGUCCUAUCUCCUUUCUUCAUCCUUCCUUUAGCUUCCGUGUAAGCCAACUCGUACCAAAUGGAACUCGAUGAGGUAUUACCAAACCUGUGUAGUGUCAUUCUUGAUGCUUCAACAUGUAACGGAGAGAUGAAGAUUUUUCUCCAGCUCAUCUAUAAGCGCUCUACCACCCGCAUGAAUACAGAAAUGCUCGAACGCAAGCUUGAAAUCCGGCAUGUAAUGCUUGAUCUUGGGGUUGAGAAACUUCUUUCUAAGGAACGUUACAAAGAAGAGAAGCUUCUCGCUUAUUGGAAGAACCAGUGGACCUAACUAGGGAUGUUAACAUGGGUUUACCCAAACCGAGUUUUCCCGUCAAAACCGAAAAAUCGAGUUUUCCCACCAAAAACGAAAAACAAUCGAGUUUUCCCGCCAAAACCAAAAAACCGAGUUUUCCCGCUAAAACCGAAAAACUGAGUUUUACCGCCAAAACCGAAAACCCGGGUUUUCCCGCCAAAACCGAAAAAACGGGUUUUCCCGCCAAAACCGAAAAACCGAGUUUUCCCGCCACAAACGAAAAACCGAGUUUUCCCGCCAAAACCGAAAAACCAAGUUUUCCCGUCAAAACCGAAAAACCAAGUUUUCCCGUCAAAACCGAAAAACCGAGUUUUCCCGCCAAAACCGAAAAACCAAGUUUUCCCGUCAAAACCGAAAAACCAAGUUUUCCCAUCAAAAUAAAACUAGUUUUCAACCGAAAAACCGAGUUUUCCUGCUGNNNNNNNNNNNNNNNNNNNNNNNNNNNNNNNNNNNNNNNNNNNNNNNNNNNNNNNNNNNNNNNNNNNNNNNNNNNNNNNNNNNNNNNNNNNNNNNNNNNNNNNNNNNNNNNNNNNNNNNNNNNNNNNNNNNNNNNCCAAAACCGAAAAACCGAGUUUUCCCGCCAAAAACGACGCCAAAAACAAAAAAUCGAGUUUUCCCGCCAAAACUGAAAAACCGAGUUUUCCCACCAAAACCGUAAAACCGAGUUUUCCCGUCAAAAUCAAAAACGAGUUUUCCCGCCAAAACCGCAAAACCGAGCUUUCCUGCCAAAACCGAUAAACCGAAUUUUCUUGCAAAAACCACAAAAACAACUUAACAAGUUUUCUCGUUAAAACCAUAAAUGAUAUUAAUAUUUUACAUUAAUAUAUUAAAGCUCACAUUAAUGAUAUUAAUAGUUUACAUGAUCUUGAGAGUAAAUAAUUAAGAUAAUACUUUGGGUACCCAUGGGUACACCUAUACCAUAUUAGGUUAUUUUCUUGGUUUGGAUUUCAACCUUGAUGUUUCUGGGUUUUUGUAGGUUGGGUAUAAACUGGGUUGAGUUAUUUGUGGGUUGGGCUGAGCUGGGUUAUUUUACCCUACCUUAACAUCCCUAGACCUAACGUUGCGAUAUUGAUCUUUAGGGUUCUUGCAGCUACCGUUGGUAGAUCCUUUGACAAGGUGACUCCAACUACACCAUCUUCAUCUUCUUCUUGAGUUGCGCAUCCAUAGGAUCGGUCAUCUGCCCCGGUAUGGACUCUCACCGUGUGAACAAGCUGGUAUUUCGCGGGUUUUCGGUCUUUAGAAAGGUUAGAAAGCAAAACAGCAGCCCCACCUACCCGGAACAAACAGUUUGUAACCAACAUUGAUUUGUUGUUACCCACGUACAAGUUCUGAGUGAUGUUCUCCGUCCUGACAACAAGAGCAUAAGUGUUCCUAUGAACUUGCAAUAAACUCUUAGCGACAUCUACGGCGAUGACGCCAGCACUACAUCCCAUCCCAACAAGAUUCAAGCUCUUUAUAUUUUUCCUAAGUUUAUAUUUGUUCACUAUGAUAAUUGAUAACGAAGGAGUUGGAUUGAAAGUGCUCGAGUUCACCACCAAUAUACCUCUAUCACUCGGGCUAAUUCCUGUGUUGUGGAAAAGAUUAUCGACCGCUCCUAUUAUAACUUCUUCUGUCUCUUUACGUGACCCGGCCAUGGUUUGUUCUACCGGCAAGCAAUGAAGACCUUCUGGUACGUAGGUCUCUUGGCCUAGACCGGAACGUUCUAGAAUCUUGGUCACAAAGUCCAUCAAGUAAUCGUUCUCGUCUGUCUUCCCCCAUUUGUCUGAUUCACGACAACUUUUACGUGGUGCAUGAUCUUCUUGACGCUGGCUUUGAGAUGAGACGGUGGGAGGUAGCAACUGAAGUCAACGAGGUAAACGGGUUUGGGUCGGCUCACAAUGUAAAUCGUCCACCCGAGAAGCAGAGAGUGUUAAGGUAGAUGGGCUUCCUAAAACCAAUUGCUUAUAAGUGGAGUGACCCAUCUAUCUUAUAUAUUACUUAGGAUCUCUUCCAAUUAUCGAUAUGGAACACUUUGUGUCUAAUACGCCCAUUCGAGAUGAUGGCUCUUUGAGCGUCAAUCUCGGAAUGCUCGGGUAAGGAUCGAUGGGCCAACUUUAGGCCAAAUCAAUGUAGAUCGGGUUAGGAUGCGUGGAUCGGGCUCUAAUAACAUGUUAAGGUAGAUGACCUUCCAACCUAAAACCAAUUAGUUAUAAGUCGAGUGGUCAAUCUAUUUUAUAUAUUACUUAGAGCAUAUUUAUCCCUUGAUCCUUAAAUAUGUUUCUUAAUGAUUAUUUAAUAUUUUAAAUGUGGUUAAGUGGGGUUAAGAACCAUAGUUAAGAAACUUCCAUUUGGACCGGUCCAAUGAGAGUUUCUUAAUUAGAGCUUCUUAAAAAAAAAAAAUUAAAAAAAUUUAUUUAUUAAAUCAAACAUAUUAAAAGAUAACAUUUAAAACAUAGAUUUUUUUAAAAAAAAACAUAAAAGUAAAGACUAGUACAAUAAUCAAGAAUAAUUUGGAAAAACAUCUGAGCUUAGUAGUUGUCUCCAUCACGGCCAAAUUUACGCCAUAUAUGUUCAACCAAAUUAGCUUUGAGCUGUUGAUGCAUUUGUCUAUCACGAAUUCUUGUUCGAACACCCAUCAUAUUAGCGAUAUUUGAAGGGAUAUCUGUAGAAUACGUGAGAUCGACAUGUGAAGUUCCGGUGUCUUCUCCUUCUUGGAACCCUGAAACAUCAAAAUGAGUGUAUCCAUCUCGUUCGUCUUCUACUAUCAUAUUAUAAAGUAUGAUACGUGCUCGCAUAAUCUUUCUAAUUUUGGCUUUAUUCCAAAAAAGUGCUGGAUUUUUAACAAUUGCAAAUCGAGCUUGCAAGACUCCAAAAUCACGCUCGACAUCUUUUCGGACAGCUUCUUGAUGUUGAGAAAAUAAAGCCGCUUUCGGACCUUGUGGUAUUGGAAUAGAUUGGAUAAAUGUUGCCCACUUUGGAUAAAUACCAUCGGUGAGAUAGUACGCCAAAUGAUACUCUCUUCCAUUGACAGAGAAAGUAACUUAGGGAGCUUGACCUUUUAUUAUGUCAUCAAAAACAGGUGAGCGAUCUAGAACAUUGAUAUCAUUUAAGGUACCUGGAGGUCCGAAAAACGCAUGCCAUAUCCAUAAAUCGUACGAAGCAACCGCCUCUAACACGAUUGUGGGUUUACCCGAACCACGUGAAUAUUGACCUUUCCAAGCGGUGGGACAAUUCUUCCACUCCUAAUACAUACAAUCGAUGCUCCCUAUCAUCCCUGGAAAGCCACGUUGCUCACCAAUAGAAAGUAGACGUUGAAGAUCAGCUAGUGUUGGUCUUCUUAGGUACUCAUCGCCGAAACAAUAUAUUAUUCCUUCCACAAAUUGUUCCACACAUAACCGAGCUGUCGCUGCACCGAGUCAGAGGUAUUCGUCAACAGCAUCAGUCGCAGAACCAUAGGCCAAGACACGAAUCGCUGUCGUACACUUCUGAAGUGGAGAGAGACUUAGCCUUCCGACAUCAUCUUUCUUUUGUCGAAAGUAUUCAACCUCAUUGGAGAGUCGAUCAACAAUACACACGAACAAUGACUUGUUCAUUCUAAAUCGUCAUCGGAAUAGAUUUUCAGGAAACGUCGGAGUUUCAUUGAGAUAAUCAUUCCAUAAACGUCGAUCGCCUUCUUCACGAUUUCUUUCGAUGUGAACUCAUUUUUUUCUUUUUGUUCUUUCGACUUCUUGAUCACAAUCAAUGGAUAAAUUCUCUAACGUUUUAUAAAAACAUUGAUCAAAAUAUUGAUCGAAAUAGUGAUCAAAAUUUUGAUCAUCCACUCCUUCAAACGUGUUAUGUGAAGAAUAAGCCAUUAAUCUCUUGAAAAUGUUAAAGCGUUUUGUGAUCAAGGAUACAGAGGGUGUUUGUGAUCAUAGAAAGGGUGUUUGUGAUCAAGGAUAGAAAGAGUUUAAAGUCUUUGAAAUAUGGUGGGAAUGGAAUGAGAGAAAGUGUUUUUCGAUUAAUGUGUGACUUGAAAUAUGGUUGAAAGUGUUUUUGAGAAUGAGAGAAAUGAGUGAAAGUGCAUAUAGAGAAAAACUUUAUAUAGAGAUUUCAAUGUUGCAUAUUAAAAAUCAAAGACAUACACUCGUGACACAAAAUAACAAAGGCUCGUGACUUCACAAAAUAACAAAGGCUCGUGACUUCAAUGCACAAUAACAAAACACAAAGACUUGUGACUUCUGGCCGCUCAUGACUUUUCUGCAGCAGCAGAACAUGGCUUCAUGCUUCUCAUGACUUCUGCACACGACAUGGCUUCUGACUUCUCGUGACUUGCCUGCACACGACAUGGCUUCAUGCUUCCCGUGACUUGCAUGCAUACGAUCAACCAAUUUAACAUGCGACUGAACAUUUACCAUAAUAAUCAACAUAUCUUGUCAACCAAGCAACAAUCAGUAAAGAUCAACAUGAGACUGAACAUUUCUUCCGACAGAACAUUUCUUAUUUAACAUUGAAGCAUACAAUAUUUUACAGAUAGAUGAAACAGAACAUUUAAACAUAAAAUGAAAAAGACCAUUACACAGAACAUCAAACAGAACAUUUAACCAAAGACACUAGUUUUUAGACAUCAAACAGAACAUUAACCCAACAUCUCUGUUAUUAGCUUCGUCUUAAGGGCUUCUUCAUAUUCAGAUAGUGGUUAUUUUUUGCAAAUGAGCCCCUCAAGCAAACCCAUCUUCGAGAGUCUUUCUUUCACAGCCAAAUCUUUCUCUCUAAUAGACCACAUGGUCUGAAACUGAGAGGCAGCCUGCGGAUCUACCACAUUUCUCUUACCACAUGCGGCUUUUGCUGCCUUCACACCAUGAGGACAUUUCGUUGCUUCAUCAUCAAGAUCGACAGUUGCUUGUGAGCUGGAUGAUUGUGCUCCAUCCUCACACUUUCUUUUCUUAGCGAUUCCAUCCCUCUUACUUGUUGCAUGUUCACACCACUUUUGGUCAUGCCUCAGUUCCUCCCAAGCGUGGUGAAGGUUAAACUUCUGCUUAUGGUCAUUGUAGAAGAUUUCAUGUGCCAGUUUGACUACAUCAUUUUCACUCUGGCCACUAGUUUUCUGUCUUGUUGCAGCAUCAUAGCAGCCACAAAACUUGCAGACGAGAUCGUUCAGCUUCUGCCACCUUUGCUUACAUUGAAGGGCCUCUCGCUUAUCACCUUUGACCACCUUUGGGCUAGAUGCAUAGUAAGCUGCUAUGCGUGACCAGAAAUUACCUGCUUUCUGCUCGUUGCUGACCACAGGGUCUUUGAUAGUGUUUAGCCAUGCGCUAAUUAGCACCAGAUCAUCUGUGGGAGUCCAUUUCUUUCUUCCUUUGCGUCCUAUAGCUGAGUCUUCAUGAUUACGCGUUUAAGCACACACCAAUUAACCUAAUGUGCCAACAAUACCACAAUCAAAUGGUAUGUCAUUGUAGCAUUUUAGGAUCGAAUCCACAGGGAACUAAUGAUCUAUAACACCAAGAAUACACAAACUUUCCUAAUCUAAGCAAACAAGAAGAUGAAUGAUUUGUAACAAGCUAAUAUCCUAGAAAUAUAAACAAGGUGAUCUCAAUUCCAAUCAAGAAAUAAGUGCAAGAAUUCAAUCAAAUACUAAGGAUGGAUCCAUGGUAAGGAUAAUUGAUAUAAAGUGAUCAAGGUUCAAUCUAAAGGUGGCAACAUUCAAUCAAUCUAUCAACCUUAGACUUAGACACAAUCCUAAACAAACUCUAUCUCUAGAUGGAUGUUCAUUCAAUAAGAUAACUCAAGCAUCAAAUCUCUUUGGUUGAAUAUUAUAUAAGCAAUCAUUAAAAUCAAGUCUAUUAGCCAUUUUAACACCUUUAACAACAAAUCUUUUUGGUAAAGAGUGUUAAAAGCUUAGGAGACUUGGUUCAGACAUUUCAUCAAACACCUUUCGGGUAUGAAAUGUCUAGAGCUCAAUUUUAGAGAGGCCAACUCUAAAAUAGCAUUAAGAUCACUCAACAAGCAAGAAAUAAGAAGGAUCUACAAUAAAACACCCUAGAUCUACACUUAAUCACCCUAAUCUACCUUAACCCAUGAAUCCAAGGAGUGUCUACUCUCUAAUCUCCAUGAAAAACCUCAAACCCAUGAUGGAUUCAAGGCUCAUCAUGUUUAUGAGAAGGAGAAACAAGAUAUAAUAUGAAGAACUUCCUUAGAUUAUGAUAUAAAGAUUCAAGCUUUUUACAAAGGUGGCAAUGUUCUUGAGAGAAAAAUGAGAUUCUCCUCAGAUUAGGUCUUAAAGGUGUUUAUAGAUGUCUAAAAACGAGCUGGGUUAACCCAACAAACCUGGGUUAACCCACAAAAACAUAGAUAUUUUUCUCCGUAGUGACCAGAAAAGGUCGCUACCAGAGGUCACUACGCCUGUAGCGACUUGUCAUGCCCGCUACGUGUGGCCGCUGGGAAACUUGGAAAAUUUUAGAAGUCUUGAACGCAUAGCGACCUCGUAAAGUCGCUAUGGCUGGCUGCUGUAGAAGGCGCUUCAAAUCUAACGGCCUCUCCAUCCCGCUACACACGCCCGCUACGGUACUUAUCUUCUGUAGCGACCAGCCGUUGCCGCUACGCCUGGCCGCUAGGAUCCUUCAACGACUCAUCUACAUUCUUUGGGCAUCGAAACACUCCUUGGGGCAAAGAGUUCAUCAUGAAACUCCCUCCAACAUCUGAUAAGGACUAAUGCAUGGAAAUGCAACCUAAACAUGUGUAAAUGCUAUUCCAAAAGACCAAUGUGCACAAGAAAGGAUAAUUAAAACAAUGUAAAUAUGCAAGAUAUCAACUCCCCCAAACUAGUUCUUUACUUGUCCUCAAGUAAACAUUCAAGAUCAAUUAAAGAGGAGGGAAUUGAAAAUGGAAACACAUAACCAAAAGACACAUUUUCUAGCCUUCAACCUAACAUCCUAAAAGAAACAUAGCAAAUAACAUGAGCAACUCUCUAGUGCACUCUAGUUUCUCAAGGCCUAUUAAGACUCUUUUAUCUCUACACAAGGCUCAUUGUCAUCCAACCAACAAGUUCCUUAGCCAACUCUCACAUUCAUUCACACACACACACAAGUUGAAUUCUCGCAAAUGGAUAUUUGAUCUCAAUCAUUUGGUUUGGUGAGAAAGAGUGGUCUAGUGUGAAGAAAAAUGGGUUUAAAUUGCAUCAUUUAUAGUGGCUCACACUCAAGAAUAUGAGCAAGAUCAUUAUGCAAAAUUUAUCUAAGAAAAUGAACAAUUCAUGCAUACAAUGCUUGUUCUCAUCAUUCUACCCUUUUCUUAAGUAGCUUUAAGUUCUAGCAUUCCUUUCUUUCUUUCCUUUGAUUUAACUAACUAGAGACUUGUUCUUUUGAAUUUAAACUUUUAGACUUAGCUCUCUUCUUUUCUUUUCCCCCACUCAGGUAUAGUUUCUUUGAUUCCUUUUUUUUAAUAUUUGGGAGGGGGUUCUAUUGAUACUUUAGAGCUUUUCCUUUCUAACUUUCUUUGUCCCUAGAGGUUUCUUACCUUAAACACUCUUUUUGGUUCAUCUCUUUCGCUCAAUCUCUCUCAUUCCCAAGAUCAAAAGAAUUUAAGCUUACAAACCCAAAAACAAUCCUAGAGGCUAGCUCAAAUGAAGUCCCAAUGCUAGCCAAAGAUUAGAACAACCCCAUUGUCGCUCCUAAUACUCUAAAGAUUUUGCACAUGACAUGCUAUCAAUAAAAGACCUCACUCAAGUAAAUUAAUGUUGGCUUCAAAGAAUGGUGAGGGUUAAUGGGUAUGAGAGUGCCAUUUGGGUUAACAAAGAUUGGUACAAGGAGAGAAAGAUAACCCAAAUGUGUAUAAUAUCCACGAUCAAGUAUACAAAUGCCCAUAUGCAAGAGAGAUUAAGUUCAUUAAGCCUUAGUUCAUUUGGAGUUGGUUUCAAAAACAAUGUCAAUCAUCAAGCAAGCAACAUGUGUCAAGAAGAGUUUUCAAGGCUCGAAGCUUACAAGCUUUUUCAAAAGAUGCUUAAGCUACUUGAUAUAUUUAGCUAGGAUGUCAAAUCGAGUUCUAGACAUGUGUUCUUUACAAGGUUUCUCCCUAUGCAUGAAUGCAAUCUAAAUGCUUCUAGACCCAAUCCUACAGAUGCAAAUGAUGCAACUAAAUGCUUCUUUUUGUGAUUUUCGAAAUUUUUCAUUUUUUUUAUAGGUAUGCACAAUGGAAUGCAUGAGACUCAAUGACAAGUUGACAAAACAAAACACAAUAUGAGAUAGUAGACUCUCCCCCAAACUUAUUUCACACAGUCUCUUGUGUGAGAGUAAACUUGAAAGAGAGAUCAAAGGAGAAAUAAAGAUGAAAGAACUAAGUAUUUACAAGGGUGGAAUGCACUUACUUGAAGUUGGCUGUCAUGAUAGAAGGGAAAUGAGGAGGGAGGACUUGUUGUCGCCUUGGAAUUUUCGACAUGAUCUUUGAGAAUUUUUGAGAAUUCCCCCAAACUUGUCCCUAAGCUUAUUCAAACACACUAAAGCAAGAAAAAGAUAUAUAAAAAUAUAUACAAAGGAAACCAUGGGACUUCCUCCCAAGUGAGUUUGUUUUAAGUCUAUAGCUUGACUUUGUGUGCUUGCUAAUCAUAAGUAUCAAAAGGCUGAGUCAAUGCACCUUUGGUCUUUCUCCUACAAGAACAAGAAAACAAGCGUGCAAAGGAGCACACUACUGUCCAUAGAAAAUAAACAGAUUUUUCCUCAAAGAGCUUCACUAAAGAUAUGACAUGAGUUAUGAAAUGCUCCUUGAGGUUCAGAUGAUCAUGAGAAUCAAAAGCAUUAGGUGGAAACACAAAAUCAACUACAGGUUCAAACGAAGUUUUAACAAAGUAGUCAACUCUAUCUCCAUCAAUCAAAUAAUACACAAUGUUCACAUUCUCAUGAUAGUUUUCAGCAUGGGGGUUUUCUAUCUCAAGCAAGAGCUUAUCCACAUCAAGUUCAUCCCCUAAAUCAGCAAGUACAAGAAGAGGUCUAGGUUCAUUAAGAAUGAAAAACUUAGAUUCAAGAUCAAAUGAAGCACAUAGAUAGCUCUUGUCAAAACAAACUUCAAUAUGAUCUCUAACAAGCUUUUCUACUCUCACUUCAUCUAGUUUCCUAGUUUCACAUAUCAGAUCAAGACAUUCAUUUAUGAGCACAAGAGAAUCAAGAUCAGAGGCGUUAUCCUCGCCACAAGGCAAGCAAAUUUCCUCAAGUUUAAGUUCUAAAGUGGAAAUGCUUGUACCUUCCAGCUGGGGUGGUGGAACCCAAUACAUUACCUCAUCAAGGGCACAAGCAGCAUCAAACUCAUACUGGGUAACAUCUCUUCCUUAAAACUCUGCUCUAUCCCUAAUAAGGUGUAUCCGGACCAUUUGUGCUAGGUGUCUUAUUGGCUUGCCCCAAUACUCUUUCGUUCUCUGAAGCCGAUGCAACUCAUCCCUUUGGUCUGGCGUGAGUAUGCGCAUAUCAACGGGUGGUGGCUCCACAAACACAUAGGGCUCAUCUUCAAUGUGAUCUUCAAAUGUCUCUUCCUCUUCUUGUGGCUUCUCAAAGUAGCUUGAAGCCAUCACUACAAAGGAGAAAAUCUAGAAUAAGAGGUUAGUAGCUAUACAAAAGCAAAACAAAGCAUAAGAAAAUAAAGCUAAAUCUCAAGAAAGUUUGAAAUCCUAAUGACAAAUCUACUUAGUUCCCCGGCAACGGCCCCAAAUUGAUUACGCAUUUAAGCACACACCAAUUAACCUAAUGUGUCAACAAUACCACAAUCGAAUGGUAUGUCAUUGUAGCAUUUUAGGAUCGAAUCCACAGGGAACUAAUGAUCUAUAACACCAAGAAUACACAAACUUUCCUAAUCUAAGCAAACAAGAAGAUGAAUGAUUUGUAACAAGCUAAUAUCCUAGAAAUAUAAACAAGGUGAUCUCAAUUCCAAUCAAGAAAUAAGUGCAAGAAUUCAAUCAAAUACUAAGGAUGGAUCCAUGGUAAGGAUAAUUGAUAUAAAGUGAUCAAGGUUCAAUCUAAAGGUGGCAACAUUCAAUCAAUCUAUCAACCUUAGACUUAGACACAAUCCUAAACAAACUCUAUCUCUAGAUUGAUGUUCAUUCACUAAGAUAACUCAAGCAUCAAAUCUCUUUGGUUGAAUAUUAUCUAAGCAAUCAUUAAAAUCAAGUCUAUUAGCCAUUUUAACACCUUUAACAACAAAUCUCUUUGGUAAAGAGUGUUAAAAGCUUAGGAGACUUGGUUCAGACAUUUCAUCAAACACCUUUCGGGUAUGAAAUGUCUAGAGCUCAAUUUUAGAGAGGCCAACUCUAAAAUAGCAUUAAGAUCACUCAACAAGCAAGAAAUAAGAAGGAUCUACAAUAAAACACCCUAGAUCUACACUUAAUCACCCUAAUCUACCUUAACCCAUGAAUCCAAAGAGUGUCUACUCUCUAAUCUCCAUGAAAAACCUCAAACCCAUGAUGGAUUCAAGGCUCAUCAUGUUUAUGAGAAGGAGAAACAAGAUAUAAUAUGAAGAACUUCCUUAGAUUAUGAUAUAAAGAUUCAAGCUUUUUACAAAGGAGACAAUGUUCUUGAGCGAAAAAUGAGAUUCUCCUCAGAUUAGGUCUUAAAGGUGUUUAUAGAUGUCUAAAAACGAGCUGGGUUAACCCAACAAACCUGGGUUAACCCACAAAAACAUAGAUAUUUUUCUCCGUAGUGACCAGAAAAGGUCGCUACCAGAGGUCACUACGCCUGUAGCGACUUGUCAUGCCCGCUACGUGUGGCCGCUAGGAUACUUGGGAAAUUUUAGAAGUCUUGAACGCAUAGCGACCUCGUAAAGUCGCUAUGGCUGGCCGCUGUAGAAGACACUUCAAAUCUAGCGGCCUCUCCAUCCCGCUACACACGCCCACUACGGUACUUAUCUUCUGUAGCGACCAGCCGUUGCCGCUACGCCUGGCCGCUAGGAUCCUUCAACGACUCAUCUACAUUCUUUGGGCAUCAAAACACUCCUUGGGGCACAGAGUUCAUCAUGAAACUCCCUCCAACACCUGAUAAGGACUAAUGCAUGGAAAUGCAACCUAAACAUGUGUAAAUGCUAUUCCAAAAGACCAAUGUGCACAAGAAAGGAUAAUUAAAACAAUGUAAAUAUGCAAGAUAUCACUUCACAGAAGCUUGAGGUUUCAGUACAUUGAGUACUGAACAGAGGGACUUGUGAUGAAAAACUCCCAAAAUCAAAUGGUUCAGGAAGGACAGGAUCUUGUUGAUUGUUCAACAGAUCAACAAAAUUAGCUGUCUGACUAUAUGGAUUCGUUGAAUCCAUUUAGUAUUAUGUUUGAGCAGAGAGGAAUAAGAAGAGAUGUGUUUGAGGAAGAAUAGAAUGGGAGAUUGUGUUUGAAGAUGAAAAGAAAGAGAGAAAGCUAUCGGAUUUAAUACAUGAAAAGAGCUACCGAUUGGCUUUUAAUUGCCUUUACUCUUUUCUAGUACAUUGUAUAAUGGUGAUCUCCUCUUUUUAUAAUGGUGAUGUAACAUAGACUCAUCAUAUACCUCUAGUUCAAAUAGACAUUACUGGCGUUGAGAUGAGUUGAGAGCUACCGGUUUUAAAACGCUUUUAACACUAACAAAUUUAUUAGACUUGAUUGCCUUAACUCUAACAAAUUUAUUACCAAGCACAGUCUCUAACACACAUUAAUCAGAUUUAAGAGUUAUCAGAAGCAUUCAUCACCAGCACAACCACAAUAUAACAAGCAUAUUCACUACCCUAACCUAACUCUAACCAUCACCUAACUCUAACCAUCACCUAACUCUAAGCAUUUAUUAACAUAUGUAAUGAGAUCAAGUUUGCACACUAACCUAAACCGAGAGCUUGAAGAGUGGCGUUGAGAUGAGUUGAGAGCUACCGGUUUUGAUACGCCUCGUGUGAUUCGCUCCUCAAGUUCUCACUAAUUUGUGCAUUCUGAUCUAUCACUCCUCGCAUGAUUCAUCAGUGCAAACCAAAUUAGCAAAGCACACAUUGUAACAAAGAACCAUAAAAUCAAAAACAAGUGUUUUCAUAUUCAUAACACCUAAUUAAAUCAUUGAUUUCAAUUACCUACAAAACUCUAAUUAAAAUCCUUUUCAAUAGAGUGAAAAGAAGGAAAAAGACCCAACCUCUUCGGAGACUUCUUCCUCUCCAGACAUUAAUGGCCUCAUCGAUGACAAGUCUGUUGGGAGACUUCUUUCUCUCCAUGAAUAGCCGAUACAGAAAUCUUCCUCACACUACAUGAUAAGAAAAUAAAAAAGGGAUUCACCUUUGCACUUUAGACAUAUGAUCAAUUAAAACCCAAAUCAGAUUAAUACAAAGAAGGAUGAGGUGAGAAGUUAAUUACUUGAGUAGUUGAUCUGGAAGUUGAUAGAUCGUGGUGGGUUUCCACCGUCAAGUCGUAAAGUCUCAGAAAGAUGGAGGGCUCGCCGUCAAGUCUCAGAGAGUCGUCGAUCGUGGUUGGUUUCCACCGUUCAUCUGACGGCGAAGAUGAGAGAAGACAGAGGCGACGCCGUUAGUAGACCGAGAGAGUCGUCGCCUUCUCCAUCGUUCCUCUCAGACCGAAGACGACAGAAGACGGAGGAGUCGCCGUCAAGUCUCCGCAUGUCGUCGAUCGUGGUGGGUUUCCACCGUUCCUCUGACGGCGAAGAUGAGAGAAGACAGAGGCGACGCCGUGAGAAACGAGAGACUCCUCGAUCGUGGUGGCUUGUCAUUGUUGAUCUGACGCCGAAGAGGAUAGAAGACGGAGGCGACGUUGACAGCUUCGACAGAGUCGUCGAUCGCUUGCGAAGAAAACAAGAACAGAAGAGGAAAUGAUUGACAAAAUGAAAGAAAAUAAAAAUGAAAAUAAAAACAAGAGGUUGUUUCAUGUUUACACGUGUAAUAAAACCCCCUUUAACUUUGGUUCCCAAAUUGCCUAAUUAAAGAUUGAUUAUUCUUUUUUCGUUUACUUUACAUUUAAUUAAAUGGGUUUAUUUCAUUAAAGAUUCCCUUUAGCACCACCGAUAAACAUGGUCUUAGGAUCUCUUCUCUACAAUAAAAUAGUGGUAUUGCAACAUAUAUUUUGCAAUGUGAACUUUUGUUGCGGUUUGGUAACACAUUUUACAAUACUUUUGCAAUGAUUAAUGCUAUCGACUAUUUAUUGCAAAUUCACUGCAAAAUAGCGACGAAUUUUCUCCCCGCAAUUUUUCGUUACCAAUUUGCUGCUUUUUAACUACAUAUAAAUAUUUUCUUGCAAAAUUUGCUAUAAAUAUUCAAUCAUAAUGACACAAGGAUUUUUGGCAUAUAAAUUAAAUAUGUGAUACCUUUAUCUACAUUUGCAACAUUUUAAUAUGCCUCUCUCAAACAUUUAUUUUUUAUUUAAAAAUAAAUAAUAUUGUACAUAAUUAUAUAAAAUUGCAUGUGAGGAAGUUAAUAAAAAUUAAAACUUACAUUUAUAUUAAAACUACUUAUCCAAACUUUACUCUACUAUAACCUUUUUUUAUAUAAACUGAACAAGAAAAUGUAUCUAUUCUAAAAUUCAAUAAUUCCAAAACCAGAUGAUUUAAGGAGAAAUUACAUGUUUACCACUUUCAUACUACCACUUUUCAUUUUUACCAUCACUAAAUGAACAUUUUCAAAAAUACCUUAUUCAUUAAGUGCAAAAGACACUUAUGCACAUGUUCUUUAUACAUAUAAUAAAUAAAUAUUUAAAUAAAUAAAAAUCUAAAAAAAUAAAAAAUAUUUUUUUUAAUUUUUUCUGAAUUAUACUACUUCGAAAUUCAAACCCUAGACCCUAAAACUCAACUCUAAACCCUGUACGUUGUGGUGGUGCUACAGGCACAUAUACCGCACAACCAAAGGUUCUAAAGUAGGAAAUGUUUGGUUCUCGACCAAACGCUAACUGUAGUGGAGAAUACUUAUGGUAUGCACUCGGUCUGAUCCGAAUGAGUGUUUCUGCAUGCAAAAUGGCAUGUCCCCAUACAGAGGUUGGAAGUUUUGAUCUCAUGAUCAAUGGUCUUGCAAUCAAUUGCAGACGCUUAAUUAAAGAUUCGGCCAAACCAUUUUGCGUAUGAACAUGAGCAACCGAAUGUUCAACUUCAAUUCCCAUUACCAUACAAUAAUCAUUGAAUGCUUGAGAUGUGAAUUCACCAGCGUUGUCUAGUCUAACUCUUUUAAUAGUAUAAUCAGGAAACUGUGCUCACAGUUUGAUUAUCUGAGUUAGAAAUCUCGCAAAUGCCACAUUUCGAGAUGAUACUAGACAAACGUGUGACCAUCUACUGGAUGCGUCAAUUAAUACCAUAAAAUAGUGGAAUGGUCCACAAGGUGGGUGUAUAUGUCCACAUAUAUCGCCUUGAAUCCUUUCAAGGAACUUUGGUGAUUCUUUAUCGAUUUUGGUUGGCGAUGGCCUUACGAUCAAUUUUCCUAGAGAACAUGCAACACAUGUCAUUUUAUUCUCUUGAGAAAUCUCCUGGAUUUUUAGUGGAUGACCAUGUGAACUUUCUAUGAUUUUACGCAUCAUUGUAGUGCCUGGAUGGCCGAGGCGGUCAUGCCAUAAUGUGAACUCUUCUGGGUUCCGUUAUACUACAAGAUUUGAUUUGAUCUCAUCGAUAUAAGUAUGAUGUAGUCCUGAAGGAAGUUUUGGAAACUUUUCCAAUAUGUGUUUUCUGCCACAUUUCUCAGAAGUUACAUACAUGUAUUUCUUUCCAUCCUCAGUUGCAGACUGAGUAUCAUAUCCGUGAAGAUAUAUGUCUUUGAAACUCAAUAAAUUCCUUUUAGAACUUGGAGAAUAUAGAGCAUUAUUUAUAGAAAAUUGUGUUCCAUUCGGCAACGUAAAGUUUGCUUUACCAGUUCUUUCAAUCACGUCUGCAUGAUCUGAUAUUGUAUUGACGAUAAUUCUUGUCGGUUUUAUAUGAGAGAAAUAUCUCUUUUGUCUUAGAAUAGUGUGCGUUGUUCCACUAUCUGGUAUGCAUAUUUCACGAAUCCGCUUCUUAGAUUUUGCUCCAUUAACAUUCUGAUCCAUUUCUGAAAUUGUCAUAAAUAUUAAUAAAAGAAAACAUAAAAUUCAUUCAUAUAAGGAAAACACACAAUAAUUAUACAUUAAGGUGACGUUAAAAACAUCAUUAUUUGUUUAAAACAGGAAAUGUAAUAAUUAUACAUGACAAUACUGAAAACUAUUCAAUAGUCUUAUUAUAAGCAUUUCGGCUCUCUUCAGGAGUAAUCUAGUCCAGCUCAUUAGCGAAGUCGGAGGCAUCGAGGUACGAUGUCCCUUCAAAGUUUUCAGUGAGGUUCACUUCUUUAGCUUUGCCUUUCGUGGACUCUUGAUAUAACUUACAGAGAUGUGGAGGAGUACGGCAGGUACGGGACCAAUGUCUUUUACAACCACAUCUGUAACAUACAGUCUCACCCUUCUGGGUGGUAUCCUCUUGAGUUUCUUUACCCUUAGAAACUUGUCCGGAUCUAACCCACUUGUUAGAUCCCUUCCAUUUACGAUUGUAAGUUUUUUCACGUUUAUUAUUGAAACGGCGACCAUAACCUCGGUUGGUCUGGUUCUUUCUUUCCGAAUUUUCUACCGCCGUAGCAUUCACUUCAUGGAAUGCUUUGGCUCCCGUAGGUCGGGAAUUGUGGUUUUUGAUCAGGAGGUCAUUGUUUUUUCAGCCAACAUGAGCGCAACCAUCAAUUCAGAAAAUCUCGUGUACCCGCAUUUUCUGUAAAUUUCGGGCAAGAAGUGAAACUGUUUAUGGAAAGUGAUAUAUGUUUUAUUCAUCAUUUCUGCCUUAGAGACAGGUUACCACAAUACUUCAGGAGUGCAACUAUCCUCAGGACAGCGGAAUUGUAAUCCUCAACCUUCUGAAAAUCUUGGAACCUCAGAUUUUUCCACUCUUCUGGAGCGUGAUGGAGGUUGAUUUGUCUCUGGUUAUCGAACCUUUCUUUUAAAGUUUGCCACAGUUCAGCUGGGUCCUCGACGCUUGCAUAGUCGUGCGUUAGAUUUUCAUCUAAAUGUUUCUUUAGGAAGAUUAUCGCUUCGGCUAUAUGCUCGGGUGGUGAUUUGUUACCGAUUACAAUUGUUUCGGUUAUCUUUUUCAUCACCAGAUAUGGUUUCACGUUUGUGACCCAUCCGGCGUAAUUUUCGCCAGUUAUUUUUAAUGCCGGGAACUGGAGUUUCUCGAUGUUUGCCAUUUGUAUUUCUAAAGCACAUAAAUAAAGAUUAUUAGAAUAUUAUUAACAUUAAAAGGAACCGUUUACAUUAAUCAUGCAAGCAAUUACAAGGAGAAGCGAUUUAAAGAAAAGUAAACCGAUAUUCAUCUUAAAUUCACCCGGAGUAAAUUCUCCAACGAAUAAACCAUAAAUAGAAACACAAAUAAAAAUGACACAUAAAAACAAAAAUGCGCGAAUCAUCUUUCCUGAAAUAAAAAAUCGGAAGANNNNNNNNNNNNNNNNNNNNNNNNNNNNNNNNNNNNNNNNNNNNNNNNNNNNNNNNNNNNNNNNNNNNNNNNNNNNNNNNNNNNNNNNNNNNNNNNNNNNNNNNUUUGAGAGAAGAUUAAAUGUUUUGGAUGAGAAAUUGGAGUGAAAAUGAGUUGUAUUUAUAGAUGAAAAUCACUGUUCAUGACCGUUAGAGAAAGGGAAAAUUUUUGAAAAUUUUUCUUUGUGACCGUUGAGGUUAAAUCGAGUGCACCAAAAAUCAGUCCGAAAAUAUCAUAUUAAACAGUCAAUCAAAUCUAUAAAAUUUCAUAAAAAUUAAUAAAAGUAAAAAUUAUGGCAACAAAUCAUGCGACGACUCAGCCGAUCAAUGCAGAGUAAUAAAUAAAUUAUAUGGCGGCUCGGCCGACCAAUUAACAAUAAACAGAAUAUAAGGCGGUUCGGCCGACCAAUUAACAAUAAACAGAAUAUAAGGCGGCUCGGCCGACUAAUAAAUUAAUUAAAUUAUUAAUAAAUAAUAUAGACGAUAUUCCGGCUAUUUUCACAUGAUAUAAAUAAUAUUAGAGGCGGUAUACCGACCAUUAUAGCAGGGUAUAAAUGAUACAAAUGAAUUUUACCAAAAUUAAGAACGAUCGUGCUGAUAACGUGUUAUAAAAAAAAAACCGAAAUCUUAUGGUAUCGCAAGAUUUUAAAUAAAGCAAAAUUUUAUACCCGUAAGAAAAAGAUAACACUGAUAACAAGAGAGAACGUGUUAUUAGAAGAAGAAGAGAUGGUAUGUUAUAACCGAUCGUUUAUAUAGGAGUUUAAAAGUAGAAUUUACUGUGCAAAUAGUGCAGCGAAUCCCGUAUCUUUUAUAUUUUCAUCCUCUCAUUUUUUACUUUCGUAACAAUAUUUAUUUAUUUUGCCAUUCACCGGUAUAUUUAACAAUGCAGGUUCAAUUGUUGCCAACAAUUUACACUCGACCCGGUAUAAGUUUCAAUCAUGAAAACUUGCAUUACCAAACGCAGUGGGAAAGCUUCAACCUCACCGAGAAGAUACAAUUUUGAAACAGGACGAUGCAGAGAGCUCGAAGCAUUUUCUGAGCCAUUACUCUUUAACGUUCAUUAACCUCAUCAUUAUCCGAAGAUUCGACUCUGUCUUUGGCUUUCUUGGCCUUAAAAAAAAAAAGAAAUGAUUACUUAAAAAGAGAUUUUAGGACCAAACCUAGAUAACGCAGUAGGUUUCAGAGUACCUCUUUAUCCCAGUUUGUAACUAAUGUGAUGAUGGAAAGAGACAGGACUUGAACAACUAAAGCCAUUACAAUUCCCAGCCAAAGGCCCUGUAAAAUAAAUGCACAAGUGACAUUUAACUAUGCAGCUCUACUAUGAUUAUACGCCUUAUUCGUUUGACAGUCGCUUGUCGCUGCUGCUGAUUGCUAUCAGCUAUCAACUGUCAACCAAACAUGGCCUAUGUAAGAAAUUUAUUUUAAAAAAAAAAUUGUACCCGACCACCGAGAUGUAAAUGGAAACCUAGUAAUAACCCCAAGGGAACUCCAACUAGAUAAUAUGAGCCGAGAUUCACACAAGCACCAAUCUUCUGCCAUCCACACCCUCUAGCAACUCCUGCACAAUCAAAAACAUAUAUAUAUACAAAGCAGGUUUGGUUUCAACAAACAAAUAGCUGUUACUCUCACAAGACAAACCUGAGAGAACGCAUUGGAAUCCAUCAAGGAAGUUGCCAGCGACGACAAUAGGUAUCAUAGAUGCAACGUACUUGAUGACAUUAGGAUCGCUGCUGAAAGCAUAUCCCAAUUUGUUACGCACACCUAACAGAAUUGAUCCCAUCAUAAGACCCUCAACGAUUACUAUAGCUACAACAACACGUACAGCCAGCUUUGCCCCUUUAGGAUUCCCUGCUCCUAGCUCAUUCGAGAUUCUCGUGCUAAUGUGUGACCAAGCAAAAACAGUGUUAAUCAAGAUUACUAGUGAGUUUAUAUGCUCUCUCUUUUUAGUUUUUUAGUUUUCUGGAUAUUUGUCUAAUUUCUAUACCUUGCAGUGCCACCAAGGCCAACCGGUACCAUCCAGAGUGUUAGUGACGUAUUAAGGCUGUAAAUUUUGGUAGAAAUCAGUAAAAACAAACAAACAACAACAACAAGAACAACUCGAUCGGUAGAUAUAUAAUUUUUUUUUUAAAUAAAAAGAGAGAGAAUGUAAAUCAGUCUUACCAGAUUGAAAGGGUUGAAGUUUCUAAAACAGGAUUAGGAAGGAGGCCAGAUAAGAGAACCAAAAGCUCGAACGACCAUAGCUCUAAGCUAUUUCACAACCGCAGAGUCAUGAAACUAAAGCAACAUGGAAUAAUCAUAAUAAUAAUAAUAAAAAAGAAAAAAAAAGAAAGGGAGGAUGUUAAACGUACCAGACCAUAACCGCGGAAGGAAAGCCAAGCCUCAUAAAAGCAGGGAUCUGGCUGAGAGCCUCUUUGGAGAAACCGGUCCAUGUUUGAGAGCAAGAAGCUGAGAACUUGACGUAACACGAGAGAAGAAUGACGUUGAACCAGUAAGAGACAGAGAUAGCAAGAGCAGCUCCCUUGUGUCCUAGACCAGACUUCAAGACCAAGACCCAACAGAGAAGCACGUGAAGACAGGCAGUGAUUCCAGAGGAUACAAAAACAGGGAAGACAUUGUUUUGCGUUUGCAAGAACCUGUUUAGGCACUGAAGAAGCGCGUAAGCGAAGAUGCUUGGGAUCAUGUACCAAGCGUACGAGCCUGCAAGGCUGGCGAUGGAUUUGUCUUGGUGGACGAAGACAAGGAUGUUCUCAGUGUAAGCCCAAACGACGGAGAGAGGAAUGGAGAGUAUGAGGAGAACAAACAUGGCUCUCUGCAUGUAGAUGCCUAGCUUCCCGUACAUCUUUGCUCCGUACGAUUGGCCACAAAGUGUUUCCAACGCACUAGCUGUGCCCAUCUGUUUGGAAAAAUCGAGUCAGAAACAAGUGUAAAGAUUAAAUUAAACUCUUGGACUCAGAGAGAAACGGACCAGGAAAGUGAAGCCGGUGACGGAGGCGAAGGAGGUGGCGAUGGAGGCAGCAGAGAGAGGAAGUGAGCCGAGAUGGCCAACGAACAUGACCGAGAUGACUUGGAGAGAGUAUUGGAGGAGGCUCACGCCGAUGAGUGGAGCAGAGAGCCAAAACUGCUUCCUCACCUCUUCCUUUACACUCUGAUCACCGUCACUCCCGCCACCGUUUUCUCGGCGUCGAGCUGACGCCAUGACACUGUGCAAAGGAAAGAUAGGCUUUAUGCAUCCAAGCUCUCCUGCAAAAUAAAAUAAACUACAAGAACAAGAUUUACCAAAACCUCUUAUUAUUCAUCUGCUAAUUUUAGAUGGUGAAACCUGGGGUUCGUGAAAGAGGCCAAUUGGCGGCGAGGGUGAUGGCAUCGGGAAGAACGGAGCCGCAGAAUCGUUGCCGGCGGAGAUCGGAGAGACGAAGAUCUAGCGGUGGCGUACACGAAAGAGGGGGAAGCACUGUACGAAGAAGCCAUUGUGUUAUCUAGUUUCUUCCAUCAGGAACCGAACCUUUUUCUAUGUACGAAACCAGAGUAACCGGAUCGAUUUUAACCUUUAAACCGAUUGGUUCGGUUAAUGUACCAAAACCGAGUCGCACGUAUAACCUCUUAUGGUCAGGUAUCUAGAUUAUUAAACAAACGGCCCUAUAUUAAAGGACUGAACUUAGGUUCACCUCCAAACCUUUAAAUUCGCCCCCGCAGCCAAUCAAAAUAACACAUAUAUUAUUAAUUAAAAAAUAUUAAACUAAACUAAAAAUACAUACAAAAAAUAAAAACGAUAAUUUUAACGACGCUAACGCUUCCAGCUAAACCCUAAACCCUAAGGUUUAAAGUUUAGGUUUAGGAUGUAUGACUUGGGUUUAGGGUAUAGAAUUUAAGUUUAUACUCUAGUUUUUGGGUUUAGGGUAUAUAAUUUGGAUUUAGGAUCUAGGAUUAGGGUUUAGGGUUUACGGUAUAGGGUUUGGGUUUAGAGGUUUGGAUUUGAGUUUAGAAUUUAGGAUAUAGGGCUAAGAAUCUAAGAUUUAGACCCUAAACCCAAAUUAUAUACCUUAAACCCAAAAAAUAGACUAUAAACCUAAACCGUAUACCCUAAACCCAAGUCUUAGACUCUAAACCCAAACCGUAAACCUUAACCCAAACCCUAUAGCAUCUAAGUUUAGGGUUUGAGUUUAGGGUUUACCAUUUGGAUUUUAGGUCUAGGAUUUGAGUUUAGGGUAUAGGUUUUGGGCUUAGAAUUUACGGUUUGGGUUUAGGAUUUACCGUUUGGACUUAUAGUUAAUGUUUUGGGUUUAGGAUAUAUAAUUUGGGUUUAAGGUUUACGGUUUGGGUUUAGGGUCGAGGACUUAGGUUUAGGGUAUAGAGUUUAGGUUUAUAGUCUAGUUUUUGGGUUCAAGGUAUAUAAUUUGGGUUUAGGGUCUAAGAUUAGGGUUUAGGGUAUAGGGUUUGGGUUUAGGGGUUUGGAUUUAGGUUUAGAAUAUAGGGUAUAAGGUUUAGAAUUUAAGAUUUAGGGUUUAGGGUUUAGCUGGAAGCGUUAGCGUUGUUAAAAUUAGCGUUUUUAUUUUUUGUAUCUAUUUUUUAUUUAAUCUUCAUCUUUAAUCUAUGUGUCACUUUAAUUGGUCAUAAAGGGUGCAGUGAAUUUAAAGGUUCACCCUAGAGGGUGAACCUAAGUUCUGUCUUUGAUAUUAUUAUUUUUUUAGUUUCAAAAGAUUUGUUAUCAAAUUUUGUGAAACUUAAUUUACAUGUGAUCUUUGUUUAUAUAACAUGUUACAGUAUUGAGGGCCAAAUUAGUUCUUGUUGAAUAAAUUGCAUAAUUAUAAAGUUGUGAUUUUUUGAAUGGAAAAAAUAAAAAAUUAGACGAUGCAUCUACUUUCAUAGUUUUGUUUCUUUGAGGGUCACCCAUUAUCAUAUGUUUUCUUUGUAGUCUUGUUGUGUAUAGCGGUUGAUCAAAACUUUGCACUUAAUUGCUUAAUUUUAAAAGUGCAAGAGAUAAUGUUACGAUGUCAUUUUUUUCAAACAAAAUGUGUCGAUAUUUUGUGAUAUUAAUAUGGAUGGUAUUUUACUUUUUAUUUCGCAGAUAGUUUUACCCCUUUUCAAAAAAUGCUUUGAUUAUAUAUAAUCACUAAUUGUGCUUUUCCAUCAAUUUCAUAUUUGUUUUGACAUAAUUAAGUAUUUAGAUCGAUAUUUUUUUUAUUUUUUCGAAUGAUUAGUUAUCUAUUUUUGUGAAACUUUAUUUACAUGUGAUCUUUGUUUAUAUAACAUUUUACAAUAUCGAGAGCCGAAAUAGUUUUGGUUGACUAAAUUGUAUAUUUACUUAGUUUUGAUUCUUUUAAUGGAAAAAACAGAUGAUACAUGUACUUUGUUUUUGUUUCUUUGAGGUCAUUCACUAUCGUAUGUUUUUUUGUAGACUUGUUGUGUAUUGCGGUUGAUCAGAACUUUGAAAUCAUUUGCUUAAAUUUAAAAGUUCAAAAGAUGAUGUUACAAUACUAUUUGUUUUUUUUUAGUUUGUUGAUAUUUGGUGAUAGUCAUAUGAAUGCUAUUUUUAUUAUUUAUUUCUUAGAUAGCUUUACCUUUUAAAAAUGAUUAUGUAUAAUCACUGAUUGUGCUUUUCAAACCAUUUUCAUAAUAAGAUUUUUUUUGUUGGUCUGAGUUUGAUGAAAUGUGAGAAUAAUAUCAUAAAUAGAUUUUAUUUCCUUUUGAUGUUGUGAUUUUUAGUUAUUCUUGAAGUUUAUUUUCAGUAAAAUUUUUUAUUUUGUAUAUCUUAUAAUUUGUAGUUAUAAAAUAAUUUGUAAAAAAUCUUUGUUUUGAUUAUUAAUCAUUGGUUAUGGUUUCUAUUUUUGUUAAUUUAUUUGACUUGAGCAGUAAAAUAUAAGAAAAGUUCAAAAUUCAUGAGAAUCACUUUACAAAAUGUAAUUAGAUUUUUCUCUUUCGUUCUAAAAGUUUAUCUAUUUAUUUCUGAAUUUUAAAUCAAAGUAUAAGAAAAGUUGAAACCCUUCUUUUAGCUGUGUCUCUCAGUCUCAGAGGGAAAGAUGAAACAAAGCUAAAUAUACAUUUUCAAUGUCAAAGAUAUUUUAAAACUAAAAAUGUAAAGUUUAGAACGUUAGUGUUUCAAGAAAAAGAGAGUAAAGAUUAGAACGUUCAUAUAGUCUACAGAGUUACUAAUAAAAUAUCUAUAUCUAAUGGUAUAUAAUAAACCAACCGAGAAUACGGUACUUGGUGAUGUCAUCAUCAUAAUGGUAAUUCCCUAACUCGCAAGAACGAAAAAAGUAAAAUAAAAAAACGUUGAUUACUAUUUUUCUAAUCUUGAUCUUUAUGGAUUACAUUGAGGUGGCUAGGGCGUGGCCGGAACUCAUGACGAAGACAUUUAUGAAAAGAUGACAGUUUAACCAUACUCUCCGUCAAGUACCAACUUAUGACACUUUGCGACGACUUGGCUAAUAUGUUCAAAAGUUUCAGUAGGUCUUCCGGUGAAGCGACAGAGCUCAGUUUCAUCCGGGUGCAAGAUGUCGACUGAAUCCAGUAUUUCAUUAGGGAUUGGCAUAUCCAUUCCUCCCAAGUCAAGAUGACCGAAACAACUGCUCUCUUCACAGCCUGCAACACAUUCACCACCAACCUAAGAUACUUAGAGAAGUGUACUCAACAUAAUAUUACAUUAGCAAUCUCAUCAUGAUGAUUCAAAUAGUAUAUGAUCAAAAAAUAUUAUAUAUAUGAUCAAUCUACAUUCAUGUUCCAAAUGCUACCCCUCUUUUCAAUGGCACUAUUUCAUUAUCUAAACCUGAGGCUGCAUCCUUUGUGUGACAUCAAGAUUAUAAUCGAAUAAAGUUACAAACUUGAUACGAACCUUUACAACGUGAAUGUUGAUGGAGUCUGGGAUCUCUUUUUGAAGCAGCACAACACCAACAUUCCUCACGAUCUCAAACAUCAUUGAUCAUCUUCUCAGGUCAUAUUAGCACCACCUACAAUAAUGAUCGUGUUCUGCCCGUCCUAUUGCAGCAUCACCACUGUGUGUCCCGUCGGCUCCUCCGUCACCAACUUUACGUAAUCCAAGCGGACUCCACACCCUUCAGAUCCAUCCCCCUUCACACCUUCUAUCAGCUUCCCGUGAGCGUCUUCUCCCAUUCUACUGAAAGAUAAGUUUCAAGUGUUAAUAGAAUUUGUGAGGAUUGUGUUCACGGGUUGAAGACUAACCUUUUUAUAAGUGGAGAGGCACAGUCAGACCAUUGAAUGGUCGAAAGAGUUAAGAAAGUCAUUAAUGGCACUGAGUCAAUGCAUCCCAUAACCGUUUCUAGGAGAAGAAAAUUGAGACGAAACGACACCGAUACAUCUCGAACUAUGGUAUCGUCAUCACGAAUCAUCUCUGAUAACUGUCCUGAAACUCCAUUGUUAGAGAUGAUUGAGAAGUUGAAGAACCCUAGAUAUUGAUAUCCCCCAUUUUUGAAGAAGGUGAAUGUUAUGAAUCAGGCUGAGAUUUUGCUUUCUUAACAGAUAAAAUUGGAACGUCAAAGCCCAAGAUUUUAACCAUGAAACCCAUAUAUUAUCGAAAAUAAACGCAGAAAAUUUUAGUAAGUGAGGGACACGUGUCACUUGGUCAUCACCCUAUUUUCUUAGGUGGCAAGAGGAGAAGAGAGUUGAGGUCUCUUCUUUAUAUUAAUUAAUAAUAGAUAGAUAAUAUUAAUUAUGCUUAGUAUUUUUAUUUAACAUAGGGUCUCUUUGUUUCAACAUCCAAAGAUGAUAGAAUAUCUAAUAGAUAGAGAUGAGAAUUUCGUUUGUUUAGAUUUAAAAUUGUAAUUCGUCUGAAUGAUUCAUUUGGAUGAGUUUAAGAAAUUUAGACUUAAUUUUAAAGUCCAUCCAGUUGAAACAAUUUGGACCAUCUCGAUAGAGAUAGAUCUGUCAAAAUGGUUUCAUUUCUAUUAUAUCUCUGAUAUAAUUUACAAAUUACAAACCUAAACCUAGUAUCAUUUUGUUACUCACGAAAAAUGACAACACCGUAUUUUUCCACCAAAAUCGUAAGAACGAAUUUUUUUGCCAAAACAACAAAAACACAUUUUCCGCAAAAAUACAUUUUCCCUACCAAAACUGCAAAACACACUUUCCCGCCAAAAUCGCAAAGAUUCAUUUUCCCGCUAAAAACACAAAAACACGUUUUCCCGCCAAAAAUGGAAAAACGUAUUUUUCCGCCAAAAACGAAAAACAUGUUUUCCCUAAAAAAACGUGCUUUCCGGGCAAAAAAAAAAAGAAAAAGCAUUUUCCGGCCAAAAACGAAAAAAAAAUUCCGCAAAAAUGGAAAAUGUGUUUUUCCGCCAAAAACACAAAACGCAUUUUCCGCAAAAACAAAAAAACAUGUUUAUCCGCCCAAAAACAGAAAAAUGUGUUUUCCCGCCAAAAAUGGAAAAACUGGCAGAAAAACGAGUUUUCUCGCCAGAAACGGGAAAAUGUAUUUUCUUGCCAGAAACGCAAAAACGUGUUUUCCCGUUAGAAACGCAAAACGCGUUUUCCCAUUAAAAACGCAAAAAUGUGUUUUCCCGUUUCUGCUAAAUUUUCAAAAUCAAAUUUCUGCUAAAAUUGAAAAAUUAUAUUUUCCUCCAAAAUUAUUUUUAUAUUUUAGAUAAUUAAGAAAAAUUAAUUGUGAAACAAAAAUAAAAUAUGAUUAAAUCAAAACAAUGGUAUUUUAAUUAAAUAUUUUUAUUAAAUCAGAAUAAGAGUAUUUUAGUAAUUUGUUUACUAAACUCAUUUGGAUGAAAAUAAAAAUAUAGAAACAAACAUAAGUCUAUUUAGAUGAUUCAUAUACAAACAAACAGUCCCAUAAAAUCUGGAUGGAUCAUUUGGAUUGAUCGUAUCUGGACGGAGAUGACAGAUAGUGAAACAAACACGUAUCUGGACUGAGAUGACAGAUAGUGAAACAAACAGUCUCAUAGUCUCUUUGAUAUUCCUUUGUAAUAAACACACAACUCGGAUCAAAACCACGGCAUUAUGAAAUAAUGUGACUGAAAAGAAAGACUUGUGAUUUCUUUACCACUUUCACAAUGAGAAGAGACGCUCAAUUGGCAGGCAGUUGGAUUUGGAUAAUCUUUCUAUCUAUCUAUUAUUAUAAAAGAGUGUUUACUCUUUUCUAGACGCACCACAUCAGCGCGAGGUCAGAAAGUCAAGCUCUGUGGCCGUGACACAUGUCCCAUGAGAGCAAAACGCAACGCUUUCAACUGUGAAACACUUCUUCGUGGGCUACGUGAUGUUUAUGUUUGGGCUUGAAGUGAAAGUUAUUGGGCUCCGCAUCAGUCGGCGUCAUCGCUUAUGUUCAUCUUCCGNNNNNNNNNNNNNNNNNNNNNNNNNNNNNNNNNNNNNNNNNNNNNNNNNNNNNNNNNNNNNNNNNNNNNNNNCUUCCGAUCGAAAAAAUCUUGAAACGUUACGGAGUUAGAUUGAGUUGAAUGGUCUUCAACGCACUCAUUAGCCAUUGGUCUCCACUCCUCACACGAUAUACCUCUGAAAGCACCCCCUCUACUUUCUUUCUCAGAAUCUUCCACCGUUAAAAGGUGUGCUUUACCCCCGUGAAAUUUAUCACUCUAAUCUUCUCAAUCUUGAGCUUCCUAAAACAAAUAGCCAGGUCUAUCCUUAUCCCUUCCACAUCACAAUUAUAUGCCCGUCAAUGUUUCUUAAAGCUCUAGAUCCAUUGUCGCAACCUCUCCUAAUGGGUUUAUGAUUUUUUUCCAUAGCCCAUUAUUGGCCUUUUAUAUGCAUGAUCAAUCUGUACUAAUUGGUUUACUGGUAAGCUAUCUUACCUUCCCUUCUAUUUUCUGUGUAAAGAAACAAAGCUGAACCUGUUGAUUCAGAGUUAAAUGUGGAGUUUUGAUUGAUGGUCGCUGGAUGGGAGGUGAUUGGGGAUAUCAGCUUUCUCAGAGGAAGACAACAUAUUAUUCUGCUGGAAAGAAAAUAUACAGGGUUUGAAGGUACUGAUUACAGAGUUAAGGAAGACAAAAUAUUUUCACUUGCUUUCUCCAACGAUUGUCUUUUCUAAACACCCAAAAUCAUGUUUGAGAAUUUCUGCUUCCAUCCCAGUGUAGAUGUCUAUGACAAUAUUCAUGGGCGAACCUACGCAGCUGCCCCACAAAAAAAAAAUUAUUGAUUUUUUCCAUAUAUAUUUUUAGUUAAAAAAAAGUUACAAUCAUAAAUUUUUUUCCCCCACAGAUCACAGCCCAUUCGAGUAUGCUACCCAAGCCCAUUUUAGAAAUAUAAUUAUUGUUUUACGAAAUUGACAUAAUUAUGCUAAAGUUACAAAUUAAAAACCCUAAUUAAACUUCUUUCUCGUGUGUUCAUCGUCUUGAGUUCAGCAAGUGGUAACUUUUUGUCUAUGUUAAUUUGUUCUUUUAUUUUCAUGAUUAAUACUUUAUUCUAAUGGUAUAAUGAAAAGCAACCUCUUAUAGUUAUAUAAACUAAACUUUUCUACAAUUUUCUACUGAUUUUUCUGAUAAACUGUGUCCUUGAGAAAUUUUAAUAUUGAUUUGGUUUCGCUGACUCUGAUGUGAUGAUGAUGAUGAUGAUGAUGAUAAAGUAAUAUAAAGUUCGGUCAACAUUGUCGUCUUUUUUAUUUGCAAAAUCGAAUUUUAAAAUUCAUACUUUUGGAUUGUAUUGUUUAACACCGUUUUAUUUUUCAGAAAAAACCCAAAAAUCAAUGGAAAAAUACUACAAAAAAGUAUCUACUUCGGUACCUGAAACUAAUGUCAAUGAUCUGCCACUGCCUGAAUCUGAUGAAAGGAAAGACAAAAGAAAAUCUCCUCCGGUACCUGAUACCAAUAUCGAUGAUUUGUCAUCUGACCCUGGUGAAAGGAAACACAUAAUGGAUUACCCUGCAAAUCAAAGAGACGAGGUUAGACGUAGAUAUCUAACUAAAGGUCCAUGUCAACCUUAUGGUCAUAAAUUUAAAAAAAUAUCAAAAGGAGGUGGAACAAGAAGAUUCAAUCCAGCUUGGUUUGAUCAAUAUGGUAGUUGGCUAGAGUAUAGCAUAUCUAAAGAACGUGCAUUUUGCUUAUAUUGCUAUUUAUUUAAAGAUGAGGUACGAAUGCAAGGUGGAAGUGAUGCAUUUGUGAAAGAAGGGUUUAAUAGCUAGCAGAAGCCAGAGAGAUUGAUUACUCAUAUGGGUAAACCACCCAACAGUUGUCACAUUAUUGCUGCUCAGAAAUGUGAGGAUUUGAUGAAUCAACAUCAAUCUAUAGUACAUGUUAUGUUUAAGCUAAAUGAUAAGGUGAAAACUGAAUAUCGUAUUCGCUUAAAUGUUCGGUUGAUGCUUCAAGAUUCUUGUUACGACAACGAUUACCUUUUCGUGGUCAUGGUGAGAAAGAAGAGGAUGUGAACAAAGGAAAUUUCUUGCAGCUUUUAAAAUACACAGGAGAACAAAAUGAUGCUAUAAGUAAGGUUAUUCUGAAAAAUGCCCCAGGAAAUAACCAGAUGAUUUCUUCCAAGAUUCAAAAAGAUAUUGUCCAUUCUUUUGCAGAAGAAGUAACAAGCUAUUUUAGAAGAAAUUGGUCAUGGUGUGUUUGGUCUGCUGGUUGAUGAGUCUGCUGAUGUUUCUCAUAAAGAGAAGAUGAGUGUUGUUUUUCGGUUUGUUGAUAAAAGGGGAGCAAUCAAAAAACGGUUUAUUGGAGUUGUUCAUGUAAAAGAAACGUCUUCAUUAACUCUGAAGUCUGCUAUAGAUGAUUUGUUUGCUAGAUAUGGUAUGGGCAUUACAAAGGUACGAGGGCAAGGUUAUGAUGGAGCUAGUAAUAUGAGGGGUGAGUUUAAUGGGUUGAGAUCAUUGGUUGCUAGAGAAAGCAGUUCAGCAUAUUAUGUUCAUUGUUUCGCUCAUCAGCUUCAACUAGUUGUGGUGGCUGUUGCAAAAAAGCACUUUGACAUUGCUGAUUUUUUUAUAUGAUUUCUACAUUGUUGAAUGUUGUUGGGGCUUCUUGUAAACGACAAGAUACGUUUCGAGAAAUUCAACGUGAAGAAUUAGAAAAAGGAAUCAAGAGUGGUGAUGUUAAGACUGGGACAUGACAAAAUCAGGAACGUUCUUUAGCAAGACCUGCAACUACUCGUUGGGGUACACAUCACAAAACAUUGUUGAGGCUGGAAGAAUUGUUUUCUAAUACCAUUAAAGUUCUUGAGUAUAUCCAAGAAGAGGGUUGGGAAGAUGUACAAAAACGCCAAGCAUGUGGUCUUCUCAAAUACUUUCACACAUUUGAUUGUGUGUUCUAUUUGCAUCUUAUGUUACUUAUUUUGGGGCUCACUGCGAACUUGUCAUUGACUUUGCAACAUAAAGAUCAGGAUAUUUUGAAUGCUAUGUCACUGGUAGGAUCCACUAAACGAGAGUUGCAGAAGCUUAGAGAUGAUGGUUGGGAUUCGCUUAUGGCUAAAGUUGCUUCUUUUUGUAAGAAACAUAAUGUUGAGAUGCUCAUCAUGGAAGAAGAUUUUGUUGAUCUUAGGUACCCAAGAAGGAGAACCAAUAUAAGCAAUAUGCAUCAUUAUAAGGUCAACUGCUUUUGCACGGUUCUAGAUUUGCAGAUUCAAGAGUUCAACGAUCGUUUUUUAGAGGUAACCACUGAUAUGCUUAUUUGUAUGGCUGCUUUAAGCCCCGUUGAUUCAUUCCAUGGGUUUGAUAAAGAGAAGCUGGUGCGAUUAGCUAAGUUAUAUCCAUAUGAUUUUAGCUAUGGUGAGCUUUUAUCUCUAGAGCAACAACUUGAUAUCUACAUUGACAAUAUACGCAGAGACGAAAGGUUUAAGAGUGUAGAAAAUCUUGGAGAUUUUUCAUGUUUGAUGGUGAAAACUCAAAAGCAUCUAGCACAUCCUUUAGUUUACAGACUCUUAAAGUUAGUUCUAACUUUUCCAGUUGCCACCACAAGUGUUGAAAGAUGUUUUUCAGCAAUGAAACUAGUGAAGACAGCUGCACAUAACUGAAUUGGAGAUCAGUUUCUAAGUGACUGUAUGGUUUGCUUUAUUGAGAAAGAAUUAUUUGACUCAGUCUCAAAUGAGAAAGUGAUUAAGAAAUUCCAAAUGAUGAAUGAGCGUAGAGUUGUUUUGUCAGAGUUGUUUUUCUAUUUGCUGGAUUUUUAUAAGAUAUUACUAUUUAAUUUUAUUUAGUUGUAUUUCAUAUUUUUCUUUAUAUUUUGCCCCCACUAUAUUUAUUUUCUAGAUCCGCCGCUGACAAUAUUUUCUUUGAUAUUCUUCAGGCACAAAAGAAUCAUUUUGCUUCUACUACUACUUGUGUUUAACUGGUUAAAUCUCAAGCUACCAUAUAUCAAAGUAGCUAUAUAACUUUUACCGAAAUAAAUAAAUGUUUUACAUUUUUUGUAGGAUAAGUAGUCAUCAGUUUGAUGCAGAAACAUUCCACUUGAGGCAUGUUGUAUGCACAAAGUGACAGAAGAGUCAGCAAAACGUGGAGCAGUUUGGUCUGAAAAGUGGCCAGAGUAGAGAUUGUUCAUCAGUGGUUGGAUUCUAAGGAAGAUGCAUAUGGAAAUCUGCACAAUAGGAUUUCACAGCAGACAUGAACGUUGGAAGACUAUUGUUUCAAAGUCAUACUUCAAGGGUGUGGGAAUUGAUUGGUGGUAUGUGAGAAACGUUAUGGAUUGACAACUGUCUAUAGAGGGUAAGUACUGAAAAAAACUCUUUCACCAAUACAAAAUUGGCUCCAUGUAUCCGUUACUAAAUGAUAUAUCUCUCUUUCUGGCUUUCAGUUUUGUUGCUGCAUUGAAGGAUCUGAAACUCUGUGUGAUUAAUGUAGUUUCCUCAAACUUACGACCUUCAUGAUGAUUCAUCUAUUCUCUGCACUGAAGAAGAGGUAUGUAUAUAUACAUUACUCUCACAUGUAUGCAUCUCUAUUGACUUUUUUUAUAUUUGUGAAUGCAAAAUCUGAUGUGUAAACAAAACCUUUAGGUGCAGCUUGGUGUCUGUAAUUGCUGAAGUGGACCGAAUUCUUAGACCACAAGGAACAUUUAUAGUAAGAGAUGACACGGAAAAGAUAGGAGAAAUUGAGAAGAUGGUGGAAUCACUGAAACGGGAUGUAAGAAUGACACAUUCCAAAUAUGGAGAAGGAGUGAUCUCUGUUCAGAAGUCAUGGUGGCGUCCUACAGAGGUCGAGACCAUUACAUCGGCGAUAGCAAGUGAAAGAAAAUUGGUUUAAUAUAGUUUUAUGAGUAAAUUUUCUUUUAUGAUCACGUUGAUUGCUUACAUUGUAUUAGGCCAAUAUGGGUAUCCUUCUUUUGCAUUGACGAAAAUUGUGCACACGACAUUGUCCCAAUAGUGUAAGCUUUUAUACAUUUUUGAUUUGGUCCUAAACACCCGUGGAAUAUUUAUACCACUGCAGCAAACUUAUAUAUAAUGUCUAUUUGAACUAGAGGUAUAUGAUGAGUCUAUGUUACAUCACCAUUAUAAAAAGAGGAGAUCACCAUUAUACAAUGUACUAUUUGUAUUGACAAUUGAUAGAACUAGAGAGAUGAAGAUGCUCUUAACACGAAACAAUUUGGUUUUGGUUUGUACUCCAUUUCAUCGGCGAUAGCAAGUGAAAGAAAAUUGGUUUAAUAUAGUUUUAUGAGUAAAUUUUCUUUUAUGAUCACGUUGAUUGCUUACAUUGUAUUAGGCCAAUAUGGGUAUCCUUCUUUUGCAUUGACGAAAAUUGUGCACACGACAUUGUCCCAAUAGUGUAAGCUUUUAUACAUUUUUGAUUUGGUCCUAAACACCUGUGGAAUAUUUAUACCACUGCAGCAAACUUAUAUAUAAUGUCUAUUUGAACUAGAGGUAUAUGAUGAGUCUAUGUUACAUCACCAUUAUAAAAAGAGGAGAUCACCAUUAUACAAUGUACUACAAUUGAUAGAACUAGAGAGAUGAAGAUGCUCUUAACACGAAACAAUUUGGUUUUGGUUUGUACUCCAUUAUAUGUUCAUUCAGUUUGAAAUGUAUUUUCUUAAAAAUUGUACAAUCAGUGAAGUUUUUGCUUCAGUCGAUAAUGUUUGGCAAUAAAAAUAUUUAACCGAUAACAUGAUGAUUCAUUAUAUCGACACAAAAUAAUUAAGAAAAAAUAAAUAAUAUAUAUAUAGUAAAAAGUUGAUAAAUUAAUACUCGGGAAAUGAAUAGACGCAAUAAUUAAUAAAUUUUACUGGUCUUGAAUUGGACAUAUGUAAAAUAUAACUUAAUUCAAUAAUAUAAUAAUAACAUAAUUAUAUAUAUAUAUUUUUUAUAUAAACAUAAACAAAUCAUCUUUUAAAAAAUUAAUUCAUCUUUCUUUCUUUUUUUAAAUUUCACUAUUCUGAUUUUUUUCAUCGAAUUACAGAUAAAAGACAUUUAUAUACUAUCAUCAAAUUCUACACAGAUCAUAUAUCAAAUAAUUUAAUUAAGUAGAUAAAAUUUAACUAACAUGUAAUAUCAUAAAGUUAAUUUUUUGGACAACACAAAACAACUAUUGUAAACAAGCAAAAUAUAUCUUAUCACAUAUAAUUCUAUCACCUAAAACUUUUUCGAAAAUCAUUAUCAUACACAUCUAUUUCAAAUGCAAAUUUAAAACACAAACUAUAAAAUCAUAAAAAAAUAAAUAAUAAACUAGAUCACAAGUAAAAUAUAUCUCACAAACCACAAAAUCAUUAAAAAAAAAUAAUAAUAACGUAGAUCACAAGUAAAGUAUUGAUAUGAUCACGGAAGCAUUGAAAUGUCAUGUGAGAAGCUGAUGACCUGUCACCUGCACAAUAAGAAGAAGAGAAGGCAGUUACAUUCAACUGGAGAGUAUAAAUAGAAGAGAGGAUUGUAAUUGAGAACUAGUUGGUUAGCAGGAGCCUUGUGGCUUGGGCUUGUUUCUCUUAGUAGAUUCAAGAUAGCUUUCUCUGUAACUCCAUUGUAAUCCCAUGUUCUUGAUAUAAAUAUACCUGAGUUCUAUCAAAUUGGUGCGGUGUGAGCGAUCUAGAUCGAACAAUCGCGAACGGAUCAGUGACGAAGAUGAAGACGGUGAACACGCAGACGAUCGGUGAUCCACCUGUGACUUUGGAGACACUGUCGAAGACGUUGAGAGAACACACGACGGGGCAAUACGAGACGAACAACGAGUUCCGAGCUUCGAUUCGAGCCUUGGAGACAAAAUCGAUGUCAAAGAUCGAAGAACUGGAGAGGAAAUCACACGAGAGGUUUGAAGAAUUGCAGGCGACGAUGGAUUCACACUUCGUGAAGCAGUGUGAGCUGAUAGCGAAGAAGGAUUCGAAGAGUGUGGAGAUUACGGAGCCAAAUCCACAACCGUUUCGUCAUCCGACUCAUCAGAUGAUCGACGAUGUGCACUACUGGAGGCUGACGUUUCGAGGAACAAGGAAUCACUUGCAGAGAAAUUCGAGGAGUUUCCUGUGUUCUAUGGUGAUGAUCUGGUGAAAAAAAUAAGUGGGGCUGUAGAUUCGGUUCAGGCUACAGAAACUGAGCCACAUGAGGACGAUGAUUCAUAUGUUGUAGCAGAUUGUGCAACGAAGCUGAUCGCACCGGUUCGAGACAGAGAAUUACAAAAAAAAAAAAAAAAGGAGUAAUUACACAUUCUCAGGUGGAGAGCAUGGGUGUUUUAGAUGUCAAAGACGUGGCUGAAUUUUUUUGACGAAUCAUUCAAUGUGACGAUCUCACCUCGUGCAUACGAACUGUUCGAUAAAAUGCUUAUGGUCAUGAGAAGAGAAAAGCUCCAGAUUGUGCAGAGGAAAAUAAAAAAAGUCAUGGCAGUUCAAGUUCAAACAUGGUGAUAACAUGUUCUGGAAUGCAGUGGAAUUACUUGGAGUAGCUGCUCAAUGGCAGCGAAUUUCAUCUCACCCGAAUGCUUCGUUACCGGAAGAAAGGGUACACGAGGUACAGUAUGUGGAAAGGAGAGCUCACAUCAAACUUGAAGAAUCUCCAAGUACCAGGGUACAUGGUUUGGUAGAUGUGAUGUUGAUAACGAAACAAGGUGCUCCGGUGAGCAAGUGGGAAUCAAGAGACAGUACAAUCAUGCUAUGAACUUUUCAUUUUCGAUUGACAACAAGUGUCAAAUGAGAAUGGUACAGUUUUCAGGGGAAGUUCAGUUACGGACUAGGAAGAAAAGGCAGAAAUGGUUCAAGUCAUGGGAUCAUGGUAGUGGGCCAGAGGAUGAUUAUCAAGGCAAGUCAUGUUGUUCUUUUUGGCAUUGUCACACUCUGUCUGCAGUGGAGAGAUGAUUUAGGGGACCUGCAACAGCUCUUUAGUGGUGAUGAAAAGUUCACUGUGAAGCAUAGAUGGAGAUAUUAGCAACUACUUUUGGGUUCAGAUGGGACUGUAUAUGCGGACAGUGUUGUGUUCCUCUUCUGCUGUGACGUUGCCUGGGUUAUGUUACAGGAAGUAUCAGUUUUUACAGUGGUGUUGACAUAUUCAGUCGAGUAUCAUAAACCUCUACAAGUGGAAGCCAUGAGGCGUAACACUGUAGUGAGAUCGUGGGCUGAAUUGGGAGGACGUUUAUGUGUCAGUUGUGGUCUUAUGUUUGAAGAUUGUUGCAUGAGAAUAAUACAUACAGAGCCAUUGCGGCUGCUACUUCUGGAACAAGGUCCGCACGGGAGAGUGAAUGUGGAAGCUACACUUACAAACAGAGACAAGUUCCUAUUUUCAAUCCACAUAUAUUGGCUUCUUGUUCAAGGACUUAUACAUACGAAUGCUGCUAAGAGAAGAAAAGGAACAUCUCAGGGAUCUUUUACAAUAGACAAGAGAAGGGACAAGGCUGUCUUCUUGUGGGAAAUUUCCUGCAGAGCAUUAUACGUUGUGAUGGAGUCGGACGUUUUUAGUCUGUUGCAGGAGUAUAUUUCACAGCUUGUGGUCAAAUAUUUCAACGUCAAGGUUACACAAAUUGCAGAUGACAUGUAUGAUGUAUGUCUUCAUAGAGGCUUCUGUUUUAUGUACCAGAUGAAGCAACACAUAGUUCUGCAAUCUUUGUGUAUUUCUACCAUAUUCCACGAGGAAGCUAUGGUGUUUGCGGAAGGCUUCAUUUUUCGUUGGACAUGGGAACUUGAUGACAACUUUAUCUGUCAAGUGUUUCAUAUCAGCUUGAGGGCAAGCUGAGUCUUCAGAAGGGGGUAUUGAUAUGAUCACAGAAGAAAAGGAAAUGUCACGUGAGAAGCUGAUGACCUGUCACCUGCACAAUAAGAAGAAAAGAGGCAGUUACAUUCUAGUGGAGAGUAUAAAUAGAAGAGAGGAUUGUAAUUGAGAGUUAGUUGGUUAGUAGGAGCCUUGUGGCUUGGGCUUGUUUCUCUUAGGAGAUUCAAGAUAGCUUUCUCUCUAAUUCCAUUGUAAUCCCAUGUUCUUGAUAGAAAUAUACCUGAGUUCUAUCAAGUAUAUCCCGUCCGUAGGUCGGCCGACCCUAAUAUUAAUCAUAUCAGAUCAUCAAAAGGACGAGCUAAUAGCUUCGAAUUACAAAUGACAACUUAAUUCGCUUCAUACUAAACCCAACAACAAACUCACUUACCUUUCAUGUUUCUUCUUUCGCAUUACAAAAACACACACAAAAAUAAAAUAAAAUAAAAGACAUGGCUGAAGGUAAUGCGGAUCGUGAGCUGACGAUCGAACCUUUGUUAAAACUUGCGAUUUAUUCCGAGUCAGAAUCUGAAUUAGCACUCUGUCUUACACUCCUCCUAGCUUGUGUCAUAGACUUUGGUUUAUGAGAAGAUGAUUCUCCUUCGUAAUGAAUAACUUGAGCUCUAGCUAAUCUCUCUUCGAGAUCCUCUGUGAUGUAAUCGUCUCUCCCUCCCAGCUCAUUAAACCCAACCUACACACAACAUUUAAUAAACCAAUCAUAUUCCAAAAGAUAACAACCAAAAGAUGUAGCUUCUUUUGUGUGUGAUCAUACCACAUAAUCAUCAAUUUUAGUGUUCUUAAUGAGGGCAAGAGUGGGAAGAACCACAAUCUUGAGCCCCUCAGCCAAGAACGGUCUCUUCUCAGCAUGGAUCUUCACAAAACGUGUCUCAGUGUGCUGCUUUGCGAAUACACACAUGUUUAUCCAUCAAUUUUGUUAGGUGUACGGAAUAAAUUGGGAUUGGGAUAUGCUUUCAGCAGCGAUCCAAAAGUCAUCAGUUAUGUAGCAUCAAUGAUACCAAUUGUCGCUGCAGGCAACUUCUUGGACGGAUUCCAAUGCGUUCUGUCAGGUUCUUCCAUCAAUAAAAAAAAGUUUGUGAGAGUAACAACUAUUUGUGUGUUGAAAGUUGAAAACAAACCUAGUCGUACGUUUUUUUUAUUACAGGAGUUGCUAGAGGGUGUGGAUGGCAGAAGAUUGGAGCCUGUGUGAAUCUCGGCUCAUAUUAUCUAGUUGGAGUUCCCUUGGGCUUAUUACUAGGUUUCCAUUUACAUCUUGGUGGUCGGGUAAGAUUAAACAAGAAAACUCAAGAAACUCUUAAUGUUACAGCUAGUGGCUGAUCUAGAAAACUACUGUAUUAUGUAGGAAACAUAUCAUACAUAAACAUAAAAUAUAAGGUUUUUCUUUUUUUUUUGUCAUCUGAAAUAAUUUCUUCAUAAAGUUUAACAAAACAACCCCUUUAAACAAAGAGCCAUAAACAAGACGAACACUGAUUCCAAACCUAAACAAAGGCCAAACUAACACACCAACACAUUUAGUAUACCACAAAAUUCCUUGAGAACACAACUACAAGUCAAAGAGAGGCCAAACAUUUCUCACUUCCAAAGAUACCCUGCAGCCAAAAAGGAUAACCUGCUGCAACAUAGGACUGAAGUCUUAGGUCUCUAGUAACACUUUGAACAAUAAGAAAUGCACCUCUAUUCCCGCUAUUCAUUUCUUUAGAAAACCUCCACCAUUCAAUCUUCCUUAGCCCAAACAAGAUAUCUGCACGCAUUGCUUUGAAAGAUGGCCAUGCUUUUGGUCUUGUCACCGCACCAACAAUCAUAUCAUCAUCAACCGCAAAGAUCACCCUGUUUAGCCUAUGACUUACCAUACUGUCAAUCGCCCACAUAAGAACUUGAAAUUUCAAUUCCUUCAAGUUGUUGAGACCAGUAAAAGCUCUCCUACUAUGCAGCAAUACCUUUCCUUUUGAGUCCCUUAACACCCAAGCCGCCCCUCCUAAAGCAAAUUCCUUCUUCCAAUGCACACCAAUAUUGCAUUUUAACCAAGAAACUUGAGGAGGUUCCCAUUUGAGCAUCACCGUCUGCUCCACUCUUUUAUCCUCUUCCAUUCUAGUCUCUUCCAUUUCAACAGCUAAAAACCAUGAGUCUGCUUCCAGCAUUAUUUUCUGAACAAUCUCAUAAGCACUGAAUCUCCUUCCCUCAAACCAGAAGAAAUUACGAUUCUUCCAUAAAUGCCAGAUAACCCAAAGGAAACGUCUUCUUGCAUCUUUAGUAGAAUUCUUAUCAGUCAGAUCCGUUAACAUAAAAUGAAGGUUUGAAUAGAAAGAGACCAAAUCAAACCCAUUUUCACGCAAGGGGAUGAGAGACAGAGCCCAAACCUGCCGAGCCACCGGACAAGUGAAGAUCAGAUGAUUAACCGAUUCCUUUUCAAAUAAAUAACGUUUGGAUAUAUUAUAAAGAAUUUGAAAAUUUUAUGGGGGCAAGUGCCACACCUUCUUGGCGCACCUACAUCCAUGACUGGUUACAGCACCAUGAUAUCAGAAUAGAGCUUCAUAGUAUAAUAUAUUAAUAUCAUUUGUGCAUUUAUUUUAAGGGGCUUUGGCUGGGAAUGUUGGAAUGAAAAACUUUAUAAAGAUGGAGAAAGUGUUUACGUGUUUGAAGAGAAAGAAGCUUUGUGAAGAAGAAAGAUUUUAUAACUUAGAAGAGGACUCUUAUUAUUACUUGAAUGUUUGUUACAAACUUGAUUAUUUCUUGGUGAUACAAAAUGAGAAGAGAGUGAAACUAUUUAUAGCCUUCAAAGUACAAAAUAUCUUACAUAUUUUAAUCCAAAAUCUAAAAAAUUCUACUAAAAUAUCUAGAUAAUCUUAUCCUAAUUAUCUAGAUAAUUCUACCAAAAUAUCUAGAUUUUUUUAUCUUAUGGAAGUGGAGAUUUUUCUAGACACUUUCUAGAAUUUAGGUUGGGCUAAACAUGAUUAGUGAGUUGUUAGUCCAAUAAUAUGACCCAAAUCAAGUUUACUUUUCAACACCCCCUCUUAAACUUGGUUUGGUUACUCCGAGUAAGCUCCUCAUCUUGAUAAAGUCUUCUCGCUUGAGUGGUUUGGUGAAGAUAUCAGCUACUUGAUCAUUUGUCUUCACAUACUCUAACUGCACAUCCAUCUUGGUAACACAUUCUCUAAUGUAGUGAUAACGAGUAUCGAUGUGCUUACUCCGAUCAUGGAAGACUGGAUUCUUCGCCAAUGCUAUUGCCGACUUGUUAUCUACAAAGAUCUUCGUUGGCUCCUCUUGUGGUAGGUUCAACUCCUUUAGCAAGUUUCGUAACCAAAUAGCAUGACAAACACAUGAAGUAGCUGCCACAUACUCCGCUUCACAAGUAGAAAGAGUGACAAUUAGUUGUUUCUUUGACAUCCAUGUGAAAGCGGUUUCUCCAAUGAAAAACACGAAGCCACUUGUGCUUUUCCGGUCAUCUACAUCUCCACCCCAAUCGCUAUCGUUAUAUCCAAUAAGCCUGUAAUCUUCAGAGAUAGAGUAGUACAAGCCAAAGUUGAUAGUACCUUUGAUAUAGCGUAGGAUCCUCUUAGCUGCCUUGAAAUGAGUUGUUGUUGGAUGCUCCAUGUAUCGACUCACAACUCCAACUGCGUGUAGGAUGUCGGGCCUUGUGCACGUUAGAUAGCGUAAGCUUCCAACUAGACUCUUAAAGAGUGUUGGAUCCACACUCUCUCCUUCUUCUUUCUUUGAUAACUUGACUCCACAUUCCAUUGGCGUGCAAACUGGAUUUGAGUCAUCCAUCUUGAACUUCUUAAGCACCUCUUUAGCAUAGCCUUCUUGAGUAAUGAAGAUUCCAUUUUCUUCUUGCUUUACUUCAAUGCCAAGGUAGUAUGACAUCAAUCCAAUGUCGGUCAUCUCGAACUCUUUUGUCAUCUCCAUCUUGAAAUCUUCAAACAUAAUCGGAUUGUUGCCAGUGAAUAUUAAGUCAUCAACAUAUAAGCAUGCAAUCAAUAUAUCAUUGUUUUGAUUUUUGAUAUAAAGUGCAUGCUCAUAUGGAUACUUGAUGAAGCUUUUCUCCUUGAAGUACUUAUCAAUCCGAGUGUUCCAUGCUCUUGGUGCUUGCUUUAAUCCAUAAAGCGCCUUCUUCAGCCUUAAGACUUUGUCUUCUUCUCCUUUGACUAUGUAGCCUUGUGGUUGCUCAAUGUAGACUUCUUCCUCAAGGUCUCCAUUUAAGAAGGCUGAUUUUACAUCCAUUUGAUGUAUCCUCCAACUCUUUUGGGCUUCCAAUGAAAUGAUUAGUCUAACCGUUUCUAAGCGAGCAACUGGAGCAAAUACCUCAUCAUAGUCGAUCCCGGCUCUUUGACUAUAGCCUUUUGCCACCAAUCUUACCUUGUACCUUUCAACUUUUCCUUUAGAGUUCUUCUUUGCAUUGUACACCCACUUCACACCAAUUGCUUUGUGUCCAUUUGGAAGUGAAGCUAACUCCCAUGUAUCAUUCUUUUGAAUCGACUUGAUUUCCUCAUCCAUUGCACUUCUCCAUGACUUCUUUUCUUGGGCUUCUUCAAAGUUCAUAGGCUCGCAAUCCGCAAAUAGACAAAAUAGAGUAAGAUUGUCUUGAUUUUCGGUUACCUCGUAGAUGUCUUGUAGGCUUCUAAAACGCAGAGUCCUUUCACUUGAGCUUUCAUCUCCUUGAGAACUUGUUGUUGGUGAAGUUGGUGGUGUAGCUGGCUCUUCUCUAGGUUGCUCCACAUUCUCUUCUUCAAAGGAUGGAAAGUAGUUGUAGUCUUCAUUAUUUGAUCUCCAAUCCCAUUCUCCUUCUUCGUCAAAGAUGACAUUCCGACUAAUGAUUGUCUUCUUUGUUUCAGGAUUGUAAAGCUUGUAGCCUUUGGAGUUAGCGUUAUACCCAAUGAAGAUGUACUUCUCACUUUUAUCAUCUAGUUUGCUCCGUUUCUCGUCUGGAACAUGAACGUGAGCAAUGCUUCCAAAGACUCUUAGGUGUGAGACUCCGGGCUUCCUUCCGCUCCAAGCUUCUUGUGGUGUCUUUUCUAAAACACUCUUUGUUGGAGAACGGUUUGAUAUAUAAACCGCACAAGCAACUGCUUCUGCCCACAACUCCUUUGGCAGCUUCUUACUCUUGAGCAUGCUUCUUGCCAUCUCAAGUAUUGUCCUAUUCUUUCUUUCCACUACUCCAUUUUGUUGAGGGGUUCUUGGCACCGUCAACUGUCUUCGGAUGCCAUUAUCUUCACAAUAUUUCAGAAACUCCUUGGACAUAAAUUCUCCUCCUCGAUCUGAUCUCAUGGACUUGAUCUUAAGACCACUUUCCUUCUCAACAUGGGCUUUAAACUUUUUGAAAUUUUCAAACACUUCUGAUUUUUGUUUUAAAAAGUAAACCCAUGUUUUUCUUGAAAAGUCAUCAAUAAAGAGAAGGAAGUAGUUACUCUUACCAAGUGAACUUGGUUUGAUCGGACCACAUACAUCUGUAUGUAUAAGUUCUAGUGGCUUUCUUGCUCUUGUCUCCGACUCCUUUGGAAAACUCAUCUUGAAUUGCUUUCCAAGUAAGCAACCUUCACACACUUGAUUUGGAUGAUUGAUACAAGGUAAUCCUUUCACCAUUUCUUUCUUGGAAAGUAGCUCUAAGCCUCCGAAGUUGAGAUGCCCAAAUCGAAGAUGCCAAAGCCAAGAUUCCUCCUUGUAGCACAUCUUGAUACAUCGUGCAAUGUCAUUUUGAAUGUUUAGGACAAACAUUCUAUUGUUUGACAUUGGCACCUUUGUGAUGAGAUUAUUUGAUUUAUCUCUUAAAGAAAUGCUAUUAUCUUUUACUCGAAUGUCAUAACUUUUCUCUAAGAGUUGUCCUAGGCUCAAGAUAUUGGUCUUCAUGCUUGGAAUGUAGUAAACGUUGGAAAUGAAUUGAUGAUCUCCAUUCUUCAAGCGGAUGAGAAUAUUUCCUUUACCUUUCACCUCCAUCUUCGAUUCAUCUCCCAGAGCCACAUUGGUUUUCACCGAUUCAUCAAGCUUCACGAACAUGCUUUUAUUUCCACACAUGUGGUUGCUUGCACCACUAUCAAGGUACCACUUGUGAACCUCAUUUGGUUCAUCCUUCUUGUAAGCCAUCAACAACAUAUCUUCUUCCUUACGCCGUUCUUCAACAUAGUUGGACUUCUCUUCAACUCUAUUGUUGUUUGGAGUUUUGCAUUCAGAAGCAUAAUGUCCAAACUUUCCGCAACUAUAGCAUUUGAUGCUUGAUUUAUCAUACCUUGAUUUUGGAUUUCCUCUUCCACGACCUCUUGAUGAGUUCUCUCCUCUUUGGUUGAAGUUAUCUUCAUAUGGUCUCCAACCUCGUCCAUUUACACCACGGUCUCGUCCUCGGAAAUGACCGCCACCACGUCUUGGAUUGCUUCGGCCACUUUCUUCCUUAUGAUCAAUUCUCAUCUUGAGAACUUGCUCCACAGUAUCUUCUUUCUUCUUCUUCUUUUCUUCAUAAGCCUGUAGUGAUCCAAGAAGUUGCUCCAUCGUCAUAGUCUCCAAGUCCUUUGUCUCUUCAAUCACGGUGACAAUAUGCUCAAAUUUUGAAUCCAAUGAUCUAAGAACUUUCUCCAUGAUUCUCACAUCAUCUAACUUCUCACCAUUUCUCUUUAGGUUAUUAGUAACCGUCAAGACUCUUGAGAAGUAAUCUGAGAUGAGUUCUCUUUCCUUCAUUUAUAACGCUUCAAAUUCUCCUCUUAGAGUUUGAAGACGUACCUUCUUAACUUGUUCCGCUCCCUUGUAAGAUGUUUGAAGCUUCUUUCAUGUUUCUUUGGACGUCCUUGCACCAGCAACCUUCUCAAAUGUAUCUUCAUCUAAUCCUUGAUAGAUUAGACAGAGAGCCUUCUUGUCUCUCUUCCUUGAAUCUUUCAAACCAUCCUUUUGUGUUUGAGAUAAAUCACCAUCAUUCUCCGGUUCAACGAAGCCUUUCUCGACUAUCUCCCACACAUCAUGUGCUCCUAAGAUAGCCAUCAUCCUAAGACUCCAAUUGUCAUAGUUGCUCUUAGUGAGCAAUGGAACUUGGAAGGGAACACCAUUGUUUGCCAUCUUCAAAAGGAACUUAUAGCUCUGAUACCACUUUGUUGGAAUGAAAAACUUUAUAAAGAUGGAGAAAGUGUUUAAGUGUUUGAAGAGAAAGAAGCUUUGUGAAGAAGAAAGAUUUUAUAACUUAGAAGAUGACUCUUAUUAUUACUUGAAUGUUUGUUACAAACUUGAUAAUUUCUUGGUGAUACAAAAUGAGAAGAGAGUGGAGGUAUUUAUAGCCUCCAAAGUACAAAAUAUCUUACAUAUUUUAAUCCAAAAUCUAGAAAAUUCUACUAAAAUAUCUAGAUAAUCUUAUCCUAAUUAUCUAGAUAAUUCUACCAAAAUAUCUAGAUUUUUUUAUCUUAUGGAAGUGGAGAUUUUUCUAGACACUUUCUAGAAUUUAGGUUGGGCUAAACAUGAUUAGUAAGUUGUUAGUCCAAUAAUAUGACCCAAAUCAAGUUUACUUUUCAACAGGGAAUUCUAACGGCUUUAGUUGUUCAAGUGCUGUCUCUUUCAUCAUCACAUUAGUUACAGACUGGGAUCAAGAGGUACUUAGAAAUCGGCUGUGUUAUCUAGUUUGGUUCUGGAAUCUCUCUUUUUUUUCACGAAAUUAAUGUUUUUGUUAUUUUAAAAGGCCAUAAAAGCUAAAGACAGGGUCGGAUCUUCGGAUAAUGAGGUUAGAGAAGCUGAAGCAUCAAUCAAAUAGCAAUGGCUCAGAAAAUGAUUCGAUCCGUGAGGUUGAAGCUUCCAAUGCUUUGGUAAUGUAGUUUUCAUGCCAUGAAAUUCAUGGCUGAAACUUAUACCGAGCAAAAAGUAAGUUGUUGGCAACAAUUAAUGAACCUGCAUUUUUAAAUAUACCUGUUAAUGGCAAAAUAAAUAUUUCCUCUGUCUUUUAAUAUAAAUCGUUUUAAAAUUAUGCACGUAGAUUAAAAAAUAAUUAAUUUUUUAUAUUUUCUAAACAAAAAUAUCAUUAAUUAUUUAACUAACCACAAAUCAACCAAUAAUAAAAUAGAAGGUAUAUUAUCAUUGGUCAUAUAAUAUUAAGUGUUAAUAAAUUUUACAUAUAAAACCGAAAACGUAAUAUAAUUUGGAACAUAAAAACUUCUCUAAAACAAUUUAUAUUAAAAAAACAGAGGGAGUAAAUAUUAGCUUGAAAACAGUAAUAUGGAGUGCAAUGAUUCAUAUGAUAUAAAUCUGGUUGGGAUUGGUAUCAUUUAUUCACAACAAUCUCGAUUAUAUUUUUCAUCUUUAGUAAAACUAUAUCUUUUCUCCGCGUUACGCGCGGAUUAUGUCUUUUGAAUUUAUUUUUUAAGUAAUUUUCAUACAUCUGAGAAUAUUUUUUUUUAUAAACUUAUAAAAAUAUUAUUCUGAAAUAUGUGCAACUGCAAAGAGUUGAAAAAUCAUAAUAUGUUUUAACUGUCUUUCAAGCAAGUUUAAUUUUUGAAAACAGUAUUCUAAAAAUUGGAUUAAACAAAACGAUUUUUCUAGAAUAACUUUAAGAAAAUCUGUUUAGGCAUUCAGAUAAAAAAAUUUUAAAAAAGUGUCUAACUACUGCAUUCUGAUUAUUUAAACACUAAAAUAUGUUUAUUAACGUUGUUUCUGUACUUGAUAUCCAAAAUUAUAUGACGUUCUUUUAGACCAAAAUCUCUGUUCUAAAGUAUUUCUCACAAUUAAAAAGGUUAUUUUCACAUUAUUUGAAAUAAAAAAAUGCUUUGCAGUAGCUUAGUAGUAUCACUAUCACCAACUCAAUGUUUAAAACUAAUAUGUAACCAGAGGCAUAUGCACUUGGCGAUGAAUGAUGUAUAGAUAAUUAACUAAAAUCUUGGUUGUUUUUAAGAAAUGUGCUUAUGAUUCAAUUUUUGGAACAUUACUUGCUUUGAUGAUCUAAUAAAAAGGAUAAAACCUACUUAAUAUAUAUGUAUUUUUUUUUUUUGAACACGAGUUAAUAUAUAUGUAUAUAUUGAUAAUUUAUUGUAUUUUAUUAUUCAUCAUGAACAAUUUUACUUUCUUUUUAUUAGAUAUUCUAUUUUUCUCUAAAAAUAGUUUUGUGUAUAAAAUAUGAAACAAUAUUUAGCGAUAAGUUUGGAUUAUAAACUUUCAGUCAGAAAUUUUUUCUAUCUUAAAAUAAAAUUUCAAAGUUAAUACUAAUACACCUAAAUUCAUUAAUUUUAUAUGCUGCUUGUUUGGUUUAUGAUAAAAAAAAACUAAAUGGGAAAAUUUGAAGAAAUACACUACAAUAAGAUUUUAAUUUGAAAACUACACCAUUGUGUAAGUUUUUUUUGAAAAAUACACUUAUGUAUAGAUAAAUUUACUAAAUUGUCCAAUCUGAAUAUUUCUCAAUUCCUAAUUUAUUUUAUAUUUAAAGUAACGGUUUUAAAAAAAAAAGAUUUUUGUAAAAAGAAAUAUUUAUCUUAAAUUAUUUAUCUUUAUCUACACAAUAUAUUUUUUUUCAUAUAUCUUAAAUUAUUUAUUUUUCAAGAAAAAAAAGAAAGCAAUCUUCUCUAUAUCCAUUUCUGAAAAAAAAAACUUUUUUUUUCUAUAGUCUUACAUAUUAUUUUUCUUUCCUCUCGUUUCAUUAAGAAAUUUGUUAAUUCAUAAAUCGGAUUUCAGUUUCUAAUUCUGCUUCUAUUUAUUCUGAGAAUACUUUUUUUUCCUUUUAGCAAAAUUAUGUUGCAUAUAGCUGGAGUUUUUGGAGAAGAAUGAAAAUCAAAUUUUUUAUUUUUAUAAUAUCCUUGUUAUUUUAAACUUUUAAAAGAUAAAAUAACAUAUUUAUCUCAACUCACAAAUUUAUCUCAAAGAUAAAUAAUUUUGAUAAUCAUACUAUUUCUAAUUUUGAAUUAAUAUUUUAAUUAUUGAAAUAUCUAAUAUGGAUAAAAAUGUCAAUUCACAUUGAAUAAAAUGUAUUUUUCAAAAAAUAAAUAGAAGGUGUAAUUUUCAAAUUUCAAACUAUUAAUAGAGUAAUUUAAAAAUUAUCCCAAACUAAAUCUGACCCUUUGUACUCAUUUCAGUUUAUUAAAUAUAUUUGAAUUACACAAGUAAUAACUAAUAUUUCAUUUGCAUUUCUAAUAAACUUAUAUAUAUAUAUAUAUAUAUAUUAUAUUUUUGACAACUAUAUAUACUAUAAUUAGUAAAAUUAAAUAUUUAAAUGAUGUGACAUACAUGUAUAUAAUGAUAAUAUUUAUNNNNNNNNNNNNNNNNNNNAAAAUAUAUUUAAAUUUUGUUUUUGUUUUAUUUUUUAUGUUCUAUAAAAAUAUGACAUAUUUUCUUAAAUUAUAAAAAAUUUAAGUAAGAUAAUUUAUGAAAAUAUAAAUUUAAAUAAAAUUAAAUUCUUAUGCAACUAAAUAACUAACUUAUGGAAAUAAAAAAAAUAUUACCAACAUGUUUGAGAUAUAUGACAUAUGCGUAGAAAUUAUAAUGAAAAUAAUAACUGCUAACAUUUAAAAAAUAACAUUAAUAUUGUAACAUGUAAUUUUAAUUUUUUAUACGUUUGUUAAAAACUGUGUUAUCUUAACUGUUAUACCUUUUCCAAUUUUUUGAUUUUUUAAUUUUUUUUUUAAAUCUUUGGAUUUCUUACAUUGGUAAGACAUAAUUUAUAUCCCUUUUAAGACAUAGUUUUAUGAUUUGUUUCUAGUUUAACAAUUUUUGGAAAUUAAAAAUUUUAUGUUGAAUUUUCAGAUAUUAUAUCAAUUAUUUUUAUAUUUUUUUAUUUGUUAAUUUAAAUUUUAUUAUUGAUUUUUAUUUUUAUUCGAAAAAAUAAUUCUCAUAAAACUAUUGGAAAGAAAUCACUUGCAGAACUCUUAACAGCACAUCUAUAAUAGUUGACUUGGCCUAAAAUUCUAAUAGUGGUUUGAGAUUAAUAGGAUUAGGUUAUUAUGUAGUUGCUUUAAUUUUCAUUGGGUAUAUGGAUAUUCUUUCAGAAUUAAUAUAAUGCUUCAAUAUCUAUUCUCUCCGUAGCAAAAAUAUUCUUACUUCUCUGAGCAUAAAAAUACUUCCGCCUCGUCACUUCAAAAACACAUUUGGUAUUCCACAUGUUUUUCUAUUACUGAGCUGUACAUCUUUUUUUUGUCAUAAAAAACAGACUCAUAUUGACUAUGUGAACCACACCGGGAGAUCUUGAUCUAUGUGAACGACGAAAGACGGUUGUUUCCUGACACUGCGUGCUAGACUAUCCGCCUUUGAAUUUUGCGUUCUUGGUACAUAGAUGAUCUCUCAUCGAAAAAACUCUCUCUCAGGAUCUUGAUAUCUUCCAAAUAAUUUGCAAAUGCUGGUCAUUCUUCUGGUUUCGAAACCAUCUUCACCAAUUGAGAACAAUCCGUUGCAAACGUGACCUAAAAUUGACGUAAGUUUUUCAUACAUUCCAUCGCCCAAAGUAGAGCUUCUAUCUCCGCAUGCAGAGGAGUUAGACAAGCCCGUACAUUCCUCGCCCCCAAUAAACCAGCAAAGCCUUCUAAGGUACUAAGCCAACCUUGUCCUGAGAAAACAUCAUUCUCAUUCCAAGAACCAUCUGUGAAGCAUCAUCUUCCUGAAAUCAAAGGGAGAGUUAUAGGUUCUACCGGUGAGCCUCUCCUAUUUUCCUUUGGUACCUGUGCCUCAGCCCAGAGAAUGGAUUCUGUCUCUGCCAAUUUGAGCGUCCCACGAGGGUCAAUAUCCAAAUUACUAAAGACUUUAUUGUUCCUUCCUUUCCAAAUAUAUCAUAGUAUCCAAGCGAAUUGUUGAUCCUCCAUCUAGGGCGUAACUCGCCAGAAGAGGUGAUCCACAUUUGUAAAGAGGGAGCUUGUGGGGAAAAUGGCUGGAUUUGAAGGCACCUUGGAAAGAGCCCACACCUGAACUGCUGGAGGACAUUCAAAAAAUACAUGGUUGAUCGAUUCCUCUUCCGCUCUACAUCGUGCACAGCAUAUAUCCCCUUGUAGUCCACGCGCUUUCAGAUUCUUCUUGACCGCUAUGCACCAUGUCACCAAUUUCCAUAGAAAAUGUUUCAUUUUUGGGGGGCACCGUAUUUUCCAGCAGAACGCUUUCAGUGCAUCAACUGUAGGUCCAAACACUAAAGGUGGUUUUUCCCUGUCUGGGUAGACCCGUUCUAUCUGAUAUCCUGAUUUAACCGUAUACUUCCCAUUAUUUGUGAAAUGCCAGCCAUCUCCAUCUACCAUCUAUUUAUUUAAAAAUAAUGUAAUAUCAUCAUUACAAAUGUAAUUUUUAUUGGAGUUAGAAUAUUACAACAAAUCCUUAUUUUAUUUUUUUCAGGGUUCUACUCAGUGGUAUGCUUUCUAUGAUUUUCACAUCCUGGGGAUCCAUCAAAACCCGAAGUACCUGGGAAUUCCAGGUUCGCGAAGUAGAAUCAAUAAGAGAAUCCACUAUGAGGUCAGGGUAGAAAUUGUGUUGAUUUUUAUUUGCUGGUCUCGGGCGAGUGGUUGGGAGCCAUGGGUCAUUCCAUACAGAGAUAGUUGAUCCUGAUCCCACCCGUUUAAUUAGUCAUUUGCUAACCAGAGAUUUAGCAAAAACAAUACUCCGCCAACCAUAUGACGGAGAAUAUGAACGAUUCGGUUCCAGGGGUGAGGCAUUCCCAUUCCUGUAAUACCGACCUUUGAAAAUUCGAGCAAAUGAUUACUGAGCUGUACAUCAAAAUGCCAUAAAUAAAUAUGAGAAUAAAUUAUUGCAGAAAUGUUUUAAAGACACAGCUCGUUAAACUUUGAAACAUAGCUGGAAUAUUAGUAAGACUGAAUGGCAUCACUAAAUAUUUGUUAUAAACUUAAAAUCUAUGAGUUUAAAAACAUGUUUUAUUAAUAUCACUUGUAUCCAUCCUCACUCAGUGGUUGUUCACUCUUAAAUUGAUCUUCGAAUAUAGUUUAGAACUUCUAAACAUAUCCAUCAUAUCCUCCAUUAGCUAAAUUGAUAUAUUUUUUUCAAAAACCUUUAUUAGUUUAACUAUUUAAUGGAACAUUGGUGGUUUUAAAUUAUAAUGAAUACAUUACCUCGAGUUUGGAAAUCAUAUAUGUUUUAAAAUAUUUUUUAACAUAUAUUUUUUAAAUUUAUGUAGUCUAUAUUCUUCAAAUCUUGCAUUAUUUAAAAUCUUGCAUUAUAAAUUAUGUGAAGUUGUUCAAUCUACAUAGAAUAAACUCAUUAAAAACUCUAUUUGGAAUGAGUAAUUUUGAUAUAUCGCUUUGGUCCCUUUCUUCCUUUUAAGAAAUGGUCUUCCGGUAAGAAUCUCAGCGAAAACACAGCCGACGCUCCAAAGACCAACUGAGACACUGUAACCCAUAGUGAAUCAAAGAUUUUUUGGAUUUAAACAAUUUCGUCUUAUUUUUUUGAACCCAAACAAAAUAAAAAGAACUAAAAAGUGAGAACGGAUGAUUUAAGGAACAGCACAACCAAAUCAGAAAAGCCACAAACAGAAACGGAAGUGUUGAAGACGCUCCCAUAGUGAUACAACAUUCUUUGACUCUCCGACAUCGUCAUCUUGCUCUUGAUUUGCUCGUACAAUUCCCUGUCGUAAAGAGAGUAGUGAGUUGUCUUGAAUAUUGGAAUCAAAUCUAAGGGAAGCAAAUAAUCUUAUCUGAAAUUAGUUUUCAUAGCUGCUCGUCGAUGAGAAGCAGUUCUAAAGCCACUAAGCAUGUCCCUCUUCCGCUGUGUUUCUUUCUUCCCACAAAUGAAUCAAACGGAAGCGCAGCCCUGAUUAACUAAGCCAGGGGGACGUCCUUAAGAAAUUGAGCGAUUGGAGCCUCACCGAUCGGGUUUGCCGAUUUGGUCGCCAGUGCACGAUGUGCUUUGAUGGGUUUCGUGAAUUUUGCGAGGAGAAAAGAUUCAUUGGGUUUACAUAAGGUGGAGAACAGAGGGAUUUGGAACGCUGGAAUAGCCUACCAUUGCAGGAUUAAAUUAGAAGUUUAAUGAGAAAGAAUGGUGGAAACUGCCGUUACAGAUCAGAAAAACAAAAGGUAGAAAAACGUUAGAGCUUAUUCGAAGAGAAUGAUGAAGGUGGAAGUGGAGGAGUAUGUUUGAAAGCCUUUACUGGCGAGAAAUUGAUCGGGUCAACAAAUGGGCUGGUUUACAAAGUGGACCAAAACAUUUCUAACUGUACAAAUGUUUUGUGCGUGAAAUAUCAAGUGACGUGGCAGAUCAGGACAUCCUGAUUGGUGGAUUUAAUUAAAUGACGUGGACACUCGCAUUCUUUCAGUAUUAAGAGUUUUUAGUAGUGUAAGAUCACUGCAAUUGCAAAUUAUACAGAUUAAUUGAAAAAUAAUUACAGUUCUUUUAAUCGUACUGUAAUAAAAAUAUACAUGUAACUGUUGGAUUAUAAUGAUCCAAAAGCGUCGGUGAUGGAGUAAUGGGACUGGGUCGACAGCUCCUAUACGAUUAGGUCCAACUCUUUAUAAGGUUGGUGGUGAGGUCAUUUACCUGUCUCCAAUCUAAAUUUUAUUUUGUAAUAUUUGAGAAAACUGAAAGUUUUCCCACUAUGGCUAGACAAAUGAUCAGAGACCUCUUCUAUAUACAAAUUAUUUUUAGUUUUAACAAAAAUGAUGUAUCCAGUAAAAAUGGAGAUAACACACAAAAAACUCCAUAUACCAAAAAAAGAAAAAGAAAUGAGGUUUUAUUGACUUGAUUAAAAUAGACAUGGUACGCACGUCUAUCUAUUCGUACUCAAGGCUCUGUCUCAUUCUCACCUUCUUGGUUUCAUGGCUUGACCCCGUCUGCAUCCUUUAUUCCUCGACAUGAGACCCAUAUGCAACCCCACCGUGAUGUAUCAUGUCAAUUCGACCUUCUUCUUCGUCCACUUAUAUUCUAAGAAGAUCCAUCUUACAUAACCACAAAACAAAGAUCCCAUUUUGAGGAUUUGUUGGCUAAAUUUAAGUACUUAAACAUAAUUAAGAUGUAUCUAUGUAGAGUGUAGACGUCUGUUUAGAUUGCCUAAAUACAUUGAUUUAAGGAGUGGCACAGAAAAUAGCUAAUCCGAGUGAAUGUUCCCAACUACGCUCUAAUUAAGUCUACUCCAAACAUUCAAUUAGCUAUCAUCGAAUUUUCAACUAUUCUGAAAUGAGUGCAUUAUCAACUGUUACGUUAUGGAAAACUCGGUGGAACUCCAGAUAUGGGGUAGUUUUUAUAGAUAAUUGAUUAGGAUUUAGGAUACACAAACAUCCAUAAUUCUCAAAUAGGAGUAGCUUUUAACCUUGACUUGCUUUUUGUCACAGGCUAUCAAUCAUCAUUGAAGAGUUCUUACUAAGUUCAGUAAUUUAAAAAUAAAAAUAAUAAAAAUCAAGACAUAAAAAGGGAAGAGUCUAAAAAAAUACAGAUUCACAUCAAUAUUAUUAAGAAAUUAAAAUUCCAGUGGAUUUCUAAACGAUAAUGAUGCUCUCACACGUCGCACUCUCAACUCCCAAUUCUUUAUCAAACAUAAAUUCUACGGUUUAAUUUCUUUAGUGGUGAAACAACUAGUAAAUAUUGUUAUGCCCAACCAUGUUUUUCUACGCUGAGAUCUGUGCGCACCAUCCUUCCGCUUUAAAUUGGGAGUGCAAAUUAUCUGAAUACAAUUAGUGUCCUGCGCCCAUAUGUGGACUUGUAUCUACUCCAUUGAUGCCUUCAAAUUUAAUAUUUUUACACAAUUGGAGUAUAUAUAGACAAAAUAGCAUUUAAUGUCUUCUUAUAUCAUGAAUGGAAAUACUGUUUAGGAGGUAAUUUUUCCUAUUCUUUGAGAAAACCCCUUUGCUUGAAUUCUUUUGUUUCUCUAUUUAUAAAAAUAUACCAAAACUGAUAGAUUGUUCUAAGGUUAUGAGAUUUCACUACAGCAAAAAAAGUAGGAGUAAAAAAGACAAACUGUUAAAGGGUAAAACCAUUGUUACCUGACAAUGUCUUAGGUUUUUCUGAAUUCUGAAGCAAGAAGAUGCUUGUUUUACGGACAUGCGGCAAAAGAUAGGUAGUUGUUUUUUUACACGCAUUUACUACCUGAGUGUUGUGUAACCAUUCAUUUUCUAAAAAUUUGAGAAAAUACAUUUUCUACAGGAUAUAAGAUUCUUUUUUAAAAGAUUUUAAUAAUGAAGAUGUAACAUAUUAAACUGUGAUUUUUUUCCAUGCAAAUAUCUUUGCAUAUACACUCCAAAAUUUGACAUAGUCAGGAUAUGUAAAAAAUCGAAAGUAUGAUGUGAUAUGAAAAUUUAUUGCAUAUACAUUGACUAAUCAUAGUUGAACGAAGGUAAAGUAUAUAUAAGCUCAUAUAAUAAAUGAUUUGGGUUGAUCUAGUUUUUUUUAACCAUGAGGUGUAUAGCCUUCGGCUCAAAUAAUCCACCUAGGUCCGAGACCAGCCGGCGCUAAUACCGGUAACACGGCGUAAAACAUUUCUUCCAACGAAAAUCAAAAUAGGGGCACAAUGGAGCCAAAUCCAGUCAUUAAACCACUAGCGGCUGAUCGAGUUGAGCUAGCUACUAUAUAUUGACAUCCCCAUGGUUGAUAUGAUCAUACGGAUUAUCCAACUUAUCGGAUAGGGUUGGCCAACACCAUCUUCGCGCAUGCAUGUGUAUAUCUGUUGUCAAUCGAACACGUUUCAUCAUUUUUUUUUUUUAAUUUUUGGUAGUGAGCUGACAAUACAAACGGCGUAGUGUCUCCAUUCAUAUUUGUUCUAUUAAAAAAAAUAUAUGUGCAUCGACAAUCCUAACUAGACGAGGAAAGCACCUAACUAAGACGUUGGUACCCAGCUAGGAGACUCCAUCGCCGGUUUGUGUACAUUAACAUGAGAUAACAUUGGGUUAGUAUUUGAGUGUUUCAUCUGACUCCAUAUUUUGCCACUGACUUUAUGACUCGUAAAUGAUCCCCAACAAUGCAUAUGGCCUACAACCUUCAAGAUAAAUGCACCUUUUCUCUUAUCCUCGUUAAACAUGAAAGUUAAUAUUCAGUAUUGUGUAGCUAUCAUAGUGAACAAAUAUAAACUUAGAGAAAACAUCCGAGUUACAUUUGAAGCGUUAAAAUAAAACUUGGAAAUGUCGCUAUUCGGAGUAAAAACUUUCACGUGCUUGCUUAUUUAUUACAUUCAUUGCAUGAGAGUUGUAUCUCUAGCUAUCUCUCUUCUUCUUACCCCCUCUAUCAUACUCAAUCAAAACCUCUAUAAAUGCAAUACGAGCCAGAACGAACAAAGACCACACUAAGAGUUUAAAAACAAAACAGGGGAAACAUAUCACUAAAAAGUAUUCCCCACUGAAUAACGUAAAAAUGUUUUUCAACUACCUCAUGACCCAUCGCUUGAAGCUAUGUUUCCUCCCAUUGUUGGUUGCUAUAGCCAUGCAAGCUUCUCGUCUUUCCACUCAAGACUCCACAGCUUUCACCUCUACCUACAGAAAAAUUUCACGUCCCUAACCAUAUUCUCCAUCUCUCUGAUUCUCGGGUGGACGCUUUACAUUAUGAACCGACCCAAACCCGUUUACCUAGUUGACUUCAGCUGCUACCUCCCACCGUCUCAUCUCAAAGCCAGCGUCAAGAAGAUCAUGCACCACGUAAGAGUUGUACGUGAAUCAGGCAAAUGGGGGAAGUCAGACGAGAACGAAUACUUGAUGGACUUUGUGACCAAGAUUUUAGAACGUUCCGGUCUAGGCCAAGAGACCUACGUACCGGAAGGCCUUCAUUGCUUGCCGAUAGAACAAACGAUGGUUGGGUCACGUAAAGAGACUGAAGAAGUUAUAUUAGGAGCGGUCGAUACUCUUUUCCGCAACACUGGGGUUAGCCCUAGUGAUAUAGGUAUCUUGGUGGUGAACUCUAGCACUUUUAAUCCAACUCCUUCGUUAGCAACUAUCAUAGUGAACAAAUAUAAACUUAGAGAAAACAUAAAGAGCUUGAAUCUUGGUGGGAUGGGAUGUAGCGCUGGCGUCAUCGCCAUAGAUGUCGCUAAGAGUUUGUUACAAGUUCAUAGGAAUACUUAUGCUCUUGUGGUCAGCACCGAGAACAUCACUCAGAACUUGUACGCUGGUAACAACAAAUCAAUGUUGGUUACAAACUGUUUGUUCCGGGUAGGUGGGGCUGCGGUUUUGCUUUCUAACAUCUCUAAAGACCGAAAAAGUGCUAAAUACAAGCUUGUCCACACGGUGAGGGUCCAUACCGGGUCCGAUGACCGAUCCUAUGGAUGCGCGACACAAGAAGAAGAUGAAGAUGGUGUAGUAGGAGUCACUUUGUCAAAGGAUCUACCUAUGGUAGCUGCAAGAACCCUAAAGAUUAAUAUCGCAACGUUAGGUCCACUGGUUCUUCCCAUAAGCGAGAAGCUUCUCUUCUUUGUAACGUUCCUUAGAAAGAAGUUUUUCAAUCCCAAGAUCAAGCAUUACAUGCCGGAUUUCAAGCUAGCGUUCGAGCAUUUCUGUAUCCAUGUGGGUGGUAGAGCGCUUAUAGAUGAGCUUGAGAAGAAUCUUCAUCUCUCUCCGUUGCAUGUGGAAGCAUCAAGAAUGACGUUACAUAGGUUUGGUAAUACAUCAUCGAGUUCUAUUUGGUACGAGUUGGCUUACACGGAAGCUAAAGGAAGGAUGAAGAAAGGAGAUCGGACUUGGCAGAUAGCGGUGGGGUCAGGGUUUAAAUGCAAUAGCUGUGUUUGGGUGGCUCUUCGUAACGUUAAGGCUUCUGCUAAUAAUCCUUGGGAAGAAUGUCUGAACAAAUAUCCAGUUGAGAUCGAUAUAUGAUUCAAGAGUAUGUCCGACUCUCUAUAUAAGUUUUUUUCUUUACUCAUUUUAAUGAGGUGAUGUUUCUUCUCGUGAACGAAUAAGAGUUUAAAUACUUCGUGUGCUUUUAUGCAAACAAGUGUUUUUUUUUAAAUCAAAUAUACACAUAGACAUAGGGCAAAAAUACAAGACUUUAUUUUAAAUAAUCAUCAAAAAUCUAAAAUUCCACAAUUUUACGUUUAGGAAAAGUUCUUAAAAUUCAAUAUAUAUACACAUAAUUUAAUUAUUGUAUGACAUAGGUGAUAAAUAUAAUUAGAAUCAUCAGUAUGCAGAUACUUGAAAAUUUUCAUAAUUUUUGAUAAAAUAAUAAAAUGUUAAAAGGUUAAAAAAUCCAUAUUAGAUCAUGAAAAAGACAAAUGAAUAGCUUUGAAUAUUACAUAUGACUAACUUAAUUAGUUCAAUAAAAACUCAACAACAAGCUCACUUACAUUUUUUUUUUAUUUUUUUUUUUGAUAACUCUGGUAUCUGAGCAGCUACAUUCCCAACUAUCCCCCGAAAGGGGUCCAGUGCCCCAACGGAAGGGAUGUUAAAUCCGUUGUGGCCAAGGCUCGAACCCGGGUGGCGGACAGUACAGCUGUACCUCGUUUACCACCAAGCUACGAGCGCUUACAUUUUAUGUUUCCUCCUUUAUAUAUAUUGUUAAAACUUGGGAUUCAUUCAGAGUCAGAAUCUGAAUUAGCACUCUGCCUUACACUCCUCCUGGCUUGUGUCAUAGACUUUACCUUAUUUUUAUUUUUUUUUGUAAACAAAAAGGUUAAACCUGGGUCUAUUAAAGACACAGACCUAACCCCCGGGUGGGAGGUGCAGCCCACGGAUAAACCCUCUUCCGGGUAUUCAAAUGGGCCGAAAUGCAAUAGCCCAUAUCCGUGUAGGUGACCAGGAAAAUAUGACUUAGUUUCGCAUGGCAGGUGGAUCGAACUUGAAAUGUGGUGACAUCCCAACCUCUUCCCCUUACCACUUGACCACAAGCUCCCAGUAGAUAGACUUUACCUUAUGAGAUGAUGAUUCACCCUCGUAAUGGAUAACUUGAGCUCUAGCUAAUCUCUCUUCUAGAUCCUCCGUGCUGAAAUCGUCUCUCCCUCCCAGCUCAUUAAACCCAACCUACCAAAAUAACCAAUCAUAUCCUAAAAGACAAAAAAAAAACAAAAGUUGGAGUUGUGUUGUGUGUGACUAUACCACAUAAUCAUCAACUUUAGUGUUCUUAAUGAGUGCGAGAGUGGGAAGAACCACAAUCUUGAGCUUCUCAGCCAAGAACGGACUCUUCUCAGCUUGGAUCUUCACAAAACGCGUCUCAAUGUGCUGCUUAUCCAUCACCUGCAAAAAAAAAAAAAGUUUAUUUUUAUAUAUUAACUAAGUAACUGUCCUAACAUAAAAAAAAAUCCAAUACAAAGCCACGUAAAAAACAGUGCGUAGAUGCAAGAUAGUACCUCUUGAAUCGGAUUAUCCAUUGUGAAGAUCUGAGAUAGACGUAUCCUCGUUUUUUUUUGAAUUUGAAAAGAGAGAUUCAGUUUUAGGAGGAGACGGAGGAGAUGAACAAAAACAGCGUUUUCUGAGGGUUCUUCAACACGACACCGUUUGAAGAAGACCGGUAUGCAGAAAUCAUUUAAAUCCGCUGAUAACCGGUAUCAUUAAAUUCGGUUCGAUAAACCGGUUAAAAUAUAAAAAACAGGAAGAAGAGAUAACGCAAAAGCCUCUCGUUUUCCAACUCCACCACACAGACAGAGAGACAGACACAACACCCAAGACGACGACAAUGGCUCUUUCUUCUGCUACCUUCUCUACCUCUCUCCGCGUCGAUACGGCGCCGUUCCGAAGCUCGCCGUCUCUCCGUAUUUCUCCUCAUCCGGCUAACCUGCGCAUGGUGCGAGCCGUAACCUCCGCGACGGCGGCGGCGUCCUCCGAGCCCUCUUCAACCACCAAGACGAGGGAGCCACGUGGCAUCAUGAAGCCUCGCCCGGUGACCCCCGAGAUGCAGGACGUUGUAGGCGAAUCGGUGAUACCUCGCACACAGGCCCUCAAGCGUAUUUGGGCUUACAUCAAGGAACACGACCUUCAAGUAAAUACUCUCUCUCUUUCUAAUUGCUUAUUGAUUUCAAAAGAGACAGCUUUUAAUAAUUUGGAUGAGGUUUGAAACCUUUUUGGAGCUUAGUAAAAAACCUUCUAACAGCUUACGUUGACUAGGCUCUGUUGUGAUGAUACAGUUGAGUAGUGACGAUACAGUUCACUAGUGACCUCAAUUGUUUAUUGGGGAUAAGAUAUGUAUUAUUAAUUAAAUCCCUUUUUGAUUCCUUAGUUAGUUGUCAUGUUUGGUUUUGAAUCACCUUACUUGACCUGUCUAAUGAUUAUUUUGAGUUCUGUCUAGUUGAAACAAAUGUAGAUUUUUUCACGUUUUGCUCAUGCUCAUGUUCGUUGUUUUGGGUUUUAGUAGUGAUAACUUUUCAAAAUAAUGACAACAAGUCUAUUCAUAUUCUAUCUUACUUUGUGUUAUAACCUUUGGUGGUGACUUAAAAGUGAGUAAAUGUUGUUCUUUCUACAGGAUCCACAAAACAAGAAGGUUAUAAUCUGCGACGAGAAGCUGAAGAAGAUAUUUGAUGGCAAAGACCGUGUCGGCUUCUUGGAGAUUGCAAAGCUCAUUGGUCCUCACUUUCUCUGAAUGAAAUGAAAUGAAAUUUGGCUGGAAAAAAAAAGACAAUCAAUCAUUUGCGUAUCUUUUGGUGAGCUAUCAAGGCAGAUUACAUAUUAGUAAAAUGUUAGGGGUUUUAAGAAGUUUUAUUCAACCAAGUUUAGUAGUUAAACCUUUGGAGGAUAUCUAUAGUCGGUUAUGUGUCUCCUUGCUUCCCAUUUGCGGUUACAAAUAUGCUUCAUCUUUUUUUUUUAGGACAUGAACAACUCUUUUAUGAAUCUGUCAGUUGUGUUCUUUACAUCGUUUUUCUCGUGUGUUUCUUUAGAAAGUGUAUUUUAUUGCGGUUGUUUUUGCGGUAUAAAAAUACAUUGAGGCAUGGUCAUUCUUGUUAACAAGCGUAGAGUUUAAAACUUCGAAAGACACAAGUUCAUGAAGUACUGUCCAACAAAGUAUGGUAAUAUCUAAUAUUCAUAUUAAUUCUAAAAACGUGAGAUCAUUUCGCAAGGAAAAUAAAAUUGCUUCGUCUCCAAAUCUUGUAAUCGUCGUCUCUUCCCUGCCAACAACCGGUCCUCUCAAUCAACCUCAGCUCACUGUCCUGUGCUGCCAUCUCCCAGUUUCGGUAUCUAAACAAACUACAUACAUGACGAAACUGUGACAGAUAGGGGAUAAUUGUGAUAGAUAGGGGAGCUUACAAGUGGCUCACCAAGACUAGAGGAGCUCAAUGACUUGCUUUGCCAGCUCCACAAGAAAGGGAUUGCACGAGUCCUUAGAGCAUCUCCAACAAUGCCACCAAAUUUGGUGUGGAAAUUACACUAAGUUUGGUGUUUUGGUAUCAAAAAUUUUUGGUCAUCUUUAACAAUUACACUAAAUUUUACACCAAAAAUAAUAUACUAUUAUUUGAUAUUUUAAAUUUUUUAAAUUUUAUUGUUUGUGAUUGAUAAAUAAUUAUUUUAUCACAUUUAGAUUAUUAUUUAGAUUAUUAUUAUUUUUAAGUGAUAAAUAAUAAUGGUCAUUUAAUAAUUUAUUUUGAAAAUAAAAAUAAAAAUAAAAAUAAAAGAUUUAAUAUUUUAAUUAUGUGAAAAUAAAUUUAAAAUAUAAAUGAUACAAUAUAUUUAUGUUUAAUUACAAAUUUGAUAGUAAUUGAACUAUAUUAUUAAAUAAAACAUAAUAAAAUAUGUAUUUAAAGAUUUGAUGUGAUGAAUAGUGUUACACCAAAUUUGGUGGGAUGCUGUUAAAUUUGGUGUUUUGUUGAAGAUAAAAUUACACCAAAUUUGAUGUUUUGGUGUCUUGUUGGAGAUUGACUUUAGUUUCUGUUAGGUUGUUGACUAGACUUUUUUUUUUUUUUCAAACCUUCGUUUCAUUCCUUAAGCUUAACGUACAAUAGAGUUCUCACUUUCAAAGAGAAUGUUAGUGAAAAGAAACAGAGCAUUUUUUGCCAGCCUAUCGGCCGACUCAUUACAGACUCUAGAAAUAAACACAAAAGAGAUAGAGGUGAAGGAUGCACUCAACACGCCGAUGUCAUGGAGUAUCCCUCUAAGAGCUACCACAGAUUUGUGACCUGUGAUCAAAUCGAUAAGGCAUUUUGAGUCUGAGAAACAAACCACUUCCUUGAUGCCAGUAGAGACUUAUGGGUCUCUUUACAUUACAACAAUUACAUGACUCCGUGCUAUUAAUGACACUCAGCUUACAGCGCUCAAGAUCCAAUGUUAAACCAGAAACUGGGAUACAUGAUUUAAUUAAACCAAAAAUGAAUGAAGGUGGUUUGUGCUAGUUGAUGUACAACUUUGUUGUCAGUUCUCACUAUAGUUUUUCAUUGAUUCUGUGUACAGAACAAAACACUAGUAGGUUUCCUUUUCUACUCACUGUUUUAUAUUUGUAUUCCAAAUUUAUUUUCACAAUUCUGUGCUAGUGGGAAUAAAUAUGAAUAAAGGUGUAUAUCGCACAAGAAAAAGUGGCCAUAGUGCGAUGUUGUCUUUUCAUUACAUUUAUCAGAUAUAUCUAAUUCAAUAUCAACUGAAAUGUAUGAAAUUAAUUCCAUGCUAGUCCUGUUUUUCAGGGUCAUUCUUAAUGUUUUUGCCAUUAAAAUGUGUGUAGUGGUAGAAAAAGAAAUGUACAUUAUGGAAUUUUUCUGAUUAUUAGAUUGUGUGGUAGAAGAUCUAGUUUACACGGAAUCACGGAUUCAUCCAUUAGAAAAUUUCAUGUAACGCAACUCGGUGACUAAAAUUUAAAAUAGAUCAAAGCUAAAAGCAAGUUAGCAAUAUUUCAAUAAACAUCAUAACGAAUAACGAAGGUUAUAUAAAAGAGAAAUAAGAACGCUCAACGCACCUUUUCUUCACUGAAAUUGUUUUGGAGAAAAAGAAACUGGCAUUUACCAGUUAAAUCAAUACGAAGUUAUGAUCAACCAAUACAAAUAACGAACAAAAAAUCAAAUUUGCUUUGAGAAAAAAAUUACUGACAAAAAAAUAUUUUUACAGAACCAAAGAAAGAAUUAAUCACGUAACUUGUGGAAGCAAGGCAGCGCGUACAAAAGCACGUAACGUAGCGUAUCGGUGUGUUCUUUUGGUUUCCUUCCUUCUCCCCCUCCUAACAAGACCAUCCGAAUUUUCUGGUAUUACUAAUUACCAAUUUACCAUUAUGUUAUCUUUGACGUAAUUGUUUUUUUUUUAAUCACCGACAUGAGGAUGUUGGAAGUGUACUUAAAAGUAAUAAAUCAAAUUUAUCUUUUCUAAAGUUACUAAGAAGGUAUAACUUUCACAUUACAUUUUUUAAGAAAAAAAAUAUAGUUUUAGGUUUUUCACGCUUAUAAAGAAAACAUAUUAGAUUUUGGUUACGAAUGUAUUAUUUUUCCAUUAUCAACUAUUUUUCACAAAUUUAACCAAUAAAAUUUUUAUAAACACUAUAAUGUUUUUUGAAGUUUACAGUUUACAAUUAAUUUAUGCAUUGAAAAUAUAAAACAUAUAUUUUUUCGAAACAAUUUUUUUUUAAAUAUAGAUCUUUUUGAAAUAGAGAGAGUAUAACUUAGCUUUUACUGCCAAAAAUGGUAAAAGAAAGUUUACUAGAUGAACUCAUUUUAUAAAAUAAAAUAUAGUAAAAGUGUUAUAAUGGUAUUUUGGUAAAAUGUCCGAGAGAGAUAGCUGUCUGAUGACUUGUUCACCAAGCUGGUAUCGUCAAGUAUAAAAAGGGAAGCUGGUGAGGAAACAAAUUUGUUGUUUUUAAGACGCUUUGGGCGGAAAGAGAGAGAAAAAAGAGAGCUCCAAGGUUUAGUUUCUGCUGCAACACCAUUGAUUAAUUAAGGUAAUUAAUGCUUAGCUAAUGUGUUAAUCUCUUUCAAUCAUUACAUCAUCAAUUCAUCACCAAUUACCGUAGGAGUAGUACAUAGUCAUUCAGUCCUUUCUGAAGUUAAAUUGGUUAAGAUGAAAAAGUUUUAAUGGAAAAAUUAAGAUGAAUGAGAUAUAGACGAAUUGAGUAUGAAAAAUUCUAUUUUAUAUAUUGUUUUUGCAUAAUAGUAGAUAGAUAAAUUUUUAUUUGAGCGACAUGUUUAUGUCAUUAUUUUCAAAUGCUAUGAUUGUAGAAAAGUUAUAGAUGAUUAAUGUUUCAUUCUACCAUAUUUUAGUCCUUACUCAGUUACUCUAACUAGAAAACUUAGCAACAUACAGGUUGUAAUGCUUUUUAAAUUUCACAAAAUCAUGUGACACAAUUAGUUAAAGGAUAUUUCAGCUGUGGUUACAACAUUCAGGCAGCAUUGCUUGUGUAGUUUUCAUUAUAAAUAUUUCCAAUAAUAUCGGGGAAUAAGAAGAUACGAAUCUACAUUUCAAUUUAUAGGUUUUAAAAAAAAAUACUUUUGUAGAAAAGUGAAAAUUUUAUCCAAAAAUAAAAAAUAAAACAAAAAUUGUGGAAGCCUCGUUGGACAAUCUUCCGGAAACGAUAUCAGCUACCAUUAACCAUGUACAGUUAUUUUAUCAAUUGCUAUAUUGCUAACAAAAAGAACAUAACCAAAAAAAGAAGUGAAAAUCAUUUGAAUGCAAAUAAAGUAGUAUAGAAAGUUAUUGGCCGAUAGUUUCUUCAAACAAGCAUUUUUUAUCUUGUGUGCUUGAUUUGUUGGCUUAAUCAUUGAUACUCAACCCAUUAGCCAUUACAUGCAUCUUUACUUAAGCAUGACCAUGGACUAUGAUUUGAAAAUUUGAAGCACCAUUCUUUCAUUUAAUAUUUAAAUUGUUUAGGAUUUAGUAGAGGAGUGCAUACUGUACAUUGAAAUAUAAUAUUUAUUAGUAUACACAUAUCUAGCGAGAGACAAACAAGUAUGUGGCGGCUACAUCUACAUGCCCUGGCUGCAUUGAAAUAAAAUAUCUAUUACAGUAGAUUACACCCAUCAUAUAAAUCAAGUCAACACAAAAUUAAAUGCAAGACUUAACGUGUACGUGCUUAAUAAUGCCCAUAACAGUUCCCGUAGGGCCAUAUAUAGUUUAAUCAUCAUAAUCCAGAUCUUCCUAUCGGAAGAACAAUUAUAGUUAAACUCUAUAUGCAUUAUUAUAUUAGUUAAAACUAACAAGAUAAUGAGUUAAUGAUGCAUCACAUAUCUGUUUGUGACCAAAGCAUGAACAACUAAAUCAGUACGUAACCUUUUGUCAACCAUCAGAUAAUACACCGUACAUGAUUUUUUUUUUUUUUUUUUUUUUUGUCAAUACACCGUACAUGAUUUACACGUGGUAUAAUAGAAAUUGCGUGAUAUUUACAUUACAUGUAAAAGCAAAAGAAUGAUUGCGUAGGCAAAAAGGCUGCUGAGUAGAGAGAGAGAGAGUAAACGUUUGCUUCCCGCGUUAUACAAUGCCCUAAUACUCAUCAUCAUCAUGCGUGCAAGCUAUUUUUCAUUUCCUUUAACGAUUCUCAUUCUUACACUCUUCAAGCUUCUUCUUUCUUCUUUCUUAAUUAUUUUCUCCAUUUUUCCCGGAAAAUUCUCUCUGUUGUUGUUCUCUCCUGAUAAGCCCGACCAAGUUUAUCCUCUUUCUCACUAAUCAUUUCUCUUACAACUUCUUUCAAUCUCCCUUUAAAACCUAACCUUUUGUUUCAGUUUACAGAUUCUUCAAUCUUUGUACGUUCAUUUCCAUGUUAAAGAACUUCUUUAUUCAUAUUUUCAGAUAAUUAUUUGAGUUCCAAGAAGAAGAAGAUGGGAAACCAAACAAGCAAGAAGUCACAUGAGACAUCGUCUAAGACCACAACGACGAGCAUGCACUACACAACGGAGCUGAGAUCAUACGAGGCUGCUUGUAAAGCAGACACGGAGCUACAGUCUUUCGACACGUGUAUGCAGGCACGGACCAGUCACGUGAUAAGCACGCUAGCUACGGGUGUUGAGGUUCGAGCGCUCUCGUUCGAUUCCCUCAAAGAAGUGACCGAGUGUUUGCUUGAGAUGAAUCAAGAAGUUGUGAAAGUGAUACUGGAUUGUAAGAAAGAUAUAUGGAAGAAUAAUGAAUUGUUUGAACUCGUUGAGGACUACUUUGAGAAUAGCUUGAAGACUCUUGACUUCUGUGCUGCUUUGGAGAAAGGUUUGAGAAAGGCACGUGAUAGUCAGCUUUUGAUUCUUGUUGCUCUUCAGCAGUUUGAAGACGAGAGCCUCGUUGAAGGUUCGUUAAACAAUUUUUUAAUUCAUUUUCUUUGGAUCUUUAAUGGAUUUAUAAAAAUAAACUAAAAUCUAAUUAAAUUAUAAAGUACUAUUAAAAAAAUAUUUUGCACAUAGUUAUUAUAAACGUAUUAUUUGUUUAAUUAUCAAUUCAGUAAAUUUAAACCAAUAAUUAUUUAAGAAAUUCAUUUUUGAAAAGUUUCAAUUUUUAUGAACAUUUCAUAAAAAAUAUUUUUAUGAAAUGUUUUUUUUUUGUUUCUAAAAUAUCUCUCUGAUUAUAAAGCAGAGAGUAUUUGAUUGUCUUUUGUCCUAUUAUUCUAGUUUUCAUUACACAUUUGGAACAUUGAUUUUAGUUGUGGUAAUAACUUAUCUUUUAAUUUGUUGGUUGGCAGGUGGGAAUGGAUACGAGAAGACACUUGAAGAGCUAAAGAAUUUCAAAGAGGCAGAGUCACCUUUCGACGAAGACUUCUUCAAGAUGUUCCAAUCUGUUUACAAGCACCAGAUGCUGAUGCUUGAGAAGCUACAGCAUCGCAAGAACAAGCUUGACAAGAAACUCAAGUCCAUCCACACAUGGAGAAAACUCUCCAGCAUCAUCUUCGUGGCUACAUUCGCCACUGUACUCAUUUGCUCAGUCGUGGCUGCGGCCAUGGCAGCUCCUCCCGUGGCUGCGGCUCUGGCUGCAGCUACAGCUAUUCCGCUGGGAUCAAUGGGGAAAUGGGUUGACUCUCUGUGGAAAAACUAUGAAAAUGCACUCAAAGGACAGAAAGAAGUGAUCAGUUCGAUGCAGGCAGGGACAUUUGUGGCGGUAAAGGAUUUGGAUAACAUCAGGGUUCUGAUUGAACGGCUGGAGAUUGAGAUCAAGGGGAUGGUGAUGUGUGCGGAGUUCACAGUGGAGCAUGAAGCAGUGAGGAUUGGGAUUGCUGAGAUUAAGAAGAAGCUGGAGGUGUUUAAGAAGUGUGUAGAGGAGUUGGGGGUUCAAGCUGAUUUGUGUAGCAGAGAUAUAAGAAGGGCAAGGACUGUGAUACUGCAGAGAAUCAUUAAGCAUCCCAACCAUGGUAGUAGCAGCACCUGAAAAACACACACAAGGAAACAUAAAAGGAACAAUCAGUUCUUAUUCUUCAGCUUUGUGCUGGAAAUAAUAAAAUGUUUGAAAACUCUCUAUAAAGAAUAGUACAGAUUCUUUCUUGAGUUUAUUCUCAAUGUUUAAUAACUAAACUGCUGCAUUUCUGUAUUCUUUGAUGAUUGAAAACAAUGAAAUAUAAGUAUUUUAUUUUUUUUUAACGUUUGGACUAUUAGUAGGAGUUUAUAAUAUAAGAGUGAGCAGAACAUACUAAAGAAUACAACUAGAUACUAAUAGGAGAGUUAAUUAUUCAGUUCACCAGAGAACUAGACUUUAAUUUAACGAGAUAGGCCUUUAACUCUGGAACAGUCUAACUAAUAUCUUAGAUCCAAGUUUCUCCAAGAAACGUAAUCUCUGGUCUUAGCUUAGACAGAGCAACAGGUGUUUUCUUCUUCGCUUCAUUCUGAACUUCACUGAAAAAAUCAUCUCUUUCAGAAUCCAUGGUAGGAGCAAACGAGACAUUGCUCUGUUUUUCUCUGUUUGAAAAUAGGGUUCUGUAUCUCUCUAAGUAUCUGAGAACUCUUGUUUAGUGGAUCAGUCUUAUUCAAAUACGCCUUUUCAUCACGCAGGAAUCGCUUCUGGUAGCACGGGUAACCGAGUAUAGAUAGCUGAGAAGUUUGAUCGCUUCCUUAUUGAGUCAUACAUAGAAGACAACAAGAUGGUCGUCAAGUGGUGUCCAAGCACUCCUCAUUGUGGGAAUGCAACUGAAAUGAAGCUCAACUCAAAUCCUGUGUUUUGUCCAAAUGAUCUCAUAGCAGAAAAAGAUUGCCUAUAUAUCUGAUUAAUCAUUUUAUGUUCUUAUAGUUUUUAUACAACUCUAGUUAUGGCUUAUUUUUCCUUGUACUAAACUAAAUACAUAGAUCUCUUGUAUUUGCCUCUUGAUGAUGCCUUUGAGAUGUAAACUUGCAAGUGAAGAGAGUUAUUUAUUAGUGGUUAACUUGAUAGAUCAGUGUUUACCGCUUCAUAUAAAAUGUAAGAUAUUAUUCCAUCAAUUUAAAUGUUGGAAGCAACAGAACCAGUCAGAAACGUUUGGCUCAAAUUUUAAUACAACUGUUGGAUAUAUAUGGGAUUAAAAGAGGUCUAAUAGAGAUUCUAGUUUCCAGUCUUUGAUAAUAACUUAUAUGAAAAAACAGGUUCAUCAAAGUUUUGAGCACCAUGAGAUUCAAAUGAUGUAUGUAUAAUGGUACCAACUCAUAAAAAACUUGUUUACGUUAAGUUUGAAGACAUAAUUAAGAUGUUAAACAUAAGAUACAAAUAUGUAUGAAGAACAAGAGAUAUAUUUGGUAAGUAGAAAGCCAAUCGAAUAUAGAUAAGCAUAAAUAGUUAACAAUUAACAAUAGUGGAAACAUGCCUAAACUCAUUUGCCUAAUAUUAUCAAGUGGUUUAUAAUAGUCUUUUGAUAUAAAUAUAUGUUUGAUCAAAAUUUUGAUAUUUUUUAUGGACAUAUAAAGUGUUAUGGCCUUGUCCUUGUGGGACAAGGACAACAAAUGCUUUGACAAUAUGGUACAUUCGUUUAAUUAUCUUUUAACAAAACAAAAGAUAUUUUUAGGCAGUAAAGCUAUGUGAAAUGAGCUAUGGAGGAGAAUCAGGAGAUUUAACUAUCUUAGGCUUGCGUGCCUAAUAUUCCAAUGUAUCUACAAGACUACAACCUCAAAUACAUUUUAACAAAGAAUGUGUUCAUUCAAUGUACGUGUAUUUAGAUAUACUCACGAAAAAAUCAUAGAAGCUUCCUCUAGUAACAACCACGUGUGAAGCACCCCUCCACAUAUCACAUAAUGAUCACUAGUCUUUUGAUAUUUCGUUUGUGUAUAUAAGUGUGCAUUAAUAAGUUCAUUUAAUUAAACAAUCCCUCAAGAUGCUCUAGACCCUUCAAUUUCUCGUCAAAAUAUCUAUCCAUCUUUGCCAACCAAAAUCUACAAACAUAAACACACAAAUUAUCCCUCAACUUUCUUAUUCAUAGCAACCACAAAACUCUUAAAAAAACCUCCCUAUAAACAAAAAUAAAAGUUGGAAGAGAUUUUAUCAUUAUUCUAUAACCUUCUUUCUUUUUUAAAUCAAAACAUAAAUUUUACUUUUGCGGCAAAGAUUUGAAAGAAAGAGAUGAGGAACGAAACGGGUGGUACCAUGGUCGUUGAUCUCCAAGCCGAUCCAUAUACCAUUAAUCACCAUCCCUACGAUCUUUGCGACAAUGGUCGCAAACCGAGGCCAUUGAAAGCUGACCACGACGGAAUAUGCCUUCCUGAAGAUCCCAGCAUUAAUAGUGACACCAACCUAACUCACCAGCGGUUUAGCAGCGUCUCAUCAUCGAUCAUGAGCAUCGGUCCGAACAGCGGAGAAGGCUCUCCUUGCGUAAUGUCUCCUUGGGCCCGUGUGUCGCCACCUUGGCCUGCGGAUUUUAAUGAAGACAAUUCUUUAGAGACCAUUGGUCUCAUUGGCUCUAUUGUACGUGAAGAAGGGUAUAUAUACUCGCUAGCCGCUUCUGGUGACCUUCUCUACACGGGCUCGGACUCUAAGAACGUUAGGGUUUGGAAGAAUUUGAAAGACUACGCCGGGUUUAAAUCAAGAAGUGGGCUCAUUAAGGCUAUUGUGAUAUGUGGAGACCGGGUCUUUACCGGCCACCAAGAUGGUAAGAUCCGGAUUUGGAAAGUUUCUACAAGAAAACCGGGUAAACACAAACGGGUUGGAACGUUGCCAACGUUUAAAUCGAUGGUCAAGACCACCGUGAACCCUAAGAAUAUCAUGGAGGCACGUCGUAAUAAAAACUCCAAGAAAAAGAAGCAUAAGGACGCUGUGUCGAGUCUUAGCAUGGACGUGGAGGUUGGUUUGUUGUACUCGAGUUCUUGGGAUAGGACGAUCAAAGUGUGGAGAAUCUCGGACUCAAAAUGUUUGGAAUCGAUACAAGCGCAUGAUGACGCGAUAAACUCGGUGAUGUUCGGUUUUGAUGACUUGGUGUUCACGGGAUCUGCGGAUGGUGCGGUUAAAGUGUGGAAACGUGAGAUGCAAGGCAAAGGAACUAAGCAUGAGUUGGAACAAGUUUUGCUCAAGCAAGAAAACGCGGUAACCGCAUUGGCUGUGAUACCGAAGUCUUCUAUGAUAUAUUCCGGUUCCUCGGACGGUUUGGUGAACUAUUGGGAACGUUCGAAAGGUAUAUUCAUCGGUGGAAUACUCAAAGGGCACAAGUCCGCCGUGUUAUGUCUAACAGUAGCGGGGAACUUGUUAUUGAGUGGGGCUGCUGACAAGAACAUAUGUGUCUGGACGCGGGACCCGUCUGAUGGGUCUCAUCAAUGUGUGUCUGUUUUGACGGGGCACAUGGGACCGGUUAAGUGCCUAGCCGUGGAGGAGGAACAAGCUUACCGUAAAGGAGCAAAAGCAUCUGCGGAUACUGAGGGAGACAGGAAGUGGAUUAUAUAUAGUGGAAGUUUGGACAAGUCGGUGAAAGUUUGGCGCGUGUCGGAUAGGAUGGGGACGUGGAGGGAAGUGGACGAGCCAUCAGCAUCUUCCGGGAGGAAGAGCUCUUUGUCUCCGCACGAAGGGAGUGGCGCGUGGAGUUCAUGUGAUUUGGGAAAAUAAAAAAGGAGUGUAUUGGAGUAUAGUGUGAUUAUUUACGAAGAUGUGUAUCACUAUCAGUCACGAUGACCAUCGUCACGACCGGGAAAGAGAAAGAGUGGAAGAAGUGAGUUUCAAUAUCAUGACGUAGUUAACGAAGAAGUCGUUUGGGCUAAGUCAGCUAGUUAGGGGGAGUCAAAGUCUGGUUCAUGGUUUUCACGUAAUGAGUUUUACUUCCCUUUUUUUUUUUUUUUUGCUCCAAAUGAAAAUGUUUACAAAUGAAAUUUAUACUAUUUACCUUUUCCCCAAAUUUGUAAAAUAUAUUAAAAAUACUGAAUCAAACAUGUGUGCUGUCUUUGUUUUCUGUAGUAUCGUGGUUGCAACUUUAUAGUUUGAUAUUUUUGUGAGACGUGGUUUUAUUUUCGUUAGGGUUUAUCUUUUUUUUUUUGUUUUGGCAACAGGUCUUGACAACUUAAACAUGUUGUAAGAGGCUGUUAGAAAAUCUUUCUUUCAUUUUUCUUUUCUUUUUGUGCUUGCUUUUGGAGAACAAACAUAUAUAUAUAAAAUGUCACCAAGACACAAAGCAAACUAAGUUCAUGGCAUCAUUUGGUAACUGAACCAAAAGGAUUGUUUGUCAGGAAUGAAAUUGUAACCCGUUUGAAGUUUUGUUGUGCAAAGUGGGUUCUUGUAAAGAUAAUGUCUCGCUAACAUGUUAAAAUUUAAACAUCAAUUUUUUUUUUUCACUAAACCUUUUUAACAAAUCUGAAUAUUUUUAAAUUAACAUGUAGCCAGCUAGGCAGCUAUCACCACCAAAUUAUAUCCACCGAAAGUCGUUGGAACUUUAUUAAUGCAAUUACCAUUUAGACUUAAUCAUUUGAUACAUACACAUUACUAAUCGCAUAAAGUUUAUAUCAUGGUUAAAAAUUCAAACUACAACAAUUAAUGGAAAACAAACAUAAUUCACAAUAAUGAAAUUAUGAAACUAAUAAUUUCGUAAUCAAUCAAUCAAUCAAUCAGUAAACCGAAAACAAUUCCACAGCCGAAUCAUUCACAUGUAUAAAGAUCCGGUUUCCUAAGAACCGCGUAAUUCCGGUUAUUCGAGAUGGUUAUUAGAAAUGAAUACGGUUUAACGAAACUUGCCCUCUCUUUGACCCUUUCAACUCCCAACCCGCGUUGACGACGAGAAUUUUCCCGGAAAAAUAACAUUCAAUAUCCAUUUUCUUUUGGUGCAGAGAAAAGAAAUACAAAGAGAAAAGUCUUCAUCUUUUGUCGUCUACUACUGAGAGAGAGAGAAGACGAUCCAACCAUCUGUCUUUCUUCUUUUUGUUCACUCCUGCAACUCCCUUUUCUCCCGUCGCCAAAAAUCUCAUCCUCUUUGCAUAAAAAUUCAAACUUUGUCCAUUUCCUUUAGCUAAAAGGAGCUUUUAUGUAACCAAUUCGAUAUCUCUCCGGAGAUGGGUUCUUCUUCCUCACGCGAUUCGCAUCUUUCAUCUUAAUCUCUCUGUGAAUUCAAUAGUUUCCGGUUUAGGAAAGUUUAGGAAUUAGGGGUUUCUUGUGCUAAUUUUGGAAAGAAGAUGGCUACUAUUCUAAGCAAGUUUUCACCUUUACCAUUACCAAUCCCUAAUGAUGAUGACGAUGAGUUUAGUUAUAGUUUCCAGACUGAUAUCUCAUUCGCCGACGAGUACACAGGCCCUAGUAUUGCUAAUGUGCCACGAGCUAACCCUCUCGAAGUCGAUGAGAUUCCUACAGCUCAUCCCGUUUCUUCCUCUAACUUGUCUAGUGGUCUCUCUUACCCUGUGGUCCAGCCACUCGUUAGUGCUAAUAGAGUCACCAAGAAGAAGAACGGUUUGGUUGAUUCUGAAGCUAGUCCUAGUGUGGUUUUGAGACCGCAUCAUGUGGUUUCUGGCUCAUCAUCAUCAUCAUCAGAGAGGUUGGAUGUAGCAGAAGACGAUAAAAGUACAGUUGAUUUACAGUUAUCACCGUCCCCAUCAUCAUCUGGAGAAGUAAGAGAGGAUACAAUAGAUGAUUGUACCAGUGAAGUGAAUGCAAACCGUGUGAGAUUCGUUAGUGAAUGUGAUGAAAGCUCUUACAUGACCGAUGAGGAGAGUGUAGCUGCAAUACCUAGAGCUGAGAGGAAAGGCAAGAGAGGGUCGUGUUACCGAUGCCUGAUGGGGAACAGGUUCACUGAGAAAGAAGUCUGCAUUGUCUGCGACGCCAAGUACUGUUCAAAUUGUGUGAGGAGAGCCAUGGGUGCUAUGCCUGAAGGAAGAAAGUGUGUGACUUGCAUUGGUCACAGAGUCUCUGAGUCCAAUAGAAAGAGUCUCGGAAAGUGUUCGAGAAUGCUGAAGCGGGUGCUCACUGAUUCAGAGCUUCAGAAAGCUAUGCAUGAUGAGGUUACCUGCAAGGCGAAUCAGUUGUAUGCGCGGCUUAUCUCUGUCAAUGGAAGGCCUUUGAGUGAGGAAGAGCUUGACAGGUUGCAGACUUGUCCAAAUCCACCUAAGAAGCUUAAACCUGGAGACUAUUGGUAUGAUAAGCUUGCUGGCUAUUGGGGAAAGGUAGACCUUCUUGUAUAUAUGUAUUCAUUUGUAUUCAUCCUCAGGGUUUAUAUGUUUGAAUACUCAGCUGAAUCAGAGGUUUCUAUGUAUCUAUUACAGGUAGGAGAGAAGCCUUGUCAGAUAAUAAGUCAUAACAUGAACAUUGGAGGUGCCAUCAUGGAGAAAGCAAGCAAUGGUGACACUGAGAUUUUUAUUAAUAGCCGGGAAAUAACCAAGACAGAGCUCAUGAUGCUAAAGGUAUACCUUAAGAGCUAGUGUUAUUGUUCUCCUUCUAAUUCAUCAUUUGUUACUGAGUGCCUCUUUGCUUUGAUGUAGAUGGUGGGGGUGCAAUGUGAAGGAAAGCCUCAUUUUUGGGUCGACGCAGAUGGAACUUACCAAGAAGAAGGUCAGAACCGUAUCAUGGGGAACAUCUGGAGUAAGGUAUGAUUUGUAGAGCACAUGGGCUUUGAGGUUAAUAUAAAUACGGGUCUAAGGGAUUGUAAAAUUCGUUUUGUUCUCUUAAGUUUUUUUGCUUUCUUCAUAACAUAAUCUGUAUACAACUAUGGAUGUUUUUCUCAGAAAAGAGGUAGGCUUGCUUGUGCUGUGCUCUCUCUACCGUUUCCUCAAACUUCAUCUGCAGUAGAACCAAGUGAUGAACCCACCAUAUAUAACCCGAAAAUGCUUAACAGGCUUCUUCUUAUUGGUAACGAGAAAUGUGGCGCCACUACCAUUUACAAACAGGCGAGCUAUUCAUACUCAAAAUGUGUUUUCACAUAUCUGGUAGAGAAUCUUGGUAUUGACUUCUUUUGAUUUCAGGCAAGGUGUCUCUAUGAAGUCCCAUUCACUAAAGACGAGCGUGAGAGAAUCAAGUUCAUAAUCCAAACAAACCUCUACGCUUAUCUCGCUACGGUCCUUGAGGCACACGAAGAAGAGAUGAACACUAACCAGGCUGAUACGGAAGGCGAGACCAGUUCUGAAACAGUUAGCUCAAUGAGUCCGAGGCUUAAGCAUUUUUCAGAUUGGCUUCUGAAAGAAAAGGAAGAAGGAAACCUCAAGAUCUUUCCAGCAUCAAGCCGUGAGAAUGCACAAACCGUUGCAGAUCUAUGGAGAGUACCAUCCAUUCAAGCUACAUACAAGAGACUUCGCCAUACACUUCCUAGAAACGCUGUUUAUUUUCUUGGACGAGUAAGAUUUUUUGCAUUUCAAAUGCUUUCUUUGUUCUGCAACCUAAACUUGUUAAGAGGACUAACCUUGUUUCUACUGAACAGAUUCUUGAGAUCUCGAGAUCAGAAUACGAUCCUUCUGAUAUGGAUAUAUUGAAAGCUGAAGGACUGUCGUCUACGGAAGGACUUUCUUGUGUGGACUUCUCGUUCCCAUUAACCACUCAAGAAGGCUCUCUUGAGGAUGAUUAUCACCACGAUCCAAAGAUGAAGUUAGUUCUAUUCUUUUUCCUUGCGUUGAGUUUUGACUAGGCCUGCUGGUUCGGAUAGUUCGGGUAGUUCAGUUCAACACAAAUCUUACCGAAUUAACCUAAAAUAAAUUUCAGUUUGGUAUUCGGUUAGUUCGGUUUUUGAAAAUCCUACCGAAGUUUUUGAUUUCAGUAUAUUUGGUUUCAUGUUUCAUUCUGUUAAAAUUUCAGAUGAGUUUGGUUAAUUUCGGUUAGUUUGGUUUGAAAUUUGGUUAGUUCAGUUAGAAAUUUGGUAAGUUCGGUUCUAGUUUUCGGUAUGGUUUGGCUAUUUUUUUUAAAGAAAAUCAAAGUAACAGAUUUCCGAACCGAAAACCGAUUUUUUUUUUUAAAAAAGCUACCGAAUCAAACCAAAUUCCUACCCAAACUAACCGAAAACUUCGGUUUGGCGGGUUCGGUUCGGUUCAAAAUCCCAGCAUACGAGAAACCGUUGGUACUUACUCUCUAUCCCUCUGUUUUAGGUACCAACUCAUCCGGUUAAAUCACAGAAGCCUUGGAGAAAACUGGAAAUGGCUGGAAAUGUUUGAAGACGCUGACUUGGUGAUAUUCUGUGUCUCACUAACAGAUUACGGAGAGUACAUAGAAGAUGUUGACGGGGUUCUUGUGAACAAGAUGAUUGCAAACAAGCAGCUCUUUGAGAGCAUGGUGACUCACCCGAGCCUAGCUAACAAAAGGUUCCUCCUGCUUCUAACCAAAUUUGAUCUCUUAGAAGACAAAAUCGAGGAGGUUCCUCUAAGAAACUGUGAGUGGUUCGAAGACUUCAACCCGUUGAUCAGCCAAAACCAGACGAGUAGACACAACCCUCCGAUGGCUCAGCGUGCUUUCCACUACAUAGGGUUUCAGUUCAAGAGGCUGUAUGACUCGCUUUCGAUGCGUAGAAGGAGCUUUAAGCCUAAGCUGUUUGUUUCUCAAGUGAGUUUGGAGAGUGAUUCUGUGGACAAUGCAUUGAGGUAUGCGAGAGAGAUUCUCAAGUGGCAUGUUGAAGAAGGAUCCAUUUUUCAAGAGACCUCCACUACUAGCUUUGAGGCCAGCUUAUCCUCUUGAUUCUUCCAAAAAAUUUUAAAAAAUUUCUUUAUUAAUUCUUGUAUGUAAUAUGUUUGUAUGAUGUGUGUGUGCGCGCAAUAGUUAAUCUUCACGAGUAGGAGAAGAAACAUACAUGUGAUUUGAUUUGUCUGAGAGGAGGAAUAAAGUGAUUAUAGUUAAGGAUUUAGUCUUUUUUUGAAUGAAUGUCAAAUUAGUGCAAAUAAAAAAAUCAUUUUUACAAUGGCUGUAACUGUUUUGUUUUAAGAACAAAAAAAACAGAGCAUGUAAACAGAGCUUUUGAAGAUUCGGUCUUUAAACAUCAAUGUGAAAGGCAUUUUACACACAUAUUCAAUCAUGUCUCCAACUUGCUGAUCAAUAUUUUGAGAUAAGAACAUAAUAUAUAAUGUAUUAGCUAAUGGAGGAGUCACUUAAUGUUUCAUUAGCAAAUCUAUUAGGCUUUUGAGGCUUGAGGUUGGCCUUUUCUCCCACGUAGCUCCCGUAUGAACCAUCAUCAUCAUUACAAGUUCAAGGUUAAAAGAUAUAUAGUUUUGGAGAAUGGCAUCAGUGAUUGCCUUUAUUAGAAGAUGAAAAUCUUGUAUCAAAAAAAAAAUAUCUAAAAAAAAUCAAUAAAGAUAUUAUAUAAUUGUUGCUCAAAAAAAAAGAAGAUAUUAUAUAAUUAGAAGCUGAAACAUUCUUAAAAUGUGGCAAGUCUUCUGACAUGGUUCAUCAAUAUAUGGGAAAGAAUCGAUAUAAAUAUACUAAAAGCACUUGCAUACAUCUUAGGCAUGCAGCUGCAAAAAGUUGAUUUUAAAUUGAAAAAAUAACAGAGAGAAGAGAUAAAAGUAGGAUAGUAGUAUGUUGGGUAACCUUGGUUGUAUCUGUACGAACGAAAACAAAUUUGGAAAGUUUAUUUCUUUGACCAAACUAAGACAAGACACGACACAAAUCUCACCUACAUGCAUAAGAAAGUGAAACCAAAUAAGUCCCUAACUAAACUAACUUAUCUGGUUAAGCAAAAGAAAAAGGAAAGAGAUGGAAGUACAGUUUGAUUGUAACGUUAUCAACUGAUGAAAAGAGAUACACACACAAGUACUUUCUUUGACCGUAAUAUAUCAAGACUUAUGGGUCUCUUUUGAAAACUGUUUUGGUAUCAAACUGUUCUCUCUCUCUCUCUCUCUCUCUCAAUCUGUCUUCUCUCACUCACACGGUACUAGCAUCCUCCAACAAUGGCUGAAGACGAUACUCCUCCACGUUUCUUUAAAGUUUUCAUCUCCCAUCACAGCUCAGAUUUCAUGGUAACAUGUUUGAUCUCUCUUAGCUUUACUAUAGUUUUGGUUUCUUUGACUGCAACUACCUUGGAAUAUUGAUCUUCCUUUGAAGCUUUCUGUUUCUUACUCUUUGAUUUCCUCUGUUUUGAGUAGUAAAAAGUUGUUUCACUUUUACUUUUGGAGAAAGUAAAAGAUGUUAUGUGUACAUAUAAAUCAGUUUUUGUUCAUGGACUUUGGUACCAGAGAGUUGAUUUGCUUGAAUAUGAUAGUUUUACGCAGAUUUGUUCCUUGGCUACCAUGUCUUACUGUUGAAGCUCGUAACUCUGCUUACCAUAUUUAGGCCCAUAUAUAUAUGAUUUUAUCUGCCUAAUUAAAGGUUCAAAAAACUUCUGUUUGUGGAUACCCUCUGUUACAAAGAGAGGGUUUACUUCUAAAUUGGUUUAGGAAGUCUAUAUCUGUGUGUGUGUGUGUGUGUGUGUGUGUGUGUGUGUGUGUGUGUUUUUGUUUAUCUCAUUAAGUUAACCCUUUUUUUUUUUGCUAAACAUUUUUUGUGUUCUCCAGAUGAUUCCCAUUUCCUACAACGAUGAACUGCCAAGAACUUUACCCAAAACAGCCAUUCUCCAAGGAACUGGUGGGUGUUUUUGGAAAGUUGAGAUGAAGAGGAAGAGAGAUGAGGUGCAUUUUGGAAAAGGAUGGAACAAAUUUGUUACGGACAACUCUCUUACGGACGGAGACUUUCUGACCUUUGUUUAUAACGGAGCCAACGUUUUCGAGGUCAGCAUCUACGGCCUUGGUGGAUGUAAGGAGAUGAGAGCAGUCAUUGAAGUUGAAGAGGUCAAAGAAGACAGUGUUGUGUCUUUAAGCAGCACAGACUCAGACACUAGUUCCAAAUCCGAGGUGGCCAAUACAAUCAGCAAGAACAAAGGUCAAGUUUUAACACAUUGUUCUGCUUUAUACACACAAAGCUGUUUUCUUAUUUUGUGAUUAAUUUUUUCAGGGAAGUCGCAAGUGGUAGAAGUUGAGGAUGAGUCUGAAGAGGCUGAGGCUGAGACAUGUUCUGAGUCCACUGUGGCUAAAACAACCACGGGAAGCCGAAACAAAGGUUUAACUCUUUUCAUUAAUUAGUACUUUGGUUGUUGUAUGUGAUUUGCUUGAAAUGGACAAACACAAGCCACUCUUGUUUGUUGGGAUUUUUUUUCCAGGAAAGAAGAAAGAGAAAGUUGUGGGGUCUUCUAAUGAAGACAGUGACAGUGAUUAUACUGAAGCGAAUGAUGACAGUGAAAGUGAUGAUACUGAAGCUUCUGAUCAGUUGAAUGCAUUUAGUGAGAGUUCUAAUAAUGUGGCACAGCCAAAAAAGAAGAGGGAGAGAGGUUAACUCUAGUUAAGCUUAAUUUAAUUACUUUUUACUCUAGUAUUGGUCAUUAGUUAAUGUGAUGCUUAUAUACAAAUGUUUCAGUAACGAUCAAGAAGAUCAAAGACCCAGAGAAAUAUUUGGUUGAUCCAAAGAAUGUGUUCUUUGAGACAAACGUGAAGAAUAGGCCAUAUGAGCUGGUAAGAAUCGCAAUAUAUAAAACUUUUAAAAUUGAAUUUGCUUAAUUAUAUUGACGUUUUUUUUUUUGCUUUGUGACUGCAGUUGGUUAGUGCACAACUAGUGAAAGACUAUGACUUAAAGUUCAAGAAGUUGGUUUACUACACUGACUAUCACAAGGACGGGAAGCUACAAGCGAAGACAACAAAAUGGAAGGAUAAUCGCGUUUGUAUCAAAAAAUGGAACCGCAUAUGCAAGAGGAACAAGUUGAAGAAAGGAGAUGGCAUAUUGUGUGAGCUUAAGCGCAAAGAGGGUUUUGUUUACGCCGUUAGAAUCCAUAUCGUUUGUGAAAAGGAUUUGUAAACAGAGUGAGUAGUACUAGGAGGAGAACUUGCAGUUCGAUUACAUGAGCUUGUCUUUUAAUUUUAUGUUGUCUAUUAGUGCAGUUAUGAUGUUAUGUUUGAGUGUUGUAGCAGAAAUUUUUAUAUUUUUGUUUUUGUUUUUUGCUAGUAACGUAUGCAACUUUGAACUCGUAGACUAUUUUUUCCAUCGUUUUCAGUUUUUAUAAUAUUUCCUGAACUUCUAGAUAUAAUCUUGACUUAGUUUUGAGUUAUCCUAGAUUUUGACCUGCGCUUCGAAAAACACGGAUUUUUGAGUUAUAAACUAAGUUGGAUAUGAAUUAGUAUAUUAGUUUUGUUAGAUAUUAUAUGUUAUAAAAUUGUAUUAUAUCGAAUAAGAAAUUUUGUUUAAAAUUUUAUAAUUUAUGAAUUGAUUUAUUUGAGAUUUUGUGCGUACAAUUUUAUGUAAAUUUCUCUUAGGCAUAAUAGUUUUAACCGUUUUCGAUUUGUCAUUCAAAAUUAAUUAACUACCAAUCUUAUUAUAUAAAGCUUGGUUAUUCAAAGUUACUAAUUAACAUGACGAUGACACAUGACAAUUAAAAAUUUAAAAAGAUGACAUGUGUUAAAAUCUAUCAUAAUUAAUAAUAUAAAUAUAAUAAGAUAAUAACACAAAAAAAUUAUUUAAUGGUAAUUUUCCGUUUUUUAAAUACUAAACAAAAAUAAUAAUCGCAAAAGAUUAUUUGAUGGUUUUUAGUUGACAAUAAUUUCUCUCUUAAUUAUUUGUAGUCGAACUAGGCCUAAGUCGAACUUAAUUGUAUUGUUUUAAUUUCAUUGUACCAAUGACUAUCAUUAAAAAAGUAGUUGGGUAAAAUGUAUUGAGAAUCUGAGAUUAUUAAAUUUCCGAACUUUCUAAUUUUAAAAAGAAAAAAAAAAGUGUCAAAGAAAUUGAACUACAUCUGAUCCACUUGAUGCUAAUUAAUUUCUUACUUGUCCAGUAAGAAAUCAAAUAAUUAAAAAAUUUCACUCCUUCCCAUUUCACUAUAAAUACGACACCAUGCUCUCGUCUCCAACAUAACAAAAACACAAUCUUCAGUUCCAAAAAAAAAAACAGAGAGAAAAGAUACGAGCCAUAGCGAUCUUCGCUCUCGGGUUAUGUAUCCUCGACGUGGCCAGGGACACUCUCCAAGGACCUUGUCGUGCUUUCUUGGCCGACUUAGCCGCAGUAGACGCUAAAAGAACGCGAGCCGCAAACGCGUUUUACUCUUUCUUUAUGGCGGUUGGAAACGUUUUGGGAUACGCGGCUGGUUCUUAUACGAACCUACACAUAAUGUUCCCGUUCGCGAUGAUAAACGCUUGCGAUACCUAUUGUGCUAAUCUCAAAAGCUGCUUCCUCUUGUCUAUAAUACUCCUCCUCAUCGUCACCGUCACGUCUCUUUGGUACGUUAAAGACAAGCAAUGGUCUCCCCCGCCGGUGAACCCGGACGAGGAGAAGACUGUGAGUGAUGAUCCUUCCACUACAAGAAAACACAAGUUUAACGAGGAAAAUUAACGAGGAAAAAUAAUCCUCGUAAAAAUACGUCGAUUUUGCGAAGAAAUUACGUGGAAAAAUAAAAGCAUCGUUAUUUCCUCGUAACGUUACGACAAAAAAGUUUCGUCGUAAAGAUGAUGUAAAUUGACGUGGUUUUUACGAGGAAACACUAUUUCCUCGUAAAUACGACGUAAACUUUGUGAGUUCUUUAAAAUUAGUUUACGUGUACUUAACGAGGUAAUUUUGAAUCCACCAUCAAGUUAGCUUCCUUCCAUACCCUCGGAUGAGAGAUUCGGGUAUAAAUUGGUUAGCCGUGAUCAAAGUUACACCUCGAGGACGAAUCAUCAGUGGAGAAAAACCACCACUGAAAAAAGAACAGAUAAAUGAAGUCGAGAAACCUGAACAAGAAAUUGAUGACAUCCUUCUCAUUGAUCCGCAUAAUCACGAGUACGAAGAUCUUACCGACGAUGCCACAGACAAAGCUGUUGAAGACGAGUUUAAUGAAAAUGAUGAUGUUUCUAGUGAUGACGAGAAUGUUGAUGUAUCCGAUUGAUGUAUUUGAUUUUGUGUAGUUUGUUUUAUGAAUAAGAUAAUGUGGGAGUUUGUUUUAUGAAUAAGGUAAUGUGAGAGUUUGUUUUAAUUAUGAAUAAGGACUUAUGGUUUGGAAUGGAAAGAAUUGAUUGAGGUGAAAGAAUAGAUUGAGGUUCAAGGGUAGAUGGGUUUGGGGUUUGGAAUAUAUGAAGUAGAAGAUAAAGAAGAUGGGGUUUGAGGUUUGGGGUUUCAGAUUUUAGGGAUUUAAACGUAAUACUCGUUAAUUCCUUGUAAAAUAGCAUGGAACUUACGACGAAAUGUAAAAUAAAGAACGCGGGCCAUGCUAAUUCCACGUAAGCCAAAAUCGUCGUAAAGGAGUCGUAAAGACACGAGGAAAUUACGACGAAAUUAAAAAAAAUAAAGAAAGCGGGGCACGCUAAUUCCACGUAAGACAAAAUCGUCGUAAACGAGUCGUAAGCCAACGAGGAAAUUAUGACGAAAUUAUAAAAACUAGAAAAAAAGAAGAGAAGAAAGAUACUGGAAUCACAUGUGGCUAGACUUACGUUAGUCUCACCCACAUGAGUUCCAAUAUCUUCUUCUCCUCCUUUUUUUUUCAAAUAUUUCUAAUUUGAAAAACAUUUUGGUGAAAAGCGGGACUCGCUAAUUCCUCAUAGUAUAAAAACUAGAAAAAAAAAGAAAAGAAGAAAGAUUAUGGAAUCACAUGUGGCGAGACUUACGUACGUAAGUCUCGCCCACAUGAGUUCCAAUAUCUUCUUCUCCUCUAUUUUUUUCAAAUAUUUCUAAUUUGGGAAUGUGGGAAUUGUGAUUUAGAAUGGAAAUAAAGAUGAGGUUUGAAAUAUAUGAAGUAGAAAAUAAAGAAUAUGGGGUUUGGGGUUUCGGAUUUUAGGGAUUUAAACAUAACACUCGUUAAUUCCUCGUAAAGCGACGUCGAACUUACGACGCGGGCCUCGUAAAAGACUCGUAAGAAAGCGAUGAAAUAUAACGAUGAAAUAAAAAAUAAAAAAAGCGACCCCCGUUAAAUCCACGUAGGCUGAAAUCGUCGUAAAUACCACGUAGGAGAAAAUCGUCGUAAAUACCACGUAGGACGAAAUCGUCGUAAAUACCACGUAGGACGAAAUCGUCGUAAAUACCACGUAGGAUGAAAUCGUCGUAAAUACCACGUAUGACGAAAUCGUCGUAAAUACCUCGCAGUGUAAAAACUAGAAAAAAAAACAGAAAAAGGAGAAAGAUACCAGAUUCACAUGUAGCAAGACUUCCAACAAUUAUAAUGGUAAGUCUCGCCCACAUGAAUUCUAAUAUCUUCUUCUUUUCCUUUUUUUUCAAAUAUUUAUAAUUUGAAUAGGAUUUUCCUGAGGAGUGUGAUUUGAGAUAGGGUGUGAUUUGGGAGUUUGUGUGUGGGUUGAGAAGGAGAGUUACGGGUAUAUUUAUAGGGAAGCUUUCCUCGGUAAUUCCACGUAAGCGAAAUCGUCGUAAUGUCCUCGUACCUAAAAAACACGGGCCUUUGUAAUUCCUCGUAACUUCCUCGUACGAUAAAACGCGGGCCUUUGCAAUCUCUCGCUGUUUCGUCGUAAAAAAAAAACACGGGCCUCUGUAAUUCGUCGUAAAAUUACGAGGAAUUUGCGACGGUAUGUAAUCUUAUAUAUACCCCCGAGCGCUCACUCUUUCUUUCCUCUCUACUUCCUCUCCACUUCCUCCAUGUUUCGUUGCAAUGGUAAGCCUCUCUAAUUCCUCUCUAAUUUGGUUAGUUUAGGUAGAUUAGGUGGUUAGUAUAGGGAAUUUAGAUAGGUUUAAGGAUCUUAUGUUAUUUAGUGUUGAUUAGGUGGAUAAUGUUGGAAAAUAUACUGUUGACGAAAAUUUAAAAAAUUAAUUUUUUUUCUCAGGUUCGAAAAGGUAGACUUACUGCCCAUUACAGAGAGAUGUUUGGUGAGCCGGGUAGUCGUUUAGACCCGUCGUCUUCUUCAGCGCCCGGUUCUUCGGGUCAGGAGACUGUCCCCGAGACUCAGUACACUCAGAGAGUAUAUUUUCUAAAAUUUUAAUUUUUUUUAUUAUUCAUUUAAUUUAACUUUAAAUUUUUACUAACAAAAUUUAUUUUUUCUUUUUAAGGUUGUCCCUAAAAAAAAGGGACGGACGUUGGGGAUUGGUUCCGUCAACAAUGUUCCGAGAGUGACAUCGUCUUAUGGUCAGCGACGGGAUGAUGAAGUCUCUCAGCUGCGUAGGUAGUCCGAUGAGUUGCGUAGAGAGUCUGCUGAGCUACGUCACGAGUUGAGCUCGACGUGAUCUCGUAUGGGUGGACUCGAGGGCUUCUUGGACGUUGUAGCGGCCAAAAAUCCGGAAUGGGAGACCUUGUUGAGGACCAUGCGACAACGAAAUCCUAUUCCAGGCGAGUCAACAUCCGACACACAUGCCAAGGCGGAUGUAACGGCGAGGAGUGAUGAAUUCUACCGGCGAUUAACGACCCUUAGUUCUUUUUAAUUUCGGUUCUUGUAUUAUGAAUUCAAAACUUAUUUAUAUAUAAAAUAUUUUGGUUUUGAUUUUUUUAGAAUUUUAAUUUUAUUAAUAAUUUAAAUUAUUUAAAUUAUUUUUUAAUUAUAUUUUUUUAUAUUUCUGUAAAAUAACGAAACGAAGUAAAUUCGUAGCUAAUUUUGUGACUUCUUUACGUCGAAGCUUAACGAGGUUUUUACGAGGAAAGGUUUACAAGGAAAUGACGUGGAAAUUUCCGUGGUCUUUACGAGGAAAGCUAUCAAGGUAUUUACGUUUACUUUACGAGUAUUUACUUUCAAGUUAUUUACGUGGGUUUUACGAGGAACGGCUUUCGAGGUAUUUACGAGGAAAUUUAGCGACGUCCUUACGUGGAAGCUUUACGUGGUCUUUACGACCAAAUAUUCUUCUUCGCUUUUACGGCGAAAUUAUUUCCUCGCUAUGUUACGACGAAUUAGCGAGGAUAUAUGCGUUACGACAAACGUAUAACGACGAAACGGGUUUCCUCGCUAAUUACUCGUAACACUGAUUUUACGACGAAAUCACGAGGAAAACUGCCCUCGUAAAACUUGUGUUUUCUUGUAGUGUUCCUUUGGAACGUAAUGGAACGUCCCAUGUGGAUGCUUUUGAUCGUCACGGCCCUUAACUGGAUCGCAUGGUUCCCGUUUCUUUUUCUCGACACUGAUUGGAUGGGUCGUGAGGUGUACGGUGGAAGUUCAGAAGGAGACGAUAGGAUGAAGAAACUGUACAACCAAGGAGUACACUCUGGUGCGUUGGGACUUAUGUUUAACUCUAUUGUUGUUGGUUUCAUGUCACUUGGUGUUGAGUGGAUUGGUCGGAAAGUGGGUGGUGCUAAACGGCUUUGGGGGAUUGUGAAUUUUAUACUCGCCAUUGGUUUGGUUAAUUAUGACGGUUCUUGUUACAAAGUUGGCGGCGGAUUACCGGAAAACCGCCGGUCCUUAUGCCGAACCGUCACCUGGUAUUAGAGCUGGAGCGUUGAGUCUCUUUGCUGUUCUUGGUAUCCCAUUAGCUGUAAGUAUUUCAGCUUUUGUCUUUUAUUGUGUUUUAUUACAUUUUAAUAUUUUGUCUAAAUAUAAUAUUAACCACAUCUUUUAUUUUUUACAGAUUACUUUCAGUAUUCCGUUUGCACUAGCCUCCUCCACAAUUUCAAGCAGCUCCGGCGCCGGCCAAGGUAAAUUUUAACCUUAAUUUAUAAUAUAUAUUUAAAAAUUCCCAUUAAUUUAGAAAUCCAAUUGUCUGCCAAUAUGUAUGGCCAGUUAGUUACCAUUAGGUAUGUUCAAACGUUUGAAUUGAAUACAUUAAUUGAGAGAUUUGUUUCCAACUUUAUUCAUAUCUGAUUGAAAUUAGUUUUUCCUUUUUUUUGCCAAGAAAAAUAAGGGAGUCAAAUUUUCUAAUGUUACUUUUUUUUUCUGAACACAUGUAACUUUUUUCUAAACAUUGUGUAGAUAUAACAACUAAAAGUUUAGAUUUAUCAAUAUCAUUGAAUUUCGUGGGAUUUAUUAACUUAGUGAUACUAAAUUGACAUCUUUAUUAUUAGUUCAGUAUCUUUUAAACAUUCAUUAAUUUCAUUUAGUAGCAUAAACGUUGAAAAAACGGUUUCAUUUCUAACAUAAAUAACUAAAUAAUAAUUUUGUUUACAUGAUUUUCUUUAGGAAUUUUAAAUGUGGCGAUUGUGAUACCACAAAUGAUAGUAUCACUGGGAGGAGGACCUUUCGACGCCUUAUUUGGCGGUGGAAACCUACCAGCAUUUAUUGUGGGAGCAAUCGCAGCGGCGACCAGUGGAGUAUUAGCGUUAACCGUUUUACCUUCACCGCCAUCAUCAAAUAACAAAAAAAAAGAAUGCAUAAAGUUAAAGUCUAAUAACCUUCGGUUGUCGAAAAAAAAGGUUGUAUGUAUUUUCACCCUUCACCUAGUUUAUUGUUCUUGUUACCGAUUAUCAAUUUAAAAUAUAUAUUUUUCUUACUGUUUGUUUGUUUGAUCGUUAGUAACUUGUGUCCGACUAUGGUAAACGGAAAACUACAGAAAAUAACUCUAGAAUAAGAAAUCAAUCCUGAUAAUUAAUUUUGUGACAAAUUGACAAUAUUUAAAACGUGAAGAAAAGGUUGCAAAGGGUAUUAUGAUUUUCGAAGCCCCAAAAAUAAUCAAACUUAGCCAGUAACCAUAUAAAUAUUACUACUGGUUACUCUAACAAAUAAUUAUUUGUUUGAUUAUAUCGAGCUUAUUUUUCUGGACCCAAACAAGUUGAUACAUUCCUUUAUAUUACAUGCACUCGAUCUACAUAAACUUCCUUUAUAUAUGAAAUGGACGGUUCAAGUUGCUUAGACAUUUAUUUAUAAAUAGUGAAUUAGGGUUGAUGAAUUAUGUCAUAGGCAAUGGAAAUAAACAUUAGAAAAAAGUAGAAGCUUUGACAUUUAUCAAUAAUCAACUAAGUAUCAAUGUUUAGUACUAAUCCACAGAAUCUAUAACUGGUUAGUGUAAGGAGAAAAAAAAAGAGAAGCUAAAGUGAAAAAGUAAUGACGCGGCGAGAUCAUGAAGGAAAACGUUAGUCAGCGCAAAAAAAAAACGUGUUAUAAUCAGUUUUGCACGUGCAGAACGUGCCUCUCUGCCUUUGGUAAGGCCUUUACUUCUCGUUUUUUUACCUCAACUUGUAUCGCAGCAUGCUGCCGUCCGAAGUCUAUCACAUACAAUUAGCAAAAAAAUGUUCUAUACGUUGCAUAAAAUGUUUUAUUUAUUAGCAUAUAUGGUUUAUACAUUAACAAAAAAUAUGUUUAUUCAUUGCAAAUAUGUUCUAUAGAUAAAAGCCCUUUGUCAAAAAAAAAAAAAGCUUUAUAGAUUACAAAAGUAAAUAAUGAUGCAUCAACCGUCAGCACGUUAAGUGCUAGAGUAAAAUAUUUGCACAGUUACAAUUAGCUAUACUAAAGUUUAUAGAAAACGUUAAACACCAAAAGCCUAAAUUCUAGUAUAUCAAGAAAAUACGUGCUAAAAAAAAAAUACGUGCUGGUAUUGUAUGUUUUGCACUAAAGGUAUAUUAAUAGUCGGUGAUAUUUUUAAAAAAUUGACAGUAAUAUUUUGUUCAUAUUCCUUUAUAAGAACCCAGAACUACUCUUUUGCCUCUAUGAUAUUCAGUAGAGUCAAUUAUGUGAUGUACUUGUUUAUAACUGGCUACGAGCCUACGACUAUGCGAGACAAAGUCAAAGACCAAAAGAUAGAAAGAAUAAUCAAAGGUCAGCGUGAAGAGAGUCUAGAAAGGGAAGACGUGGUGUGGUGGACUGGUGGGUCAACACUGUGAUAGAGUGACGUAAGAGCUUACUGAAUCAACAUGCCAGCUCAGCAUCAUGAUAUACAUUUCAAAUCAUUGAAACAUUUGACCCCAGAAGCAGUCAAACCUUCGCUUUCAUUCACAAACUUAAACAAGUUAGCUCAUUUUCCCUUCAUUUCUUUUCAUCUUUUUUUUUACAGAAAACAAAGGAAGAAAUUAUCCAAAGAAAGGUCGUUAUGUCUCAUGCUAGUUGAAUUUCAUAGGGCCUUAUUGUGUAAAAGGUUGAUUUAGUGUACAUGUGAUAAAUUACUAAUGAUAAACUAUUAUCCGGGGCAAAAAAUAUGCUAAUUAUUAUAGUUAGAACCGUAAACCUAAACAUAAAUGUUUUCAGUCCGGUCUUUCCUAAAACUCUCAAAAAUAAUUGUUUGCAAUAUGAUUUUUCUUAUUUAUAUGUUAAUAAAAUUCUUACCAUUUUAUAUACUCCUUCGAUUUCAUUUUAACUGUCAUUUUAGACUUGGACACACAAAAUAAUAAAACACUUAAUUUUGUAUAUUUACUAAAUAAAAUAAUUAUUACCACCGCAUUUCAACUAAUAGAAAAAUAGAUUAAAAUAUAAAAACAAUAAAUUUUUCAUUGAAAUCAUAAAACGACACUUAUUUUGAAGCGAAAAUUUUACUAUAAAAAGACAACUAAAUAGAAACGGAGGAAGUACAUAACUGACUAGUACAAUAAAUCAACUAUUCUAAUUGGAAAUUGAAACGGGAAUAGUGUACUAUAUAAUGAAUUGAAGUGAGACAAUGAAUGCACAUGCCAAAGGGUGGUGGGGAUGUGUAAAUCUUUAAAACAGUUCAAUUUGUUAAUGUUGCAAAGCCUAUAUAUAGAAAAGACACAACGUUAGAUUUUAUAGAUAUUUAACUCAUAUUCAGUUGAUGAUAAAUAGAUGAAUUUAUUUUAUGCAUAAUUUUAGAUUACAUCUUAUUAUAUAGAAUUAUCAACAUGUUCUUAGAUGAUGACUCCUAUAAUAUAUCUCGAAUCUAAUUACAUUUUAGAAUUGGCAAUAUUAUACCUGGAUCAAACAUGACUACAAGUCUACAAUACUAUGUUAAGUUUGAUACUUUUUAUUCAAAAUCAGUUAGUACUAACUCAUGUUCUUAUGUGUAAUAAUUUAGAUCUCAUCUCACUUCCGUUAGUGUUUUUUUUUGUAAGUUUGAUACUGCAAAUUGAUAAAUAACGUUGAAUCAUCAAGGUUAUAUAUGAAAGAAGUUCAAAAGCUCAGCAGUACACUGUUUUUAUGUGUGCUAUACUAAAGUUAACAGGUUUACUUUUUUCUAAUUUGUUCAAGAGCCUCAAACUUACCAUUGUUCAUGUCGACCACAAUGUUAUUGUAAUGUUACACAUGUCUAUUAGCAUAACCUUUAAAAAAUGUUGUUGGAUUGAUUCGUCGUACUAGAACUCAAAGUAUAAAAAGACAAAAGGUAGAUAGAUGUGGUAUUGAGUUUUGAGACGAUGGAUCUAGUCAUUUAGAAAGACAAAUUGAUUCCUACAAGGGAAAAAUGUGUAGACAAUGUAGAUAAUUGCCAAGUAGCAGAAAUAAUAAGUUAAAUAAUUGCACGUGAGUUAUUCUAAGCCAAUCAUUUACGUACCUAAGAUACUUAUCCCAUUUAAACCUGUUUAAAUUUAAAUGUCGACGGUGUGAAAACGAACAUAACGCUAUGUCAAUAAUUAAUUAACAAAUACACAAAAGCGCAGUUCACUUCUUAAAAAGCGUCUAUGUUGAUGAUAAUCCAAAACUUUAUAUUGUCAUAUGGUAUAAACCCAACCCCACCCCACCCCCCAAAAAAAAAACUAAAAUAAAAUAACAUUGUCGAUAACAAAAUAUUCGAGAAAAGAGAAGCACGUGUUUGCAAAAAAAAAAAAAAAAAAAAAACAAAAACAAAUCACUAAACGACCCCGUGUCUGAAGAGCGUGCCAGUUGGCAGCUGAACAAGCCACAAAAUUUUGAAAACACGGAACCGUAUAAAUAAGAGCAUUCUUUCCAAUUCAGUUUUCUCAGACCCAACAGAAAACAAAAACAAAUCAUCUUCAGGUGCUUCAACACUCACACACAGCACAGUUGACGAAACUCCAAGAUCAAAAUCACUCGACAAUGCAUUAUCCUAACAACAGACCCGAAUUCGUCGGAGCUCCAGCUUCAGACUCGACCCGGAACAGGUAUCAACAGAAGGAGCAGUUGUCACCAGAGCAAGAGCUCUCGGUUAUAGUCUCCGCCUUGCAACACGUCAUCUCAGGGGGAAACGAUACGACGCCGUAUCAGGGAUUCUCAAGCAAUAGCACAAUGAUAAGCGCGGGAAUGCAUCCCGACACGUGCCAAGUGUGCAGGAUCGAUGGUUGUUUAGGCUGUAACUACUUUUUCGCGCCAAAUCAGAGAAUCGAAAAUAAACAACAAGUAGAGGUAGAAGAAGGGGAUACUAGUAAGAGUAGUGGAAGAGAGAGCACGGUGGCGGCGACGGCGGCGGCGGCGACGGGGAAGAUAAGGAGGAGGAAGAACAAGAAGAAUGGGUACAGAGGAGUGAGGCAGAGGCCUUGGGGGAAAUUCGCAGCUGAGAUCAGAGAUCCCAAGAGAGCGACACGUGUUUGGCUAGGCACUUUCGAAACAGCUGAGGACGCGGCGAGGGCCUAUGAUAGAGCAGCUAUUGGGUUCCGUGGGCCGCGGGCUAAGCUCAACUUCCCCUUUGUGGAUUACACUUCAGCUACUACUUCUUCCUCUGUUCCAGCUGAGGAUACAAGAACGAAUGCAAGCGCGAGCGUAAGCGUAAGCGCAGCGGAUUCUGUGGAAGCAGAGCAAUGGCGUGGAGGAGAAGGAGGAGAUUGUGAUAUGGAGGAGUAUUUGAAGAUGGUGAUGGAUUUUGGGAAUGGUGAUUCUUCUGAUUCAGGGAACACUAUUGCUGAUAUGUUCCAGUGAUGAAUAAAUAAAAGAUUAAAUUGUAGUUACAAAGGUGUAGUUACUCGUUCAUUAAAACAAAAAGAAUUGAUUCUUUUCAGAUCAAAUUGUUGCGUGUUUUAUAGUUAAAAAAUGCAACAGGAGAGUGAUGGUGGCUUGGCUUGUUCAAAGUGAGCAAUAUUCUUGGUCUGAUAAAAUUAUACGACAUUGAAUAAAGAUCGUUGGUCUGAUGUAAGAACGACGCAAAGAAUAACAAAACGAAGUGUCGGAUUUAGUUAUAACAGAGAAAACAUAUUUGGUGACAAAAGAAAUAAACAAACAUCACUUGUUUUACAAAGCGUCGCGUGCAGCGAUCCGGCAAACAAUGGCAUCACCGAGAGAGGAAAUCACAAGUUCUUGGCUAGUUAUCUUGUAAUGCUGAAAAGAAUCAAUGUCACAGAUUAUUAUUAUUACUUUUUAUAACAUAAGGAUACAAAAAACGAAAAGGGCUUAUUAUAACUGUUGUUAACGAAACGUUAACCUUUAAAAUAUGGGCUUCAUUAGCUUGCGUCUUUAACUCCUCUAAGUCAAUCUCCUUCCCGUUGAUCAAUUUCGCCACCUCCUCCAUCUGGUUUUGAUCUCAAAUUAAUGUCAUAGUUGACAGAAACAAACAAAAAUACAGAAUCUAAAAGAGCUUAACAUCAGGGAAAGUCAGAGAUGAUGAUUGACCUCAAAGGGAGAAGCAUUGAACCGGGCAGCUAGAAUGUAAGUAGUAGUUUCAGAGAUCCCACAUCGUUUCAACGAUUCUGUAAUCUUAAGAUGGAGGAAGAAAUGAACAACAUCAUUAGGCAAGUUCUGUAAUGAAACUUGAUUAGGAAGAUACUCUCAUUCUCUCAACCCUCAACUAAUUGUUCUCCAAACAAACUCACAACAGCUAUAAUCAAUAAUCUUAGUUACGCAGACUAAUAGCUACGGUUCGAACAACUGAAUUACACCCACCAUGUCAGAACUCAGAGCUAGACAAGAACAGUUUAAGAAGCACAAACAAAGUUUGUUUGCUUACAUGUUUAGAUCCAGAGUAGUUGUAAACGAGCUCGGAGUGAAGAGUUCGUGUUGAUAACGAAUCGCGUGAUUUGGAGACGAGUGCUUUCUGAGCAGCAGCCAAGAGAGGGAAUACAUCUGGUAUCUGAUAAAACACAAUUAAUUCAUUAUUAAUAAGAUCAAGAAAUCUAAAGUCGUUCUUGAAUGUGAAAACUGAGGAAGGAAAGAUAAGAACUUACGAGUAAGGCGUUGAGAAAGGAGACCUCAAGCUUCAGACUUCCAUCUAGUAUCGAACUCAAAAGCUCCCUUGAUCACAAUCAACAGCUCAAUAGCUGAUAAAUUGAAGCUAAAACAAGGAUGAGAAAAUCGAGAGAGAGAGAGAGAGUACUUGGAGUUGGUGACAUCGGUGAAGAGAGAAACAGAGAGAGUGUUUUCACCGUCGAGAUGGAACACCUUCAUCACUCUAAGUCGGCGGCAGCGAAAAGGAGGGUGAAAAUUAGGGUUCUACACCGCCGGAACUCGAGAGACAAACAGACCACGGCGAAUCAAUUAUUUAUUUAGGCAAAAAAAAUACUCCCUCUGUUACGUUAUAAUUUAUUAUAAGCGUUUUUUUCAGCACACGAAUUAAGAAAACAAUUAAUUUUGCUCAUUUCCUAUAUAAAAAAAAAUUUUGCUAGCUACACGAAUUUGCAGCUACACGACGUUUAUUAUAAUAUGUUGGAAACCAUCCGAUGUAUCAUAAUGUGUCAAUAACUACACGAAGUUUAUGUUAAUACAUGCCACAUAUACGACAUAUAAUUAAAUAUGUUAACAACAUCGUAGUAAUUCGGUCUAAUUGAUUUUAACCUUAGUUGUUAGGGUCAAUCUGUAAUAUUAUAAAGUUAAACCCAAUUAACAAUAUCCGACCCGAUCCAUCCCUUAGACCCGACCCGACAUGACUCUUCUUCCCCAAAUCGUGAUUUCAUUAGUUUUAGGGUUCCAAAAUUUUUUUUUUUUGUGCGGUUUCGAAAAGAGAGAGAGAUUGAGAGAGACUUGAGAGACAGAGAAAGACCGUCGAUUUCUAGGUUUGUAAGACGGUUGGUGAAAUCGGAAUCUGAAUCCAACUUUGAUGAAAUCGAAUCCGAAUCCAAGUUUGGUGAAAUCGAAUCCGAAAGAGCUAAUGGAAGAAAGGUAAUAAACCGUAAACCCUUGUUUGUUUACUUGGAGAAUCAGUCGCUGUCUUUCACCAUGUUCUUAUGUAAUUGUUUUGCUAACAGUGACACAAUCUCGGUGAAGAUAAACUGUUGGCCGGAAACCCACAGUAACAAAGCACAUUACCUUCAGUUGCCUUGCUCUUUAGCUUAUAGUUCGAUCUUCCACCCAAUUCCAUAUCUCUUUCUCUCUGUCUUUCUUUCUGAAAAUCGAUUUAGGGUUCGUAAUGAAAUCGAUUUGGGGAAGAAGAGUUAUGUCGGGUAGGUUUUACGGAGUUGGGUCGGUUUGGUCGGGUUUUCAUUUCUUAUUUCGGACUUAGAUUUUUUAAUUAUAGAAUAACCCCAUUAACUUAUCUUAAAAUCAAUUACACCUUGUUGUGAUGUUGGCACCAUAUUAAUUGUUACAUCGUAUAUGUGGCAUGUAUUAACAUAAACUUUGUGUAAUUAUUGACACAUUAUGAUACAUCGGAUGGUUUUCACCAUAUUAUAGUAAACGUCAUGUAGAUGGCAAACUUUUUUUCAUUCACAAAAAAAUAUUAUUACCUAUACACCAAACCAUAUUUCAACCAAUAGAAAAAUAAAUUUUGCAUAAAAUUAAUAAAUUUUGCAUUGAAAAUCGAAAACGACACUUAUUUUGUAACGAAAAAAAUUCUCUAAAACGACACUUUAUAUGAAACGGAGGGAGUAUAUAUCAUAAACAUUACUAAAACACUUUAUUGUUUGCAAAAUUAAUGUUAUUUUCUCGUUAAUUAAUUUAGGCAAAAAAUAUAUAUAUAUAUAUAUAUAUAUGCGCAAAAUUAAUGUUAUUUUCUCGUUAAUUUAUUUAGGCAAAAAAAAAUAUAACCUAAAAAUCACUAAAACACUUCAUUGUUGCAAAAUUAAUGUUAUUUUCGUUAAUUUAUUUAGGCUAAAAAAUAUAUCCUAAAACAUCACUUAAAAACUCUAUUGCUGCAGAAUUAAUGUUAUUUUUGUUAUUUUCUCGUUAAUUUAUUUAGGCAAAAAAGACAUCCUAAAACUUCACUAAAACACUUUUUAUUUGGGAAAAACGUUAAUAAAAUCCCAAACUUAACAAAAUAAACUAAAAAAAGCCUCAACUUUUAAGUAAACCAAAAUAUUCCCAAACUUUAAAAAAAAUUCCAAAAUAAUCAUAAACUUAUGUUUGACUCUGUCGUUUUAAGCAUCCCCAAGUCAACUGUUAACUUUUUAUAAACUUCCGUUAAUUAAUAAACGAUGAGUUUUACUCUAUCAUAAAAAAAAAACUCGUCGUCUUCUGUUUUUCUCCAUCGAUAACAAUCCCUAAUUCCCAAUAUCAUUCACCUAAAUCCAUAGAUUACUACACAGGAAACAAGCUUAACUCUUGACUAUUUGAAGAAAACAGAUGGAGAGGCCGAAGAAGCUUGAUCAUAAACGUCGUAAGAAGAAAGCUACAUCGAGUGAAACAAUUGAAGAGGAGCACGAUGCAGGGAAAGGUCGUGAGCUUGAACGAAUCACCGCAAAGGAGAGACGCAACGAACCUCGACCUGACACUGAGAGAGACUGUCAUGAUGAGGAUGUUGACCGAGAUGAUGGAGAAUGAGAUGGUGGUGAUAACGAAGAGGAUGAGGUUGAAGAAAAUCAAGUAGAAGAGAAUGGAGAAAAUGGAUUAAACGUGGAAGAAGAGAACUGUGAGGACUUAUCACAACAUUUUGGAGAUGUCGCGAGAGAAGAAGAAAAUGUAAGUGAUGGAGAGAGUGGUGAUGAUAUUUGGGAUGAUGAGAAGAUACCGGAUCCAUUAUCUUCCGACGAAGACGAAGAAGAGGUAGAACGAAGAGAGUUGCUUUCCAAUAGUGUUGACAGUGAAGAGCUUUUGGCAUUGGGGAAGACAUUUGCUUGUGCAGCAGAUUUCAAGUUGGCAUUGUUACGGUACUCUCUGAAGACCCGUUACGACAUUAAAAUGUACAAGUCUACAUCAAGGAAGAUGGGUGCGAGAUGCUCUGAUGUUGAGUCGAAUUGCCCUUGGAGGAUUUACUGUUCUUACGAACCAAGGAGGCACAAGAUGCAAGUGAAAGUGUAUAUCAAUGAGCAUAAUUGCAUGAGAUCAGGCUACUCAAAGAUGCUUAAGGUAUCGUCAAUUGCUUGGCUGUUUGCGGAGAUGUUAAGGAUCAACAGGAAGUUUACGAAAAAGGAGAUGGCUGAAGAGGUCAAGAGAGAGUACAAUUUGAUUGUCACAAAGGAACAAUGUGCAAAAGCGAAGUCUAAGCUAUUCCGACAGAGAAAAACAAGCCAUGAAGUGCAUUUCUCACGUAUAUGGGAUUAUGAAGCCGAGAUAAAAAGGUCCAAUCAGUAUACAUCAAUGGUUAUUGAGAUUAUUCCCGGUGCUACUCUAGGAAGCAAGCAAAGGUUUGACAGGUUAUAUGUUUGUUUCACAUCUCAAAGAGAAUUUUGGAUAGAAUCAUGUCGACCUAUCAUUGGGCUAGAUGGUGCAUUCUUGAAGUGGGAUAUUAAAGGGCAUCUACUAGCUGCUGUAGGAAGAGAUGGAGACAACAGGAUUGUGCCAAUUGCUUGGGCUGUUGUUGAGAUUGAAAAUAAUGUGAACUGGGAAUGGUUUGUGAAGCUUUUGAAAUCGGAUUUAGGACUGCAAGAAGGAGCAACAACAACAAUAAUAUCCGACAAGCAGAAGGUUUGUGGUGUGCUAAUUUCUGCUUUUUUUUUGUGUUGUGCUUAUUUGAUUGUGUUUUCUUAUCAACAUGGACUUGUGAAUGCUGUCAAGAAUGAGCUUCCAGAAGCUGAACACCGAAUGUGUUCAAGACAUAUCCUUGCAAACUGGAAAAGAGACAAUAAAGAUCUUGAAUUAGAGAGAUUAUUUUGGAAGAUAGCAGGAAGCUACACUCUAGGGGAUUAUCAAGAGCAUAUGGACACACUAAAAAAAUAUUGCUCAGGUGCCUUUAACUCCCUUCAGAAAACAAACCCCAAUACACGGUCAAGAGUUUUUUUUAGGUUAGGAUCAGAUUGCAAUGACAACCUUAACAACCUUAGUGAGUCAUUCAACAAGACAAUUAGAGAAGCUAGAAAAAAGCCAUUGUCGGAAAUGUUAGAGGAUAUAAGAAGGCAAUGCAUGGUUCGUAAUGCCAAAAGAGCUAUCAUUGCUUCACAUAGUAAGACUAAGUUCACAAAGAAAGUUCAUUUGGAGGUUGAAAAGACUAAGGAAAAAGCAAAGGAUUGCAUCAGAUAUAUGGCAUGUGGGAAUGUUCAUGAAAUUGAUGAUGGAGGUGUCGCCUAUAGUGUUGAUAUGGAUUUGAAAACAUGCGGGUGUCUCAAGUGGCAGCUCAGAGGAAUUCCAUGUAUUCAUGCUUCAUGUGUAAUAACUGCAAAAAAACUAAAGAUGGAAGAUUCUGUGUCCAAGUACUACACAAGUGACAUGUGGAGAGUGACAUACUCGCGUGGUAUCAGGCCGGUGCAGGGAAUGAAAUUGUGGCCUAGGAUGAAUAGGCUACCAGUGUUGCCACCACCCUAUAGACUAGGUAAUCGUGGUAGACCAAGCAACUAUGAUAGAAAAAAAGGAGCUAAUGAAUCUUCUAGUUCCUCAACAAAACUGGGACGAGAAAAGCGUAUGAUGACUUGUUCUAAUUGCCUAGACACUGGUCACAACAAAACUACAUGUUCUAAUCCGACAGCUGAAAGAGAACCAAAAAGGCCAAGGGGUCGGCCAAGACUUCAAGAUGUGGUAUGUUUUCUUUUUGUUAAUCACUUGUUUAGUCGAGAAUAUGUUGUAUAUGUCGCUUACACUUGCGUUUUUUUUAGGGGGAAUCAACACAAGGUUUUUCACAAGAACAAUCUCAAGCUUAAUCAAUUCUUCUUUUUUUAUUAUGUAAUGGUUCAGACCAUCUCUUUUGUUAUGUUACGACUAAAACCAUCUCUUUUCUUAUGUUAUGGCUGAAACCAUCUCUUGUGUUAUGUAAUGACUAAAACAAUCUCCUUUAUUAUGUAAUGACUCAAAACUCUCAUCUCCUCUCAUUUUGUUAACAGCACAUCAUGGAUAACACGUCUUUCUUGUUACACGCCUUUUACGUCUGUUACGUUUCUUUGCCAUCUCCUCUCUUGUGACCCAAACGGUUCCAACUAUCUUUUUUAUUAUUUUGUUUAACACCAUAACAACAUAUCUUCUUAAUCAUCAUGAACAACACAUGUUCUUAAACAUCAAAGCAACACAAUUUCUUAAACAUUAUAGCAACAAAUUGUUUCAAAGAAGUCUAAAACAAUAACUUCUCAUCUAAGAACUUCUCAGACCAAAUUUUCUAAAAAUAUCAUCAUUUAUAUCGGUUUUGGUCAGAGAAACUUUGCCCCUAUCUCUCUUACUCACGCACCUGAAGAACGCUCGACCAGGAUUUUCUUGCGUCCUAGACGUGUAAAUUUCACAAGCUCAUGACAUACACACUUGCUUGGAAAUCCACGAGCUUCUGAGUUGAUCCCAUGGUGAAGAGGAAUUUUUUUUUUUUGGGAAUUAAGGAUUUGCAGAGUCGAUGAAGAAGAAGAAAAGACACGAGUUUAUGUUUUUAAUUAUAGAGUAAAACACAUCGUUUCAUAUUUAACAGAAGUUUAAGCAAAAUUAACGGUUGACUUCGGGGUGUUUAAAAAGGCUUAGUCAACAUAAGUUUAGGAUUAUUUUAGGAAAUUUUUGAAAGUUUGAGAAUUUUUUGGCUUACCCAAAAGUUGAGGAUUUUUAUAGCUUAUUUUGGUUAGUUCGGGAUUUAAAUGACGUUUUUCCCCUUUUUAUUUUAUUUUUCCAGGUUUUUGUUUUACAUUUUUAAAUUUGAGAAAUUCUUUAAGAUAGUUUUCUUUUAAGUUUUUAUCAGAAAAAUAAGAUGAAUUAAGAUAACACAACUCCACUCAACUCAAUAAUUUAGCAAUUUUUGUCUGAUCCUUUCUAACACAACUCAACUAUUUUCCACAAAGAUUACAAACCGACCGUACCGGGUUAUACAACUUCCAGACUACAGAAUAUAUAAACCAAAACCACAAGAACUGGAAAUGGAACUGAGACCUAGACUCUUGUGUUUGUUUUGUCUUCUUCAUGUCACUCUCCUGUGCCCUCCAAACGCCCAUAUCUAUCAAACACACACACAAAUCAAAAUGUUAUUUCUAUCUUUAGUCAAAAUAAUAAUUUAUCUGAUGAUCAAAGACACUAACUAACCUUAAGAUUUGAAUCCCAACUUCCUGUACACAAUGCACUCCCAUCUGCUGACAUCCCCAAACAGCUUAUCCGAUUCUUGUGCGAAUCUUGCAGUUCCCCCAAAUCCAACACAACCUGCAAGAAAAAAAUACACAUCACAAUGAGGCCAAAAAAAAACAAACGAACUCUCACCACUCAAUACUUAAUAUUAUUACACUUAGCUUACCUCUCCCAAGAGAGUAUCCCAAACGUAGCAAGUGUUGUUAUUUGCGUAGCCAGCGAAGAGAAGCCUCCCGGAGGCAGAGAAUGCGAUGGAUGUCACAGGCAGAUUCUCACCAUCACCAUGCGCCUGAUGAUACACUUGGAGCUGAUGACCAGUCCUUAAAUCAUACAACCUGCACGUCCCAUCGUCUGAUCCAGUCCCAAAUCUAUACCCAUCAGGGAAAAACUUGACGGUAUUAACAUCUCCCUCGUGCCCAUGAAACGUUCUCACCGCUCGGCUUGCAGCUCGAGUGUCCCACAAGCAUGCAGUGGUAUCACACGAACCGGAUAUAAACCAAUUCGGGUUUGAUCCACUGAUUGAGACACUGGAAAGACAAUAGAUUACAUAAGGACAUGAGUUUAUUAAACAAACCGAUUCUAAUAAACUGAUCCCAUACCUUAGUACGUCACCGGUAUGUCCAGACUGAAACUCACCGCCAAAAACAGAUGUUUUGAGACCAGUAGUCACAUCCCACAAGACACAUGUCUGAUCACCCGAGCUGGUGAUGAGAUGAGCAUCCUCGUUUGGGACAUACUGACAGCACGAAACGUAACCCCUGUGGCCACUGAGGGUUCUCGAAACGGGUACAGUUCCGUCCUUGUCAGCGGUUGAGCUGAGACUGAAGAUGGAACACACGCUGUCUAACCCACCGCAGGCAACCGUCUGACCGUUUGGAGAGAAGGCGCAUGUCAUCACCCACGCGCAAGGGAGUUUUAUAGCGUGAGUCUUCUGACUCGUUAGAGCGUUCCACACUAUUAACCUCCCGUCUUGAGAUGCGCUCACGAUCCGGUUCCUCUCAGGCGUCCAGUCCAAAGAAUAAACCUGUUAAAAGUUACAAAGCUAGGAUCUUUACCAAAUCCUUCAAAUAGACCGAACAUCAAACUAGUUCGGUUAAUUUUGAAAAUGUCUUAAAUCUUUGUGAACCUGUAAAAAACCAACAUUUCGUUGAAAAUCGUAAAUUUAUUCAUUCACAUAAUUAAUAUACAAAUUCAAUAAAUAUUUGGUUUUACUUUCGUAAGUUUCUUUGUUUUAUUCUACAUUAAUUCAGGUUUGUUCACAACAAGUUCGGACCUAAACUACUCAUAGAAUGAAGCUUUAGAGAUUGGUUUAUAGUUACACUAAACACUUAACCACAAGCUACAAAAUUCUAUAAAGAAGCAGACUUUGAGGAUAAAAAGGUAUACUGUAAGAGAGAGAUAAGAUCGAACUUUCCACCCUCACCUUCCCGGUGUGUCCCAGUAGAGUACGGCAACAAACCAGAUCCGUCGCUCCGAACUUCACUGGAGAACGACCCUGAGCUGCUGAGUACUUGGCCACUGCCGAAAUUCAAUUGGAAAGAAAGCAAAACAGAUCUAAGAACAAACAAUAACAGAUAGAUUGUGAAGAAGAAGAAGAAGGAGAAGAAGCAACGAACCAUCGGUAUCUAGGAGCUGGAGGCGUCUUUGUCUAAGUUUGUCACGGAGGCUGUUGACGGUCUCCGUAGCGACGGCGUGGCGUUCUUUGAGCUCUGAGACAGACAUUAACGCUUCAGACUUGGGCUUCUCCGUCGUUGAUCAAAGGAGUUAUAAUUUUGGGUGUGUUCUAGAAGAGAGGAGAGUUCAUGAUUGAGAGGGAAGGAGAUCGAGCCCUGGAGAGAGUGGAUUCGAGGGGAUCACGUGGGGAACGAAAUAGUCAAGACAGGCUUUUGGUGUAGUUGUUGUCUUGUUGAUGCUUCUGUCCUGAGAGAAAGUAAGAGAGAGCGAAGAGUCAACCGCCGAUUGACUGUUGGCAUUAUGAAAGUGGACCCCACGAUGCGUUCAACGACGUCGUUUCGGAGCUUCAGCUGCUUUUGCUCCUUUCCCGCUGAUUAAUUAAUUAUUAGUUGUGAUUUUGGUUUUGAUUUGAUAACUCGUCAACGCUUAUGAUGGUGGAGUUAUAAACAUUUUUUCAUGUCGUGAUUAUAGAUAGCAUCUUUCUUCAUUAUGCAAAAUUGGAGAUGAGAUUCAUGUCACACUCAUUCCAUAAAAUUGCAGUUACUAAGAAAAGGGUAAUCACUUGUUUCCUUAUAUCAUUAUCUCUCUUUUUCUAUUCAUAAGCAAAAUUAGACUAUAUUACAAAACUAUAAAAUAAAGGUACGUGGAAGUUUAUCCUAGUUGGGGAAAUAGCCGUUACCGGCUACAAUAAAAUAUUAUUUAUAGAAUGUGUGUAACUAUUAGAAAACUAAUAACACCUUGAUUAGGCAAAUACAAAGGAGGGAGGAACACAAGAAGUCAAGAAGUAAAGAGUAGCAGAUAAUUAAACUACCCCAAUACGCUUAUUGGCCCAUUACAUAUCUACAUGGAGGAUUAGUGACAUAACGAUGAGUAGAAAAGAUAGAGAAGAAUAAACUUUUGAUUCAACUGCUCCAUUCUUUUUGCUCUCUAUUUUGUUUGAGUUAACAUAUUUGUUCAUUACUCCUGUACUUCCAUCUCCUCCUCCACCUCCCGGAUAGACACAACUGUUGUAACCUAUCAAAAUUAAAAUCAAGAUAAGGAGAACCAAUUAGUAUGUGCAUUUUUACAUUGCUAAGUGGAGCAAAUACUUAAAAAGACAUUCAUGUGAUUGUUGCGGUUUGAGAGAAAACAUACUAGGGUUUUGGGAGGUGAUUGUUGCGGUUUGAGAGAAAUCACAAUCUGUAGGCCUUUUAGGAGACUUUUGGUAAUACAUAUUCAUGGCAAAGGCUGCAUGUGACGCCACAUUGUUUGGCUCGAAGCAAGCUCCUCCUGGUUGUAUCGCCCCACAGUCUAUUCCUUGUCCGCACGCCCAAUCAAUGCUCGAUUGCAGCUGCUUAUCCGUGGCAUCCUUCUUUGAUACACACCACCCCGUCGACGCUUUUCCCGAUGGCGUCUAAAAACAUAAAACCACAUUUUUUAGUAUUUUAAACAAAAUUAUUUUGUCAACUGUAAUCACAAAUUUAUAAAGCAGCCAAGAUUAUCUAACCUGACAACUACUGUUGCUGCUACUACCGCUACUCUUGGCAAGGCCUACAUCAUAAGCCAUGGAAUGAUCGGUUUUGAAAAGCCCGAAGGCCCGUUCCGAAGAUGGUCCAGUCUUCAGGUUCUCAUCGUAGAGCGCGAAAAUGUAAGUGUCUACGGACUUUCCAGGCAUUAGAGGUGUGCCAACCAUUGACCUUAGAUGAGCUAUUAGGUUUCCGUUGUAAGCUUUAGCAUUAUCCACGCUCGGUCCAACUUCGUUGGGGUCCCCUCGUGAAGCCCAUCCUGUUUCCGCCACCACGAUCUCCACCUUUUCGAAUCCCAUUGAUUUCAAAGCCGAGUGAACCGCGUCUACCUGUGAACGAUGAAUUAGAGAGACUGUAACGUGUGUUUCAAGCAAAGACAAACACGUAAUAUAUGACAUGAAGAGCACCGUUUGAUUUUCCUCUUCUAUUAUUUUAGCUAUAUAUUAUGAAACUUCUGGUCAAUGCUGCUUGUUGAUGAUGACGAGUGUAAACAAAUGUUUCAAGAAACAUCUAAAAUAAGUAAAAAAACUAGUGCGAAUCUGGCACGUCAGACAAAUCAGUACGCGACUUGACUACAAGCAAGACAUCAUCACGCAUGCUUAUCCCCUGAGAAGAUAAUUAUUAACAACGUAUGAAAUAGAAAAAUUUAAUUAAGUUUUCAAUACUACAGAGCCACAGUAACCAAACUAAUAAGCAUAUUUUUUUAAAAAAGAUUGUGUGUUAGUAUAGUAGAUCCAUACACAUACGGCACGCAUGUAUGGAGCCGUAUCCAACGUGAACAACUGUCUUUUGUACUAUAAUAAGAAUAUAGAUAUUCCUUCUAAAAGGAAAAGUAGAGAACAGAAUAAGUUCCUUGCCACAAUCUAGUGCAAAGAAAAUCAUUAUACAAACUAUAUAUUUUAAGACCUAAAGUUCAUACUGUAUAUUAGUCCACGUGAAUACUGCAAAUUAUCAUUAUUAUCUAGAUCCUUGUGUGUCACAACAAUACAUAACUUUUAUAGGGAAAAAAAGACAGUGCAUAACUUGAAACUAACCCACAUAGCUACUAAAACAGUCCACCAACUUUCAUAACUAGAGAGAUUAGUUGAUUUUGCGUUAAGUUUAGUAGAAUUUAGUUAGCCACCCAAUACAAAAAGUGAAUUGAUUAGUUUUAGACCAGACUGUAAUUAAUUUUACCUGAGCAUCGAACAUGUUCAUGUACGUGAUUCCAGUGUUAGAGUCGGGUCGACCCGCAUUAGGCUGGAAGAGGCAAAACGCCAGCGUUUCGGGUCUCGGGUCACUUUGAUAAGCAAAGAACGGGUAUGGAUUAAUAGCGAACGGCGAGCCGGUAUCGCUUAAAAACUGCAGAAUACCCUUCAAACCGGCUUGAUAACCGGACGCAAACGAACCGGAAGACGGCGGUUCUGAGCUACCCAGAACCGACAUCGCGUGCACCGUCGACACCUUAAUUUUCCCGCCGAGCGACGCCGCCUCGAGCGCUUUUUGAACGUUCUGCAUCGCCGGGAGGAGCUGGCUCACCAGAUUCGGGUCUUUCGACAGCAGAACCUCGUUGCCGACGGUGAUGAGGAUGAUUUUGGAGGCGGGGUAAAAAGGGAGGACGUUGGAGCUGAUCCAUUGAGAGGCGGCGUUGGGAUCGGCGGCGAGAGAAGGAAGAUCUCCGUUGGCUGUGCCGAUUACGAUGCCGACGCCGGUUCCGGCUAGAGCUUUGAUGAUGGCGGGAUCGGCGCCGUAGAGUCUCACCUUCUGGAUGGAAGUGGAUUGAAUGAGCUUGGCGGUUUCAGAAGGCGGAGGGAGGUUGUCGGCGACUUGACCGUAGUUGACUCCGAUGAAGGGCUCUGCAUCUGUGGACGACAAAGAGAAGAAAAAAACAGAGUAAGAAACUUAAGGUUUAGAGGGAAGAAGAGAGGAGGGGGAAACUACGUCGUAUUGAAGAAGGUACUUACUUGAGGAAGGGAACUGAGAGAGGAAGAUGAGGAGGAGAGAGAAGUAGAUGGAGAUAGCCAUGAUGGUGAGUGAGAAGGAGACGCAGAGAGUUUGAGAAAGUUUUAUAUAAGCUUUGUUGCUAGAUUAAAUAAAUUUUUUUACUGUAACGGUUAUGUUAGAGAAACGAAUUUUCAAGGAAGACAUGGUUUCUACUCGUUCUUCCACAGUACACGUGUUGGUUGACUUCUAUGUCUUAAGUGUUUGUCUUCUGUCUUGGUUUACUAUUGACUAUUGUAAUAUUAUAGGGUGAUUUCAGGUAAGAAAACUUUUUGCAAAAUAAAUUUCUUUUUCGACACAAAAGUUUUGUCCAAAAGCAGGUUAUCCGAUUUAAAGAUUAAAAGUUGCAACUUUUAAAAUUGUUGGUGGAUGUAAAACCGAUGAAAAUUAGGUAGAAUGUAGGAUUCAAAAGUACAAAAAUGGUUGAAACAUUAUUCAUGUCUCGUAAUUGAAGAGGAGACGUUAAACCUCUGAAUAAUUUCGUAUACUGUAUAUUAUUUUUACUUCAUUUGACAUAAAAGGUGGAUUACACUAUUCCUCUUUUUUCCAUUCUACUUCCCAAUCAUAACCCAUUCUUCACGUUUCACUGACCACCACCAAUAAUUCUUAGCUUUUGGUGAUUUCAUCGUUUCCACCUCAAUUAUUAUAUAUGACUGUUAUGUUGACUAAGGAUUCUAUUCGCAUUUGACAUGAUUUAUAAACUUAUCCUCAAGAUUUAUAACCAGCGCUCGCAUCAUUUACAAAAGAAAACAACCAAAAAUAUUGAAUUGUGUAUAAAUAAAGUUGCAUGUUCCAAAACUAGGACCCCAACUUUUUCUAUCCUAUGAUAUUUGUUCACAUUUUCAUCAGCAACCCUAAAAAAUCCAAAUCCAAAACCCCCAAGGACGAACAAAAGACGAGAUCACAACAAACAAACAAAACAAAAGUACCUCCAAACCCAAAACCACAAACAAACAGAUUCUCUUAUAUUCUAAUAUGAAUAAGCCAAAUUAAAAGAAGACUUGAUGUUCAAGCAAAACCCAGACUGACCAGAGAUUCUCCUUAGCUUAGGCACCUGAGUGCGAGACCGGUGUUGUCUCGAACUUCCCUUCGGUGAACAAAUGGUUGUACUGUUGAGGCAGUGCAUGUUCCACCUACAGUAUUGUAAUAGAAAACAUUCUGAGAAUGAUUCCCUCGAUGAACAGUUUCCUUCCCCUCACUCACUCGGUCGGUUACAGUAAGCUUGUAAUCAAUGAUGACUUCUGAAUUUUGUAACUAGACUCUGGAAAUACUUAACAAAUUUGAAGAACAGGAGGAAAUAAAAACAGGGCUCAUGGACAGGGAGAGGAAAACCAAACCUAAUCUCCAUCGAUCAGGGGAAGCACCAGGGACCAUUACAUUGAUCUCACUCGACUUGGCUGUUGUUAUAGCUGUCUCUAAUGAGUCUUUGCUUAGGUAUAACUGGCAUCCAGUUGUGUUUUUUUCUUCUGAAACUGUGGGAUUUGAACCCGGGAGUGAGCAUGGAUGAGAUCAAAAAGGCAGCAGUGAUCCAUUUUCAAUGGAAACAUGAAACCAUGGCUGGACAUUGCUAUGAACCAAUACAAGUCUCUCUGGACUAAAUAUGUUGAUAACGAAAUGGAGUUUGUACCGAUGUGUCUCUAGAGAAAGAUAUCGAUAUGUGGUCAGAGUCAUUCAGGGCAUUCAUUAACUGAUAUUACGUUUAUCAUCUUUUAUAUUAUAUAGGGUUACCAAGUGUUUUGCUUCUUCUCUCUGUCAUAGUUUUGUUCUUAGUUAUAUUUUGUGGAACUCUUUCACAGCAAGAGCUACAUCCAAAACUGCAAUGUCUCUCCUUGUUUAGCUUUGUUUCAUGCCAAGCUAUGUAUUACCUAAAUGUUAACAUUCAACCAAAUUUUUUGACUUAAGAUUGAAACAUUAAGAGAAAUGGACUAGGAAGAUUAACGCAAUGAAGGAUUUUGUCAUAUGUUUGAUUUUAGUUACAUUUUAUUACUAUCAAACACAUUAACAGCUUCUUCCCAUUCACCUGCACCAAAAGCAAACCUCCUCAUGACCUUAGCAACUGUGUUCAAGGUAACAAUUUUAUCUUGCCAUGAAUACCAAUAGUCAUAAUAUCAUAAGCACCACUCGAAUUCUUGUGCCCAUUUCAGGACACCGAGUGCAGAUCUCCAGUCAUCUAUAAACCUAUAUAUGGAGCAGCUUAUGAACCAAACAGCAGACAUCCUGAAUGUACAUAAUAGAUAAUAGAAGGUACAAAAUAACACUAAAUUUUUUAUGACCCAUGGCAAAUGCCCAUGUUUCCAUAGCCAAGAGCCGGCACUGUCCUUUUGCAAGAGCAGUAGCAGGUUUUCCUGAUGCAUUCCAUACAGGUCCCAAGGCGUAAUGAGUUUUCACAUAAUCCCUUAAACCAAGUAAGUAAAGUUCUUUUAAGGCUUUAGCCCAUUCCACAUGGUUAGCGUCUUUGUAGACAGAACAUGGAGAUCACAUAUUUUAAAAAUGUACAAGGAGCAUCAGUAGAUGCGGAGGCAUCAAGAUCAACGUUACAUAGAUUUGGGAACACUUCGUCUAGCUCAAUAUUGUAUGAAUUGGCAUACAUAGAGGCAAAAGGAAGGAUGAAGAAAGGAAAUAAAGUUUGGCAGAUUGCUUUAGGGUCAGGGUUUAAUUGUAACAGUGCGGUUUGGGUGGCUGGCUCUACGUAAUGUCAAGGCUUCUACAAAUAGUCCUUGGGAACAUUGCAUUGGUAGAUAUCCGGUUAAAAUUGAUUCUGAUUCCGCUAAGUCAGAGACUCAUGUCCAAACCGGUCGGUCCUAAUUUACGUCGUUUACUCUCUCGAGUUCUCAUAAUUUGAUGGCUACGAUGUUUUCUCUGCUCGUUAUUUAUAAAUUUACAUUGGUGUUCUAGUAUUUGAUUGUUUUAUUUCUUACAUGAAGUUUAUAAACGCCGAAUACAAGUGAAUUGUAUGACGUCAUAUCGUGAAACAACGUCAUGCUACAUUACAAGAAAUUAAGUCAGCAGUGGAUUAGGCUACUAAUGUGUGGAUAAUGUGUCACUAGAACCAUAUACUGCAGAAUCAAAUAAAAGCUUUACUUAGCAUGGACAACGUAUAUGACUUUUUUUUUCUUUACAAGGGACCAUGCGUUAUAUGACUUUCUCCACCUUUUCACUUUAAAAUUUGUAUUAAACGCCAAAAUUCUUUAAAAUAAAAGAAGAGGAGAGACUCUCUCUGAGUUCCCUGCCAGCUAAUGCUAAAAGGACCAUUUUGGAUGAUACAAAUUCUACAAAACAAAUGGAUAAUCUAAAGAAAUUAGAGAGUUUUAUCAACUUAACCAGCAGCCACAAAAUGAAUUAAAAAUUUCUUCGAUUGAUCAAUCAUGUCCAUAACAAAAAGUUUAUAUAGUUGAGUCAAAAACUCUAAAAAGGAGAUAUUGAUUGCAUCGAUUUUAGAAAAUGGGGUCUUUCAUGUUAUGGAAAAGCAAACUUAAAGUUCAUAAAUUAUAUUAAAGAGAGACGAAAAGGGUAUAAUGUUGAGCAUGUCUUAUUGAAGAAGGAAAUCACCCUCAUUAAGUGUUCCAUUUAUAUUGCCAAAUGCACUUCUGCUAGUAGAUAAUCUAUAAAUCAGUUCAUUUAAUCUGCAUAAUUUGUGGAAUAUAUAUCCUUUAUGUUUUAACAUAAUUUCGUGGGAUAGUAAUUUUUUGUUUGUAGGUGAAUGAGUUUUUGUUAUGUGAUGUGUAUUAUGAAGGUUUAUCUCUUUGUAUGUUUGUCAAAAAAAAUGUAUUUUGAAAUUUUUUAUUGACCCUUGCAAUGUUUAUUUGAAAAUUUGCAUAUUUAAUGUUCUGUCUUCUUUUUAUCUUGGUGAAAGUGCUAAUGGAAUUAGUGUUUUUAAGAUUUUUUAAUCAGAAACUAUAUGAUGGCUUUAAAUAGAUGUGGUAUGUGUUUUUAGUUUUUUUUUUUUGAACUAAGUAUGUAUUUUAGAAUUUGAUGUAAAAUGUUAAGAGGUAUGCAUGCAUUAGACCAUCAAUUCAAGUUCUAUUAAUUAUCAGUUUAGACUAUACAUUAAAACAGCCAAACAUUUCACAACAAAAAUUAACAAAAGGAAUCCAAGACAUAAUGGCCUUUCAGCUUGCGUUCUCUCCUUUUUUUUUCUUUAAAAGUAUCAAAAUGAAAAACAGGAAAGCUUAUCACUGUUAAUUUGCUUUUUUUAUCGACAAAACUUUUCUGUCCACAACGCCUAUUCAUAUCCAUUAGAAAAAAUAAAGCUUCUCAAUUUGAGAAAUCAAGCGCAAUAACCUCCCUAACUUUAUAAGUUACUGUUGGGUUAGAAUUUAACUAGAACCGAAGACUCAUAAAUACAAACUCAUGAUUUCUUUAAUUUCUCAUGUAUUCUUUGUGUUUUCUUUUUACUAACUGAAGUCGUAUAUCGGAAAAUAUAUUGAUCAAUUUAAAACCUUAGAAUACAAUACAAGUGAAGAUAACAUUUCUAAACUAACUAAGAAACAAUUUAUUAUAGUUGACAUUUGCAUGUGGACGUAGUUAGACAAAGAAAUAUUUCAUAUGUAUAAGAAAACUUAUACGAUUGAUUGUGUAAAUAUAUGCAUUCAAGUGUUUCGAAUUUGAGAAAAAAAAAACUUCACAUCUUAUAUAAAAGUGUAUAACCAAAAGUGAUUGCAUGUUUGAAAAAAAUUGAAAAAUGAUUAAAGCAAAUGAUGUAAUAAGAAGAAAGAUGUGAUUAGUCAUAGCCUCAUAGGCAAUGAACAAAUAGCAAGGACAACUUUUGGAAGCACUGAGAAUAAUGUUGUGGAUAAAGUAAAAACAAUAGAAAAACUAUUAUGAUAUUCACAAUUUAAGAUAAAGGAAAAUUUGAGUAUUUAUUUCCAUGAUUUUCCAAAAAAAAAAUUGCUAUAAUUAUUACUUAAUAGUAUAUGAAAUAAAGUUCAAUUAAAAAUAUUGAAAAUAAUAUUUCUAUGGUCUAUAAAUAAGAAAUGAAACCAUCUCAACACCAACAAGAUACAACAACCCCAAGAAGAAGAAGAAAACAUAUAGAGAAAAACAGAGAUUUUCAACAAAGAUUCCUCUGGCUCUGUUUGUCAUUGUUCACCAUGACUAUUGUUCUUCUUCCUCUGUUUCAUUUCUUGAUGGCAAAGGUCUCUGCUUCUCACUUCUUUCUAGUUACCUAAAUCACUAACUCCCACUCAUACAAUCCCUUUGAUACAAAAAAACUCCUUUACUUAUUUUUUUUCCUGUUUUGUAGUAUUUGAAAAAAAAAUAUCAUAAUGGACUCAGUUCAGUUUCAACACUUUAAGAUGAAGAAACCUAGAGGAUUCUUGAACUUCCAAACAAUGAAAUCAUUCACGAGCUUAUUCAGACUCAUUGAACUGAUUCUUCUUCUAAUCUUGAUCUCCAAACUCUCUUUCCCNNNNNNNNNNNNNNNNNNNNNNNNNNNNNNNNNNNNNNNNNNNNUCUUUCCCUUCAGUGAGACUCUCCACUGACAUUUUCAGGGGAGCAGCAGAGUUUCUCGUUAGCCCGAGAUUCGUUUUCUUCAUUGGGAACGCUAUUGUAAUAACUCUUUUUGCGAUAUCCAGACGGUACAACUCAGCUCACGAGCCUAUCUCAAAGACAACAGACGCAGUAAGCAACGACCUUUACCAAGAGUUUCUUCACGAGAGUGAGAAGAAGAGAUCCAAAGUUUAUGAGACGACGAAAACAGAACAGCCCAAGAAGCCGAGUGGAGUGAAGAGGGUUAGUUUCGAGAGAAGCCAAACGCAGAAAGCGUUUGAGGCGGUUCACCCGCUUGAGAGUACAUGUGGUGGGAGAGUCAUGAAGAGGUAUGAGUCGGAGAAGCAUCUGAGGAUUUGUGACUCGGACAAGAAAGUAGUGGUGAGGGGUAAGAAAGCAGAAGAUAGAAUGAGCAACGAACAGUUUAGGACAAAGAUUGAAGCCUUCAUCGCGAGGCAAAAGAGGAUUCAGAAGGAUGAAGGACACUUGAUAAUCUAGCUCUUCUUGGUUACUGAAUGUUUUUGUUUCUUUUAGUUAUAAACUUGGAUGCUCUGUUUCAAAACAUUUCAUAGUCUUGUAAGUCGUAACUUUGCCUUGCUAAAACUCUGUAUCUUAACUCUUGUAAACCUUGAAAGUUGUUUAAGUAAAUAAUAAAAUGUUAUGGUAUGUUACAUAUGCUUUUUAAUUGUAACGAGUUAAAUUGAUACAUAAAACGCGGGUGAUCAGUGCAAUUGUAUAGUUUGAAGAUUGAAAAAAUACUCCUAUUAGCUGAACUCAUUAUGUGAUGUUUUAUGAGGCUUACAAUUAAAAUCUUUUACCAAACGCUUCAACUGUAGAUUUUUUGCUGUAACGGUUGUGUGAGGUUAAUAUUUCUAAAUGUUAAAAUAGGAUCGGUAAAAUAUCAUUUUUAUUUUUAUUUUUUCUGUUAAAAAUCUAAUUACUUAUUGUCAAAGAAUAAAAAAAUUACUAAAGAAAUAAAAAGUGUGCAACACUAUAAUUUUUCUGAAAGCCACCCAUACUAGUAUUAUUUUUCGUGCACUAGUGCCGGUAUGUUCGCACACUCUAAUUACUUAUUUAUUCCUAACUAUAGAUGGUUUUUCAUGUAAUAUGGUUUAUUUGUACUUUUGUUUGAUUGUAUAUGUCUUUGUACCUCAAAUACAAAAUGAUAUUUAGUAAUGUUACUUUCAUAUUUGUUGUUUAAAUUUGUUGAAUAUGAUACAAGCUUUCAUUUACAUUACUUUUAUAACAUAUUGACAAAAUAUUAAUAUUUUUGGCAGUUGUAAUAUGCUAGUAAUCCUACUCUGUGUCACACGCUAACUUACUUGUUAUAAGAAGAGUUCACAAUUUAGCAUGCUUGAUGUAAAGCUAUUGAAAGAAGAAAACUCUCGUGAUGAUUUACAUGGACAAGUUUUUUUGUGUUUUUACAACGACGCGAAUAUUGUCUGACGAACGUGGAAUUCACAGGCCGAGGAUCGACGUGAGGCAUACUGACAAUGACAGUGGAAUGUUACAUACAGUUGAUCGCAACUUCGCAAGAGAUGAAUCUUGAUCACACGCUAUUAACACGCCUCGAGUUUAGGUUUUGAUGUGAUAUUGCGAACGUGGUUAGUUUACACAGUUACACUAGUCGAGAAUCGAAUAUUCCUUCUACUAGCUAGUUGGUUCCUAAUAUGGAGAUAGCAGAUAGAAAGCAAAUAGAUAAGCAUAUAUGAACGAUGUUUCAAAAUGCUGAAUAGCGUUAUUUAGGGUUGUGGGUAAAAGGGAAUAAAAUACAUUAUAGAGGAGGGAAUUGUUGGUACUAAAUAUGUCCUCACGUCAUCCAUCUUGGUCUCAGUUUUUUUUGGGAAUAUUUUAAAAUCCCAUAACUUAUUUAUCUCCAUGCAACACUAUAGCAUAUUUGCCAUCGACAAGCCAACACAAGAGUAUCGAUUCUUUAAUAUUUGAACCAGCUACCAAAGAAUCCAUCAUUCAAUUAUAUUUUAGCAUAAACUUCAAGCAUAUAUGCCCAACACAAGUGUAUCUUGGUCUCAGUUUUAUUAGGUAUAUCGGACAUGGAGGUUUAUGCUAACAUAUGAAUUACGUAACACUUAAUUCCAAGCAUCUGUCUCCGACGACAUCGGUAAAUUCUGAAGAAUACUGAUUCAUACAUAUACAAAUAUAUAUAUUUUCUGUUUUGCUUUUUUUUUACUGAGCUAAAAACAAAGAGAAUUAUUUUUCUUCUUUGUUAUUAAAAUUAGUGAUUGUUUUUAGUAAUUUUUUUAUAUUAUUUCUGUGUUUAAAAAUUAAAUUUUACACUGGAGAAAACAUUAUACCAUCCCGUAAUAUUUUAUCUAGCUUACGCACUCACGCUGAAAUGAUAAUUAUUGUUUUUAAUCCUUUUAGUUAGAAUAUAAGAUUUUGAUAGUAGAAUGAUAAAAUAUGAUUUCCUUUGAGAAACUACGUCAGAAAGUAUCUGACGUAUAGGAACCAAUAUCUGGAAAGGUGUAAGAGGCAAAAUAUGCUCGAUCGGAUAUGAAAAGAUCGAUAUGCAAAUCUAUAGUAUCUAAUGAGAAUGACGAAUACACGUGAGAUCGACAGGAACCUGCAAGGAACAAAUCUUAUAAUAUAGAAGAAUACUUCUAGUUUGUUUACUCUACUUUUAUACGUUUUACGCAUGUGAUUAGUAGAUUAUUAAAAAGUGCCUUCACUCUAUUAUGAAAAGUAGCAUAAAGUUUGGUUUGUUUUCUUAUUUCUAUACAAACAUCGUGAGUUAAACAUAUAGAACACCAUUUGAACGUAGACUAGUUUGUGAAGAUGUUUUUCUUAUACAAGAAAUUUCAGAUCGAAUGUGAAUUUAUUUUCUCUAGUCAUCCUAUAAAUUUUAUAAUGCUAAAAAUGUAAAAAAAAAGUAUCCAAUAAUUCAAGAGAUAUAUGCAUAUAUCAUACACGACAUGACAUGACAUGACAAAGUUGAGGAAGCAGAGAAUAUGUGCCAUAUGAAUGUAUUGUCUAUUUCAGGGUUAAUAGAGAUCCAUUCAUCAGCUGCCAUUCAACAUGCAUAGACAAAACAUCACUUCGAAUCUUACUUUAGCAUAAUUUAUCUAUUAUUAACCGAAUCAACUAAGUUCCUCUCAGUAUAUUUUUCUAGAUAUUUUGUUGGUGUUGAUCAAAACAAAAAAAAAAGAUAUUUUGUUGGUUGAAAUAAAUACCUUUUUGGAUAUUUGAUGUCGACCAUCUAAAUUAAAAGAAAAUAUCAUUUCAACGGCUGUGCAAUUAUCUGAAAACUUUUUGUUUGAUCAAAAAUCUGAAAACUAUUGAUACAAAGCUUAUUACUAAAAUUUUACAGAGCUGCAUGCUGAUAAGAGUUAAGGAUUAUGAAAACAAAAAUGAAAAUCUCACACCAUAAAAGGAAAAAAGUAACGUCGCCCACAAGAAACACAAAACUUUAGUUUUUGGCUAAAACAGAUAAACCAACUGCUUAUCAAUAACUACUUUGUGAUUAGGCCUGGAUACAUAUCAAUUCCAUCUUUAACAUCUUAUCAUCCAAAUGUUAUACAUCAUCACCAAAAAAAAAAUGAUUCAAAUUUUAACUAGAAAAUUCAGAACUCUGUUUUUUCAAGCUAAACCGCCAUUUUCAUAUAUAUUUCUUGUGAGGAUCAUAGCCAAUGAGCUCGAAAUCAGCUGCCACAAAAGAAUCUAUAUGUUUCUUCUCUGUAUUUAUCUUCAAAACCUGUAAAGAGCCCAAAUAUAAAUAAGAAUAUAGUUGAAACAAACUAAGCUUAUGCAUUCAUCAAAGAUCAUGUAUGCUUUUUUACUCACAGGAAAAGGUUUUGGUGGGUUCUCAAGUUGCUCUUGUAGAGGCCUAACAUGGUUCUUGUAAACAUGAGCAUCUCCAAUCACAUGGAUAAAAUCACCAGGAACAAGAUCUGCAAAAUAUCAACCAAACAUCAAUAAAAGAAGAUAAAAAUGCUCUUUCUGUAGUGAAAAUCUGGUACGUACCACAGACAUGAGCUAGGAUGCAUGAAAGAAGUGAGUAUGAGGCAAUGUUAAACGGUACACCAAGACCCAUAUCUGCUGACCGCUGAUACAUUUGACACGAAAGCUCUCCGUUUGCAACAAAAAACUGUGCAAACAUGUGGCAAGGAGGAAGUGCCAUCAGCUUAAGGUCAGAAGGAUUCCAAGCUGACAUUAUAAUCCGGCGAUCAUCAGGAUUGUUCUUGAUCUUGUUAAUUACAUCUAAGAGCUGAUCAAAUCCUUGGCCAGUGUAAUCAGCAUGCAUAUCUGUGUACCUGUAGAAAGAGAUUAAACAAAAUAGCUAAACAGUAUAAAAAUGUGUUGCUAAAACUCAGAGAAGCUACUGACUUAGCACCAAAGUGUCUCCAUUGAAAUCCAUAAACGGGUCCAAGGUCACCUUCCUCUCUCUCAGUCAGCAUGUCAUCGCAUAGGACGGGACAGGAGAAAGAACACUCUUGAGCAUCGUCAUCUUUCCCGCUGCGGAGAGGUGUCUGUUAGACCAGCCACUCGCCUUUUGCUUGAUUCUAUCGACCAUGGAGGCAAACAGGUCUCGUUUCUUUCUACCGAAAUGUUUCGGGAGACCGAGAUAUUUGCCAAUGUCUCCUUUUUGAAUGCCCAGUUCAUCUUUCACUGCGGUUUUGAGUGACAUCGGAGCUUUCCGGAAAAAGGUGAUAAACGAUUUGCUUGGGUUGAUUGUUUGACCGGAGGCUUCUUCAUAGCGUUUUAGGAGCUUGUGAAGGGCUAUACUGCUGUCUUUGGUAGCUUUGAUAAAGAACAUUGUGUCAUCCGCAAAGAGGAGAUGGUUUAGUCGAGGACUCCCUCGAGCUACACAGAUACUUUGCAAGGAUCCGUCCUCUUGCGCUUUAUUACAUAAACCCGAGAGCACCUCACUACAUAAAAUGAAGAUGUAUGGUGAUAGAGGAUAUAACCAGCAACUACUACCGAAUUCCAAUAUGUUUCGCCUUCUUUCUCGAACUGUUUCUGAUCCCACUUCGCAUACUGAAACAAUGAUUUUCGUCGUGGUGGUUGGCAAAUCAGUCUCGUCUCCUCCAUUAUCAGACACGGAAUAGCUUUCCGUUGAAUAUUUAGCCGGCACCUCCUCUACAGAAGCCAAAGCAGGCUUCAAAAUCUCCACGGUGGUUGCAGAAAAAGGACCAGAAGCGAGAAGCGGUGGAUCGUUGACCAUUUUUAUUGAGCUGUGUUUUUUAUAUAUCUUUGAUUUGUUCAGUUAUUUUUGAGCUGAAGGAGAAGCUUCAAGACGCGAACCAGAGGAUUGAUGUUAAGGCCAUCGUGUUGACCGGUAAAACAAAAAGAAAAAUUGAAACUUUGAGCUUCUCUGUUUUAGCGUUUGAUCAUGUGUAGUAGUCUUCCGUGUUCUUUCUUUAAGCUAAAGGUUGUGACUUUCAAUCCUAAAGUUUAGUGUUUUAGUUUGCUUUAAUGUCCUUUGAUCAAUUCAGGGAAAGGUGGAAUAUUUUCUGGUGGUUUCGAUCUCAAUGUCUUCCACCAAGUUCAUAAGACUGGUACCAAUAGUUUCUUCUUCUGUAUGUGUUUAUAGUUUGAAGCAUAUACUGUGUUAUGACAAUCUCGUUUCUCUUGGCAGGGGAUAUGUCGCUUAUGCCUGAUAUAUCCUUUGAUCUUGUGGGCACCCUCAUGGAAGGUGACUUUAGUUCAAAUUCUUUAGUUUGAUAAUUCUCAAUAAGAUAGCCUGAGACUAUUAUACUUUUUGCUGCAGUUGAAGAAGUAGCUCUUGGUGGUGGUUUUGAACUGGCACUGGUGAGACUUUUCAAGUUUACGUAUCUCCUCUUCUUUUUUAACGUUUCACGGACAAACUUAUCAAAAAGAAAAAAUGUUUCACAGACAAGAUGAUUGGUUUUGUUGUUAGGGAAAGNNNNNNNNNNNNNNNNNNNNNNNNNNNNNNNNNNNNNNNNNNNNNGGGAAAGAAAUGCAUCUGAUCGGUCUCAAAGAAAUGCAGAAGCCAUCUGGCUCCAUCUCCUUCAUCCACGUGGCCGACCUAGCACGUGCACAUUUGUUUCUUACGAAGAAAGAAACAGCUUCUGGUCGCUAUUUUCUGUUCUCACAACACAAAUGUUCCAGAGAUUGCGGAUUUUCUCAGACAAAGAUAUCCUCAUUACAAUGUUAUUUCAGAGUAAGCAUUUGUUUCCACUGAAAUUGCAAAUUUUAAUUGAAAAAGAAGUUCUGAUUGUUUUCUCAUCAUAUUUUUUUUUUGGGUUGUGAAUUUGGCAGAUUUGAAGAGUGCUUAUCAAGUGCGAAACUGACGCUAUCCUCCGAAAAAAACUCAUCAACGAAGGCUUUCGAUUUGAAUAUGGGAUGAAGGAGAUGUAUGAUGAGAUGAUGGAGUACUUUGAGACAAACCCAUGGGCCUAAAGAAUCUUGAUUUUCCUAUGAUGUAAAAUGGAUUUUAUGAGUAUUGUAUAUGGGUCUCUGAUCUCAAUAUAUGAUUCCUAUAUGUUGGUUGAUUUUAUGUCUCUUUAUACAUAAAUGUUACUUGCAAUGUUUUUGGUUUGUUAAUAAAAUUUAUGUGUGGAGAAGUUUCGUGCUGUUUAUCUAAAACUUGUGAAAUGUCAUUUUGUUUUUGAAGUUGAAGUGUUUAUCAUUAUAUGCAAUGUUCUGAUUAUUAUACGACUCUGUUUUGCGACAAUCUGAAGAACGUACAGACAUGAUAGGAUCUGCUUCGUAUAAUUGACCAUUGAUUAUGAUUGUAGACUGAAUUCUUAGAAAGUGGUCCCAAAAGCACUAUAAUAAAAACGAGGAUUCAAUACCACGAAGUGUACGUGUUUUCUCUUGGCUAACUAUAGAUAUAUUUAGCUAUUGUAUAAUCCACUUUAUAACUCAGUAUUACUAGCGACAAAAAAUAAGAAAACCCUGUUUAUGGCUAGCUUCAUGAGUGAGAUUAGUUAAACUUUUAGUGGCUUCAGGUAAUGAAAUAUUUAAUUAGUGAUAUUUUUUUAAGUAUACCAUAAUGGUAAAGGAAAUUGCAGGCGCAUCACAAUAUUAUUGAUACUUGAUGUCAAUGACCCCAAAAAGUCAGCAAAAACUUAAACUCUCUUUAAUUUCAGAUGUGACUUCUUUCACAAGAACACCAUCUUUGUUAUAUAGGAAAAGAGGUCCCCUUCUCAUUCUUUCUUAUAUUAGGGUGGGGAUAAUCCGACGGUUCUUGCAACUUGAUGUGUUUGCAACUUGAUGUAAGGAUUUCACGUGAGAUAAGUUUGCUUCUCUUUCUUUUUCUUUGUAAAUAAUUUUCAACCAGGUGAUACCCGCGCAGGGCGCGGAGUGAAUGGAUUAAAAGAGAUUAUAACUUUUAAUCUAUAGAUAUUAGAAAUGCAAAACUUAUAGUCACAAGAUUACAUAUUAUAUAAUGAGUUGAGACUCACCAUAAGUGUUUUGCUUGCAAGAUCGAAUUUGUAAUGAAGGUUUGGGAAGAAGAAUGUGAUGAGUAGAUGUGCUCAAAACAACCUAUUUAUAUAUACGAUGAGGAAUGAUUAGAUUUCAAAUGAUGAAAUCGUAUGUGAUUCGGAUGAAAGCUAAUCUAUAAGAGUAAUCAAAAACUUAUAUAAACUAAAUUAUGAAGGAAAAAAAAAACACAUACAAUAGAAUUAUUGUUUUCAUAAAAUAAAAUAUAUAUAUAAGAUAAAACGAAAUAUAAGCAAUAAACUAAUAAAAUUCUUGAAAAACAUGAGCAAAAACACCAUAAGAAACACACUUAAUGAUGACGUUACUGUAAUCAUAAAACAUGAUAUUGCAGCAUAUGUGAUAGAAUAACAUAAUAAAGUGAAAUCACGAUGUUGUCACCUAGGUAAAAUGACAAUGUUACCACCUAGGUAAAAUCAGAAAAACCUAAUGUUUUGGUCUAGAAAAUGAGAGAGUUAAACUACUUCAAUAUAUAGAAGAAAACUGGUGGGAGAGAGUUAAGUCUACGUGAAAUCGUACAUCAAGUAGCAAAGAAAAAGAAACAAUGUCGGGAAUGUGGAGUGGCAAAUAUGACAAGUAUGGAAGAACCAUGGCCCCGGGUUCGGUUCCAGAACGAGGGUCGUGUGACAAGUGUGGUGACGAGAAACCGCCUCUGCAACAGACCCAAUGCAUUACAACUUGUGCGAGCGUUGUUUGGGCGGGUGCUACAGCCCUAUUUUUUACAAUCCCAGGUUCCGUUGUGAUGUCUGUGAGCAGUGGAAUAAGGCGAGGAAGGCUGCUAGGGCAGCAGCGGGAGAGGCUGCUGGCUCAGGAGAGGCUGCUGGCUCGGGAAAGGCUGCUGGCUCGGGAUAGAUUAAAUUCUUCGCACGCCAUAACAAUCUGUCUCUUGUUGAAUAAGAACUGAUUAAUGUUACUGAUCAGUGAUGUCUUUUAGUAUCUUCUACCGUGUGUUGAUGUUAUGUUAAAGACCAUUGGGAACUUUUUAAUGCUUACUAAUCAUUGAAGUCAAUAUAUCCACUGACAUUAUGUAGUUUAAAUCCUACAUCGUUCUGUUCAGACAAUAUCACUUUGAAACAAAACAAUACUACAAAUUUCAGAACAUGAGUGAAGAACUGAAAUAAAGAUUUGAGCUUUAGAGGAUCUAACCAGCAACUACUACCGAAUCUCAAUAUGUUUCGCCUUCUUUCUCGAACUGUUUCUGAUCCCACUUCGCAUACUGAAACAAUGAUUUUCGUCGUGGUGGUUGGCAAAUCAGUCUCGUCUCCUUCAUUAUCAGACGCGGAGUAGCUUUCCGUUGAAUAUUUAGCCGGUACCUCCUCUACAGAAGCCAAAGCAGGCUUCAAAAUCUCCACGGUGGUUGCAGAAAAAGGACCAGAAGCGAGAAGCGGGUUUUGACAUACCGUUGUCGGAGGAAGCUCAAGUGACAGAGAAGAGUCAGCGAGAAGGAUUGAUGUUGGGAGAUGAGCUAUGACCUUUUUAUAGGAGGAUAAACACCAACGGAAAGAGGAAUAAAAAGCAUUGAAUAUAGAGUAAAGAUGCGUAUUAAUGGAGAUGAAUCAGUAACGUAUUGGAGGAGACGAAUAUAUGACGAACCGAUGCGAAAUUCAAUCCAGAAAUUCAUCAGAAAUAGUAGACGUGAAAUGAAAAGAAGACGGAUUGGGAUGAACCUUAGAAUCAGAAGUCUAGAAUAACCAAAGACCAAAGCGACGCGCGUAAAAAAGUGCGUGAGAUACACGGACAGCCCAGCGCGUCGACAUGUGGCAAGAAAGCCCACCUUCUCCAGAGUGACGUGAAUAGCAUAAAAAAGGCAGAUUGUAUAACUUUAUAUAUAUAUAGAUAAAUAGGGAGCCACAUAAAAGUAUAUAUAUAUUUUUAGCACCUAUUCAAAAUUAUCAUAAAAUAUUUUAAAAUCCAAAACCAUAGUGGUGGUACAUGUGUAUACAUCGAGUGUUGUAGAGCGACCCGUUCAAGUCACAAUACGUGGUCAACACGCCAAUCGUGAGAUGACGCCGGUAAAAACCGACCUAAGUGAUGAACUCAUUGAGUCAUGACCACUUCCUGGUAACUACGCAUAUAUAUACUCUUCCCUCUCCUUUAUCUGAUAUCCAACAUAAACAUAACUCCUAAUUUUCUUUCUUAACCAAACAAACAAACAAACAAACAAAAACUCUUCCNNNNNNNNNNNNNNNNNNNNNNNNNNNNNNNNNNNNNNAACUCUUUCCCCCGAGAAAUCUUCUAGUUCAUUAUCAAGCGUGGUACAUGUCACAAACCUUUACGUUAUGUAUUUGUUGAUGAACCAUUCGCUUGUCCUCGUAUUCAUCCCUUGGUUGUUCCUCUCUGUUUUUUAGCUGAGGAAAAGGAAAUAAAAUGGACACUCGAGGAACUGGACCAAACCUCUGAGGCAGUUGGAUACGGUGCGGUGAAGUAAGCAUCAUCUCUAUUUAUUAUACUGCUGGAUUCUCUCCACAAAUUUGGCACAGCUAACUUGUUUUAAUUUUGUUUUUUUUCCUUCAAGGUAUGCUGACCUGAAGAACAAUAGAUCCACAAGUUAUGCUUUCAACUAUGAUCUAAUGCUUAGUGACAAGGUACUGGAAUUUUUUUUGGCAGCUAGUCUACAUAUUAAGGAGUCAUGUACACAUGCUUAAUUUAUAUUCAUCUUAUGUCUUGAGCAAGGGAAUACAGCUGCCUACCUUCUCUACACCUAUACUCGGAUCCACUCAAUCAUCAGAAUGUCUGGCAAAGACAUAGAUGAGCUGAAAAAGGUAUUUCUCUCAAGCUUUACUUAAAAAAAUUUCUUAUCAUUGUUAAUUUAUAAUAGCAAUCUGUGUGGUAUUCUCUACUAAAUUAGAGACUAAUAUUCUUGGAUUUGUUUCUUACUGAUUUUACAUUUUUCAUCUGUCAUUACUUUAUUUAUCGCAGACAGGUAAGAUAGCAUUGGAUCUUGCAGACGAACGGGCACUGGGUCUUGGCCUGGUUCAAUUUCCUGAGGUAAAAAUACACAUACUCAUUAGAUGGUAUUUUCACAUUCUUAUUUCUUUUUCUUGGUAACAAAACGAAUAGUUGCAACACAUUUUUCAGACUGCUGAGGAAGCGUGCACCAAAUUAUUGCCCAACUUGCUGUGCGAGUACCUCUACAACUUAUCUGAACUGUGCACCAAAUUCUACACCAGUUGCAAGGUAAGUAUUCCAGAAAAUUCUACUCUUCUAUUUACCCUGACCUAUAAUAAUAGAUUGCAUUACCUUUUAUAUGAACUUGAACCUUUUUUUUAGGUCAAUGGUUCAGUUGAGGAGACAAGCCGUCUCCUCCUUUGUGAAGCAACGGCCACAGUCAUGGUGAAAUGCUUCCACCUUCUUGGAAUCACCCCUGUUUACAAGAUGUGACUACACUCAAAUCGGCAAAUGAAACCGAACCCAAUACGGCAGAAGGUUUUUAUGUGCUGACAAUUAUAUAGGGGAUAUAUUUAUAUUAUAAGUUACUAGGGACUGAGAGUGUCAUAUUCUUCAUCCAUUAUCCACCAGUUUCUCUCUCGUAUCGUUUUGGUGGUUGUGUUUUUAUUAGCUUAUUACUCUAUUAAACUUGUCAAGAUCUUUCCUAGUCUAGAUUGUGAUUUAUAUUUCUUCCGGGCUUAAAAUUUCCAACCUUAUUGGAAAUGAACACCUGUUUUUAUAUACAGUAUGUGAGAACUGUUUUCAUAUACUAAAUCACAAAACUGUUUCUAUAGAACUGCUUAUAAUUUACAUGAACUAAUAUGUUGACACAUGGAGUAAUUUCAAUUGAUGGAUAGCCUGAUAUGCGAAAAGCGAAUAUUAAGCUUGGAUCAAUACACAUGAGACCUUAUGGAACCUCAUUUGUUUGUUUUUGUCAUUUGCCGCACAUCAACUGUAUGGAACCUCAUUUGUUUAGUGAGAAACUUCUGCUUUGUAGAAUAUUAUUAGCUGUGUGCAUCAAAUACCAGCCUUUAGUCAAAGAGUAAUAAGAAAAAAAAGUUGCCAAAAAGAAGUAAUGAGAAAAAAAGAAACUAAAAUAAAUAAAGAAUAUCUUCCUCCAAUAAAAUCUAAACACAUGUACCACUUCACGUCAAGUUGCAGAAACACUCAAAAACACUUUUCUUCUAUAAAUUCGUUCUCCUAAACCAUUCACAUUCCCCCUUCUCUCCUUCUUCUUCUCCUGAUUUCGUUUUUCUUCAUACGAUUCAUUAUAGAAGUUCUCAGCUGUGGUGAGAAUAUAAUCUUUAAAAACCAACACGAAGAUUCUCCUUCCUUCCUAUUCCUCUUCUCUUGAUUUUUGUUUUUCUUCAACGGUUCAUUUUGCAAAGAUCUAAGCUAUUGUGAGAAUAACCUUUCAAAAAAAAAACAUUAGACAAAAACAUUGAUGCUUAACCAGCAGUUCUUGGUCUUUGAGACGCAUGUCUCCGAUUAUACUCAGUGAGAUCUUCCUCUCUGGGUUUAUGUUAAACUCCACAAUCAGGCGCAGGACUCAUCUCGUUCAAUCUUUCUCUGUUGUCUUCCUUUACUGGCUUUAUUACGUCUCAUAGUUUCUCAAAUCUCUCCAUCUUUAUUUACAUACUCGUAUAAUUAAAACAAAACCCUAGUUUCCAAAAAUAACUCUUUUUUUCUUGGUUCUGUUCUGUUCUUGACUUCCCCUACAAGAAAACCCAUUUUAAUAUUCUCUCUUCUCGUAAAAGACUUCUUUGUUUGUUUGUGUGUGUGUGCUGGAUGGACUCGUCGUCGUCUGGAACAACUUCUUCGACGAUUCAAACGUCGUCAGGACCUGAGGAGAAUCUCAUGGAGCAGAGGAAACGGAAGAGGAUGCUCUCAAACCGUGAAUCAGCGAGGAGAUCAAGAAAGAAGAAACAGAAGCUUCUUGACGAUCUAACGGCUCAGGUUAAUCAGCUUAAGAAAGAGAACAGCGAGAUCGUGACAAGUGUCAGCAUCACAACGCAACACUAUUUAACCGUCGAAGCAGAGAACUCUGUUCUCAGAGCUCAGCUCGAUGAACUCAGCCACAGGCUCGAAUCUCUCAACGACAUCAUCGGUUUCCUUGACAAUACCAACGGGAUCUGUUCGAACACUCUGUCUGGUCCAGAGUCUGAUGAUUUCCUCACGAGUCAGUUUAAUAUGAACAUGUUUUAUAUGAACCAGCCACUCAUGGCAUCUUCUGAUGCGUUACUGUAUUAGAAAUGUGGGCCUAAAAACCUCGAAAUUACAAAAUGGGGUCGUUUUUUUUGUCUGAUUGCAAGAUAUGUCCAAAGAGCAAGAGAGAGAGAGAGAUAUGUGUAUAAAUGGGUAUGUUGUUCGAUUGUUCCAUUUCAUUUUCUUUUUGUAGUUUGUUCCGUCUUUGGCGCAAUAUAGUAAAAGCAUUGUUAUGAGUGUUGUUUGUAAUAAAGGCUCUGUUGCCGCAUGACUACAAAGUGCUUUUAAUAUCUCAAGUGGCCCUAUUUUUACUAGUUUAUUGAGGGGGUAGUAGUAAUUUUUUUUUUGGUAAAAUGGGUUAGUAGUAAUUGACUUCAAGUAAUGAAACAUGGAGCAUAUUUCUUUUAUAAUACAUGUAACAUGUCAUAUCUAUUUUCAAAGAGAAACAAAUCGUUAUUUUGAUUACUUAACCUGUGUUUCUUUUUAAUUGACCAACAUUUAUUUAAAAAAAGUCCCACGAUCAUUUACCUAACUACAAUCUCAUAAAGAGCUAGUAUUAUGCAAAUGACACUAGCUUCUUUCUCAGCACUCUUACAUUUACAUAAAGCAAAAUUUCACAAAAGGUAUUAAUUUAGUCUUCAAAAAGUGUCGAUAUCUCCAUGAUAUCAACGCCAACUUAUGCAUUUGGAUGUAUUCAUAAGAAGAAUUACAAAUCUGUUACACUACGUAGCUAGCUAGUUAGAUGAAUUGAGGAUUGUUAGGUUUAUUUUUUUAUUGGUUAUAUUUAUAUAUUAUAUAUAAUGUUUUAGUGGUGUUGAAUUGGUGAAAGAAGAUUUUUUAAAAAACCAGUGCAAAAGAAACAUAGAAUAAUUGUAAUGUAUGAAAAAAAUUGUAAUGUAUGGAGGCCACUCAAAUGUAAGGGUUAUCAAAACGCCCUAUCUGCAGAUUCUUGUAAUAUAUUUUCAACGUAUUUUUUAGUGAAUUUGAGAGGUUUUGAUGUGUACAAUAGUUAUACGUGAAAUCUUCGCAUCGUGUAUUGUUUACUUUUACACAUCUCAUCUUGUAACUUAUUUUCGUAUCUCGUUUUUUUCAGACUUUUUAAUUUCAAAGUUUUUUUUUUUUUUUUGAACAUUUCAACAAAAAAAAAAUUUUGAACAUUUUUUUUUUUAAUUUCAAAGUUCGAUAUAUAUUUAUGAGUACUCUAUAUGUAUACACCAGUACAUCACAAAAUAAUGGUUAUAUUUCCUCGUGACUCGUAAUGGGGAAUCCUAUUCUACCCUUUACUGGCAGUAUUAUACCUUUAGAUGCUGCCUAGUUUGUUUUAUAUUCAUUGAUAACGGAUGGUUCAUUCAUGAAUAUUAAAAAUAUAUAGAAGCCUUUUUAUUUUUAUUUUUAUUUUUAUAUAUAAAGGGGUCUUCUAUUUGAUAGUUUCCUUUUUGCUACCAUUAUUUCAAGUACAUAUACAGUAUUCCUUCUUGAGAGUAUCGUUGCAUGUGUCAACUCAAGACUCGAGAGAUUAAAAGGGGGUCUUAUGUGGUUUGAUCUAGGCUUUUAAUACAUAGAGGAGUUAUGUAAUUAAUUGCUUAGUUUUAAAAUUAUAGUAUUUGAAGAUAACAUACUAGCUUAUACAAAAACGUAAUUUAAGUCAAGGAGUUAAUUGAUAGAGUAGAAUGAUUUACUUCCCAACAUUUUGAAUGAGAAAUAAAAAAUGUAAAUACUUAAUUGGAAAAAACUUUAGACUACAUUUCUAGAGUGAGAAUACAAAAUGAACAUUAUGAUACGGUAAAAUUGUAAACAAAUGGGCAAAAAAAUAACGCAUGUUGAAGACAGCUAGCAUUAAUUUUAUUGUAUUUUAAAUAAAAGGAUAUGUUAUUUAAGUUCACAAAUAACCUAGCGGUUAUUAAAAACUAUAAAACAUAAUAUUAAUAAGCCGUAAUCAAUUAUGAGAAAUUUGUCAUGUGCAGGGAACAAUACUUGCCGGUAUUUGACCUAAAACACAUGAUGAUUUAGCGACUUUAAUACUAUAGAUCCCUAAUUAGGUGUUUUUAUUGUUAACAUUCGUUCUCAUAGAUACCUGAACAAACAUAACUGCUUUUUUUUUCUUUUUUUGAUCAACGCAUACCUGCUUCUUGUAUACUCCCUCCGUAUCACUUUUAAGUGAUAUUUAACAAUUUUUAUUUUGUUUCAUAAUAAAUGAUGUUUUCAUAAUUCUAGAUAAAAUUUAAUGUCAUUUGAAACUUUUGACCAAUUACAAAAUACUACAUUUAUUUUUAUUGGUUGAAUUAAUUGUAUUUAAUGUUAUUUUAUAUGAUCAAGAUAAAUUACCUAAGAUUUUGUAUUUUAAUAAUAUUUGUGCAAAAACUUUAAACAUCAAGUGAUACAUAGGGAGUAUUAAAUUAUAACCAAUUGGUUUGGCUUACGAUAUACCAUGCCAUACAUCCAACAAAUAUGAUCUAAUUCUUUGAUUAUAUGUAUAUUUGCUGUAAACUUAUAAUGUUUAAUUUCCAUCGUUUUGUGGACUUAGAGUCACUGUCAAGAGUAGAGUUCUUAAUCAAUUUUGAGUUACCUACUUCUUAACUAAAUUUUCAUCUCGCCAUCUUCUCUAUUUCCAUUCAUUGACAUCUUAACUGUUGCACAUGAUACAUCUACGCACUUGUAAAGUAUUGUCUACCACACUAUAACAUCAAUUUGCAAGACGUAAAAAAAACUUAUCAACCUGAGAAAAUGGAAUCAGAUCUUCGAGAGGGUUGAAGAAAAACAUAGGAGCCAAAAGACGGCCAUUGGCGCAUGGGUCGAACUUCAACAAUAGCGGCAUUAAUCUCGAUUCUUACUCUCCACAAAGGCAUUUGAAGAAAGCUCCAUAGUCCCCUUUACUUAAAAGUUGAGGCCCUAGCAGUUUGGAACUUCUUUUCUAUUAUUUACCUAUCUUUUGUUCGAGGGGCCAAAUUAUAACUUUUCAAACAGCUUCAUUUUGAUCUACAUUACAGAUUACAUACACCAAAUUAUUUACAUGAAUACCUGCGGAUAUUCUUGAAGAUUCGUGAGUUAAAAGAUAUAUAUUUUUGAUUAAAAUAAGAACGAAAAGAAAUGAAGAAGAGCUUUUAGCAAAAUAAAGAGGUAGUUUAAAAUUUAAAACGUUUCUAGACUAGUUGUUAUAUGAUAAUGUUUUGUCAUGGUGUCAUAUAUUUGUUUUGGUAUUACCAUCCCAUGUAACAUGCAAAGGUAUUUAAGGUUGUCCAAAUCAUAAUUUGAGUCGCCUAUCAUGAAGGAAAAUGUUUUACCUUGAUUGAUGAAUAAAAAAAAACGAAAUAUUACAACAAAAAAAUCUGUAAAUCACAGUAACAUGAUGUAGGUGUACCGUAAGUUCGUAUUAUUAUAAAUAGAUAUUAACAAAAGACAUAGAAAUAUUAUUAAAAAAAACUAUUUGUCAAAAAAAAAAAGAUUAUCAAAAGGUAAAUUUGUCAUGACUGAAACUGUGGUCAGUUGUUGAGGCUUAUUAAAGAGGAUUUUAAUCAAAUUGGGAAAAGUCGCUUAAAGAUAUUAAAGCAAAAAUUAAUAAAUUCUAACGUGUCAUGUUCUUAAUUAAUGAAUUAAUUAAGAAAUUCUUUCUAAUAAUGCUGACGUAAAAAUUUAAUGUAUCUUUUCCCUUAAUGAAAAGUAUUGUUUUAUGAAUCACCACCUUCUUUAAAAAAAUAAGAGAGUAAAUUUUGUUAUACUAACCAUUUUAAUAUCUUUCAUUUUUGCUUCCAGGUCUAGCUUAUUUUUAAUAUUCAAUAUGAUAAUAAUUUUCUUACAUAAGAAAUUAUUAAGUUAUAAAAAGAGAGAGUUGUUAAGUUAAACAUUUUUCCUACUUCACUUCAGAAACAUUUUUAAAAUUUAAAUGGUUUAAACAAUAUGAAUUUAAAAUAAUAUAUCCCAAAAAAGUUUUUUUCAAAUUUAUAUAUUUUACCAUAUUUUAUUUAUUAAAUUUUAUUCAUACAUUCGUUACUAAAUUUUUAUUAUCAUAUAAGUUUUACUACUUAAAGUUAAAGUAUUAAUUAAUAUAAAAAUAUCAUAUCACAUUCUUUAUACCAAAUUAUUUUUUACCAAAUUUGUUAAAUGACUUAAAUUAAUAUAUUUGUGAUCGAUUAUUUAUUUAGCAUAUACUUAUAUAAUAUAGUUUUAAACAUUUUUCGCUAAGAUAAUUUUAAACAUAUUAUUUGCUUCUUUUUUUGAACAAAAAACAUAUUAUUUGCUUUAUAUACAUAUAUAUGUAACAAAUAGCCGUACCAUGGGACCAGAGUCCACAGUGAUUUUAAAGGCCUCCAGAAAUAAAAGACUACCAGCCAAUAACAGGAAGACGUCGGUGCUUUUUGUAUAAAGGUUCAAAGGGAAUAAAGGGAGAGGGCUAGACUUUGGCAAACAACUGCAAAUAUAUUUUUUUCCAUCUGGUUUUGAUCAAUGAAACUUGUAGAACAUACAAGAAUGAGAUUUUAAAAACUGCAAAUAGUUUAAACUUCUCUGAAUAUAUAUUUUCUUUUUUGAAAAAGGGCUUAACUUCUCUGAAUAUUUACUUUUACAAAUUUAAUUUUGGAAACAUCGAUGACGAAAUAGUACAUAGCAAGAAUUAGUUAUAUCGAAAAAAAAAAACAGUUAGCAAAACAUGUGACAUGGCUUAUAAAAUAAUGAAAUAAUAAUGUAUGCAAAUUAACUAAUUCAUAGUGUGAAACAGAAAACUAUACAUUUUUUUUGUUUUUCUCGCAUUCUCCAUUUUGUUAGAUCAUAAUAAGGGAUACCACUAUUUUCAGGCGGCCUACAUUAUACGUAUGUCUAUAGUGAACUUCAAUCCAUAUCUGUAUGGUUACACAUAUACCGAUAUACUUACCACCAGGACAGCUUGACAUUGUUUUGGGCCCUUUGCCAAAAAAAAGUUUUUUUUAUCGUCUAAAAUUUUUAUUCAGAUAAUAUUUAAAAUAUUUUUAAAAUUUAAUCAGUAAUAUUUUGAAUAUUUUGUGAUAAAAAUAAAACUAUAUACAUAUCAAAUAUUUUCGGAUCCUUUUCAAUUUUAUUUAGUAUAUUUAUAAUUUUUUUAUAUAAAAAUAUAUAGAUUUAUAAAAAAAAUUAGACUCCAUAAUUAUUAAUAUACGGAGGAUACGGAUUUGGGCCCAGGGUUCGGGGCGGUCGCACAGCUUGUCCCCUCCUCAGCCAGUCCUGCUUACAACACAAUUAUUUGAUUUGAAAGAUUUAUAAGGUGAUUUUGAUUAAAAAGCUAAAUUUUUACAAAACUAAAAUCUAUAGUCACAUAAAUUAUAAUUUAAAUUCUACGGCAAAAAAAUCUAUAUCCGUAACCUCAACUAGUGAAGUCUUUAAGCACAUACAUCAGACAAUAUCGUACAGACAUGCAAAUAUUGAUCCAUAUGCAAUACCGUUUAAUGAUCACACACAAAAAUCACAUUGCAUAUACAUAAUCAAUUUAUAUAUAGGGUUAUUCUUGGGUUCACCCUAUAUGAUAUCUAGGUUCACCAACUAAUAGGAUUUCAUUAUUUUAAAUUCGAUAUUUUUUAGAAAAUAAAACAAAAUAUUGUCAAGUUAUAUUAUGUUUUUAAAAUAAAAAGAUUAAAAAAAAAUUUUAGUUACAAAUUUUUUUUUUAAAGUAUUUUUAACGUCGUCAGCAAAACACUAAACCCUAAAUCCUAAUCCUUAAACCAUAAAUCAUAAACCCUAAACCUUUGGGUAAACCAUAAACUCUUGGAUAAAUCAUAAACUCUAAAUAAAAACACUAAACAGUAAAAUCCUAAAUCCUAAACCUUAAACCCUUGAGUGUUUUAAUGUUUAGUGUUUUUGAUUUAGAGUUUAGAAUUUAUCCAAGGGUUUAGGGUUUACCCAAAGAUUUAUGGUUUAGGGUUUAGGGUUUACCCAAGGAUUUAUUUUCUUUUACUUUUUAAAUUUUAAAAACAUAAUAUAAUUUUACAAUAUUUUGUUUCUUUUUCUAAAAAAUAUCGAAUAUGAAAUAACAUAAUCCUAUUGGUCGUGAACCUAAGAAUAAAGAGCAUGGAGUAAACCUAAGAAUAAGAACCUUAAAUCUAACUCCUAACUCUAACUCUAACUCCUACUUGGAUGAACCUAUAAUUAAGCCUUUUAAAACCCAAAAAGCUUAUGAAAUGUUGAAAUUUGUGUGAAUGCAAAGCUAAUUAAUUGAAAGGCCCAUCAUCUUAACAAAUAAGGUAACUACAGAUAUUAUAAAACCUCAAAAGCACAGGCCCAAAUUUAUAUAUCUUAAUACGGACCUACAAUAUGUUUGAUUAUGUUGUCCAUUACAAGUGUACUACUAAGCCUAAGCGUCAAUAAUCUAACAAUCUAUAGGCCUUUCAUCGUUUUAUUGUUUUUAACUUUUUAAUCGUAUGUCUUUGUGUCGCAUCUAAUUUUCCUUCUUGCUAAGAUAUUUUGGGGUUCGGUAAUCGGGUUGUAUAAAGAGCUAUGCUCUUUGACUUUUCUUGAACCUCAUCUAGGUGUCCUUCCUUACUAGGAUUUAUGAUGUGUUUUAUAUGGUUUUGGUUUGUAUGAGUAUCUGUGUUCAUUAAGAUUUUUCCUCUGGAUCAUAGUUUUACUGUUAAUUAAUAACUUGAUAUAUUUCUAAACAUGAUGGUGCACAAGUCGAAAAAAAUAAAAUAAAAAUGAUAUUAUCAACUUACCAGACACGCUUAAUCAGAAAUUAGUUGUGCGGGUUUUUGACGAGAUCAGUCAUGGGUUUGUUGUGCGUGUCCCUAUGAUAGGAUGUGCAUUACACUAGCUUAAUAAAAUAUUUUGUGAGAAAACAAAACCGUAAUUAAGAAUCGUGAGAGUACGGUCAUCCUCCACUACAUCAUCUUUACAUCCUACUUUAAGUGAAACCAUUAGAUAAUACGCCGAAAAUUUAUCACAGUGACGAAUCAGUCAUUAAAGCAAAGUUCAAACAACUUUGUUCUCUUUCCAUAAUCUCAAUUAAUCAGCUAUCUAUUUAGGUUAUUUAUUCUGACGAAUCAGUUCACCAAAGCAAAGUUUAACCAAAACUUUCUCCUUUCUCUAAUCUCAAUCGGCAAUCCAUUUAAGUUUGACACUUUGCAUAUACUUUACAUUCAACUAGGUGAUAAUCCGCGCCUUGCGCGGAAUGAGAUGAUUAAAUUUGUAUUUUGCGAAAUAAAAAAACAUUAAAUAUGAUUAAUUUGGAUAUUAGUUUGUUUUGCAUUGAUUGUUUCAGGUGUUAAUGAGGAGGAUAAAGAUUGGCGACGUUAAUUAGUUGAAGUUUUUGAUUUUAUGGUCAUAACCGGAAGACUAUAACUACUUAUUUGGUUUCAUGUUAUAUGAAGUUUAGACAAUAUUGAUGUUAAGCUUUCAUAUCAUAUUCAAAUUUCUAAACAGAUGCAAAAUUAAAUCAAUUCGAGAUAAUUGUUGCGGAAAAAAAGAAUUUAAAAAAUACAUUUCAUUACAAUUUAGUUAAUAGUCAAAUGAACCAUUAAAAUUCUGUUUUUUGUUUUCAAAAUUGCUAUAGAUUUAGAAAGCUCACUUACGGUAAACAUUUAACUGUAUAAGUAUUCACUUAAAUUCAUAUAUAUACAGACAUACACAUAUGUAUAUGUAAAAAUAAAAAAGUGAUUGAUAAAUAUAUAAACAUACCAUUAAUUAAUAUAGAAACCACUGUUUUGGUCAAUAUAACAAUCGGAAGUUAAUAUGCUUACAUAAAAUUAAUUAAAAAUAAAAUUGAUUCGUCCUUUAAUUUUUUUUUUCAUAUACAGAAAAUCUAAUUGUAUACAUAAACAAUAACAUUAGUACAUAUACAAAUUGAGCCUGAUGAAUUUAUCCUUAUAUUAUGUUAUAAAUUGGCCCAAUCAUUUUUGAAAUAAUAUUUUAAUGGUUCAACAUAUAUUGUAUAAUAGGGUCUGCUUCAAAACAAAUAAAGCCUAACAUUUUAAAUCAUAUUUUAGUUUUUUUUUGGCUCAGAUUCUUAAAAAUGUUUUCUAAAUUAUGGCCCUUAACUUGGAAGUGAUUUAGCGAGGAGAAAAAAAUACGACUGGUGUUAAAAAAACAAAAAAAUAAUGCCGAUUGAAACCGUCGAGGGUUUCGUCCCCACGCGAUAAAAGACGGUACUUCGCAGACAUUGUCUCUUUUCGUCCCCACGCGAUAAACGACGGUACUUCGCAGUUAUCGCAGCCAUUAUAGAAGAAUGAGGGAAGAGUAUUUAGGUUUUGUGUGAUUGAGAUGAGUAAUAAUGGUUUUGGUACGUGUGUGUUAUAUAAGAGUAAAAUCCUAAGGCUUGUAACUUAGUUUCCUCCGUUAAAAUCGAAUUUAUUAUCAAAUAUUUUUGCCUUGGCCUGCACAAAACGAUUUAAUUAUAUUGCCAAACACGGUUAUCUUCGUUGAAAAUCAUAUAUUUUUUGCCUUGGCCAGCAACCAACGAAUUGGUUAUAUUCGCAGAUUUCAAUACACUUACAAACUGGGAACCGACCGGUUCGGUUCUGUUUGUCUUCAGAAUUACGGAAUUCUCACGUAACGUUGUCAUAAUGCUUCGGUGUUCUCAAGUAACAAACUAACGGUACGUUGAAUACAUUGUAGUGUCACAAAUCCCUUUGGUUUUAUCUCUUCUCGGGACUCUCUAUACUCUUCUAUAUUUUUUAUAGUUCAAGCAUGCUCAUAGUUUGACACAUUGAAGAACAAAGUUAUGCGAGAAGAAGAAGUCACGUUCAAGAACAACAUUAGACAGAGUAAUGAUACUCUUUAUAGUUCAAUCAUGCUCAUAGUUUGCAUAUUCUUGCCACGAGUCUAAGUCUCAUUAUGACCAAGCACCAUGACCUUACCAUGAUGCGUCAUGUAAUUGUUAGACAGAGUAAUCACCGUCGAGCCCAUUAUAGCAUCACUAAGCCAGUCUUCACAGUUAGACAACGAACAGUGAUCAACCCAAACAUGAUUCUCUCUGAAGAUCGACACACCAUCACCGUCUUCUCCACCCGUAAUGUCGUGGGGAGCUUCGCACCUUAGCGUUCCCACCUGGCUUGCAGUCAUGUUUAUGAAUCCCGUGGAUUAUAAUGUUGGUCACGUACUGGAUCGUCAUGCAAGGCCCCCAGCGAUGUGCACGGACGCGCCACGACCGUCGAUGGUCUUGAAAGAGUUCAUGAUGAGUUCUGAUUUGAGAUGAAUGGUCAUGUCUCGUUGGAAGAUGAUCCAGAGCGGCUCGUCUCGAACCACAUCGUGUAUUAACUUUCCGGGCUUAGGGGUCACUGGGUCGUCGUUUCCUGAGUCGGUCACCAUGUAGAACUCCGAAGGUUUCUUUUAUAACAGUGAGUUUGAAGUAAAAGUUGGGUAAGAAGGAACAAGAGAGAACUCCGAAGCAUUAGCUUUACGUGAGAACUCAUAGCAAAAUUUCCUGAAAAAGCUAUAGAUACAUGUAGUUGGUUUUAUUUUGGGAGAGUAAGGAAACUCUCUACGAAAUCUGUUUACAGAACCGGUGAAUAAGGAAUUUUUUUUUUGGAGAGUGUCUCUCCAAUGGACACGUGUCUAACUUGGUGUGAAAGCAUUAACUACAAUGCUUCUCUUUUAAGAGUUAUUCUUGGGUUCACCCCCUAGGGUGAACCUUUAGGUUCACCAACCAAUAGAAAAUUAUCAUUUUAAAUCUAGUAUCUUUUAAUUAAGGAAACCAAAUAACUUGGCAAAUUAUAUUAUUUUUUCAAAAUAAAAUUUAAAAAUAAAUAAAAAUAAUAUAUAAAAAACGAAUUCAAAAAAAAAAAAAUGUUGUCAACAAAACACUAAACCCUAAACUCUAAUACUAAACCCUAAACUCAAAUCCUAAACCCUAAAUCCUUGGGUAAACCCUAAAUCCUUGGGUAAACCCCUAAACCCUUGGAAAAACACUAAACAUGUUGUCAACAAAACACUAAACCCUAAACUCUAAUCCUAAACCCUAAACCCUUGGGAAAACCUUAAACCCUUGGGUAAACCCUAAACCCUUGGGUAAACCCUAAACCCUUAGGUAAACCCUAAACCCUUGGAAAAACACUAAACAUUUGGAUAAAUUCUAAAUUAUAAAUCUUAAACACUAAACUCUAAAUCUUAAAAAUAAAUAUUUUUUUUAAAUAAUCUUUUUUAAGAACUAUUGUUAUUUUUAUUUAUUUAAUUUUUUAUUUUUUAUUUUAAAAGCAUAAUAUAAUUUGGCAAGUUAUUUUGUUUCCUUAAUUAAAAGAUACUAGAUCUAAAAUGACAACUUUCUAUUGGUUGGUGAACCUAAAGGUUCACCCUAGGGGUGAACCCAAGAAAAAGUCAUCUUUUAAUAUAUAAGAGAUUAUUUUAAGAAGAUUGUGACUCUUGAUUGGAGAAUAAUAAUAUGACCGAUACUGAAUGUCAUCAAGUCUUCAAGGAUUCUAUAUCAUUAUGAAUUUACGAAGGUUUGGCAAAUGAGUGAUGAUUGCUGCUUUUCUAAAAAUUAAAAGUUGAAUCCAUUCAUAUUAAAUAAUCAAGCUACUAACUUCUUUAGACUUAUUGUGGCCAACAACAGGAAAGUGGCCACCUUUCAACUUUUUCUCUAAUCCCACCAUUUUCAAUAUUUCAUGAACAACUAAUAAUUAUAAGUUUAUAACCUAUAAAGCAUAAAGAGAUAUUUGCAUUAAUUAGAUGAUCAGUUUAUCGAAAUGUAGUGCUAUUUUUAUUUAUUUAUAAUUAGUGCAGAUUCAUUAGAAACACACAAACUAAUUUCUAAAGGUACGUAAAAGCUAGUUUUGUUUAUAUAAAAGCGGAGUUAACUUGUAGUGGUGUUAUUUCCUUAGAGAUUAUAUAUAGUGACAAACCAAAUGCAUGGGCUUCUAUUUUGAUAAGGUGUACCUAAAUCAAGAAGAUAUAGCUUAAGAGCACAUCCAACACUUUCGUUAACUUGCUUUUUCAUAGACAAGAGUUGAAGAAGAUGUAUUUAUUACAAUUGGUGAAGAAACUAGGUUUCGUCUUUCUUCUUGUUACAGCUUCAAUGUUUGCUUUCUCUUCUGCAGGUGUUUUCCUUACCUCUCCCUCACUCUCUAUCUAUCUAUCAAUAUAUAUAUAUCCUUUUCUCCUUAACUUCAUGUGCCUAUUAUUUGUUCAGCUUUUAGAAAGUAGGAUUAUUACUUGUGCUCGUUUGUAAACACUUGAUGGUUAAUUUUUUGACAUAUUGUGUUACUGUUAGCAUUAUUUGGAGUACUUAAUCUUGGAUAUGAAAAACAAACAAAUUUCAUCAUCAUUGUUUUUUUGUAGGCCGACCAUCCAUUCUAAUCUAUAGCCAAGAUGAUAAUCAUCAAGAGGUUAGUCAUUGUUUUAACCCCAAAAAGUUGCCAACUAACCGGCGUUGUAUAAAGCAAAAUGAUUAUGAUUUUCGAGAAUUAAUCAGAUUAUUUCAAUAACUAAAAUAAUACUUUGGUGAAUAAAUAAAGCUGUUAUAUAUGUGGACAGUUGGUGAAAAGAAGGAUACAUGAACAUGAGAGAAUCCUGAAGAUGAAUUCAAGAGACUAUGGUCAGUUCAAUCCUACACCAAAGCUCUUCAGGCCUCCUUCCAAGCUUAUUCCCAACUGAUCACAGGAUUCAUAAUACGGAUCGACUGUAUAUAGAUGGCAACUUUAUGAGAUGUAUGAUAUAUAUAUAUAUACCUAAAGACUAACAUAUUGCAAUAAGUUUAAAUGAUGUUCCAGUUAUCAUAAGAAAUUAAUAGUAUGUUAAUUAGUAAAGAUGCUAUAGUCUUUGUUCAUAGGUGUGUGAGUUUGGUGAAAGUGCAUGUCACUUUAUCACUACAAUAUAUGGUUUGGUUAUCAUGCAAUAUUGCAAUGAAUGGAAGAUGAGGCAUUGAUGAACUAUAUUUAUUUACAACUAAAGAAACAAAUCAAGAUGUAUUUUUAACUGUUUUUCAAUCUUCCACUAGAGUUCAAAUUUAAAACUCAUGAUUCUGAUUGUUGUACACUUUCUUACACAAAAGAAUGUUUUCUUUAUACAAUUAUUUCUAUUUUUUUUUCUCUGACCAAAUCUUCCACUAGAGAAUUGAGACUGAUCAUAACAUUCACACACACAUUUAUUCCUCCCCAUUGCUUUUUCUUCAAGCUACAAAAUCAUGUACCAUUUGUGAAGAAUUUAUCCUGUUCUGGCGACUCCCAGGGUUUACAUACUCCAUCUCAGCUCCCGGUAUGUCAUUUCCGUAAAUAUCAACCCCUGGAAAGCUGUUGUACGCCUCACUAGACAUAGCAACAACAUUAUCAUGUCCUUGAGAAUUCUGAAGUCCUAGAGUUAAAGAGACACCACCACCACCACCAAAUCUUGAAAUCUCAGCCACAUGAUAUGUAGGCUCAAUUGUUAUAAACCUCCCACCAUCCAUUUGAUGACCGCCCUGGACCAUGCCACAAGUUUCCACACCAUACUCAUGUCCAUGAUCUUGUGGAAGCUCUUGAGCUCGAUCUUCAUCAUCAGCAACAACAGGACGUACCUCAGACAUUUUUGGUGUACUUUCGGAGGACGAGUUGGAAUCAUUCUCUGUGAACUCCUCCUUAUAUAUUUCUUCCACCAUUGGCUUCCAUAAACGCACACGCGCAUUUAUAAACCAGUUUGAGACCUUUUUACAAACACACAUCAACCAAUAAAUAAAUAAAACUUACAAAGAGAAAGAAAUAAUCUUCAAGUAAAGCAAUGUAGUACCUGACCACGGCUCAACCCUGUUUGUCUUGCUAGCAUGAUCUUGUCAGAAUCCUUUGGGUAACUAUACAUGUUUCCAAACAUUAAUCCGUGUUUUAUUAUGAAGAAUUUAUGUGCUAAGUUUCAUGGAUUUCCAAUUCAAAACCGAUUGGUUAUUAGUGGACUGGUCCAUAUCACUUCUAUAUUAUUUAUAUUCCAAUGAAACUCUAUUUGAAAGCUUAUAUUCUUACACACUAUGGGAGAAAAGUUUUGGAAGAGAAACUUACGGGUGAAGAAAAUGUUCAAAGAGCCAAGCACGGAGAAUCAAAACAGAGUUUUCAGGUAGGCCACGUUGAGGUCUCCAAGCCUGAGGUUGCAUGAAACCUCUUUGUUGUCUUAAAUGUUGAUCAACGUACUUAAGUCGGCUUAUUGUCCCAACUCCUUUCCCAUCAGAACCAUCUUGUUCCCCGAGGCAUUUUCGUGUCACGACGAUUUGUUCUGAUAUUGCAUCUCUUAGGCUACGGAAAUGGCGUGAAAUGGUUUGAAGAGCGAGUGCUGUGUAUGGCUUAGCGGCUCCAUAACCUGCUAUCACGUCGAAGGAGGAUACAACUAUCUGCAUCUGCUGGUAAUAUUGCUUAUAUCUUCUAUCCACCUUUACCAACAUCAAAUACACAAAUACAACAUGAUAUUAUUAUACACCAAAAGAUUAUUCAAGAUUAUGGAUGGAUUUGUUAAUUCAUGCUUUUGCAUUUAUUUUUGAUUAAACAUUUUCUAUAAUAAAUAUAAUGUUUGCAUUUAAUAUUUUUUUAUCAAAGCAUUUAAUAUAUUAAAUUUAUGAAUUAAUUUUAAAAAUCUAUUAUUAUAAAUGCAAAAGCAAUCAAACGAUCUAAGCCUAUCAAGUAGCCAUUGCAUGAUCAAAGAUGAGAGGUUUCAUUGGCAUUACCUCAUCCAACAUUGACAAGAGUUUUGUCAACUUGUUAUGCAAUUCUUGUCUCUCUGAUUGAGAGAUCUCAGCGGGAGGAUUCUUGUUUGAGUCUUGAGGGUUUUGAUCCGGUUCUUGAGGGUUCUCUUUGUUCUUAUCUCCUUCUGGCUGAAACUGAUUCAGAGAUUUCUUUACAUUAACAGCCUCAUCUAGAAGCUCUUGAGCUGCCUUGAGAUACUUUGAGUUGGGAAUUGUUCUCACAACAUCCAUGUUCGGGUUACCGACCGGAAAGCUCUGAGUUGCAUACUCAUUGCCUCUACAAUGCUCCGGUCUUGGAGACAUUCCCUGAUGUAUACCAGGGAGAAUCUGUGAACCGAGGCUAAGGGACAAUCCUUGACCGGUCUGAUGAACUCUCGUAGGGCCUGCCAUAGCGUUCACUAGCUGGAAACCACUCCUGUCACUCGCUUGAUCUCUCCAAGAACCGAAAUCCUGAAUGUCCUGCAUUUGUGAAACUCCACCAAAUCUUGAAUAUACUUGCGUUUCAUGUGAGGCUGAGACAUUGCUAGCUUCUGUUCUUUUUCUACCGGCUGCUUCCUCUGAGUAAGAAACGGUAGUGUUCAUCAUUGCGUUUCCGGGAAGAAACCGAGCUUCCUGAUAAUUCUCCAUCGAAAUGUAGCAAUGCAGUGUGCUUCUUGGAUCAGUUGAGUUCCAUAGUCCUUUGUCCUGUGAUCAGGUCGCAGAAGCUUCAUAUCAAACACAAACUUGAGUUUUCAUCAUUCAUCAAACACAGAUCCUUUAAUAUAUUUCCAUCUUGUUACAAGAACUUAACUAAUAGAGAAAAUGCCUGAAAUUGAAGACGAAUUAAAAAUAGUUGAAACAGAGUGGGUGCAUAGUAUUAGCUAAAAAAUCAUGUAAGAUUUCACCAUAUUUUGAAUAUAAGGCUAUGCAUGCAAUUAUGGAGAUGUAAGCAUAAUCCAGAGAACGCAAUAAAGAAAAAAACUGGAGUUGAAAGAGAAAUAAAGAAGGAUUAGAAAAGUUAUACCUGUAUAUAAACUGCUGCUUUGUUGAAGAAGACAAAGCUAAAUCUUAUAUUGAAAUUAAAAAAGUGAAAAUGAUGAUCCAACAAAUUACAAAAUGUGAAAGACUUUCUUUUCUUCUGGUGAUAUAUAAUUAGAAUUCACCAUAUAAUCAAUGUCACACGUGAAAGGCCCAUAUCAUUCUCUCCCUCUCCCAGAAAAAGAAAGCAAAUAAAAACUUUUCUUUUAUUUGAUGUAAAAUAAAGGGGGGAAAUAUAUCAAAUAAAGACUCUGUUUUAUUAAGAAGCUUGCUUCAGAAAGCUAUAAUCUGGUUGGUGCUUGAAUUUGCUUGUUAAUUCUUGGAGUCAAGUCAUUGGUAAAGAGAAGAAAAUUGUUGAGAAAAUGUUAUAAAUGUAUGGUUAAGGAGUUUCUAUCCUUAACAACUAGUUGGUCGACCUAAACCCCUCUCUUCAUCUUUCUCCUAAUCCCAAAUCUUAUCUUCUUCUUUUUUUUGUCUCAUAGAAACAUGUUUAUUAAAAGAAUAUCCACCAUACGAUUACAUUCUGCAAUUUUAUUUUCUUUAUUUAAGCAAAGAAGAUGCUUUUGAUUCUUCAAAACUUAGGAAAAACCUUUUAAUUUUGUUAUUUUUUAAUUGCAAUUUAUCUGUGUCAAAAUAAUAAAUUCUAAAACUACCGUAUAUCUUUUCAACACAAACUAUUAAAUCAGUUAAAAUUUAUUCAUGCGAAUAAUUUAUAUUUUAACGAUUUAGUAUUAGUGUUAUUGUUAUAUCAUAACUAGGGGUUUUAAACUCAGACAUGCUUAUGUGAAUUUAAGACGAUAAAGACUAAUACAGCAUAUUAGGUAUUAGUGUUAUUAGCUACAUUGCUUUUUAAGGAAGCCAUUAUGGUUUCUUCUUCCAUGUCUUUAUACUAUCUCCUUUUAAAUAUAUAUAUAGAUAUUUUUUUUUGUUAUUUGAAAGUACAUUUGUGGACUGUGUUAGUCCAGAGGUGAUAUAGUUGCAUACAACUAUCAAAGAAACAAGGGUCCCAAAGAAAUAACAAACACACCUUUUUUCUUGUUUUUUUUUUUUUUUGUAAACACCAUAAGUGCCCAGUUUUCCCCCACUGAGUUUUGUCUUUUCCUAUGAACACCUUGUAGGUAUUUGUGGAUUGGUACCUUUUCUUUCAAAUGUUUUUUUGUUUUAGCAUUCACUUUCUUGCUUUACUGAAGUCUAUACUCUAUACAUCCUAACUUGGUAAAUACUAAAAUAUUUUUAGCUGACUUUUUUUUCAUGGAAAUCAGCUUAAUGACAUUACAGGCUAGAGCCGACAAAAAUAGUUAGUUCCAUAGAGAUAUGGGUUUGUGAGACUUGAGAGCAUCAACACAAACAUAAAGUGGUUGGAUAUCUUGUAAAGAAUUAGGAAGUUGAGGGUAAAUUUGUGAAGAAACAAAAAGUAUUAGGGAUAGAUGGAAAUAGAGGAAAAGGUGUCUGAACUGGGACAGAUGGUGCAGCGAGAGGGUCAGAGUCAGAGAUGAGGUAAUAAUAAUACGAACAAUGGACUCGUCUGAAAAGAGAGAGAGAAUCUACUGGUGGAUACGAAGCGAGAGAUCUUGUUGGGCCAAGAGAGCUGUAAUGUCCCCCCCCCCCCCCCCAACNNNNNNNNNNNNNNNNNNNNNNNNNNNNNCCCCCCCCCCCCCCCCAAGCUUUUCUCUCUCAGAUGUGCCUUGUCAUUCUAUGGUUUAAUUAUUUUCAUGAGGAAAAACUUAAAACAUCCUAUAUCACAUUUGGUAAAAGUAAAACUAUAUCAUUUUGUUUUAAGUCAAAAGAUUGUUUUCAUUAGAAGAUUAAGUUUGAAAUAGUUUAUCGUCUAGUAACUUCAACAACCAUCUCUUUAAUGGGACUUUAACAAUAUAUAGUGUGUUGCUUGUUAUAUACAGCACACAAGUACCUGCGCUUAACACUAGUAGGGAUGACAACAUGCAUUACUCAGAACUCAAUGAUGCUUCUUCUGUAAACUCAUACCCAAUUUCACAAAGCAUGGGCCUAUAUUACCGAAGCCCAAUUAAUGAUAGUACACUACAAAACAUACCCAUAUUGACACAGAUGCCUAACAUGUCGAAAUACCAACGUUACAUCAAACUCCUUUCACAUAGACACAGAUGCCUAACAUGUCGACAUUCAUAAUGUUCCGUAAAUCCCAACGAGAAUGACUGAUCAAGCAAGCAACAAGAUUCAUAAUUUUGUCAAAGUUUCCAAAGAUAACCACCGACAUUACUCUUUUCCCCAGCUUCCUCACCCUCUGUCUCUCCAGUUUCUUACACACGCUCCACAGAACAAACUCGGCUUCGAGAUCAUUGGAAUCUUCGUAUUAGCCUUCAUCACCGUCGCGAUCGUCGUCGUCAUUUCGAGAUUGUUUGAUUGUUCAUAGGAGGGAGGAAGUUAGUUUACCAAGGCGGCAAAAACAGAGUGGUAGUUACUUUUAAACUUUGAGUGAUACGUGAUUAAACCAAUCAUAUUUUGCCACGUCAUCGUUCGUUUGCCGUGUCGGCGUCUUUCAGUUUUGGGCCUUUUGGCCCAGUAAAUUAGUAACUAAAGAUCGAUGUCGUCCACUAAUGAUAUUUGCUUAAUUCUCUUUUAGUCUUUUGUCUUACCUUGUAAUAAAAUUUAACCAACUUGUAAUAAACGCUUAUAUCUUGUAAUAAAAGGGAUUUAAGCUUAAAUUUAUCUUUUUAAAAAUAAAAAUCGUAGUCCUUUGUUUUCAUCGAUGAAUGAAUAAACAAAGCUUGAGAAAAAAAUUCCUGAAUUAGAAUAUUCGCUGGCGGAAUCAGAUCGAACCACAUCGCAGGUGAGGAUUCAUUCUCUGCAAAUUCUUAAACUGCUUUGUUGUGUUUGGUUCAAAGUGGGGUCUCUGAAUCUCAGAUUGUCGCAGGAAAAAAAAAAAAAGGCAUUGUUGUUGUCAGUGAUUUCAUUACAGGGGGAGAGGUCUGUUUCUGUUUCUGAAUCGAAUUCUCAGAAAAACAAUGGGGAGCUUGGGGACGUUUCUGAGGUACCCUGAUGAUAUACAUCCGCUCCUGAAGAUGAAACGAGCGAUCGAGAAAGCAGAGAAGCAGAUCCCUCCUGAGCCACACUGGGCCUUCUGCUACUCAAUGCUCCACAAGGUCUCUCGAAGCUUCUCUCUCGUUAUUCAGCAGCUAGGCACCGAGCUUCGUAACGCUGUAACGUUUCUUCUCUCUCUCUCUCUCUCUCUGUAUAUAAUAAAGUUUCCACAUUUAUUGCCAGCUGUGUCCAAUGUGUUUUGUUUUUUUUGUGUAGGUGUGUGUGUUCUACUUGGUUCUUCGAGCUCUUGAUACUGUUGGUUAGUGUCUCUUAACUGUUACUUUCAAUAUUACUAAGAGUUUGAUGAGGCUUCUCCAAAGUAUUCAAAAGCUUCUGACUUUACAAUGUAUUCAUGUUAAGAUUCAUCAUUUUUGUGUAAUGCAGAGGAUGACACUAGCAUACCAACUGAUGAGAAGCUGCCUAUCUUGAUAGCAUUCCACCGGCACAUUUAUGAUACUGACUGGCACUACUCAUGCAAGUUUGAAGACUCUCUUUUUACUUCUCCAUCACAUGCCAUCAAUAUUCUACUGUUUAACAGAUUCUACUCAAUUCAAACUUUAGGUGGUACCAAGGAGUACAAGGUUCUAAUGGACCAGUUCCACCAUGUUUCCGCAGCUUUUUUGGAACUUGAAAAAGGGUUGGUACUAGUAUUUGCUCUAUGCCCUUCUGUUCUGUUUUAGAAUUUUGUUACUAAUUAUUGUUAUGUAUAAACUUACACCUCUCCUCCGUAUAUGAAGGUAUCAAGAGGCUAUUGAGGAAAUUACUAAAAGAAUGGGUGCAGGAAUGGCCAAGUUUAUCUGCCAGGAGGUUUUGUAACAUAAACAUAUCUGUUGUGUUGGAUUAAACUAGACUGGGGUCUAUGUUUCAUUUAGAAUCAUGAAAUGAUUUUUUGUUACUGAUGCUUAGGUAGAGACUGUUGAUGACUAUGAUGAGUACUGCCACUAUGUUGCUGGACUUGUGGGUUUAGGCCUCUCUAAACUCUUCCUCGCUUCCGGAUCAGAAGUUUUGACGCCAGACUGGGAGCAUAUUUCCAAUUCAAUGGGUUUAUUUCUUCAGGUACAACAAUUACCGUUGACAGUUUAUAUAUUUGAAUAAUUUAUAAAACUGGACAUAUCUGCAGAAAACAAACAUUAUCAGAGAUUAUCUUGAGGACAUUAAUGAAAUACCAAAGUCCCGCAUGUUUUGGCCUCGCAAGAUUUGGGGUAAAUAUGCUGGCAAGCUCGAGGUGCACACAAGCCACUCUCAAUCUCUCUUAUUACGUCUCAUGUUACCAAAACAUUUGACUAUUCUCUAACAGUGCUCUAAUCACAAUGUAGGACUUGAAAUACGAGAAGAACUCAAGCAAUGCAGUGCAGUGCUUGAAUGAAAUGGUCACCGAUGCUUUGACGCAUAUUGAAGAUUGCCUCAAAUACAUGGCUGCCUUGCGUGAUCCUUCUAUAUUUCGGUUCUGUGCUAUCCCUCAGGUCAGAACAUAAUUGUUACUUUGCUUUAAAGUUGUCUACUUCUUGUUGAGAACUAUUUUUUUUAUUGUUUUUCAUGUAAAAUGAAACCUGCAUUAAUAUCUCUUUGCUUGGAUGUGUUUUCUUUUGAUCAGAUCAUGGCGAUUGGAACACUUGCGCUAUGCUAUAACAAUGUUCAAGUGUUUAGAGGCGUUGUGAAAUUGAGGCGAGGUAAGAAGAUGUUCAUCAUCAUCUCAUCAUUCUCUAGGCUAAGCCUUAACUUGUAUAAUCAAAAAGUUUGAGAAGGUGUUGCAAGCAUGUGUUUAAACAACUUUUUGUUUUUUUUUUAGGUCUUACUGCUAAAGUGAUUGAUCGUACAAAGACAAUGGCUGAUGUCUAUGGUGCCUUCUAUGAUUUUUCUUGUAUGCUGAAAACAAAGGUAUCUCAUCUCUUCCUCUUUUUGUUAAAUGUGUCCUUUCUUAAACUCUGAAUAAAAGAAGAAUAUGUUUACAUAAAGGUUGACAAGAACGAUCCAAAUGCUAGUAAGACACUAAAACAACUAGAAGACGUUCAGCAACUAUGCAGAGACAAUGGUGUUCUUCAUAAGAGGUAUACACUCAUCUUUUGAUCUUCUUACUGUUUUAGAUAAUCCAAAUAUAUAGAGUGUGGCUUCUUCUGUUGUUCCAAUGCCUGGGAUAAAACUGAUUUUCUGAUCAAUCUAUAUGUCUCUCUGCCUUUCAGAAAGUCUUAUGUUAAUGACAAAGGACAAUCAAACAAUCUUUAUGUAAGUUACAGUUUUUCCUUAUUUCCGCAGAAGUAUACUCUCUUUGUUUUAAUAGAUACAUUACUUAAAUUAUAAUCCUCAUUCUCUACCUGAAAAAAAAAAUGCAGAUUGUAAUGCUUGUGAUUCUACUGGCUAUAGUCUUUGCAUAUCUCAGAGCAAACGGAGGGGUCAGUGAUGAGCAGUGAUUUGUUGGUUCAUUCUUAUUCACGCCACUCUCCUUUUCUUAGAGCUGAAUCACAUAUUCAAGAUUGUUUCCAUACAAAGAGAGAUUAAACUUGGUUUUGUCUAAAACCAUGGAUUCUAUUGUGGUUACUGCCUUCUUUGUCUUUUACCGUUAAAUAUCUUCUAAGUAAAUGUUGCGAUUAUGAAAGCUCGGAAUCAGAUCUCACUUGAGCCACACUUAGCUUUUUCUCUUGUUAUUCCACAACUAGGCCUCGAGCUCUUUAAAACAACUUAACACUCUUGGAAACUGCAUUGGUCAAAUGAGGAUUAGAUUUAAACAAGACUUUCUUGGUUGGUUGUUUAUUUACAAUUAAACCUUGCUAACAACAACGUGUUGGUCAGCUGUCACAUAUUGACAUGGGAACAAGACCUGCACAUGUUAUAAUAUAUACACAGUUGUAUUAUAAUAUUAUGCUGUAUAACAUCAAUCGAGGCGUGGACCAAACUUAAAAGGAUUCAAGAUGUAAUCAGGACACAGUUCAUACUUAGAGAACUUAUAAUCCAAAUAUCUCUUUGAUACUUGGAGUACCGAUAUAGAAAAAGGUUUUUAAAAAAAUGGGAAGCUUGAGUACGAUUCUAAGACACCCAGAUGAAAUAUAUCCACUCUUGAAGUUGAAGCUUGCGAUUACGAAAGCUCAGAAACAGAUCCCACUUGAUCCACACUUGACUUUCUGUUACUCAACUCUCAACAAAGUUUCUAAAACGUUUUCUCUUAUUAUUCAGCAACUAGGCACCGAGCUACGUGACGCUGUACUUGUUUCUCUGCCUCUUUCUCUCAGUAAUAUGUGUGUGUGUGUGUUUAUGUUAUAUUUUCACCAUUUUCUUAUUCAGUUUGUUUGAGUAGGUGUGUCUGUUCUACUUGAUUCUCCGAGCUCUUGAUACUGUUGGUUAGUGCUUCAUAAAAAUAAUAUAGAUCCAUCUUUAUUUCUUCAAUGGGAUAAAGUUCUUUAUAUUAGGAAAUUAAUAUCAUCUACUUUUUUUGGUUACUACAGAGGAUGACACAAGCAUUCCAACUGAGAUCAAGGUUCCAAUUCUUAUAGCUUUCCACCGCCACAUAUACGAUCGUGACUGGCAUUUUGUAUGUAAGUAAGAAGAGUCACAUCUCAUGUCUUGUUCUUUUGUUUGCUUGGUUUAAGCUGGGGAUUAAUGGAGCAUCUAAAUAAAUUUUUAAACUCAGUUAGAGAUUGUGAAAAUAUCUGGAUGAAUUUUGAAAAAGCAGUUAUAUGCACCUGAUCCAGUAAAAAAAUUAUUGCAAAGUGAUUAAUUUAUUUUAAUUAAUCUUUAUCUGGUUUUAGGUGGUGAGGAAAAGUACAAGGUUCUAAUGGAGCAAUUUCAUCAUGUGUCUGCAGCAUUUCUGGAGCUUGAAAAAGGGUUAGUUCAAUUAUUUGCCAUGUGUUUUUAUUAAUUUUGUUGCUCUUCUAGUGAUACAAAUUAAUUUAUGUUGUUUUCUUAAUUUACCCAAAAGAUAUCAAGAGAUUAUUGAAGAUAUAACUAAAAGAAUGGGUGCAGGAAUGGCCAAAUUCAUUUCCAAGGAGGUUUGUGAUACAUUAAAAUCUCUAUGAUUUGGAAUGUGUUUGUAUCAGUUGCUUAGUUUUGUCAUUGACUGUUCAAAUAUCAAUGCUUUGAAUUAGAUAUAUCAAGUUAAGCUAUCAUCAAUACUUAGUAACUACUUUUCUUUGUUAAGAGCUAAAAUGAUUUGUCAACAGGUAGAAACGGUUGAUGAUUAUGAUGAAUACUGUCAUUAUGCUGCUGGACUUGUGGGUUUGGGUAUGUCUAAACUUCUCCUCUCUUCAGAACUAGAAACAGUAACUCCAAACUGGGAGCAGCUUUCCAAUUCUACAGGUUUAUUUUUGCAGGUAUGUGUCAUCACAAUAGUAUAACAUGAAAACUUUGAAAUAUAUAUUUUGGAAUAUUAACAAAAACUGUUAUCUUAUUUGCUAGAAAACAAACAUCAUCAAAGAUUACCUUGAGGACGUUAAUGAAAUACCAAAACCACGCAUGUUUUGGCCUCGUGAGAUUUGGGGAAAAUAUGUUGACAAACUCGAGGUGCAUACAUUUCACUCUCAAUAUCUAAUGUUAAAUCUUAUAAAAAAAAAAGUAAUUCUUUUUUUCUGAUUUAGGACUUGAAAGAUGAGGACAAAUCAACAAAAGCAGUGCAGUGUUUGAAUGAUAUGAUCACUAACGCAUUGAUUCAUGUUGAAGAUUGUUUGAAAUCUAUGGCUGCAUUGCGUGAUCCUGCAAUAUUACACUCUUGUUCCAUCCCUCUGGUUAGAGAAAAUAAAAUUUUUCACAUAUAUUCUUUAGCUUUUCCUAUCUAAUUUAAUAUUUAGUUGAGGUGUGUUUAUAUUGUUUUCUCCUCUGCAUUGAUAUAUGAUGUUUUUCCUUUCUAAUUAGAUUGUGGCGAUUGGAACACUUGCAUUAUGCUAUAACAAUAUACAAGUAUUUAGAGGUUCCUUGAAACUGAGGCGAGGUAAGAUGUUUUCAUCUAAUCCCAAGGCUGAACAUUAGUUAGUAAAAGAAUAACUGAGUUAUAGGACAAACAUUGCUAUGUGAAAAGGGAUUUAUUGACAUAAGAUUUAUAUGCUUUAGGCCUAAUUGCUAAGGUAUUUGAUCGCACAAAGACAAUGGAUGAUGUCUGUGGUGCAUUCUAUGAUUUUUCUUGCAUGCUAGAAACAAAGGUAUGUUGCAUUCUAUAUUCGUCUUUAGAAUGCUCAUUAUUUUGAUAGUUAUACCAUUAAUUUGGUUUAAAUGUUAAACUACAUUGAGAUAUGUUAAUAGGUUGACAAGAAGGAUCCAAAUGCCAUGAAAACAUUAAACCGACUCGAGACCAUCAAGAAAGUAUGCAGAGAAUAUGGAGGAGACAUUCACCAGAGGUAAACUUUUCUUUUCUUGGUUACUUCUUUUAUUGUUUGGUUGAAGUUCUAAUGAAUCUUGUUUUUUUUUUCCCCGGUCAGAAAAUCUUAUGUAAACGAUGAAAUACAAUCAAAUGCUCUCUUUGUAAGUUAAUUGUAUUCUUUUUUUUUUUGCAAAAGAAUUUUAAUCUUGUUUUCAUAAAACAAUGUAUCUGAUUUUUGUUAUAGCAUAGUUUACUAAUAAUCUCCCUCCUCUAUAUACAGAAACUGCAGACUGUAGUGGUUGUGCCUCUACUGGCCACAGUGGUCUUGGCGUAUCUAAAACACAAAAAAUAACGUGACUCUUACCUGUAAGUCUAUGACAUAUCAAAGAUCUUGAAAUCGUGAUGAACAUUAUGUCUAGGUUCUUGGAAGAUUAACUUCAUACACGUAACUCUCUUUUCUUGUCAGUUCUUUUCAAAGAGCUUUGUUUGCUCUUGAGUUCAUAAGACUGUUUAUCUGUGUACCUUUUCUUCAUGUUCUCCCUUGUUUGUGAAUAAGUUCAAUACCGGAAUUGCAAGGCAAUAUAGUACAAGCACCAGAUUCCAACUUUGAGAGUAUGAUUUUAAUUGAACACACUGAAAUCAGAAAUUUGUAAGACCAAUGUUUGAAAAUAAUCUGAUAACACGAGCUUUCAACCCAAAACAGGCGAUAGGUGAAUUGGCUCAGGUGUAUUAUAUAUUACUUGAAUGACUAUGAGAUUACCGAUGUGGGACUUAACAACACACUAACAUAAUCAUUAAUCACUAUGUGAAAAUAAUUGGACAAAAGUGGCAGAUAAGACUCAAAAAGGAAGUGUAUUCACAUAUGAAGAUAGAUAUAGAUUAGGCAUUUACAUCAUAUGCCAAAAAGAGGAUCCAGAUCCAAUAUUGAGAUGCUACCUAAAGUUAGAACUCUUGUUCAAGUGGCAUCAAUUUCUAAAUCAAAUAAAACCACAAUCUGACCUUCAAAUUUCUCAAAAGACUUUAGACACUUUGCUAGCAAGAACUCGUCCCAUUGGGCUUACAAAUCAAAUCUAGUAGCUAUAAAUUUUAUUUAAGCUCCACAAAACCUUAGAUAACUGACGCCGCUUCUUCAACAAAAGGCCCACUGGGCUUAAAAUAUCAAAUCCAGUAGCUAUAAGUUUAUAUCUGGGCCCCCACAAAACCCUACAUAUAUAAAAAUCUGAAGCCAACAGUAAUAAGGGCUUUCUCUCUGUUGUUGAAGCCGCUUCUUCAUCUUCUUCUUCGCUGUUACUCGUCGUCGGCAGCAGCAGCUUCUGAAGCUCACCAACCAUGGCUGUCGGGUAUAUUCUUCUUUUGCAUCGCUCUUUCAUUUCUAGAUUAUAUCUUUAGAGUAUCGUUUUCUGAUUUUACGAUUAUUGCUGAAUGUAUAGGAAGAACAAGAGGAUCUCAAAAGGUCGUAAAGGAGGGAAGAAGAAGAUGUAUGUAACACGUUUCCCACAUUGAGUUGUUCAAUUUUUAUUUUUAAAAAAAUUAAGUAAUUUUUUUUGUAAUUGAUGAUGAUACAGUGUUGAUCCAUUCUCCAAGAAGGAUUGGUAUGACAUCAAGGCUCCCUCUAUCUUCAAACAGAGAAAUGUCGGCAAGACACUUGUUUCUAGAACUCAGGGUACCAAGGUAAUAUUGUCUCUUUGAUCUGUUGUUCGAAUCUCAUUUUGAAGUUAGUGUGUGGGUACUUUAAAGUUUGCUCCUUUGCUUUGAAAACAGAUUGCCUCUGAGGGUUUGAAACACAGAGUUUUCGAGGUUUCUCUUGCUGAUCUCCAAGGUGAUGAGGACCACUCUUACAGGAAGAUCCGUCUCAGAGCUGAAGAUGUUCAGGGCAGGAAUGUCUUGACCCAGUUCUGGGUAUGUUUCCAAAAGGAAGAACCUUUAUCUCUUUUUUUUGCGACUGAUGUAAACAAUGUUUCUGUUCUUGUAGGGUAUGGAUUUCACCACCGACAAGCUGAGGUCGUUGGUGAAGAAGUGGCAGACUUUGAUUGAAGCUCAUGUCGAUGUGAAGACCACUGACAGCUACACCUUGAGGUUGUUCUGCAUUGCUUUCACCAAGAGGCGUGCUAACCAGGUCAAGCGUACUUGCUAUGCUCAGUCCAGCCAAAUCCGCCAGGUAAUCACAGCACGACUUAACAUGUAUCAAAGCAUAUGUUGGAAUCAUUGAGAUUGACAUAUUGUUUGUUGUAGAUCCGCAGGAAGAUGAGUGAAAUCAUGGUGAAGGAGGCUUCAUCCUGUGACCUUAAGGAGCUUGUGGCCAAGUUCAUCCCUGAGUCCAUUGGAAGAGAUAUUGAGAAGGCGACUCAGAACAUCUACCCGUUGCAGAAUGUGUUCAUCCGUAAGGUCAAGAUCCUCAAGGCUCCCAAGUUUGACCUUGGCAAGCUCAUGGAGGUGAGUUAGAAAAUCAUCGUUUUUGUCAUCAACAUCUGUUCUAGUCUAGCCAUUGAGACAAUCAAAUCUAACAUUGUUUUCGUCUUGUUAGGUUCAUGGUGACUACACAGCAGAGGAUGUUGGUGUGAAAGUAGACAGGCCAGAUGAAACAGUGGCUGAGGAACCAACCGAAAUCAUCGGAGCUUAGAGGAUUAUAGAUUUGUAGCCAUUGAUGUGGAGUUCUUUGAUAAGAGAACUUCCACUUCAGUGCGACUCUUUUUGUAUUCGUUUUUGAUGGAUUAUUAUUACUCUCGUUUACCCUGUUUUUAAUAUUAAGUACCUCAUUUCUAUUCUUCAUUCCUGGAUUUGAUUUAACUGUUAUGAAAAAAAUCAAUGAAAUUUGUCGUGGAGAAAAUAAGUUAUCCAAUAGAUUUUAUAUGACUUCUGCAAAAAAUAAAACUAAAAUUCGAAUUUUACGUUUGCACUAAUGCAUUACCAUUAGCUAAUUGAUAUUAAAGUUGUGUUGCUUAAUUGUAUGUAGGGUUCUUCCUCUUUCACAGUUCUUACUCAUAUUUAAUCUAACUUGUCUUUUAUAAAUAAAUUUAUUGUUAGAUCCUUAAAAGGAUUUGGCUAUAGUGGUGCUUUGAUGAAGCUCCACUCCAACCUUUGAUGAAGCUCCACUCCAACGGUGGUUUGCACCUUCCCCAUUCCCAUCACUACCAAAACCCCACGCUUCUCCCUUUUUUGGUAGUGAUAGGUAAAUUGCUUUCUAGGUUUCGUUUUAUUGAACUUUAUUGAUUCUGUUUUUGGGUUGAUAAAGUAAGUUUUUGAAUCGAAUUUGAAUUUGAAUUUGAAUAUUUGCUUUGAAUUUGUAUAUUUUAAAAAUUUAUAGCAGAACAGCGAGGGUUGGGCAGUAUAUGGCUUUUCGGGGCUGCAUGGGAUGAUGAUGGGAACGUUCACUGUAUAAUGGCGUAAACUUUGUUUGUCACACUACAAAUUGUAAAAUGUUAUAAUUUAUAUAUUUCUUAAAGUAAAAACGUUACCAUACUAAAAUCUAAUAAAUGAAUGCUUGUAUUAUAUAAUCCACGCUUAGAAAGCGCGGAUUUGUUCGUUUUUCAUUUAUUAAUCGAAAACUGAUUUACAAACUACCAUUAUUUUUGUUUCGAACCAUAACAAUUGAGUUUUUAGGUUUUUAUCAUUUGUUUUUGUUUCUCUUCAAAAUAUGGUAUUUGUUCGAAACAUGGUAGUUAUUCUAUAAUAAUGUUUGAGUUUUAAGAUUUGUUUUAUAUCCAACCUAGAUUCAUGGUUGAAUCUAUAGACCUGAUACAUUGUAUAUAAUCCGGUUCGGAUUUAUGAAAAAAUCGUUAAUUAAAAAUCCAAUAUAACCCGGUAAAACCCAAAAAAUCACUAUUAACCUGCGAUCUGAUAUCAUUGAUCCGAUAAAACAUAAAAUAUCUGAUAGUAUUUUUUUAAAAAUUGAUUAAAUUACUCAUAUAUUUUUUAAUAUUACAUAAAUUAGUGAUUCAUUAGAAUUUGGUAAAAAAAUUAUGUUAUCCAAAUAAAAAAUGAUAAUAUAAAAAAACUUAUAGAUAUGACAAUAUUAGUUUGUUUUCAUUAUCAAUAACCUAUUGUAAGUUUGUGUUUUUAUUUUAGAUUUAAAAAUUGAUUUUAAGAUAGUUUUUAAAAUAUUUUUGAACAUUCGUAAUUGUCAUAUCAAUAUUAUGUAUAAAAUGACAUUAUACAUGGAAAAAUGAUAUUCAAAUAUGUAUAUGAUAUAUGGUGUAGGAUAUAUGAUUUUGGUUUGUAUUGAAAAUCUGUAUAAUAUUCAAAUGAUCUAUUUUGAAUAUUGAUACGUAUAUUUAAGAAAAUAAUAUUUUUAUGUUUCUUAAUUUAUUAAUAGUUCAUAAUAUAUUUAUAUUUAUAUUAAAUUUAGAGUUAAUAUAUCUUUUAAAUAUAUAUAGGUUCAUUAUUUAUAGACUCAUUUAGCUGUAUCCGUAGGUCCAAAACCAAAAGACUUAAAUGCCAUUAAUGAAUUUUAUUAAUAUCUUAUAAAAAUAAGGGUAUCUUGUGAAAACUACAAUUUUCAUUUAAUUGUAUAAUUUGAGAAUGAUCAUCGUAUUGAUGUAUCUAAGGGCAGUUCCAACAGUGGUGUUUUGCGGGGUUCUUUACAAAUAAAACAACAUUUUAAAAAGAUUAAAGAAUAAAGAGAAUGCCAGUUAUGAAGAAAGAGGGAACACACGAUCCUUUAUUAGCAAACGAUGUUGACAUUUUCAUAUACUGAGUUUACAGAUGUCUUUUGUUUUACUAGCUGACAUUGAUUUUUCAAAAUAAAACUUAACUAAAUAAUAAAAUAUUAUUUUAUUUUUUUGUUAAAGAAACUUAUGUAGUUUCUGCCGUUGAGGAUGGCCUAAGGCUUUAGUAGAGGAAGUCACUUUUUUUUUUUUUAUGAGGAAGUCACCUUGACCUUCCCAUGUUGAUAUCAGGAAAGAUCGGACGGUAUACAUAACCAGCGAGUGUCUUUUAUAACACUAGUUUUAAUUAACAAAUUCACCAUUGUAAAAUACUUUUCAGCAUUUCGUAAGAAGAAAUGGUCAACCCUUUUUAACAAGACAAGCUAGAUAGCCAUCGACAAGAGGCAUGAUAUUAACCAUUCACAAUAAUAAUAUAUAUACAUAGGAAAAACAAUAUUAUAAAAAUCAAUCAAAUUGUAUUGAAUAAUAUGUGAAACCGACCUGACGUAUCAAUUUCUGACGAAAGAUAAACCCAAGCCAGACAUACACGUAGCGAACUCAUUGAUUAGGUCCAAAGAAAAAUGAAGGCAACAAAAACAAAGAAUAAUGACGUAUGGACGGUGAUAAAAGUAAAUCAUUAUUUUGUUUGGCUUUUAUAAACAAAAUAUGGUAACUAAAUCGAUAAUUCGUGCGAGUAGAUAAACAAAUAAAGCAGAAACCAAAACAAAACAUUUCAAGAACAAAAAGCAUGAAACUAAGAAAGAAAGGACACAUCAUUUUACAACAAAAUGAAGAGGCAAAUAAAGAAGACGUAAAGCAUUGAUUCUGAAAUACUGAUGUAGGAUCAUUCAUGAAAUAAGAUUUUGUAAUAUUCCACAAACUAGAAACUAUUAAGAAAAAUAAGUUAGGGGAAUAGAAAGAAGAAGAAAAAGAGCUUUAACUUUUGGAAUUGGAAGAAGUCCAAACACAAAAACAUAAAGUCUUUAUUUUACCUUUUAACCCCUUCAAAAAUCAUCGUUUAAUUUCAGUGCCCUCUUACUUUGUCCAUAUCUCUCUACUCCUCUGUUUCUUGGCCUUCUCUAGUCAGCUCUUCUCCUAUCUUCGUCUUUAUCAGGUAAAGAAUUAUGAUGAGCAUAUCCCUCAACCAUACCUCUCUCUACUCUUUUAAGUUUUACAACUUCUCUGAAGUUUGCAUGCGCAGACGGUUAUGUAGACCAUAAGGUUUAGCUUUUUAGCUAUUUUAUUUGUAUGGUUGUUGUAAUAGUUAAGAGCUAAAUAUGUAAGUGAUAAUUGAAACUUGAAAGAUUUUAUAUGUAUGUAUGAAAGAAAGAGUGAAUGGAGCUGUGGACAGAAGCUAGAGCCCUAAAGGCAAGUCUGAGAGGUGAAGCUAUAAAGCAUCAGGUGACUGUGUCAUCUGAGGAAUUAAGUCGAACUUCUUCUGCUGAAGAUUUCUCCGUUGAAUGUUUUCUAGAUUUCUCAGAAGAAGGUCAAGAAGAAAAACUUGUCUCAGUUACUUCUUCACAAGAAGAACAAGAACAAGAUUGUUGUAUCUAUAGUUCACAACCUUGCAUCUUUGAUCAACUUCCUUCUUUGCCGGUAUAUUCUUAUAACUAAUAGAAACUUAUUUGUUUUGUUUUUAAUUUUUUGAUAUUUAUUUUCUGAUAUUUAGGAUGAAUAUGUGGAAGAGCUUGAAUGGGUAUCUCGUGUUGUGGAUGAUUGUUCAUCACCAGAAGUCUCACUUCUCCUCACACAAACCCACAAAAUCAAACCAAACUUCUCAUCUUCAAUUCCAGUUAAACCAAGAACCAAACGGUCUCGGAACAGCUUAACCGGUGACCGGGUUUGGCCACUCGUUUCAAAAAAUCAACAUGCAAAUGGAGAGCAUGGGAGGAAGGAGAAAAAAGAAAUAGCCGUUGGGUUUCAAAGAAGAUGCAGCCAUUGUGGCACAAACAACACACCUCAGUGGAGAACCGGUCCGGUCGGUCCAAAAACGUUAUGUAAUGCAUGUGGAGUCAGGUUUAAGUCCGGUCGACUCUGUCCGGAAUACAGACCAGCGGAUAGUCCGACGUUCUCUAGUGAGAUCCACUCAAAUCUUCAUAGAAAGGUUCUGGAGUUGAGAAAGAGUAAAGUGUUGGUUGAAGAGACAGGUGAAGCUACUACUAAAUCAGACCAAGUCAAAUUUGCCAGUAACGCGGUAGAUAGGACGUAGGUAAAACUAAACCUCUAGCUAAACCUACUUUUAACAUUAUCUUUAGUGUUUUAAUCUAGCAACUUGCUCCAUAACAAUGGAAGCUGUUUUGGAAUUAGUCUAUAAAAAAUGUUUCUUCUAUGAACAAGAUUAUGUAAUUUUUUAGUGAUGUGAGACCAUGCACCACCACUACUAAGAAUGAUUUCGGUUCAUGUGAAGUGGUGUAGACUUUUUGAAGUAUUUGGUAAACUAUAAAGCUAAAACAAUCUGAGAGAGCAAAUGCAAAAUGGUAAAAAUAUUCUGAAUAUUUCAUAACAAUUGUGUUAUACUAGAAGAGAGAGAGAGAGAGAGAUAAAAGCUGAUUACAAAUCUAGUUCUAUUUUUGCAUAUUCAGCAUAUGGCGAAUUAGUUUUCUGUCUCAUGCAAACAGUAAAAUGACCUCUCUCCUUCACAAAGAACCAAGAAGAGUUCAGAGUCAUAACUUUUCAAGUUUUGAUACAUUGAUAAACUGUUCUUCAAAACAACACACAACACAAUAUAACUUUUGGAAAGCAUAAAAUAUUCAUGUUUAGGCUCUGGGGACAACAUGAUUAAACACAAACAUAAUAUCACAUUAUCAUUUACCGCCUUUAAUAUUCUAGCUAUAAGUUGUAAUGUAUAUCAAUUGCUACACAAAGACAUACAAUAGAAGGACCACAGUUCCAUGGACCCUUUGGUCAGUAGUUUCAUAAGUGUUCUUUCACAUACUAGAUCUCAAGAGAAAAGGUACUUUAUCACGUGCUAUCUCUUUCUGAUCUUCCCCAAACCCAACCAAUAAUCAUUAAUAAUGACAUCAACCAAAUAUUUUGUUUAUCAUACUUGCAAAUUCACAAUACUUCAUGAAAAAGGAGGAAAAAAACCAUUGAAUCCUACAAAAUUGGUACUUUGUGCCUAAAAAAUCUCCACAAAAACAAGAAAUCUAAUGAAAGUAUGGAGUAAAACGAAUUAUAAAGUCAAAGUAUCCACUAGAAACACAAGAUUCUCACAAUCCAAGCAACUCUCAGAACAAAUCAUUCAUUAAAUAGGUUAGGGAAUAUCCCCUAACCACCAAUCCGUUGUAGUCUGGUCAGGAUACUCGGCUCUCACCCGAGAGACCCGGGUUCGAGUCCCGGCAACGGAGUUACUUUUUUUUUCUUCUCCUUUUUCAGUAUAUUGGUUUAGGCCCGUUAACUAUGGGCCAAAUUCAAACGCCUAUCCCUGGGCCACUUGAAAGUUUUUUUUUCUCCUUUCCCUCUAACUGGAACAGAAGGUUUCAAACUGUUGUAAAAGUAAAAUCAGAUAGAGGAAGAAAGAGAGUGUUGUAGAGAGUCGAAAUCAAUCGGAAGCAGGAGAAUGAGCGGAGUUUCAACGGCGGCGUAUUUCGCGCGGCGAGCGGCGCAGAAGGAGAGGGUUAGAAUCCUCUAUCGACGUGCCCUUAAGGAUACUCUCAAUUGGGCAGUUCAUCGUCACAUUUUCUACCGAGACGUAAGUUCAAUUAUUCCUCAGAUCAGAUCUCCGAUUCGGACUUUGGACUCUUUCUUUCGUUUGACCGAUCUUCGCGUUUUGGGGGUUUGUUGAUCUUCGUUCCUCAUUUUCAGGCUUCUGAUCUGCGCGAGAAGUUCAACGCCAACCAAGAUGUGGUAUUUAUUUGCUCUCUUCUCAUCUUUGAGAAAUUGAUUUGAUUUAAUUUGGUAGAGUGUGACGUUUAUAGCUAUGAAGAUAGAUAUGUAAGACUGUUUUAAUGAGAAAGUUUGGGACUUUAGAUGUGAAUAGAGUGUUUUGAUGAGAAAGUUUGGGACUUUUUUUGCUGUGGAUACUUACAAGAAAAGAGAAAACUUGAAAUGGUGUUCCAUAGUUCUUGUGCUGAGUUGGUGUAUAUCUAUUCAUCUAUGUAGAAAGAACUUUGCUUUUUGGCGAUGCAUUUAGCUUAUGAUUAUUGUUUCCGUGUUAAUUUCAUCUACUUAAGCUUAUAGUGAAAUUCUGUAUUCUUCCAGCUACUAACUAGAUAACAACAUUAGUGGUUGCGUGUAUUUACCCAUUUGAAGAUAUCGUCUUUGUUCCUUGGUAUGAUCCUUUGAUUGUGGGGUUCUUGUAGGAGGAUGUUGACAGAAUCGACAAACUGAUUGGUCAUGGUGAAGCAGAAUACAACAAGUGGCGGCACCCUGAUCCUUACAUCGGUAAGCAUCUCGUCCCAUGAAUGAAUCGUGGGUAGGUUUGAUAGGAAGACAUGUUUGUUGAAAUCCCUCUCAGGCUAGAGAGAACAAGAACUUAACAACUCACUUUUUAAUUUGUAGUUCCAUGGGCUCCUGGUGGUUCGAAGUUCUGUAGAAACCCGACUCCACCUGCUGGGGUGAUUUUUUCUUCUCAGCAUUUUCCAAUGUCAUGAUCUCACUCUCUUAUUUACAAGUGCUGAUCUUCUUUUGUGUUGCGACUGAUGCAGAUUGAGAUCGUGUACAACUAUGGUCAAGAAGACAACCCAUAAACCUAUCUUUCAUGUUUUCAUACCCAUCAAUAAAGGUAAGUUUGAUAGCUAUUAGAUGGUCAUUGUAACCUACCAAAUUAGUUUCGGUUCAGUCUCAUUUAUGCCAUUUCUGUGAUAAAAAGCCGCAGCAGAACCACAAAUUUGCUAAGUCUCGAUGGUGUUUGUUAUCUAUUGCAGAUUGAAGCAUCAUCCGGUGGCUAUGGUUCAGAAGAUAAAAUUCAAGACUUUCAAAGGUUGAAACUUUUGAGUGACAGAUUUUCAAAAGAUGUUUCGUUUCAAUAAGACGCUCUUGUUUCUUGUUUCAACUUGUUUUAUAUUUCUUCAUAUCUAAAACAAGCAUGUCAUCAUGAAUCAUGCAAGUUCAUGAAAACUUAUCAAUAAACAACAAAUGUGUGUUCUGUUUUACUUACAAUGGCUCAUAAAUUGUUUGUUCUUCUGUCCUUGUUUUACCAACUUGUCGUCCUUAGCAGUCCAAAAUCGCAGUGUAUCAACACACUCCAAAUCUAUUGGAUAUCCAAUCUUGAACCAUAGGUCGGAAAAAUUGGAUAGGUAGGAAUGGUAUUAGAUCGUGUAUCCUUUAUCCAACUUUGGAAUCUUGACCGGUCCCAGCACACUUGUGUCGUCACACAACACUUGGGUAUUGCCGUAUUGGUAAGGACCAUGGUCGAGAAAUCAAAAAGAUCAACUUGCUAGCAAAAAUGCUUAUUCCAAACCCAAAUUGAUAUUCUCAGAGCAUAGAUGUAGUAGGACUGGAUUCUACCCAAAGACUCUUGCAAUUUUAGCCAAAGAAAAAUAGAGCUUGAUAAUAAAAACAAUAUUAUUUUUAAAUUUACUCUUAGUAAAUAUAUCAUAUACAGAGCCUAUUAUAUAUUUCAGAUUGACAAUUUACCACUUUUUUUUUCUUUUUUUCCAUCUAUUAUUAUUAUUGAUGGGUCAAAAACCCAGAAACCAAAACAUCACAAAGGCCCAAAGGGCGAACUAAAGAAACGUUAUGGGUCAAAGCCCAAACAAACAUUAAACCGAAUCCGGCGCCCCAAAAACCCGAGGCCACAAACCCAACAUCCGAAGCCCACUAGGCUUUCCCCAUGCACGUGUCGUCCUGUUAUGUGUACCAAAACACGUGUUGCACUCCUCACCGAUGAGGAACACGUGCUGACGACACCUCCAUCUCCCCUGUAUCGAAAUUCAUCACCGGAGCCACCGGUGUUCACCGAAGAUACACCGGAAAAAACCCCUCACCAUGAAUCUAAAGACCCAAACGAAACCUCCUCCAACGGCGAGCAAACUCCGCCCUCAAAUCCAUCAAAUCCUUAAAGAGGCCGAUCAACUAGAGCAGCCUCGAAGAAGAACGAACCACAGAUCUACGCUUCCAUAAAACAAUCGUCUACGAUCGAUCCAAGAACAACGAACAUGAAGUCUUAAGUCGAGAGUCGAUUGAGCAAAGAGAGAACAAAAGCAUAGAUCGGAAACCGGUAAAAGCCGGCGAAAAACGAUGCUGUCAGAGCCACCGCUUCCCGAAGACGUAAGCCGACGAACCGAUGCUGACGGAGCCACCAAUCCUCGGAACCCAAAGCUGGCGACGACGGUGUAGAGAAAUCACCGACUCCCAGAAAUCAAACCUAUAACACGGAGUUAGAGAAAUUCCGACUGAAGUUCAUCUCAUCUUUCCUCUGUGUCGGAUCGAGGAGAGAGGACAGAGCUAAAGGAGAGAGAUCUAAGCCUCUGACAAUUUACCACCUUAUUGAAGGGACGUUGAUUUUCACCUAGUGAAUAUAUCAUAUACAUAACCAGUUAUCAAUGUUAAAUGUCAUAUAAUAUAUCGGCGACAAAACAAACAAACAAACAAAAAGUAUACAACUUUUCUUUGUCUAUCCUAACACAAACAAAGCACCACCAAACACAAACAACUUUCCUUUGUCUUAAGAAUCAAAUUUGAAGUUGUAUCCUUAACCCCAAUAAUAAAACAAAAAUGAAAAGAAGGUAAAGAUGCUACUAGCUUUUAAUCUUUCUGUAAAAUGAUUUUUUUAUAAUACAAUUAUUGCAUAAACAUAAUAUCAAUUAUUGCAAGCUACAAAAUAUCACAUUUUGUAUGUAACCUACAAGCUAUAUGUAAUAUUAAUGUUGUUUUUCAUAAAAGAAAAUGUACUUUAUAAUCCGUUUAACUGCACUACAUUUUUCUUAUGUUUAUGCAAUAAUUGAUAUUUAGUUAUAAUCUGGUAUUUUGUAGCUUGCAGUUUUAAAAGAUAUAAUAAACGUGCUAUUCUAUCUUCUAUAAAAGAUGUGGUGCUAAAUGAAUGCAUAUGUGUAUAAUAAAUUUUACAUUGAUGUAUCAAUUUUUACAUUUCGUAUAGCGUGAUAACCUUUUUUUUAUCAAUAGCGUGAUAACAUGCUACGUUAAGAUGUAUACAUCAUAUAGCCCUAUGUUCAUGUGCUUGAUUGCUCUUUACAAUCAAUUCUUUUUCAUUUUUCUUCAACCAAUUCUGAUUUCGAAUCCAUACUAAUACUUGCCUUCUCUACCAUCGUUAUGCGUUUUAAAGAAGAACAAACAAAAUAGAGAAAGAGAAGGAAAGAAAAACUAUUGUGAUGCAAUGGUUACCUCUUCCAUUGGGAUGCAUAACUAACAAUAACAAGAUGGUUCUAACUUCUGCGUUAUACUCUCGUGUGGCUCCGGGUAGUUGAACAUGAUAUGAGAGCUGAGAGUAUAAUUGUCUAUAUAUCUGAUGUAAAUCAUUUUGAUCAUGCAAAUAUCUCUUUUCUGGUUCUUAUUUCCUAACAAAUAUGAAUUUCAUUUCAUCUAUCACGAUGACUAGAAAAGAUAUCUCUACGCAUUCACAUAUAUGCUUCAUUUUGUCUGUUCUUAUAACUAGAUCAUUUUUAUUGAAAUAAAAAUUAAUUUCACUAUAAAGGUCAAGUGAUUUUUAAUAAAUCGUUUAGAAUGAAAUAAUACGAGAGCUAACGACAAUUUAUUUCUUAUUCUUAUUGUCACUCGCUUUUUAGAAAAAUGAUUCCUGUGUUUAUAAGUACAACAUUGUAUAAUAUACCGACAAACACACACCACAAAGUGACACCAUGAUCUACAAAUAGAUAAACAUGAACCAUAGGAUACUAUACCAUCUUCAUCAAACUUUUCUACCUUUAAGUUUGAUCUAUCUUUUCUGGAGAAUUAUAUGUUUUUUCUGCGUGAUCGCCAACAGCUAGACAACUAAGAUGAAAACAACACAUUAUCUCGAAUAUGCAUUUUCUUUUAUUCUUUUGCCCGAAAUUACCUUCAUGUAAAAUUUAAUAUAUUCCACAAAGCGGUCCAGUGAAUCAAGAGUAAAGAGAUUAUUGAAUGAUGCAACUACCAAAAACACACAAAACAUGAGCCACAAAUAUCUACCAUCAGUUGUUCACUGAACCGNNNNNNNNNNNNNNNNNNNNNNNNNNNNNNNNUGAACCGCUUCCGAUCAAUAAAGAAGUGAGUCAGUAGCAACACAUACAUGUCAUAAUCUAGCAUAUGUAAUGUGUGUGUGUUGUCUCACUCUCUCUUUUACUCACAAUCGCCCACGUCGCCGUUCAUGUCUUCAAGAUGUGGCGAUACGUAACUGAUACAAGGACUACUAAACAAAUGAAACGUGUGUAUGUAAUAAAGGACUACUAAACAAAAGUCUCUGCCAUUUCUUUGAACUCUUGUAUAAUAAUGAAAAGAACUUGUAGCACUACGCAUACACUUAUAUUUAUUAAAUGAAACAAGAACGUUACAUUUCAAACAUCAAAUAACAUUACAAAGAUCCGAAUUUCACAAAAGUACUUUUAUUCAGAUCCUCUAAUUAAAAACCUGAAAAGACAACGAUGGAUCUCAUCAUUGUGAUUAUUUUACUACUUUAUUAAAAGAAACAUAAGAUUAACACAAGAAUCCAACAACAAACCACACACGACCACCUUUCCUCAUGCAGAGAGGUAAUCAAACCCGUCUUCAUCACAGUAGUAAAAGCCAAGGUUACUGACCGCAUCCGAAAGAGAGUUGCUCAUAGACAAUACCUCCUCGGUCGCUAGAUAUGGCAUGUUAUGGAACGAACGGUCAAGACAGGCGGCGACAUUACCAAACUCAUCAACAUCUUCUCCUUCACCACAACCUUUGGUAUGCAUAACUUCCUCUGCUCGGUGCUUCAACGUCUCAAACAUCAUCUCAGGCUCAUGCUGCAUUCCUCUAAGAACAUCAGCAGAGGACUGUCCAGGCACGGCUCUAGUCACCGCAAAGCCAUGAGGCCCAUCACUCUGCAAGACACGCACAACACUCGGCCCACCAAACAAAUUAUGAACUCCACCAAGCGCCUCCUCGUAAGCCCCUCCAAGAAACAUCCCCAAGAAGUACCUCCCACCACCACUCUCCAGCUCAUGCAACGGCAAGGUGGACUCGCCGCCUAUGAACUUAUCAAUCUUCCCGUCACUAUCACACGUCAAAUCCGACAAGACGCCACGUGUCCCGGGCCUCUGGUCGAGCUUAUGGAUGGGGACUAUAGGAAACAGCUGCUCAAUCCCCCAAAGAUCAGGAACCGAAGUGAAAACAGAUAAGUUGAUAUUGUAAGUCUGAACCGGAUCCGACCCGCCGAUAGCUUUUAAAACCCAUUCGCAUAACCCAUCAACGGAAGCUAACUGCUCAAUGCUCAAAACACCAUCUUUAAAGCCUUCAACACAUCUCUGCUUCAGCUUGUCAACGUAAAGUAAACACCUUUCUUGAUCCCCACGCAUCACAGCAGAGUACAUCUCCUCGUAAUCACCACCUUCGAGCAGGAACUGAAUAUCAUCACGAUCAGCUUGAUGAUUAACCGUUGAGACAGCUUCAAAGAUCAACACCGAGUGAUGAGAGACGAUAGCUCUCCCACUCUCGCUGCAUAUCACAGGAUGCUUCACUGCCCUCCUCUCGCAUACAAACCGAACCGACGCUACAACAGCUUCAGCGUACUCCUCGAGGGUAUAAGCCACAGAGAGAUCACUCUCUCCGGACUUAGACCCGUCGUAGUCAAUCCCCAACCCGCCACCGAUGUCUAUAACCUUCAUGUUCGCGCCUAGACGGACAAGCUCACAGUAGAGCUGAGCAGCUUCGGAGACACCAUCAGAUAGCAACGAAGUAGAUGGGAUCUGCGAGCCGAUGUGGAAAUGCAAAAGCUGGAGACAGUCAAGCAUACAAGCUUCACGAAGCUUCCUCACCACACGAACUAUCUGAGUGGUAGUUAACCCGAACUUCCCCUUCUCACCAGAAGUCGAACCGAAGUGACCAGAGUGUUUAGUCCUCAGCUUGGCUCGUAAACCAAUCACAGGCCUCACGUUCAUCUUGUGGCUAAGGUCGAUAACAAGAUCGAGCUCCUCUUCUUGCUCCAACACAAUCACAGUCUUCAACGCUAGCUUCCUCCCAAGCAAAGCUAACGAGACAUACUCAGCGUCUUUGAAGCCGUUACAUAUAAGGAAGGCUUCGUUGUUACCUUUACAUAAACAACUCAUAGCGAGGAGGAUCUCCGGUUUAGAGCCAGCUUCUAAACCGAACCGGAAUUGAGAUCCGAAUCUCACAAUGUCCUCCACGACGAACCGGUCUUGAUUGCAUUUCACGGGGUACACUCCUUGGUAAUGAGACUCGUACCCUUGGCUCUGUACCGCGAAAUCGAACGCGGACUGGAGACACUCGAGGCGGUUUUUAAGCACGUCGGGGAACCGGACGAUAACCGGGAGCUGUAAUCCCAAACCGCCGGUUUGUUUCGGAUCCGUUACUUUCGUGACGAGUUUCAACAGAUCGAUGUCUUGGUGAGGGAGAGUGUUGGAGCCGUGAGGACGAACGGAGAUGUUGCCGGAGGAGUUGGCGGAGAAGUAAGGAGCUCCCCAUCCGUCGAUGCGG
rnacentral:lncRNA from 1 species